UGAGUUUUCCUUCAAAUUCUAAAGAUAUUUUUUUACUAUAACCCUAUCCCCAGGUAAUGGGGUAGAGAUCUCACCUUUUAAUAGGCAUCAGUUAUUUAUUUUAUUAGCUGGAACUAAAUCAUGUCAGAUAAUGAAAAUUUUAUUGACAUAAUUCACAUUUACAGGUGUUGAUACCAAUACAAAAGAUCAAAAGUAUCAACGAAAGUGGAAUGUGAACAAGCCAGAGCAAAAGUACGUUGAAAUAGUGACCGUGGACGAUUUUGAAUUUUGGUUCAUGGGAUUUUUGCGGUAUGAAAAAGCUUACAGAAAUCUUCAAAAGGCCAUUUCUAUGGCUAACGAAAUGUAAAUAAUUAGGACCUAUUUUGAAGACAACAUGUUCAGCUAGUAAGCUUUGACUAUCAGUUUUGUGUUAAAUAAAUAUCGUACAUCAUAUGCUUUAAUUUGUAUACAUGAGUGAAGUUAUGAAGGGUGUUAUGGGCAUUCCAAAGUGGAGCCCUGCGCUGGGUUUAGUGCUGUCGGGUUCAAUUGGUACUUUUUUUUUCUUUAUUUUUUUUCCCAUGUAAAUGCUUAAAGCAUUAUUAAAGAAAAAGCGGAGAAAGAGUACAAAAAUCAAAAGAAUAAAAGUCAAGAGACGUGACAACAGGGUGGUCUCCACGCAUCGUCAUUGAAGAGGCGUACCACUGAUAAAGGGUGAUUAGUCCACCACUUAAAUUUUAAGAAUUUAAACCCAUAUACCUAUAUUAGCCAAAUCCUCAAACAUGAGAUUAUCUUCUCUAUAGAUGUGCGAAGAACGAAACAUGUUCUUGAUCAUGUCUUAACAAUUAAGUCAUUUAAUACGAAAAAGGCCAUGAUAAAUUAUAAUUGUUAUUGAGGAGAUAAGCUAAGCUGCUGUCGACUCACUCAAUUGGGACUUGCUUUACCACUUAUUGUGUAACAUCAUCAAUUGAACCACACCAGUUUUUCAGAUUUUGCUUUCUUGAUCUUUGCUUAUACUUGAUUCUGAUCUCUUGCGAUAGAUUUAUCAUAGGUUGAUUAUUAUAGUCCUUCUAUCCAAUAAGAUGGAAAGAUCAAAGAGAGGUUCAUCAACUGGAACCAAACGAGAAUGUAUUCAAUCUAUAUGAGUUAAGUGCAAUUAGAGAUCUGUCCGGAUUUGGAAUUGAAAUUAGCUCCAAUGUUUUCUUUGGAACAGAUUGGGAGGUAUCUUGAUGGAUGAACAUUGAAAAAUAAAAAUACAGACCGAAUGAUUUUUAAAUAAUUUUGUCUGGCUAGCUCAAUUUGAAUUUUGGAGAGAUAAAUUAAUUUGCAGUGAAAAUGGGGCCAAACUUCUCUGAAAGGGCGAAAGGUAAUUUGACCUUGGACCAAAUAUAUUCAAAAGGGUGAGAGGGAAAAAUAUAUUUAAGUUGAUUGUUUGUUAAAGACAGACGGCGAUAUUUUUUUGAAGGCUUCACGAUUAGGGAUGUCAAUUGUACCUGCAAACCUGCAAACUCGCCCAAACCCACCAGUCAAAAUCCGCCCGUUGCGGGUAAUUUUACCCGUUGCUGGCGGGUUUAGUAUUAUGAAUUAAAACCCGCACAUGGAUGCGGGUGGAUUUGGUAUUAACCUUAUAUCCGGUGGAUACCCGCAUGGAUAUCCACCAAACCCGCAAUAUUUUUUUCAAAUAUUUUUAAUUUAAUUUUAAUCUAAAAAUGUAUAAAGAAAAUAAUGUCAUUAAUUAAAUUACCAAAUAGCCAAAGGUUCAAAGUUGUGUAUGUGUGUAUGUGGCCUAUAUCCUAUUCUAAAGUCAUAAUCUAUAGAAAAUUAAAGGCAUUUUCCUUCGAAUUAGUAUUUGAAAAUAUUAAUCUUAAUUAUUAUUAUAGGCAUUGUGUUGGAUGGGUGCUUAUGGUGGUGAAUGAAAUGAAUAUCUUCUCUUGGAGCUUGUUUUAAAUGAUAAUAUGAAAUGUAAUUAUUAGUUUUAGAUACUAGUUUGUGUUUUUUAAAUGGAUUUGUGUAAUUUAUACUUAAAUUUGAAAAUUUGUGUUGAAUUGAUGUGGAAAUUUUAAUUUUUCAUUUACAUUAUUUAAAUAUAAAAUUGAGUAUGUUAUAUGGAAUUUGAGGUUAUUAUUAUAAAUUUAUAUAUUAAACAUUUGUGAUUUUAAAUACGGAAACCCACAAAAAAUCCGCCGGAUACCAUUGCGGGUUUGGUAAUUGUUAAAAUCCGCUGCGGGUGGGUUUUUGUAAAAAAAUUAAAACCCGCUGCGGGUUGCGGGUGGGUUUGGUAAUUUAAAUUUUGUGCGGGUUUGGGUUUGGUAAUGGCAAACCCACUGCGGGCGGUGCCCAUUGCCAUCCAUAUUCACGAUGCUACUUCUCUACUUUUCUACUAGGAGUCAGUGCUAUUUAUAUAUUUAUCAUUGUCAACAACAUGUGGCCCAAAUGCUGGACUUCUUUUAAUUUUUAUUGAAAAAAAUUAUUUUUUACAGCAUAACAAGAUUUAAUAUUCAUUUAAUCUCUAUAUUUUGACUUAAAUAUUUAUUUAGUUCAUAUAUUUUAAAAAUACCUCAAAAUACUCGUGCAGUUAAAUAUAUUAUAUUUUUAAUUUCUUACCCUUACUUUUCUUUCCUUUUAUAAUUAUAAACUUUCACUGAUAUUCUUGAAAUUGAUUAAUUUAUCUAUAAAAAAGUUAAUUAGUAAUUUAACCAAUAAAUAUCAGUAUGAAAGAACUAGUAUUUUUUGUACCCAUGCAACUUAAAAACAAUGUUCAAUAUCCUUACAACAAUCUUACUAGUAGUUAUUUAUAAAAAUUUAUUCACCAAAUUAAUCCUAAAAGAAAAAUAAUAAUAUAAAUGUUUAUGCAAUUUUUAUGUUACUUCUAAAAUUAAUUUGAUAAAUUACUAUUUUUUAUUAAUAUCCCCAAGAAUAUUUUUGCAAGAGUAUUAUUGUAAAAGAAAAGAAAAAUUAAGGAUAGAAAUGUAAUAUAAUUAACAACAGAAGUGUCUUGAGAUUUUUUUCUAAAAUAUAGAUAUCAAACAGGGACUUAACACAAAAUAUAAUGAUUACGUAGAGCAUUUAUCUCAGUGAAAGAUUAAUUACUCUCUCUUCCCCCAUAGGAAAAAUGAUAAGAACACCAUACAAGAUAAUCUUAAUGGUUUUCUAGAAUCUUUUUCUUUAAGAAACUAUUAAGUUGCUAUCAUAAUUUUUGAUUGGUACAGCAAAUGCCCAUAUGAUAAAAUAUAUAAAAUUAGCGUGUAGAUAAUGUGAUACAGUGAAUGCCGGUUCAUGUGUCGUCAUAGCCCUACUUCUGACGGGAUGGGCAUGUCCCAUUGGUUGUCUCUACUAAUGCUUAGUAGUCGGCUAAUAACUUAAAAAAAAGGUGAAAUUGAAUAUAUUCGUUCCGCUAAAUUUAAGCUCGUUGAACUUGACCGAAGGACUUGAAUGGAUGAGUGGUACGCGGAGGACCUUAUAAAAGGUUCCCAAUUUUAUUUAAUAAUAAUCAUAAAAAUCCAAGAGGACCAAGACUAUGGAACUGCCAGGAAAUUUUAUCAUGAAAAAUCAUAAUAAGAAUGUAACUUAUUGAAAAUAUUUUAUUCGGGCAAUAGAGCUUAAAAAUCCUCAAGCCUUUUCAAUUUCUUAAAAAGCCUCGAGCGUUUGAGACGCCUCUCCCUGCUUCAACUCUUGUGAGUUCUCUUUAAUUUUCUCUCUCUUUUUUUAUUUAUUUUAUUUUUUAAUUUUAUUCCUAUUUUAUUUUUCUAGUUAUGUUUGUCAAUUAGUUGAAUAAUUAUAGUAAUCGAUUUUAGAGAUGAUGCGAUCGAUUCCCUAGUGGGUCCUAAUAACUUUUCCAGAUAAAUUUUAGCUCUUAAUGGCAUUAAACCAUUGGGAGAGAAAGUGAAUAAGUUGAUAAAUUUUCUAUAAACUGUUUUUUUUUUAAUUUUGAAUAUUCAUUUCGUUAAAAAAAGUAAUUUUUUAAUAUUCAAAUGGCCACUAUUUAUUUUUCUUUAAUUAAGGAGUUCCUAAAAGAGCCAUAAAUUAAGAAUAGUGACAAUUGUAUAUAGUAUUGGUUGAAUCUAUUUUUCUUCAUUAAUGUGAUAAUAUUAUACAACUUAAUAAAUGAUGACAUGUCAUAUCUUUCAUUAAUUUUGGAUUUAAACAAUGUAUCCCAGCAAUGGGUACAUGUAGCAUGACUCCGCUUUAUAUCUGCAAUUAAAAUUCAGGACUGAUUUACGGUGUCAUAAUUGAAUUUAAGACAUUGUAAAGAUAUGUUUAUGACAUCAUAAGUUCGUCCAAGACUUUAAUGCCAAAUUAAAAAAAAAUUGUAUGUAGCAUAACUCUUAUUUAUUUGUAACUAUGAUGUAGAUCUCAAUGAUAUUGGUCAAAAAUUUUAAAAAAUAUGCUACUUAGAUUCUUGAUUUUAAUUUAAUAGAUAGGAAUAGAUAGAGUAUAAAUUAAAUGAGAGGGAAGCUAUUCAAGUAGGCAUUAAUUUGGAUCGAUUGCAUGCAAAAUAAAAAUAAUGAGGGUCUGCUUGUAAUAUUCCCAUUAUUUAAUUUUACUAAUUUAUAAAAUUAUUGUAAUAAGAUGUGGAUAUCCAAAUUUUAUAAAUUACACUCACUCUUUUAUAGCACCGUAAAGUCGCAAUACAACAUGACAAAGGCCCUUGAUACGCCAAAGGGCUUGUAGCCUAUUGACAACCCAUGCGCCCAAUUGGGUUCGAGUUCCAACAAUAGCCCAAUUGGGUUUGAGUUCUAACAAUAGCUAGGAUUUGAUUUCGCUCAUAGUAGGGAUUUGUUUGUCUCCCUGCAUUUACAGUAGAAUAGAUCUUCUUCAGUAUUAAGUGAGGGUUGGAUUUUGAGCUAUGCCAUAAUAGAAUUACUAAGAGGAGUCCCAAUCGAUUUCUAAUUGUAAAGAGCUCUGAUUGUAAUAUAUUAGUAUAUUAAAAAAAAGGGCCCUUGAUUCAAAAUAAAUAAUGAUUCACCUUAUCAUCAAUGCACAAGAAAUGUACUAAGAGCAAAGGUUGGUAAAUUCGCAUGUAAAUAAUAACAUGAAUGAACACUUUAUGUAUGCAAAUAAUUAUAUCACAUUGAAAAAAAACUGAGUGAAUUUUUUGAACAAGUUAAUUUGCAGAAAAUGGGCACAAAAUUUUUUGAAACAGUGAAAUGGAAGUUGAGCUUGGGAGCAAUAAUUAUUCAGAAAGGCGGGAGGAAAAAUAUUCUCAAGCAGAUUUUUGGUUGACAGAAGGCAAAGAAUUUUGAAGGCCUCACAAUGACACUUAUCAACAUGUGACCCAAUUGCUAGGCUUACUUUUUAUUUCUACGGAUAAAAUUUACUUUGAGGGGUGCUACUGGCGCCCCUCUAUGUCGCCGAUAAAAUUCCCUUUUGUUCAUUUUUUAUAAUUUUACGCUUUGCAUUAAAAGCAAAAACUUACUGAUUAAAUUUACCACCUAUUAUUUUACUUGGUUAUUUUCUCUAUUACAAAUACUAGAAAUCUACAAACAUAAAAAAGAGGUUGAUUGUAAAAGAGUAAGAAUUAAAGAUUGUGUUACAACCUUUGACCAGUCGAACCUUUGAGAAAAUUGCCACGAUUGACCAAACCUUGACCAGCUACUAUGGCUUCNNNNNNNNNNNNNNNNNNNNNNNNNNNNNNNNNNNNNNNNNNNNNNNNNNNNNNNNNNNNNNNNNNNNNNNNNNNNNNNNNNNNNNNNNNNNNNNNNNNNCGUUUCUCUAUCCGGCAACUCCCCAUUUGAUGAUUUAGAAGAAGCGUCAACUUUUUCAUAUUUAUCAGAUUCAGGAUGCUUCUUCUGAAUAGAUUUCUGAGCCAUCAGCCAUUGUUGCCUCUACAGUUGAAUAUUUUCAAGGGUUAUUGACAGGUGGUAUUAGUCAGUUUCAGCAGUCAAACUUUGAUUUUACUCCGUCUUUGGUGCCUAUCGGGGAUGAUGUGAAUCUACGUAGAAAGCUAGAUAUGGAUGAGGUUAGGUAGGUGGUUUUCUCUAUUGAUCUUGACAGUGCUCUGGGUCCUGAUGGGUUAUACAGUAAGUUUUAUCAGUACUGUUGGGAUAUUAUUAGCAAUGAUUUAUUAGAGGCUGUCCUUAAUUACUUCAGAGGUUCGGCUAUGCCUAAGGGUUUUCAGAGUACAAUAUUGACUUUUUUUCCUAAGAAGUCGUCCCCAACAUCUUGGAUAGAUUUUAGACCGAUCAGUUUAUGUAAUAUUAGUAACAAGGUUAUGACCAAACUGCUUGCGUUGAGAUUGGCCCCUCUGUUGCCUCGUCUUAUUUCUCAUUCUUAGAGUGGUUUUGUCCCCUAGUACAGUGAUACAUAAUAAUGUGUUUUUGGUUUAGGAGUUGGUCCAUGAUCUCAACCAUCGUACUCGGGGAAAUAAUGUGGUGCUGAAGCUUGACAUGGGAAAGGCUUGAUCGGAUGUCAAGGUCUUUCAUUAUUAAGAUGUUGCGGUGUUUUGGGUUUUCAAAGUGGUGGGUUUCUUUGAUUCGACGAGCCAUCUUUGGUCCUUAGUUCUCAGUGUUGGUGAAUGGAGUCAGUCAUAGUUUUUCUAGUUUAAGGGAGGUCUCAGGCAGGGCGAUCCUCUCUUCUCAUGUUUAUUUAUGAUUGCUACUGAGUUUCAAUCUCGAGGUUUGGACCAUAUAUACGCUCAAUAUCCUUCUAUGCGAUAUUGUUCUGCCACACCUACCGUUGUCUCUUAUUUAAACUUUGCAGAUGAUAUUGUUAUUUUUUAAAAUGGGAAUCGAUCGAGUCUUUAGCGACAAUUGAUUAAUCAAGCCAAAAGCAGUUUUUACAUUAGAACUUCGGCUUUUGCUUCACGACAGGCUAUUGUCCAUUCAGUCACUGACUUUCAGUGGUGUCAGCUUCCAUUCACUUAUCUUAGGUGUUCGGUCCUUACAAGGCGUCUCAAGAUUUCUCAUUUUGAUGAUAUGGUCCAAAAAAUUAGGGAUAAGAUCUCGAGAUGGGCCAAUCGGUUGCUUUCUUUCAGUGGGAAGCUAGUGCUUGUUUGACAUGCGUUGUCUUCUAUGCCGUCAUGUUCUUUGCCCACCUACAACUGUAGUAGAAUACUUAGAAAGGUUCUUCAACCUAUUCUUAUAGGGUGAUUCUGAGUCAAGACAUUAGGUUCAUUGGUGUAAACGAGUCAGGUUCAGGUUCGUCAUUCCGCCUCUCCUCUUUAGAGAUGACUAUGUUCGGUUUGGUGGGUUGUUGAACCUCAUAUGCAUUGGUUGGUCGGUUGUGGUGAGUUUUAGGUAUGAUUGCUGGCUAGACUCUUGCCCUUUGGCCUCCUAGAAUCUUGCAGCGGCUUCUGGGGUGCUGGUUUCUUUUUAUUGGUGAGGUACAACAUGGGAUCAAGGUAAGCUCUAAGAUGUGUUACCCUCUUCGAUCGUGGCACAAAUUUUAUUGGUUUCUUUCUCUAGUAAAAAACUUGAUAUAAUUCGGUGGGCUUCCAGCCAUGAUGGCCUAUUUCAUUUGCGGACAGCGUGGGAGCUUGUGCAUUGUUCUAGGCAGAGAGAUGAGGUUUUUUUCGCGUAUCUAGCAGCGACAUAUCCUUCUAGAGUUUUCUUUUUUCUCUGGCAGCUAUUGCAUGGUUUUUUGGCUACUGAUAAUGCCUUAUGUUUGAGAGGAAUUUGUAUGGUCUCCUGGUGUAUUUGUGAUAGGGUUGAGACUUCUCCGCAUUUGUUCCUUGAUUGCCCACAUGUUGGGCUAAUACAGGUUCAUUUUUGGCGAAAUUUAGGUAUGCGAGAUGUGGUUUUUUUAACCCCGCAUGCUUUGCUUUGUUAUUGGAGACGGUGUGCAUCAACUCGGAGUCAUAUUUGAGUCAUUUUUCCUUACUUUAUUUUGUGGCAAGUUUCGAAGGCUUGCAAUGCUUUCAGGUUUGAUAGGGUAGAGAUCUCAUCUCUUAAUAGGCAUUGAUUUUUUUAUUAGCUGGAAUUAAAUUUAAUGGAAAUUUUACUAGAUAAUUCACAUUUACAAGUGUUGAGACCAAUAAAGAAGAUCAAAAAUAUCUACGAAAGUGAGAAUGUGAACACGCCUGACCAAAACUACAUUGGAGUAGUGACUGUGGAAGAUUUUCAAUUUUGGUUCAUGGGGUUUUUGCGCUAUGAAAAAGCUUGCAUAAAUCUUCAGAAGGCCAUUUCGAAGUCAACGAAAUUAAAUGAUUAGGAUAUAUUUCGAAGACAAUAAGCUCAGUUAGCAAGCUUUGACAAUCAUUUUAAAAUAGCGUACUUCAUAUCAUAUGCUUUAGUUCUGUGUAUAUGAGUGAAGGUUAUUAUAUAUCAUAUAUACCUCCUGCAAGUAAAGAAAUUGCAUUUUGGUUUCGCUACAAUUGCAAUUAACAAUUUAUUAUUUAUUUUUACAUAAAUGCGUAAAGCUUUAUUAAAGAAAAACAGGAGAAAGGGUAUGAAAAUUACAAGAAUUAAAGUUAAGAAAAACGAUAAUGGUGUAAUCUCUACUCAUCCUCCUUAGGAGGCGUAUCAUGAAUUGAGGAGGAUCAUUCCACCACGUCAGAUUCACACAAUUUAAGUCUAUAUUAGUCAAAGUAUCAGCCACAAGAUUGCCUUCUCUAUAAAUGUGGGAACAGUGGAACUGCAUGUUGUUGAUUAUAUCUUAACAAUUAAGUCAUCUAGCGUGAAGAGACCAUGAGGGAUUAUAAUUGUUAUUAGGAAUAAAAGCUAUAGCUACUGUGGAGUCACUCAAUUGGAACUUCAUUUACCACUUUUUUCCAACAUCAUCGAUUGAACCACACCAGUUUUUUCAGGUUUUCCUUUCUUCAUCUUUGCUUGACAUGAUCUGAUCUUUAUUUGUAAUUGAGUAUGAUUUCUUGUGGUAGAUUUAUCAUAGGUUGAUUAUUAUUGUCCACAUCCAAUAAGAUGGAAAGAUCUAAAACAAGUUUAUCAACUGGGAUUCCAUACGAACGUGAAUGUAUUCAAUCUAUACGAUCUAAGACCAAUUAAAGAUCGAUGAGAAUUAGGAAUUGAAAUUGGUCCUAAAUUUUUUUGGAUAGAUUGGGAAAUAUCUUGGGAUCCUGAACCUUUUUACUAUUUGUUUCUACUAUUUUUCUUUAAAUUUGUAUCUGAAACUUAAAAAAAGAAAAAAAAAAAUACUAACAUAGUGGUUUUUAAAUAAUUUUAUUUAAUUAGUUUAGCUCGAAUUUUGAGAAAUUAGAUAUUAAAAAAUUGAUUUAAAUUUUACCUAUCCCUCUACGUUUAAGAAAAAAGGGAACAAAGACUAAAAUCUCUAAUCACUAAAACUUGAUCUAAACAUGACAAGGUCCACGUCCAUGCUAGUAGAGAUGGUAAAAAAAUUCGGGUCCAGUUUAGAUUUGUAAAGAUCUGGAAGGUCUGGAUCGGGAAAAAUCUGAUAUGCGCUUUAAAAAAUGCAGGUAUCGAUAUUAAAAUUGAAAAUCCAUACGGAUUCAGGUGUAGAUCUGAAUGCAUGUGCAUCCAAAAAACCAGAUAUCCGGAUCUGUGUUAUUUUUUAAUUAAUUUAUUGAAUAAAUUGGUAAUUAAAAUAUUUUAAAUACCUGGAAUAUGGGACUGAGUAUUAGAAAUGGUUUGGGAUUAAUUAGUCCUAAUUUUAGUUUUGAAUGUACAACCAAGACAAGAUUUGGUCCAUAUUGAUGGAAACAAAAAAAUUAAUUACACAAUUAUUUGUCUUUAUCUUAACUAUUAAUUUAGAAAGAUUAAUUGUCAAAUAAAUAAAGAUUGAUUGACUCAAUUUUUACUAAUCAAUCAUUAUUCCUAAAUCAUUUUAUUUUAAUUGGUUAAUUUCCUUUUUUAUGUCUCAAAUACUUGCAAAAAAUGAUUUGCAAGAGCGCUUCGUUUAGUGAAAUUUGUUUUAUAACUUUUUUUUGGAGAUUGAUUGAAAAUUAGUGGUGUGGAAGUAACUAAGAACUCUUGCUUGUUCUUAAUUUGAUUUCUUAUCUAUUAAAACGAAAAUCAAUUUCUAGUGCUUGGUAGACUGAUCAUAGGCUGAUUAGUCAGUCUUUUGAUCACAUGGUUGGGAAGCUUGAGUGACGAUAUAUAGCUCCACUCCCACGUUAAGUUAAUUAUUAUUUUAACUUGGCUUCUGAAUUAUAACAAAAAAUCUGAUCCUCUACAUAACCUAAAUAGGAAAAUGAUAAGUUAACCAAAAUAACAACAUGAUAAAGACAGCUCUAAACUAUUAUUCGUGAACAAGCAUGCAAACAUUAAUUAAUUCUUAUUGUUACAACUUUUAUUCAUUUAGCAAAGCAUCAUUCUAUAGACGUUCAGAUGCGCAUAACGCAAAAACAUAACAAGCUUUAUUUUUAACCUCAAGCUUUUAUUCAACAUCUCCAUCUCAAGCCUUUAGAAAAAUAACACUGAAUGGGACAUCACUCAGAGCCAGAUGCCGCACCCCACCGUUCAUAAAAAUGCACAAAACUUUGCAAAACUUACAAACUAAAGGUCAGCAAACAAGCUUGUAAUCACCAUAAAACUUCUCAAUCUUGAACCAAUUUCUCGUAGUUUGUGGGUCAGGAUUGCCUUCAACUCCCCCAAUUGUCACAAACCACUGCCCCAAUGCUGCAUCAAAAUUGUCAAGCUUCUAUAUUGUGGAUUGCACACUAGUUUUGCAACUUCAAAUUUGAUGUUUAAACCAAUGGACUAACAAAUAACGCCCUUUUGAGGGUUUACAGGUGAAAAUGUCAUUGGCAAACCAUAUUUUUGUAUGUUUUGCUCUUGAACAACAUGUAGUGGAAAUGUUUUAUUGUCACUGUUGGAAAUUCGAGGGUGCAGCAGACACGCAACUAAAGUGAAAUUUAGAAAUAAUGAUCACACAAGGACACCAGAAUUUACGUAGUUCGGCUUUUAGCUGACAUCCUUGGGUGAAGACAGAAGAAAAUAUUUUACUAGUGGAAAGAAGUUAUAAGUAUUGUAGUAUUUUGUCUCACAACCCAAAACUCCAAUACACCCAAACUCUCAAAACACUAGAACUAGAGCUCAAAGCUCUCAACACUCUCAACUUACACCUCUUGGUACUCUCACUUGAAUUAGAGAAAAUGGGAUGAAUGAAGAGGGCAAAUGAGACCUCUAUUUAUAGGCCAAGCCAUGCCAAAAAAUCAACAAUGGUGGGCAUUAAAAUAAUAUAAAUUUUCACCCAACUUUUCUACUUUAGUGCCAAAGUCAAAAGUUGAUCCCUCUCACUUACCUUUGUUCCCCGCUUACUCAGCAACUUUAUGCCAAGAGUAAAAAAGUUGCAUGCUAGUUCACAUGUAAUUGUUUGCCACAUGUAUGCACAUGUUCAACAAUUCUCCCACUUGGAGACUUGAUUGAGAACCAAUCAUGUCUCCACACCAUCAUUUCUUCUUCACCAUUAUCAUGUUACUUCCGUCCUUCACUACUUCUCGAACGAAGUGGUAUUGUACCCUAUGUGCUUUGUCCUAGAAUGAAAGGCUGGAUUCCUUACAAUGUGUAAGACACUCUGACUGUCGCAAAAUACAUGAAUUUUUCCUUGUUUGUGUCCGAGCUCCUCCAAUAACCUUUGUAUCCAAAUAGUUUCCUUGCAAGCUUGUGUAGCUGCCAUAAAUUAUGCUUAUGUUGUAGAUAAAGCCACAAUAGUCUGCAGUUUUAAAAUCUAGUUUACAACUCCUCCUGCAAGUGUAAACACAUAGCCAGUAGUAGAUUUCUUUUUAUUAAGGUCUCCUGCAAAAUCUGAAUCCACGUAUCCCCUGACAAUAAACUCUUAUCCUCCAUAACAUAAUGCAACAUCUGAGGAUCCUCUGAUGUAUCUUAGAAUCCUCUUCACAGCUUUCCAACGUUCUUCACUAGGAUUCACCAUAUAUCUAUUGACCAGUGUCUCUGCUUGUGCAAUAUCUGUUCUAGUGCAUAUCACAGCGAAUGUCAAAUUUCCCACUGCUGAUGCAUACGGUACUCAAGACAUCUCAUUCCUCUUUACUUCAUUGUUAGGACACAUACUUGAGGAUAAUUUGAAAUUAAUAGGAAGUGGGGUAGAAAUUAGUUUACAAUCUUACAUGUUGAAGUGCCGUAAGAUUUUCUUCAAGUAAUUCUUCUAAGAAAGACAAAUCUUUCUGUUAUUUCUUUCUCAGUGAAUUUGUAUCCCUAGAAUCUUGUUUGCUGGUCCCAAAUCCUUCAUUUCAAACUUUUUACCAAAUUAUACCUUUAAUUCUUAGACUCGGUCUUUGUUGGGGCCUGCUAUCAACAUAUCAUCUACAUAUAACAACAAAAUGAUAAAAUCAUUGUCCUUAAACCUCUUGUAGUAUGCACAAUGGUCUGAACUAAGUCUAUUGUAUCCAAGGCUUAUGAUGAAGGAAUUAAAUCUCUUAUACCAAUACCUCAGCUCCUGUUUAAGACCAUAUAGAGAUUUGUUCAACCUGCAAACCAAGUUCUCCUUGCAUGUUUUAGCAAAACCUUCUGGUUGGAGUAUAUAAAUAUCUUCUUCAAGUUCUCCAUGAAGAAACGCAAUUUGAAACGCAAUUUUCACAUAUAACUGCUUUAGAUAUAGGUCAAAUGUAGCACACAUUACCAAGACUAUUCUGACUGUCAUAAGUCGAACUACUGGAGAAAAUAUCUCAUUGAAGUUAAUGCCUUCUUUCUAAGUAUAUCCUUUUACCACCAAUCUUGUACGAUACCUCUCUACUUGAUUAUUGCCAUCACGCUUGAUCUAGUAGACCUUUUUGUUACUAAUGGCUUUUCUACCAUAUGGUAGUGGUAUAAGUUCUCAUAUCUUAUUCUAUUACAGAGAUUCAAUUUCUUCCUGCAUUACUGUCAUCCAUAAAGUAACAUCCGAGCUGUUUAAAGUUUUAUGGAAAGUUAAUGGCUCUCUAUCCUUUAUUAGAAGAUAAUAUGCAACAUUGAUCUCUGUAACAUACUCCGUGUGCCACACCGAUGCUCGUUUCUCUUAAGUUGACUGACGAACUUCUAUAGCUUCGAACUCGACUGGUUUUUGUUCCUCGUGCUCUGGUGCUGCUUCAAAAGAAUCUAAAUCUUCUUUUUUGGGACUAUUUUCCAUAUAUACCGGUAUAGUCUCUGACUUUUCUUUCACAGUGCUAUCAUCCCCAUAUUUCCUUUGUAGUUGAUCUUUUACAAAGAUAACAUCCCUAUUAGAGCUGGUAAAAUUUGACACGACCCGAUUACCCGACACGAACACGACAUAAAUAAAUGGGUAUGAGUCGUCAAAUUUAACAUGAUUAUUAAAUGGGUCGGGUCCGGGUCAACACGAUUUUUUUCCGUGUCGGGUUAGGGUUAAAAUUCUUGACCCAUUUACCCGAUCAAUGACCCGAUUAUAUUUUCUAUUUUAAAAUAAUUUACAUAUUCUUAUCAUUAAAACUCAAAUAUUAGAGAUGAUUUUCUUUUUUUUUUUAAAUUCUUUAAAAAGGUGAAUAUAAACACAAUGUUUUAUUUAUAAAAUUUUAAAUACAUUUAGAGCUUCAAUAGUGUAAAUGUGUAAAAAUUGAUAGACAUGUAUAUUUUAUAAUAUUGAUAAAUAAUAUUAUAUAUAUAUAUAUAUAUAUAUAUAUAUAUAUAUAUAAUUAAAACCUCAGUAGUGUAAAUGUGUAAUAUAUUGGUAGAUAUGUAUAUUUUAUAAUAUCGAGAAAUUAUGUAUGUAUGUAUGUAUGUACAUACGUAUGUAUGAUAGUGUGUAAAUAUUUGAUGUAACUUUUGUUCAAUAUAUAGAUAUUAAACGGGUUAUUGGGUAACCCGAUUAUUUUUUCGUGUCGGGUUUGGGUCUCAAUAUUUUGACACGAUUAUUAAAUGGGUCGGGUUUGGGUCGACCUAAAUUUGACACGACACGAAGCUAACACGACACGAACACAACCCGAUGACCCGUUUUGCCAGCUCUAAUCCCUGCUAAUGACAAUCUUGUGGGAAGUGGAAUCUCAUAGACGAUACCCCUUCAUUCCAUCAGCAUACCCCAAGAAGAUACAUCUCAUGAAUUUUAGAUCCAGUUUUAUUCUUUCCUGGGCAUUUUACAACACGUACAUAAGACAUCUAAAUGUGUACAAUCAAAAGUAAUUAGCUGGCUUCCCAAUCCACAUCUCUAUUGGUGUCUUCAACCCAAUUGUUGUAGAUGGCGAUCGAUUCACCACAUAACAGGUAGUUUUGGUUGUUUCUGCCCAAAAUGAGUUUGGUAGACCAGCAGUCCUUAAUAUGAUUCUUAUAUUUUCUGUAAGAGUUUUGUUUAUCCGCUCUAUUACUCCAUUCUGUUGAGGAGUAUUUGCCACUAUGAACUGUCUCUGAAUACAUUCUUGCUUACUAUUGCAAGAAACUCACUGUUUGUAUACUCUCCACCAUUAUAUGUCCUCAAACACUUGAUCAUUUUCUCAGAUUUAAGUACUACCCAUGCUUUGUACUACUUAAAUAUUGGAAAUGCAUCUGACUUUUUCUUGAUUGGAUACACCCAACAUCUCCUGAAAUAAUCAUCAACGAAAGUCACAAUGUACUUUAUACCUGCUAAGGACUUAUCUGGCGAUUCCCAAACAUUAGAAUUAACCAAGUCUAUAAUGCAUUUAUUUCUGGCGUCAGAUCUACUGAUCUUUAAUAUAUGAGACUUACUUGUAACAUAGUACUCGCAAAACGAUAAGUUCACCAAUUUGAGCCCCGAAAGCAACUUCCGUUUAGAGAGAAUCUUCAAACUUUGUUCAACAUGUGGCCAAGUUUGAGAUGCCACGUCAUCGAUUCUUUUCCAUUUGACACGAUACACGCAUAAGCUUCCUCUAAUGUUUUACCUUUAAGCAUGAAUAUAUUGGCACUGAUCUUUUCCACUUUUAUCAAUAUAAGCGCACCUUUGAAAAUCUUAAUAAUAUCAUUUUCCACAUAAGUCUUGCAGCCAAGACUAUCUAUUUGUCCUACAAACAAUAGAUUUUUCUUCUCGUACCUCCUGAAAAAUGCGAAUUAUACCAUCAAACAUUUUUAUUUUAACAAUACUAAUACCAGCGAUUUCCAAGGCAUUAUCAUCACCCAUAUAUACAAAUCCUUCUAAAAUAGGUUCAUAUUUGUGGAGUCAUUCUCUCCGAGAGAUCAUGUGCCAGGUAACUCCUGAGUCAAUAAGCCAAAUGUCAGAUAGCUGUUUUCUGCCUUUUGCAACCAUUACUGCCUCACUGUAUAAAACGUCACCAUCAUCUUAGGUACUUGCUACACACCUCUGAGCAUUUGAUGACUCUGGAUCUUUACACUCUCCUCUUUUUUUGUUACUCUAACACUCUUUCUUGACAUGCCCCAUUUUGCCACAUUUGUAGCAUCUGACAUUCUUUUUACUUCUUCACUUUGAUCUACCAUGAUUGUGACUCCCACUGAGACCACAUUUUGCUAAUCUCCCUCUCAUUAUUGUUAGCACUUCCAAUUGCUACGAACUUGUUUGCUUGUUUUCCUUAUUCUUGUGCCUACUCUCUUUUUCUAAUACAGAGGCUACAACAUCAUCGAAGACUAGGUACUCCGUGAAGAUAUUGUUCAUUAGGUUGGUAUGGUCAGUUACCGUUGUGGUUUCUGCUAUUCGAAGAGUAAAGAGUCUUAUCUUUAAAAAGAUCUUAUUAUGUAGCGACUUGGUCUCGUACAAUUUUGUGAGAGUAUCUCAAAUACCCUUUAUUGUCUUUUCUUCUACCACGCUAGAUAGUACCCCAUGUAUAAGUGUCAGGUGUAGAUCAGCAAUGGCAUUACCAUCUAUCUCAUUCCACUUUAAUCAGUGAUUUUUGCAGACCUUUCUCUAAUUUUUUCUAAGAAAUUAUUUUUCCUGAAGAUUGCCUGCAUCUUCAUUUUCCACAACAAGAAAUUGCUGUCAUUUUUUUAAUACCGUACACAAGUUAUUAUACCUCCUUGAAUAGUUGAGUGAUCUUGUUUACUACCAAGGCAUGUUUACGUUUUGAUGGUGAUGAACCUGUGUUACACAUGUACACAAAUAUGGCAAGAGAUGUUGAUUCCAGAAAAUUCCCAUCAAAAUAUUUAAUGAAGUAGAGUACAUUGCAAUCACUAAAGGCUGUAAAGAAACCUUAUGGAUGAAGAAUUUCUUGCAAGAGUUGGGUGUGAAACAAGACAGCUAUAUUGUGUACUGCAACAGUCAUAAUGCCAUUGACUUGGAAAAGAAAUCAACAUAUCAUUCGAAAUCGAAGUAUAUUGAUGUAAGGUAUUAUUGGUAAAUUUUAUAAUCAAAUGCUAUCAAUGCCAAUGUGCAAGUAUACACAACAAGUAAUAAAGUAAUGAAUAUUUAAGAUUGUCUCCACAUGGAUUGAUGUCACUUGAAAUGCUAUAGCAAUCGCAAUAGUUACAACACUGCACUGUUCCCGAUUGUGCUUUACUUCUUUUGCGGUCAUCUUCUUUCCUCCUCUUGCUAGUCUAAUGUCUCAGCAUCCCUUCAUGAACUAAGAAUUUCUGUAAACCUACAAUUAUGCACCUGUUUUGAGCACAAAUUACUUUGAUUCAAGCAAAACUUAUUAAGACUCAAUUAAAAUGAAUGUUUAUGCAAAAUAUAACCAAAUUAUAAUAAAAACACCUUAUGUACUAUGUAAUUGAUCUUGAUUUAAGUUUAGAAUUGAUGUAAUAACUCUCAUUUCAUAGAGUUAUCACACCCCCAAACUUAAACCUUUACUUGUCCUCAAGUAAUGACAACAUACUAACACUUCACGCAAACAAUCAUGCAACACAACUUUAGCUCUUUUAUCAAAUUUGCAAGGAUUCUUCCACCUUUAGAUCACAAUCCCAAUCAUGCAAAGUAACCAUAGUAAAUCAAUUCUAGACUUAAGCUUCCUUCUGUCCACAGUGUGUGUAUGCUACUUUAAUUAAAUUCCAGAGAUGGUAUAACAUCACCAAGAGAUUGCAUGUAAUUUAGCAGUAACAAAAUUGCAUUUAUAUAUGGGGUAGCAUAAGUUUCCCAUGCUCAAAUUGUGAUGAUUUUAAGAUUAAAAACUUGAGAGUAUUCAACCUCCCAACUGCAACAUUUAUUUUUCAUGUGAAUGUCAAUCACUUGUAAUGAUGACACCCAAUUACUCAAACCAUGUGCAGAUCAGAGUUGUUGUAGCAAUAUUUGUAAUAUAAUCUUAUCUAGAGAUAUCUUUUACUCAAGGCUGAACAUGGGGCUCAUGAACAGAUCUGGCUACUCAAUGCCUUAGACAGAGGACUUUCUUGUAUUAUUGUCUUACUUUUCUCUCCCCCUUUUUUUUAAUAAAGUGCUACAACAGUGCUCAUAACUCUUGUUACCUUUGAACAUAACUUUGCAUAUGGGGUACAUACUCAGAUCUGGUUACUCAGCAACUGGAGCCAUUGGAAUAAAGUUUAUUUCAUAGAUAUCACAGUCAAUCAAACUUGUUUUUCCCCCCAAACUUAAUAUCUUUUCUAUUCUUUUGGCUCUGCUCUAGUAGCCUUAUACAACUCAACAAAGUCUAAGUGUCGGGAUAGAAUUUCAGCCUCCGUCUAUAACUAUGUCUACUUGGUAUUCUCACAAAUACUGAAUAACACUCAAUUUAUCUUUAUUAGGUUUUUAAAUCCAUACACAAAUAUUAGAUAACAGAGCUUCACAAAACACACAACACAUAAUACAAGCAUAAACACCUACACUCAGAAACAUAACCCCCCCAAACUUAAGAGGUGCUGUGUCUUCACAAGCAAACAUAACAAAGUCACACAAUUUGACAAGGACAGGGAAGACAGUAGAAAAUACCACACAAAUUGAAAAACAUAAUGAAAGAAAAGUUUUUUUUUAAAUAAAAUAAAUUGACUAGCAAGAAGGGAAUAUUUCCCUAUGGCUGGUACUGCUGCAACAUGACGAGAUGACAUCAGCGCUUCUUGGAUGCACUGCGCAGUUUACCCUUUGGUGAAACUUGUGGGAAAGUAGCUGACAACGUCGUUGUCGUUUUCUUCAUUGGGCUGGUGAGAGUAGUUGGGGCUGGGGUAGCUUGUGUGGUUGACACCGAUCUGGUCCGUUUUGGUUGUGUCGAGGCUGUUUUAGCAGUGCCUUUACACGUACUGCCUUUUCUUUUACAGGAUUGUCGUGGAUUGGUACGAACAGGUGGGCCAGGAGUUUGCUGUGGAGGAGUUGGGGUUGAUGCAUCAGCUACCUGUCCCUCAGCUGUGAUGGCGGCAAUGAUAUCAAGUAGCUGCUUGGCUUCUGUGGGUGUAUUCGUAACUAUGGCUGCUGAAGCAGCCAGAUCUGCAUCGACUCGCUCAAGUUCAUUUUCUGAGGCUGAAGGGGUUGCUAUUUUUUUCUUGCCCUUGCCCGAAGGGACUGGAAUGGGUGGCUCCUUUUCAGGGUCCCCAUCUUCCUCUUCUUGGAUAAUGUGUCUUUUCCUAGUUUUGAAAGGGGUCUUGAUAGAGGGUUUUUCACGUUCUUUCUUAGACUCGUCCUCUGCCUCUGUGGGUGAGCCAUCAGUCGCAGAUUCGUCACCUUUUUCCUCAGGUUGAUCAGAUGGUUCAGCUUCUUCGGAUUCUACCUCGACUUGUGGUUCGGCUGCAACUUCUUCUUCUGGUUCAUCUUUGGCAGUGGCUUCUUCAGUGGCUUCUGCUGGAGCAUCUGUGGUGUUGGUGUCAAAAUUGUACUGCUGGAGUAAUGAAUCAGGGAAGUUCCGGUGAAUGCUUUUCAUGUAAAGAGAAAAUUGGUGUAAUUGGUUGUUCAGGUGUUGUAGAUAGCUCCAAAAUCGAUCGUUUUCCCUCUGUUGAGCCUCAGCACAUUGAUUUAUACUGGUGCUUAGUGCCUAGAUUGUCUGUUCUAAACCAAUAGCUCGUCUUGCUCCUGUUACAGUAGUUGGUUCAGUUGUCGUUCGAGCACUUUCACCAGUAAUUCUCUCAAUGGUACGUACAGUAAAGGCACCAUCAUUCUUGACAUGUUCAUCUUUUGCGUCAAGACGAACACCGGAUACUACACAUAUACUGGUGAUGAGUGAAGGGAAUAGCAAGACAGUAGUUUUGUGAUUCUUUAUGGCACAAUCUCUGAUUUCUUUUGCGAUGAUGCUUCCCACAUCUAUGGGAAGCCCUCGAACAAUGGUAUAUAACAACACCAACCUUUCUUAUGAAACCGUAGUAGUGUGAGUGGUUGGCAUAAGCCUCGAUUUCAGAAAUUUCACCCACACCUUAGCAAUAGGUUUCAAAUCUAUCAUAUUAACUACACGCCCUUCCUCAUUAGCCCAUGAUGCACCUUCUAUUGUAAGAGUUGUGAAGAUGGUGUUCUAUUUUUCGGGGUCAAUUUAUCAAGCAACUUGGCAUACUCACAAUUAAUUUCAGCAGGUAAAUUAUAAAAAGUAUUUAUAACUCGGGAGUCUAAUGGAACAAGUGUAUUUCUUACCCAAAUGUUGUGCUGAUCAGGGCUUACCAAAUUGGCGUAAAAUUCCUUGACUACUGGUAGCACAUGAUCUCGAGGGUGGUUGCAAAACUCUAACCAUCCACGCUUUGCUGCAGCAUUAUGUAUUGUUUGCACAAUUCCGGUGAAUUGCUCUGGAAAUUGAAACCCUUUUUCUUCAAGAAUCUUACGCGACUCAAUGAAUUCUUCAUAUUUUUCUUCGGCGUGGUAACUCUGGAAGUGUGAAAGAACUUUGAGACGGCUGGCUGUUUUCUUAUACCUUGGCAUUGCUAUAGCAGUAACAAAUUGAGGAUGAUGUCCCUGAGAGUAAAACGAGAGAUGAGAGUAAGAAUUGUUAGAGUUGUGCUUACGAAGGAGAGGGGGAAUAAUGCCGUAAGUCACUACGCACAGUAAUUCCCUUUUAUAGUUGAAUUUAAAUGAAGAUAAAUCCGGUAAAUAAAGAUAAAUUAGGGAAGCUAUUAUUUGGAAUAUAAUGAGUAUAUCCCAAAAACAUAGGCUAGUGAAAUUAAUGCAUUAAUUUCAGAGAUUUUCUUUUCAAUUGCUAUCCAAAUCCAUGCAUCCAUUUGUCAUGAUUUAUCUUCAACAGUAAGUAAGAUGCUCCAAUUUUUAAUUUACUGUAACAAUAAUAUUGGUUGCUGCAACACCCAUUUGCUUGCUCUAGCAACAGUUAUAUACUCCCCUCCAAUACCCUCUGACACGUGGCUUGCCUCUGCACUCUGUCACCAUACAACCUCACUUGUCAAAAUGGAAUUCAAUUGCCACACAUACUUCCCACGAAAACUAAACCAAUUCUAAAAAUAAUUAAAAACAAAGAGAUCAAAUGAUAGCAAAAAUAAUGAGGUUAAUAAUGUGAAAGGAUAAAACUAAAUAACUAGAAUUGAAGAACAAAAUUAAAUAAAAUGGAAGAGAGGGAGAGCCGUCAACAAAACCAAAGAGGAUCAAGCUUGGUUUGCGGUGGCUGUUUCCACAAUGAGUUGCCUCCCAUUAAGCGCUUGAUUUAAGGUCAUUCAGCCUUACCUUCUUAACAAUCUGCCGCUGGGUGUAUGUAAUGCUUAACCCUGUGUCCAUUAACUUUAAAUUCUUGACCUGUUUGCUUAUCUAGAAGAUCAACAAUCCCACGAGGAUAAAAUUUUAAUAGCUUAAACGGUCUAGACCAUCGUGAUUUUAGCUUUCCCAGAAAUAAUCGUAGUCUUGUAUUGUGGAGCAGCACUAAUUGACCAGGGCUGAAUUGCCUGUUUUGAAUAUGCUUGUCGUGCUUGUGUAUUUUCCUCUCUUUAUAGAUUCUUGUAUUUUCAUAUAAAAAUAGCCGUAAUUCAUCAGGCUCACAAAGUUGAAGCUUCUUUUGCUCUGCUGCAGCAUGAAUAUCCCAAUUUAAUUGCUUCAGUGCCUAGUGUGCUUUAUGCUCUAGCUCUAGUGGCAAGUGACAAGCCUUCCCAUAAACAAUUCGGUAAGGAGACAUGCCAAGUGGAGUUUUGUAUUCUGUUCUGUAGGCACAUAGGGAGUCAUGUAACUACAAAGACCAAUCCUUCCUUGUUGGGUUUACCACUUUUUCUAAGAUCUUUUUAAUUUCUCUGUUGGACACUUCAGCCUGACCAUUAGAUUGUGGGUGAUAUGCUGUUGCUACCUUGUGUCUGAUUCCAUAUUUUACCAUAGUUGCAGCAAAGACUUUAUUGCAAAAAUGAGUACUCUUAUCACUAAUAAUUGCUCUAAGAGUUCCAAACCUAGAAAAAAUAUUUUUUUACAAAAAAGCCACCACUGUUUUAGCAUAAUUGGUAGGUAAUGCUGUAGCUUUUACCCACUUAGAGACAUAAUCCAUAGCAACAAGGAUAUAUAAGUUCCCAAAGGAUGUGGAAAAGGUCCCAUGAAAUCUAUUCUCCAGACAUCAAAGACUUCCACUUCCAGAAUGUUGGUCAAUGGCAUUUCAUGUCUUUUAGUUAUAUUCCCUGUCCUUUGACACCUGUCACAAUAUUUAACAAAUUCAUAAGCAUCUUUAAAAAUAGUAGGCCAGUAAUAACCUGAUUGCACAACUUUAGUAGCUGUUUUGUGACCACCAAAAUGUCCUCCAUAUGCUGCAGCAUGGCAUGACGCCAGUAUGUGGGGAAUUUCUCCUUCUAAAGCACAUUUUCGUAUUACUUGAUCUGAGUAUAACUUAUAUAAAUGUGGGUCAACUUCUAACAUCAUGAAGAAAUUUCUUUCUCUCCUGAAACUUCAGCUCAGGUGGUAGCAACCCACUUACUAAGUAGUUAGCAAAAUCUGCAUACCAUGGGGAUCCUGUCUGCUGCAUACCAUGGGGAUCCUGUCUACUGCAGCAUCUGUGCUUGCUGUACUACCAACAGUUGUUCAUCAUGAAAAGUUUCAGUGAUGUCCGUCCUUGUCAAUGUACUUGUGUCUGCUUCCAGCCGCGACAGGUGAUCUGCUACUUGAUUCUCAGUCUCCUUUCUAUCUUUAAUUUCCAGAUAAAAUUUCUGAAGCAAUAAGACCCAUCUGAUUAAUCUUGGUUUGGUAUCCUUCUUUGAAAUUAAGUAUUUGAUGGCUGCAUGAUAUGUGUAUACAGUCACUUUAGUACCCACCAAGUAAGUUAUGAAUUUAUCAAAAGUAAAUACUACUGUUAGCAACUCUUUCUCUGUAGUGGUGUAAUUCAUUUGAGUUUGAGUAAGAGUUUUGCUUGCAUAGUAUAUGGAGUGAAAAACCUUAUCCUUUCUUUACCCUAAUAUUGCUCCCAUAGAAUGAUCACUAGCAUCACACAUCAGUUCAAAUGGUAGAGUCUAGUCUGGAGAUAUAACCACUGGUGCAGUGAUAAGAGCUUUCUUUAAUUCUCCAAAUGCUUGGAGACAAUCUUUGUCAAAGUGAAAAAGCUUAUCAUGUUCCAGCAAUGAGCAUAAUGGUUUAGCUACCUUGGAAAAAUCCUUAAUGAAUCUUCUGUAAAAUCUAGCAUGACCUAAAAAUUUCUAAUACCCUUUAUUGAAGUGAGGGGUAGCAGUUUAUCUAUUACAUCUAUCUUGGCUUUGUCUACCUCAAUGCCUUUCUUGGACACCUUAUGACCCAACACUAUUCCUUCUUACACUAUGAAAUUGCACUUUUCCCAAUUGAGUACUAAGUUAGUCAUCUCACAUCUUUUAAGAAUUUCUUCAAAGUUGUGUAAACAAUCGUUGUAUGUCUCCCCAAAAACUGAGAAGUCGUCAAUGAAAACUUCUAAAGUCUGCUAUACCAUAUAAAAAAAAAUAAACAUCAUGCAUCUCUGAAAAGUUGCUGGAGCAUUGCACAAACUAAACGGCAUUCUUCUAAAGGCAAAUGUUCCAUAAGGACAGGUAAAUGUAGUCUUCUCCUGAUCCUCUGGAGCUAUAGUAAUUUGGUUGUAAGCUGAAUACCCAUAUAGGAAACAAUAGUACUGUUUUCCAGCAAGUAUGUCCAACAUCUGAUCUAUGAAUGGAAGUGGGAAGUGAUCUUUCCUUGUGGCUUUGUUGAGCUUCCUGUAAUCCAUACAUACUCUCCAUCCAGCCACUGUCCUUGUAGGAAUAAAUUCAUCCAUAUCAUUAGCUAUCACUGUUAUCCCUCCCUUCUUUAGAACACAUUGAACUGGGCUCACCCAUGAACUGUCUGAUAUUGGAUAUAUGAUUCCAGCAUCAAAACAUUUAAUGAUUUCCUUUUUCACCACUUCUUUCAUAAUAGGGUUUAACCUUCUCUGAUGCUCCACCGAAUUAUUGUGGCAAUCUUUUAACAAGAUUUUAUGCAUGCAUAUUAAUGGGCUUAUCCCCUUGAUGUUUGCCAUGGUCCAUCCAAUUGCUCUUCUAUAUCUUCUAAGUAAAUCUACUAGACUCUGUUCUUGACCUGCAUUCAAGGUAGAGGAAAUGAUUACAGGGAGUGUGUUGUUUUAACCAAGAUAAACAUAUUUUAAAUGUAAAGGUAACAAUUUUAAUUCAAGACUAGGAGGUGAUUCAAUAGAUGGUAAAGUUGUUUUUACUUCCCUGUCUGACAGAUUCGGAUGCUUAAUAAACCUGUUAUGCCUAUCAGUCAGAAUCGAAAUGCUUGUUGGUAAAUUUUAUAAUCAAAUGCUAUUAAUGCCAAUGUGCAAGUAUACACAACAAGUAAUAAAGUGAUGAAUAUUUAAGAUCGUCUCCACAGGGAUUGAUGUCACUUGAAAUGCUAUAACAAUAACAAUAGUGCAAACUAACUUAAGUCCAAAGUUAUCUAACGUAAAGUGGGUUCUAUAGUAAUUGAUGAUUGUGAGAGAAUAAAGUAAAACAAUACCGUAAUGAAAUAAACUAAAUUAAAUGUGUCUAAGAUUCAAUUGAGACUAUGAUAGUUGAAUGAUCAAACUCUCCUUAUGGGCUGACUGUUUUUUCAUCAAGUUAACACCAGUUGUUACGGCAAAUGUUGUAGCACUGGGCAGAAUUAAUUUGCAUUCUUAGCUGUCGCGUAUUGGAACUCUCAUACCCUUAAAUAUAUUAGCAAUGACCAGUUCCUAAUCUACUUAUGAUCCUUUAGUCUCUCCACCCUACAAGGUGAGCACCUAUAUCUAGUGUGUCACAAAUCUUAGCUUUAAGUAUAGCCCUUAUAGGAUUCAAGAUAACUUAAUUCAGGAAACUAAAAUUAAGAUCAAGUAAUACUCUAAUAAUAUCCGCUAAGACAUGCCCUUUUGCUGCCUUAUCUUAACUUGAACUAUUAAAUGGGUGGUCAACCAAAAUAACAGUUAUAUUAACAAUAAUUACUAGAGUAAAAUGCUACAGUAAUGACAUAACAAUACAUAAGAACAAUCAAGUACCCAUUAGAUUGUUUGUCACUCAACUACAAGCAAAUCUAGUUCAUAUUCUGAAUGAGAAAAACAAACAUCAAUAUAUUGGUCACGAAAUACAUCAGUUCAAUCAAAGAGUAAAGAGAAGAACAAGUAAAGAACGAUGAUGAUUGAAUCCAAACAACUCUGCUGGAUUCUUCACUAAUGCAGACUUGGUUCUCUUGAAUUCUGAUUGCUUUCCUCUUUUUUCUCUCGAUUUCUCCAAUGUUAAUUCCUUGCCGUCAUUUUAUGUGGUGCGUGCCCUCCUUUUAUGCUGCAAACUAAGGUAAAUAAAAGUAUGUUGACGUGCAUGAGUUAAAUUAGGAAACAUGCAGAUCGCAAAUUUACAGCUGACCCGCGCUUAAGUUUUCUCGUUCCGUGCUCCCAGAUUGCUACAACACUGGUUGCUCUAACAAUAGUUGUAGCAUUGCACUGUUCCCGAUUGUGCUUUACUUCUUUUGCGGCCAUCUUCUUUCCUCCUCUUGCUAGUCUAAUGUCUCAGCAUCCUUUCAUGAAUUAAGAAUUUUUGAAAACCUACAAUUAUGCACCUGUUUUAAGCACAAAUUACUUUGAUUCAAGCAAAACUUAUUAAGACUCAACUAAAAUGAAUGUUUAUACAAAAUAUAACCAAAAUGUAAUAAGAUCAUCUUAUUUACUCUAUAAUUGAUCUUGAUUUAAGUCUAGAAUUGAUGUAAUAACUCUCAUUUCAUAGAGUUAUCAAGUAUCAUUGGAUACAAGACGUGCUUGAGAAGAAAUAGAUGCAGCUUGAGAAGAUUCACGCAAUAGAGAAUGGAUCAGAUAUGAUGACAAAGUAAUUGCCCAAGGAGAAGCCAAAAUGUUGUAUGUAGAAAGUGGGCGUGGUGGUGCCCUCUAUAUGAUCUGAAAGGGAGAUUUGUUGGGUCCAUCUCAUUUGAGUGGUCCACGCCCAAAGGUUUAUAAGUUUGGGUAGCUAAGUAAUUAAAAGAAACUUGAAGGGGGCAAAAUAAAAUUUUACAUUAAAAAAAUUAGGUUUUGAAAGCGUGGUUAUAUAAGCAGGAAUAAGUGGAGGCGGCAACAACUUUUGUGUGUGGGAAAAAGACGAGAGAGAAAGAGAUAAAUAUAUAUAAAUAUGUUAACGAAAAUGUUCUUAUACAUAUUGAAUAAAUUGCUAACUAAAAUACUUUAAAUACCUGGGAUAUGGAAUGGAGUAUUGGAUAUUGUUUGGGAUUAAUUAGUCCUAAAUUUAGUUCUAAAUGUACAACCGAGAAAAGAUUCAGUCCAUAUUGAUGGAAACAAAAAAAUUAAUUAAACAAUUAUUGUCUCUAUCUUAAUUAUUGAUUUAGAAAGAUCAAUUGUUAAACAAAUUAAGAUUGAUUGACUCAAUCUUUGCUAAUCAAUCAUUAUUUCAAGCAUUUAUUCAGCAACUCCAUCUUCAACCAUUUAGAAAAGUAACAUUGAAUGUAACAUCACUCAGAGCCAGAUGCCACACCCCACCAUUCACAAAAAUGCCAACAUCUAUGCACAAAACUUUGCAAAACUUACAAACCAAAGGACAGAAAACAAGCUUGUAAUCACCAUAAAACUUCUCAAUCCUGAACCAAUUUAUCGUAGUUUGUGGGCCAAGAUUGCCUUCAAUUCCCCCAGUUUUCACAAACCACUGCCCCAAUAUUGCAUCAAAAUUGUCAAGCUUCCACACUGUGGAUUACACACUAGUUUUUGCAACUUCAAAUUUGAUGUUUAAAUAAGUGGACUCAAGAACAACGCCCUUUUUAGAGUUUACAAGCGAACAACAUGUAGUAGAAAUGUUUUAUUGUUACCUCUGCUACCAAGUGUAAGACCAUCGCCUCGGCCACAUAUAACUACUAAGAUGUAGUACUCACUGCCAGCUCGGAGUUACUUUCCGAUGAUGUCGAGAACCGGAUCAGGUGAAGCAUUGCCUAGGACAAGCAAUGGCUUGUCAAUGAAGGCAAAUAAAAAGAAGGAGAGUGGUAAAAAUAAUGUAGUUCUCAUUGAUAUGUUUUUGUUUUCCUUGGUUCUUAUUUUGAGCUGCUGUGUGCCAACCCUUAACAACUCAUUUUUUUAUAAAGCUACCCUAGUUACUCAAUGCAUGGAUACCAGGUAGAGUUCUUAAGGAUUAAUUAAGCUGCUGGGUUUCAACUUGACCAUUAUGAUGUUCAAUUCGACAAGCAGGUGUCGCCCAUAUAAGUGCGGAUUAUCAUAUUUUGUGCUUUUAGUAUUAUAGUUGUCAUUAUUAUUAUUAUUAUUCUAAAGGUGGCAUAGCCUGGAAGAUUUAAUAUAAUUUAAUAAAAAUUUCAAACUACAAAGCAUAAUUUAUUAUGUGUUAAGUAAGUGACUCACAAAAGCAGUUGCAAAUUAAAUGGAAACAAAACGUUUUUCCUCUUUGUGUGAUUAAAAUAAGAUGUGUACCACAAAUAAAUAGACAGAAAAAUAAACCAAUAAAUCCAAAGCAAUAAAAUCAACCACAAGAGACACAAAUUUUACUUGGAAAACCCAAAGCGGGAAAAACAAAGGGAUCGUAGUCCGAUAUAAUCUUCCACUAUUUUAGUACGAUUAUACCACAAAUUAUUCUUUAGAUGAUACUGGCGGCAAACAACAUCAAUAAUCUUAAUAUUUUUGGCUCAUAGUAACAGCCUAAUAAUUGCCUCUCUAACAAAUGAGUUGUUCAAAUAAUAGGUAAUGAGAGGAUAAAAUAAAAAUCAACACCAGUAGGAUUUUCGAGGGCGGUGCUAGGAACUUACCCUCAAAAUUUGAGUGAAAACAGAGUUAAUUUCACCUUCCGAUCGCCCAAUUAAAGAUUGAAAAUCUUGCCCUCAAAUUAUAAUAACCAGCCACUGUCUUUUCUCUCUCUCUCUCUCUUGUCUUUUUCUUCUCUGCUCAUCCUUUUUGCGAUCAUGAAAACUAGCCACUUUUCAUGGCAAUUUUCAUCCAACUCCAAAGCUUAAUAUUAAUUGCACAUCAAACAAACCUUUUUGGGCUUUGGGCUUUUUGGCCCCCAAAUGAAAUGGACCCAACACUAUGAAAGUCAAAUUUUGAAGUUUAUGUUAGAAGUCAAAUACCAUUGUCUCUUCUCCUACUCCAAAUUUAAUUUUUUUCAUAUCCAAUUUUUGUGUUUGGGUCAAAAGUAUUGCCAUUUUGUGUUGCAUUUAUAUGGUAUGGAUUUGGGGGUUGAUUAAGGUGUUUCUUCUGAUGAUGUGGACAUUGCAAAGGCUAAAUCUCUUUGCUUUGGCUUACGACGUGCUAGUGAGGCUAGUUCGUCUCACUGGUGGUGGACUCAGAUUCGUUGCGGGUUAUUUAGUUUGUCAACGGCAAACAUCAUACACGUAUCAAGCGUUUUUUAAUUAUUUCAAAAAUUGAAAUGCUAAUCUUAGCGGCAGAAUUUCAAAAUGUAGCAUAUUUCAAGAUGUUGAACCAUGUUGCUGAUGUAUUAUCUAACUUUACUUUUCAGUAUUCAGAGUCUUUAGUUUGGUUGGAAGAUUAUCCUAAUUUUUUAAAAUGUUAUCUGCAAGCUGAAUUCUGAAAUAAAAUACCCGCUUAUAUUAAAAAAACAUACUGUAUGGAUUUGGAUCUAGUAUUAAGUUGAACUGGGGGUAAUUAUUUAUAAUUUUUCUACCACACAUGUAUGUAUAGUAAUAUACAAUUAAUUUUUAAUUAAAUUUGUAUUCUCAUCCAAAUAUUAUCAAUUAUAUUUUUAAAAAAACUUAGAAAAAAAUUCAACACUCUCUCAAUUCAAAUACAUUUCUAAUUACAAUGAUAACAACAAAUUUAUUUGCUAGGUUCACUGGAAAUAUCUGUUAGUAUUAAUUUAUUUAUUUUCCAAAACAAUAGUAAGGAUUUGAUGAGCGCUUCACAGUACAAAACAUUUUAAAUGAAAACCUACGCGUGCUUUUGCUGGUACACGACCUGCAGUCCGGUCUCAGGCCAUGGGCCGGGCCGGGCCAAACUCAUGUUAGACUGACAGUCUGGCACGACACAACACACUAACACAUAAGCUAGCAUGGCAAUGCUUGUGGCCAUUUCUAAUUGGGUGAAAUCUAUUAAGUUUUAACUACUCAUUGAUUUGAUUUGUUGAAGUACGAUAAUUCCCCUGCUUAUAACGAUAUAUAUUAACUGACGUUUGUAUUGCUCCAAAUUUAUUUAUUGAGUUAAUAAUACGUAAUGAAAUGUUCAAAUAUUUAAAUGGAUUUGAGUUUUGCCAAUCCUUUUUUUUCCUUCGCUUUCCGAUCUCAAAAUGUAAAUUUUGGAAAUUUCAUCUAAUUCAUUUUAUUGCAUUGCUGUUGAGUGAAAUCUUCAUUCGAGAAAUAAAAUUUUCAAGAUAAUUAAUUUUUAUUAAGUGGUCACUACACUAAAAAUCUAUAAAUUCAAUGGCCACCAAUAACUCAAACAAUGUCUACUACAAAUACACAGGGCACUCUCUGUUUUCUUUUUCAAUUCAAAAUCUUAGAAAGAUUUCACAAUUGAAUAAAUCAGUGCAUUAAUUCUAAUUAUUAUGCUACUUCUUUUUGUUAUUAUUAUUUAGCUUAAUGUCAACCAAAGUUUCAUCCUACUCAUGUGAACAGAGUUUGAACCUUGAAUCAAUUGUUUUUAACAGAAAGGAUUUUAUAAUUUCGAACAGAUGAUACCUACAAAAGUUACAAUGCUACUUUGAUAUAGUAGAGUUACAAAAUUUUAUAAAACUUACAAAAAUACUAAAAUGUUCAUAUACAGUAAAAUCUCUAUAAAAUGACAUUGUUGGAACUAAGAAAAUUUUUUAUCCUGAUGAUGGUUAUUUAUUAAUUAAUGAAGAAUUUGUUAAUUUAUUGGUAAAUUAAUGAAUAUUUAUUAAUUUAAGACGAGUAUUACUUUUUAAUUACUUGUGUUAUUUAGGCAUGUGUAGUAUUCUUUUCACAAAUAUUCGUGCAUGAAUUUCAAAAGUUAUCAUAAAUAUACAAAAAAUUCUAAUAAAUGUAAUGAACAUAUACAUAGAAGCACAAAAUAAUGUAAGUACAUUGUACAUAGUUUCAAAUUUAGUACCCUCUGAAGAUAAAGUGUUUCAGAUGCUUAGAGUACAUAGAUUAAAAAUUCUGUAAGUACAUUGGUCAUUAGUGUCAAAUUAUUUUAUGCAUAUUUUUAGAAAAGAGUUUAGUUAAAAAAAAUUAUAGUUUUUAAGAAAACAAUCCUAAUUAAAUGUAAUGAAUUUUAUAUGUUAUUUAUUAUUGAUAUUUCUUGUAAUUAACUAAUUAUUAAUUUAUAUUUUCAUUGGACCCUAAAGGAUUCAUGUAAAAAAAUAUUAUUUUAUGAAUUUAUUAAAAUUGUUAAUUUAGUGCAAUGACCAAGUCAGGACCAAAAGAUUUUAUUAUUUAAUAAAAAUUAUUAAUAAUUUUUAGACUUUUCAUAAGUUUUAAAUUUAUUUAUUUUUAAUUUUUAGUACAUUAAUUUAUUGAAUAUUUAUUUAUCGAUGUCUUACAGAAGAUUUAAAUAAUUUGUGAUAAAGUAAACGAGUUUUCAUUAGACGGUGUCAAAUUUCUGAAACUCUAUUUUUGAUAAAAGCAGCACACCAGUUAAUAAAAAAGAAAAUGUUUGCAUUCAUUUAGAUCACAUGAGUGGGCAAACUCAUAUUUCAGUGAUUACAUGUUUGCUCUCGUAGGAUGGCCUUGGCUACCCAAGUUAUUAAAAGGAAUUGAAAAUUUACCCAUUUUGUAAAUUUAUGUUUAGCCUCGUUAUUUUUCUGAAGGUAGAUUGACAGUUUGUAUCUUAUUGAAAUGAAUAUAUCACACACCUUUUAUUAUUUUUAUAAUAUUUAAUAACCCUCUUGGUAUAAAAAUUAAAAAAAAAAAGAAGAGAAGAAAAUAAGUCAUUUGCUCGAUAUUUGAUAUUGGAAAUAUAAAAUUAUUAGAAGAAAAAUAUUAAAAAAAUAAAAUACAAGAAAAAUAUCUUGUGAUAAAUUUUUUAUUCAUAUCAAAACCUAGGAAAUGUACUUAUUUUUUUAUUUAAAUAUUUAAUUUAAUUUAUAAUAAAUAUAAAUAAAAGUGUAAUAGAAAAUAAGAGUAAUAUUAUAAAAUAAUGGUGCCAGGUGAUUAUUAGAUAUUAUGAAAACAGUAAGGGUAUAAAUAAUAUAUACUCAUUUCAGUAGGGAGGAAACUUACCAUCACCGUUUUUCUAGGUGUUUAAGGGAAAAAUAGGAAAGGCAAUAGAGUGCCACGUGUCAACCAAUGGAAUGAUUCCAGCACAAUCUGAGGUACCCUGCACAAUCCGAGGUGCCCGACAUGACUUGAGGUACCCCGUAUACAUAGAGGUACCCUACACAAUUAGAGGUAUCCCACACAAAUAGAGGUACCCCAUAUAAUAUGAGGUACUCCAUACGAAUAGAAGUACCCCAUACAAAUAGGGGUACCCCACGUAACUCGAGGUACCCGGCAAAGCGGAUGCAAUAGAAUCCACCGAAAAUAUCGGCCAUGAGAAACGUCUCCGCCUCCUAAAAGAUAUUAUUUGAUUUUGUCAGAAUUAGGAAGAAAAAACGACGCCCUAAAAUGAGGGACAUCCGCCUGCGAUUUCUGCCAAAAGUGAAGGACACUGUCCCAAGGGCAGUGGUCCCCAACCGCCUACCCGACAGCUACUGCAGAGGUACCCUAGACCACUCUCCAGCGCGCGCCACGUUUCCAAAAGAUGAGAUACGCCGCGAACAUGCAGAUAACGGCCCAAAAAUUAUAAAGAGGUAAAAAGACGUUAGCCAAAAAGGGUACACCACGUGGCAGCUGAGGUAUUCCAUAUAUAAAGGCGCCUAGGUUUCAUUCUCCAUCAUGUUUUUCACUCACCAUUAACACUCACACUCUAAAAAAUAGGUUUUCUUCAACCUUAAACCCUAAUUUACAGAGGGCUAGCCAGCUCUCUUUACCAUUAAAGCUUGAGUUUGCUAACUUGAGCGUCGGAGUGUGAACGUCGGGGUACCCCGGCUUCACCUCUAACCUCUAUUUCACUGUUUUGUAGGCGUGAAGCUCAUUUUGAGGGACACCUCUCUUGUUUCUGACCUUCCACUAUUGUUACCACUCUCUCUCCCCUUCUCACCUCUCCCAAAUUUCAGAUACACCGCACCGCACACAAUAAACUAGUGAGGUACCCCAUCUCCCCCAAAAAUAUAAAUUUAUUGUUCUAGAUUGGUUUGACUUUUCCUAUCCCAAAAUCAAUCGAAAACAUUAGGCAAUUUCAUCCGUAUAGCAUCUAUGCAUGGUUUAUUUAUCAUAGUCCCAUUGUUGGCUUCUUCAAUUUUAUAUAUUUUAUGCUAUAAUCAAGCAAAGUUCAUAUUAUACAUUUUCUGAAUGGAGUUGAACUAUCACAAUAAUUUGAUCUUCUUCGUACUUUGAAAUGAAAAUGUUGGCACUAAUGAGGAAAAUGAUGAACCAAAAUACCAACAUGAAUAAAAGUUUUUAUUAUUCGUAAACAUGAAACGUUCAUGCAACUUUUAUUAGUACAACUUAAUUUAUUCAUUUAUUAAAGCAUGUGUACAACCUUAAAACGAAACAAACUUUAUUUUUAACUGGAAGUAUUUGCGGAGCUCUCAGCAGCUCGAUCGUCAAGCCUUUUUAAACACAACUUUGAACGGAACAUCACUCAAAGCCAGACGCCGCACCCCACCAUUAAUAAAAAUGCCAACAUCUCUGCACAAACCUCUGAAGAUAUUACAAACCGAAGGACAGAAAACAAGCUUGUAAUCGCCAUAAAACUUCUCAAUCUUAAACCAAUUUCUCAUGGUUCUGGGGCCGGGAUUGCCUUCAACUCCCCCAGUUGUCACCAGCCACUGCCCUAAUGCCGCAUCAAAAUUGUCAAGCUUCCACACUGUGGACUGCGCACAACUUGUUGCAGCGUCAAAUUUGAUGUUUAUGUCAGUGGACUCACGAACAACGCCCUUUUUAGGGUUAACGGGCGAAAAUGUUACUGGCAAACCAUUUCUAAAUGAGUGCUGCUCUUGAACAACAUCUAGGGGACAUGUCUUAUUGUUGCUUCUGCCAGCAAGUGUAAGCCCACCGCCUCGGCCCUUUGUAACGGGCAAGAUGUAGUACUUACUGCCAGCUCGGAGCUGCUUACCGGCGAUGUCCAGCACCGGAUCAGGUGAAGCAUUGCCCCUGACAGGCAAUGGCGUUGCAAUGAAGGCAAAGAGAAGAAUCAGCGGGGUUAAGACUAGUGUGCUUCUCAUUGUUAUAUCGUUAUAUUUUUUGUUCUUAUCUUUCGUUGUUGCGUGUAAAUAGGCCUUAUGAGGCCAAAUUUAUAGAGUUAGGCUAGUAUAGUUAAUUAACGGACAGCAAGUUGGUUUGAUUCGCCUAACGUCCGAUUCGAGAAGCCAAUGGUCGCCCACAAGACAAGAGCGGAUUAUGACAUUCUGCUUUGUGAACUGUAAUUAUUAUUUUUUUUCCCGCCUAAACAGUCUGAUAAGAAGAUUUAAUACAAAUUCAACAAUAGCAAGCGUAGUUUAGUAAGAAAGUCAAAGAUUUUGUUUAGAAUUAGAAGUCAAUAAUCUUACCUUUUCUCUUACACUAAAUUUAAUCGAAUUUAGAUCUGAUUCCUCUGUCUUUGUCAAUGGUUUUGUCAUUUUGUUUAAAUCGCAUGGUAUAUAUGUUUAAUUUUAAGGACAUGUUUCUUUUCUUUUUGUGCUGAAGUUAGUCUCGUCAAGCUAGGCGCAACUUGGCCCCUCUCCUUGAAUAUAAAAAUUGCACAAGAAUUUGAAAACAAGAAAUGAUGUAGAAAGACAUAUAGAUGACGAUAUCAAAACAUGUUACUAGCAGAUCUAUUGGCUAAGUUCAUAUGGAGAUCCCUGUUAGUAUUAAAUUAUGUGAAAUUAUCAGUUGUAUACACUAAAUUUAUUGUGUUAUAAAAAAUAUUAUGUAAUUUUGAUUUUUUUUGAUUUUCCACUAUAAAUUUAUAAAUUAUAACCGUAUACAAACUCAAGUUGGAAAAUUAAAUAAAUUUAAACUUUUAUCAUAUUUUUUUUAGGAAAAUUAUCAUUCGUAUACCCUAAAUUUGUACUUUUAUCAAAAAUACUAUAACACUUUAAGGGUGUAUCAAUCGUCUACCCUAAAUUGACAAAAGUUAUCUGCCGUCCACUAAACCGUUAGCUACUGUUUGAAAGUUAACGGAACAGUAACGAAUUGACGAUUUUACCCUUAAAAACUAUCACUUAUAUACCCUUAAAAUCUCUUAUUAUUACUUAUAUACCCUUAAAUUAUCACUUGUAUCAUAUGAAAAGACUAGAUUACCCCUCUGACAUCAUCAUAUUUAAAUGGCAACUAACAGUUUGGUGGACGACAUAUAUAUUUUGUCAACUUAGGGUGGAUAACUGAUAUACCUUGAAAGUGUUGUAGUAAAUUUGAUAACAGAGUAAACUAAGGGUAUACGAUUGAUAAUUUCCCUUUUUUUAUAAUAUGGUGAAUAUGACUUAUAAUUUUUCUAAGUUUUAUUUAUUUUUUAUAGUGAAAAGUCAAAAAUGCCCUUGAAUUCAAGGGUAAAAUUAUCUUUUCACUUAGAUUCUAUUGAAUAUUAUAAUAGUGUUAACAUUUUGGUGGGCGGUAAUACAAUUUACAAGCUUAGGGUGAAAAAUCAAAUAAAUUCAAAUUUUUGUAUUAUUUUUAUAGCAAAGUAAACUUAGUAUAUAUAGUAAAUAAUUUUCCUUUAUUUAUUUAUGUUUGGGCCCAUUUUUUAGCCCAAAUGGACUACAAUAUUAAUGAAUUUGUGUUCAAAGGGAUUGGAGUAGGAAUGCGAAUUGAUCCAUCUAAGUUGGAUAUCCAUAUAUCCAAUUUAAUUGGAUUAGAUAAUAUCUAUCCGAUGUAUUUUAGAUAUGGAUAUGAUUUUUUUUUUAAAACAUCCAAUUAGAUAUUGGAUGGAUAUGAAUAUUAGAUGUGAAUCCAUUUAUCUGAUUGGGCUAAAAAAUAAUAUUUUAUAAAAUUAAAAUGAAGUGAAGAAUUGUAUUUGGCAUAAUAUUCAUUUACCCGAAUGUCAUACCCUUUUCUAUUUUUUAUUUAGCAAAUCCUAGGUUCUCUCUUUUUACUUCACACGUCAGCUACUAGUUGCUCGCGAGCCAUUGAUCACACCGGUUGUUGCUUAUUCACGGGACAUUGAUAUUAGUUUAUUCCCGACUUUGCUAUCUCCUCUUCAGCGUUACAGCUUCUUCUUUUUCUUAUUUAACAUACCUUUCUUUUUUAUCUUUCUCUCAGUGCAUUAAUAACUACAUGUGUUAGCUUUUAUUUUAUGUCUGUGCUUUGAUAUCAAUUGGUGGUCCAAAAGUUGCGUGAACUGUGGAAGUUUUCUUCUUUGCUUGAGUUAAAUGAAACAUUUGAAAUAUACUGAUAAUUUGGUGUUCGCAUGUUAAUUUAUGGAUAAUUCGACAUAAUUCACAUGUAGAAAUUACUUUUGAAAUUUAUGGGCUAAAUAAAUUUUAUGGACUAAAAAUUCAUUUCAAACACUUGCCAUUUCUCAUAAACUAAAACUUACUAAGUAAAAAUGGUUAUUGUUUCAAUUACUUUUAUUUGUGAGUUUAUAAUUUGAUGGAUAGUUGAUUUGAAAUAUUUCAUAAACAACACUUUGGUCAAUAUUUGUAAGUGCAUGGACAUCAAUAUUUGUGAGUGCAUGUCCAUGCUAACACAUAUAGUAGAAUUUAGUAUGGAUUGUUGAUUUUUAAUCCCACAUCGUAGUAGAUUUCAUCCUAGUAUAUUAGAGACCUUAGUUUGUACUCAGAAUUAGAUAUGAGCUCAAAUGAAAGGUAUCAAACUCAUCUGAGUUCCACAUUUUGUUUGAUAACAUUUGUUUACAUUCUAUUUCAAAACCAUUUCCAUUUUUUUUAAGCAAAAAAAAAAAGAAAAAGAAAAAUGAAAUUCCUAAAGAUAAGCUAAUAACAGAGAAGAAAUAAAUAGAGAAGUGACUAAUAAUGAUGAUGAAUAUGAGACAUAGCCAUUAGAAGAAUAAUUUACAAAGAAGGCUUAUUAGCUGAAUAAUUUUUUUUUGUUUUUUAGUUUAAAAUUAAUUUGUAAUUUCAAAUGAUAGUUUUUUUUUGUGAAUUUGUAGUUAUGAUAUUUGUUAUUUGGAUUUUUUAUUUCUAAUUUAGUAUUAAAAUUUGAGAUUGAUUUAACUAUUUUAUAUUAUUAUUUUUUUAUUUCAUAUUUUUUUGCUUUCUUUUCAUAUGAUAAAAAUUAAAUAUUCAUGGGUAUUCAUAUCAAUAUCCAUAUCAAAAUUUAAAAAUUAGAUAUGAAUAUGGACAUAUUCAUCAUACCUUAUUAUGAAUAGGGAUGGCAAAAAUCCCCACGGGGACGGGUACCAUCGGGGAUUUUCCCCAUUCGGGGAGGGUACGGGGAUAAUUUUAUACCCAAUUUUUUAUUCGGGGAGGGGACGGGGAAAAUUUUUUACCCAAUUUUUUAUUCGGGGAGGGGACGGGGAUGAGGUGGAAUCCCCAUCCCUUACCCAUUUCCCCAUUUUAAUUUUUAAUUUUAUUUUUAUUUUUAAAAUUACUAAUAAAUAAAUAACAAAAUUAUAAAUAUUGUUAAAAAUAAUAAAUAUCAAAAUAGUUGUAUGUUGGGAAAGUGGUCAUCCUUUGCCGGGAAUUAGUUGAAGAGUAUUAAUUGAAGUUUUCACCAACUGUUUAUUGCUUUGAUUAUACUGGUAGUAGUUCUUCUACUAGAUCUACAGGGGAUUCUUAUAAGAAAGCAACCAAAUGGAUGAUAGGUUUUGAUGAUUAUGUAAACAAUGGAGAUUGUGCAGUUGUUGCAGAUGAAUUAGAUUCAUAUUUGGAUGAGAAAGUUAUACCUCGGAUGGAAGAUUUUAAUAUUUUGAAUUGGUGGAAGACAAAUGCUAAUAGGUAUCCUACAUUAGCUCAAAUUGCUAGAGAUAUUUUGGCAAUUCCAAUUACAACAGUUGCUUCUGAAUCAGCUUUUAACACUAGUGGUAGAGUUGUGAGCCCAUACCAUAACAGACUUCAUCCAAGCACAUUGGAGGCCUUAAUGUGCUGUCAAAGUUGGUUACGAGCUUACAAUAGCGGUAUGAGUUUAUUUUAAUAUGAUUAAUUUAAAAUCGAAAAUAAAAAAAUGUAUUAGACUAUUAGUUAUUCGGGGACCGGGGACCCUCGGGGAUCCCCUGUUAUUAUUCGGGGAGGGGAUGGGGAUUCUCUCAAGCAAUUCUGACGGGGACGGGGAGGGGACAGGGACAUAUGUAAAAUUUCGGGGAUGGGUAUGGGGAGAUUGGUCCCCUCCCCUCCCCUCCCCAUUGCCAUCCCUAAUUAUGAAUUUACAUUUGGAUGGAUACUUGCCAUCGACAGAUUGGAGUAGCUUGAUCAAAUGGAGCUCGACGAACUGUAUAUUGGUAGGAUGGUGUGUGUAUGUGUGUGUUGGGGGGGGGGUGUAUUUAUGUCUGCAUGUGCGUAUGUAUAUGAGAAUUGACAAUUAGCAAGAAAAUACUUUAUUAUAUGCUUAACAAAAGUGAUGGGCGUGUUUGAUAUCUCGAAAACAACAUCACCAUCCAUUAAUAACACUCCUCUUACAUUUUUGAACGCCGUCUUUUAAAGGAGGUAAAAUGGGUUAAUGGGUUGAAUUUGUGUCAAAUCAUAAAUAACUUGUUGUUAAGUUUUGGAAUUUAAAUUCAAUCUAUUUAUUAAACAAAUAAUAAUAUAAAUUAUUUUUUGAUUUGAUUCCUUUAUCUUUAAGUAACAAAUGAAUCGAAUCGAAUUUUGAUUGGUUUAAUUUGUUCAUUUAUAAUCAUACUUUAUUUUUGUCUUUUUCAUCAGUUAAUUACAAAACUAGUGUUACCGUUUGAUGAUUUUUGUAUUAUAUUUAAAAUUAUAAAUUUGACUAAGAAUCUUAAUUAAAAAAUAUUAAUUUUUGAAUAUGAAUUCCUUAGGAAGCAAAGAAUCAGAAUUUUAUUUCAAAAUAAAAUGCUAAACUCCGAAAUAAUCAAAAUGCUAAACUCGGAAAUAAUCUACUCGCCUAUAUCAAUCGUCCUUAGUGCCCGGGAUUUUUCUCUAGGACUAGCUAAGUUUUUGACAUAAUAUUUCUUAUUUUACCAUUUUCUCUCUGAAUAUGAUAUAAUAAAAAAUAAUCACUCACCAUCAAUGAUUUGCAGAUGAAGAAGAUACAUCAAAUGGAACACAUGAAAUACAUUUGGUGCAAAAAUGUGGGCUCUAAUCAGGAAAAUGAUUAACCAAAAUGCCAAGACGAAGAAAAGUUUUUAUUGUUCGUAAACAUGCAACAUCAAUGCAACUUUUAUUAUUACGACUUUAUUAAUUUAUUAAAGCAUGCGUAUAACUUUAAAACGAAACAAAUUUUAAUUCAACUUAUUUAAUUUAUUUUAAUUUCAAUUUAUAUGAUUUACUUAAUUUAUAAUAAAUUUAAAAAAAGUGUAUUCGAAAAUAAAAUAAAGUAAUAUUAUUAAAGAAUGGUGCCUAGUGGGUUUGCUCCCCAGUUCGAGUCGCAGGGAAGUCGCCUUUGUUGGGAGAACCUGUGCCUCUCGGUUUGGGCGGGGACUUCUAGUCUGGGUUGUGGUACGGGCUUAAAGGUGCCUCCCAUAGUUGGGGCCCUCCCUAGGAUACCUUGUGGUCAAAACCAAAAAAAAAAAAAAAAAGAAUGGUGCCUAGUGGUUAUUAAUUAUUAUAAAAAUAAUACGGAAAUAAAUAAUAUAUAUGUUUAUUUUAGUAGGAAGAAAACUAACAAUCUCUUUUUUUAUAGAAAAUUUAUCCCUAUAUCAUCAAUGUAUGGUUUAUUCAUUACAGUCCCAUGGUUGGCUUCUUUAAUUCUACAUAUUUUAUGCUAUAAUCGAGUCAAGUUCAUAGAUUGUUAUGAAACUAUCAAAUCCUUUGUACAAAUGAUUUAAUUUUUUCUUACUGGAAAUUGAAACUAUCACAAUGAUUUAAUCUCCGUUCGUAAUUUAAAAUGAAAAUGUUGACACCCCAUCAGGAAAAAUGAUGAACCCAAAAUAAGCCCACCUUGAAGAAAAAAAAGUAUCUAUAUAUAUAUAAAGUUGGGGACUUGAGGGAGGGUGAUGUGGUAUUACAAUUUUCUCCUCCUUUGUAUAUUCUCUAUUAUCUAAUAAAAUAGAAAAAUUUUUCUUUUAAAUUUGACUUUUCAUCUUUCUCAUAAAUUAAUUUGAUUGUUAUUACAUAAUAACAAUUAUGUAAAGAUUUUAAUGAAACAUAUUCUUUAUAAUGAACAUCCAAGGGGGAGUGUUAUGAAUUUAUUAAAAUAAAUAUAAAUAUUCAUAACAUAUAUCUCUUAGUCUCCCCACUAUCUCUCAUUAGCAAUCUUUAGCUUCCCUAUAACUCCCACUAUCUCACAAGUGUAAAGUAAGAAAAAAGGAUAAUACUAAAUUUUUUUUUUAAAGCCGUGUGAAGCGCGGUUCUAUUUUCUAAUUUAUUAUUCAUAAACAUGCAAAAUUGAUGCAACGUUUAUUAUUACAACUUAAUUUAUUCUUUUAUUAAAGCAUGCGUACAAGCUUAAAAGAAAACAAACUUUAUUUUUAACUGGAAGCAUUUGCGGAGCUCUCAGCAGCUCGAUCUUCAAACCUUUUUAAACACAACUUUGAACGGAAUAUCACUCAAAGCCAGACGCCGCACCCCACCAUUAAUAAAAAUGCCAACAUCUCUGCACAAACCUCUGCAGAAAUUACAAACCGAAGGACAGUAGACAAGCUUGUAAUCACCAAAAAACUUCUCAAUCUUAAACCAAUUUCUCAUGGUUCUGGGGCCGGGAUUGCCUUCAACUCCCCCAGUUGUCACAAGCCACUGCCCAAAUGCCGCAUCAAAAUUGUCAAGCUUCCACACUGUGGACUGCGCACAACUUGUUGCAGCGUCAAAUUUGAUGUUUAAGUCAGUGGACUCACGAACAACGCCUUUUUUAGGGUUAACGGGCGAAAAUGUUACCGGCAAACCAUUUUUAAAUGAAUGCUGCUCUUGAACAACAUCUAGGGGACAUGUCUUAUUGUUGCCUCUGCCAGCAAGUGUAAGCCCGCCGCCUCUGCCCUUUGUAACGGGCAAGAUGUAGUACUUACUGCCAGCUCGGAGCUGCUUACCGGCGAUGUCCAGCACCGGAUCAGGUUGAGCAUUGCCUUUGACCGGCAAUGGCGUUGCAGUGAAGGCAAAGAGUAGGAUCAGCGAGGGUAAGACUAACGUACUUCUCAUUGUUAUAUCGUUAUAGUUUUUGUUCUUAUCUUUGGUUGUUGUGUGUAAAUAUCCCUUUUGAGACCAAAUUUAUAGAAUUAGGCUAGCUAAUUGACGGACAGCAUGUUGGUUGGAUUUGACUGUCCGAUUUGAGAAGCCGAUGGCCGCCCAGAAGACAUGAGCGGAUUAUCAGAUUUUGCUUUGUGUGCUGUACCAACCCACCCCCCCAAAACAAAACAGCUGAUUANNNNNNNNNNNNNNNNNNNNNNNNNNNNNNNNNNNNNNNNNNNNNNNNNNNNNNNNNNNNNNNNNNNNNNNNNNNNNNNNNNNNNNNNNNNNNNNNNNNNNNNNNNNNNNNNNNNNNNNNNNNNNNNNNNNNNNNNNNNNNNNNNNNNNNNNNNNNNNNNNNNNNNNNNNNNNNNNNNNNNNNNNNNNNNNNNNNNNNNNNNNNNNNNNNNNNNNNNNNNNNNNNNNNNNNNNNNNNNNNNNNNNNNNNNNNNNNNNNNNNNNNNNNNNNNNNNNNNNNNNNNNNNNNNNNNNNNNNNNNNNNNNNNNNNNNNNNNNNNNNNNNNNNNNNNNNNNNNNNNNNNNNNNNNNNNNNNNNNNNNNNNNNNNNNNNNNNNNNNNNNNNNNNNNNNNNNNNNNNNNNNNNNNNNNNNNNNNNNNNNNNNNNNNNNNNNNNNNNNNNNNNNNNNNNNNNNNNNNNNNNNNNNNNNNNNNNNNNNNNNNNNNNNNNNNNNNNNNNNNNNNNNNNNNNNNNNNNNNNNNNNNNNNNNNNNNNNNNNNNNNNNNNNNNNNNNNUAACGUGCUUCUCAUUGUUAUAUCGUUAUAUUUUUUGUUCUUAUCUUUUGUUGUUGCAUGUAAAUAUCCCUUAUGAGACCAAAUUUAUAGAAUUAGGCUAGCUAAUUGACGGACAGCAUGUUGGUUGGAUUUGACUGUCCGAUUUGAGAAGCCGAUGGCCGCCCAGAAGACAUGAGCGGAUUAUCAGAUUUUGCUUUGUGUGCUGUAACCCACCCACCCCCCCCAAAACAAAACAGCCUGAUUAGAAGAUUUAAUACAAAUUCCAAGCUAUGGAAAGCGUAAUUUAAUUAGAAAGUCAAAGAUUUAGUUUAGAGUUAGAAGUCAAUACGCUUAUCUUUUCUCUUAGACUAAAUUUAACGGAAUUUAGAUCUGAUUCCUGUGUCUUUGUUGAUGGUUUUGUCAUUUUGUUUUGCAUGGUAUAUAUGUUUAUUCUUAGAAGAACAAGUUUUUUAGCUGAAGUUGGCCUGGUCAAGCGACGAGUUUAUUGAAAAAUUAAAGUAGCAAAGAAAUGAUAAAGCAUAUGUAUAGGGAGGCACAACAUGAGCCCUGUCUUUUAAUUCAAAAAUCGCACCAAGAAUUUGAAAACAAAAAAUGAUGUAAAAAGACAUACAAGAGAUGAUCAAAACAUGUUACUAGCAGAUCUAUUGGCUAUGUUGAUAUAGAGAUGUCUUUUAGUAUUAUAUUAUGUGAAAUUAAUAGCCGUACACCCUAAGUUUAUUUUGUUAUAAAAAAUAUUACAAAAUUUUCAAUUUGUUUUAACUUUUCAUCCUAAAUUUUCAAAAUAAAAUAAUAGUUUAAAUCUAAAAAAAAUUUGUGAUAACCAAUAUUCAAUUAAAUACACUUAAAACUCUAAUGUUUUCCUUAAAUUCGUGGACACCUAAUCUAUUUAGCCAAUUCAUUUUCUUAAGUAAAAAAAGCUAAAUUAAUUUUUAUUAUUUAUGGUGCAAUGUCAAAAAUUCCAUUGAAUUCAAGGGAGAAUUGCCAUUUUACUUAAAUUUUGUUAAGUAUUCUAGCUGUGUGAACGUUUUGCUGAAUGAUUGAUAUAAAUUACAAACUUAUGGUGGAAAAUCAAAUAAAUUCAAACUUUUGUUAUAAUUUUCAUAACAUGUAAAGUUCGGGCAUGCAGCUUAUAAUUUUUCUAAAUUUUAAGUGCUUAAAACUAUAUUAUAUAUCCUUAACAGGGUUCCAACUAAAGUGACUAUCAAGUCCCCUUACGAGCUUUAGACGAGCAAAAAUCCUAGUCUAAAACACUUGCAUGUUUGGGAUGUCUAGUUGAGGCAAGGCCUUAUAGGCCUAACGUGAAAUAGUGAGUUGUUAUUUUAAUUGGAUACUUUGAAAGUGUAAUACCCUACACCCGAUUAUUUUUGACUCUCCACCUAUAUAAAUUGAGCGCAAUUAAAAGUUCAAGUAGUCGGAUGUUAUUUUCAUCACGGGACCGGUAUAAUUUUAAUUUGUAUCAAGUUUAAGUGGAAAAAAAAAAAAAAGAGAAAGAAGAAGAAUUCGGCUUCCAUAUAAAAGGAGGAAGCUGGUUUUCAAAAGGAAUGAGAGAGAGGAGCACGCGGGAGAGAGAGAGUGAUAGAGUUGACCCGGUUGACCCGCAAACCCGACCCAGAACCCGCGACUUUGACCCGGACGGUUCUCCCAUUUUCGGCCACCUCACCGGUCGAGCUUGGUAUCGAUCUGAAGCUUGGAAGGCGACCGUCAUAUCCAAGCUGUCCUCGUCGCCGGAAACCGACCAGAACGCUGGCGAUUUGAGCUUGAAAACUCGCGGCCAAAACUUGUUUUCGCCGCCGUCGAUUUCGCCGGAGUUUGGGCACACUUCCAGCUGGGUUCUACUCCUCACGUCACCAGCAUCAUUUUCCGACCAACCCCGUCACCUGAAACGGCCGGAUUACCGCCGAUCAGCCACUUGGAAAGCUUACGAUUUGGGAAGCUCGAUUUGCCGCCGUUGCCGCGCGUGCGAGGUCACGGCCACCGCCGUUGGACUCACCGAGGUCUGAGCUAUCAGACCUGAGCUUCUUGUCGUCGUUGACUGAAGUCCGAUCACCGUUGACCGGCGAGGGUAUUUUGGUAAUUUCACAGCAUAAGGGCAAUUUUGUAAUUUCAGAUUUUGUGGGUAUUUUAGUAAUUGCUGUAAUUGAGGAUAAGUUGGUAAUUUAUGAUUUUGAGGUUAAUUUGGUAAUUUUGAUAUGAGGGUAUUUUGGUAAUAUUGAAUUCAAGGGCAUUUUGGUACUUUUUAUAAUUGGAGGUAAAUAUGUNNNNNNNNNNNNNNNNNNNNNNNNNNNNNNNNNNNNNNNNNNNNNNNNNNNNNNNNNNNNNNNNNNNNNNNNNNNNNNNNNNNNNNNNNNNNNNNNNNNNAUUGGAAAUUUUAAGUUAGGGCAAUGAGGUAAUUUGAGAUUUCGAGGGUAAUUCGGUAAUUUAAGUCGUUAAUGACAUUUUGGUAAAUUUAUGCUCCAAGGGUAAUUUCGUAAUUUUUGACAUUGUGGUUAUUUAUGCGAUCUGAAUUGAGGACAAUUUAGUAAUUGAAGAUUCUGAGGAUAAUUUGGUAAAAUAAUGAUGUUGGGAGCAUUUUGGUAAUUUUGGCAUGUAGGGGUAUUUCGAUAAAUUUGUACAUGCGGGAAUAGUUUAUUGUUGAUAGAUAUUUGUUUCGAGAUUUAUUAUAUAAAUUGGUUGUAUUUCAAGUUACGAAAAAUGAUUAUGGUGUUUCCUUGAUUAGGAGGAUCCGCGAACGAGAAUCAACUCGCGGACGUUGUUGAGACCGAGUUUAGACAUCAUCACUGUGAGUGGAAUAUACAAAACCUAUUUUCAUAGUAUAUGCUGAUUUUAUGAUACAGUGCAGUAUGUUUUGAUAAAUAAGUGUUUAAUGUUUCGAUUUAAUGAUUUUCUAGAAAAUUGAUUUUUAUUUAUGUGUUGAUAUUUAUUAUUAUUGAGAAUGAGUUUGAUUAAUGAUUUUACUAUCGAUUUUGAGUAAAUGCAUGAGAUUAGAAUUGUGCAGAUUUGAGAUAUGUUAAACAAAAAGAAAAUGAGAUUUCAGAUGUGAUUAUAUGUUUAUGUACAUGUGUAUAAAUAUUGUUUUUGAAAUCAUUAGACAGUACCCUUCCCUCCAGAUAUAGAGAUACAGUGAUACAGAUAUGAGAUACAGAUUAGUUACAGAUAUGGGAUACAUAUCAGUUAUUGAGAUACAGAGAUACAGUGAUACAGAUAUGAGAUACAGACAGUUGAGAUACAGAUGAGAUACAAGCCUUUGGGGCCCGUCUGAGCACACACAGAGGCUUUGGGCCGUGUGCUUGGGCGCUUUUGUCUUUUGGGGACUAGAUUAUGCAUGCACAGAUAUGAUGAGAUAUGAGAUAGUAUUUCCCUGUCUAUCCGUGUAGCUCCGGGGCAUGACGUUACCCAGAUAGUGCGUCAUUCCCCGUCCGUUGAGGUCCGGAUAUGAUAACGAUAGUUAGUUUAUUUGUCAAAAACUACUAUCCACUCACUGAGUUCACUGAGUUUUAUACUCCUCCCGUUUUUAUUAUUUUUCCCCCCACAGGAGACGUGCAGGUACAUCAGUCGAUCCAGUAACGAUAGUUAGUUUUGAAAUUGAGGCCACGUGAUGGUGCUAGGAGUCGCAGAUUCAAUUAUUUUGAUAUUUGAGAUAUUGCGAGUUGUAGCUAUUUGUUAUGUUUUGUAAUUAAGAAUAAUCGAUGUAUUUUAAUAUUAUGAUGUUUUGGGUGAUAUUAGAUGUGUUGACUUGAGAAGUUGGUUAUGGAGGAUGGAUGGAUAUUGAAUUAUUUUGGGAGUGUUGUUUUGUAAUUUGUAGGUUGAGAAUGUUUUAUUUAUAAGGGAGAUUCUGUCGAAAUUUUUAUAGAAUUCUUAGAUUUCAUAAAUAGUAUCGUUACGAUUUUACGAGUUUAGAUAGACUCGCCCUGGGGGUGCGAGGCGGGUCAUUUCAGAAAGAUCCUGGAGGUACAAGUUUUAUGACUCCAUGACUAAGUUGAUUUUCGAGUUGGAAAAUGCUUAGUUCUUUAAGGAUGUCGAGUUUGCGGGUACGAUACAGCUAGGGACUUUGUCUUUGAAUAGAGAUAUGUUGAUAUUCCUAUAGAUGUUAUUGGCAUUUAUCAAGGUCUCAUUCCCCUAUACAAGAAGUUGCUCCAGAAGAACAAACUUUACAAUCUUAAGAACCUACUCUAUUAAGGAUGUCCGCUAGAGAAAGGAGAAGUGCAAUGCCAGACGACUACAUUAUUUUUUCCAAGAGCAUGAGGUAAACAUUAGAGUGACGGCAAUUAAUCUAAUCAAUUACUGUCAAGCCAUGGAAAGUUCUAACUCUCAGUAGUGGAUUGAUGGUGUGAAUGAGGAGAUGAAGUCUAUGAAGGACAAUGACGUGUGGGAUCUUAUCCCAUUACCAGAAGGUGUGAAACUCAUUGGUUGAAAAUACAUAUUUAAGACCAAGACAGAUUCGAAAGGCAAUGUAGAGUAGUACAAUGUGUGCCUUGUCGGAAAGGGCUUUAUACAUAACGAAGGCAUUGACUAUAAAGAAACUUUCUUUCCGAUUUCUUUAAAAGACUCUUUCAGGAUUCAAUCUUAUACAUCAAAUGGAUGUGAAGAUAGUAUUUCUCCAUGGUGACAUUUAUGAGAAUAUCUAUAUCGUGUAAGCAGAAAGUUUGUGUCAAGAAACCCAAAGAAUAUGAUUUGUAAGCUUAAGAAAUCCAUUUAUGAACUCAAGCAAGCAUCUCGACAAUGAUAUUUCAAGUUUCAUCAAGUGAUUAUCUCAUUCAAUUUUGAGAUGAAUUUGGUCAAUGAUUUCAUAAACCAUAAGUUCUAUGUGAGCAAGUAUAUUUUUCUAGUUUUAUACAUCGGUGACAUUUUGCGUGCCAGUAAUAAUAUAGGCUUAUCGCAUGACAUUAAGAGAUUUCUAACUAAAAUUUUAAGAUGAAAGAUCUUGGUGAGCCUCUUUUGUAUCAGGCAUAUAGAUACACCUGAAUCGCUCCUAAGGUAUUCUUGGAUUAUCACAAAAAAGUUAUAUCAAAAUGAUUCUCAAGAGAAAACAAAAGGCCACAUGCUCAAAUAUCAGAGGCUAGAUUUGAUUGAGAUCGUCGCGGUAUAUUGACUCCAAUUUUGCUGAAUGCCAAGAUAGUAUGAAGUCCACAUCGGACUACAUCUAUCUUCUAGUUGGGGUUGUUUUCUCUUGGAAGAAUGCUAAACAAUCUUUUACAACCUCUUCUAUAAUGGCAACAAAGUUCAUAGCAUGUUAUGAAGUAUCCAAUCACAGAAUAUAGUUGCAAAAUUUUGUUAUGGGACCACGAAUAGUAGAUGGUAUAGAUAGAUCACUUAAGUUAUCUUGUGGCAAUAAGUCAAUAAUGCCUUAUUCCAAUAACAACAAGAGCUUGAUGAAGUCGAAGUAUAUAGACAUCAAAUUCCUAGUUGUUAAAGAAAGAAUUUAGAAUGGACAAUUGUGUAUAAAGCAUGUGAGCAUAAACUCUAUGAUUGCGGAUCCGCUUACUAAGGUAUUGCCACCCAAGAUGCUUCAUGAGCACACUACUUUUAUGGGCGUUAUGUUAUUAGAGGAUAUUUAGUUUAGUUCGAGAUUGUGAUUUUAGAUUCUCAUAUAAUUUAGACAUUUUUCACUUAUUUCAGUUUAUCGAUAUUUCAGGUUAUUUUCUACAGAAAUAAAGUUUUGAUUUAUUCACACUCUAAUUUUAAUAUGCUUUGAUCUCACUGAGGUUUAAGGUAAACCAGUUGAAAAUAAGCAUGUUAAGUCCACAUUGCAUGAAAUUCUAUGCUACACAUCCACAUUAUAAUCCAUGUCUUUUAGUUCUAGGCAUAGUGACUAUUUAUGAAUCGAGUUAUAAUAGUUGUAACGAAUGUCGCCUUUGAUCCUAUAUUGGUAUAAUUGAUAGACCUUAUUGAUUAUAGAUACAUUUCGAUAAUAAUAGUAACGUUGAGCUCAUACAAUUAUUUUUACAAAGCCUAAUUAUACGGUUACAUAUAUAGCCCAAAUGAGAGAUUGUUGAAUUUUUUAAUCUAAUGUUGGGCUUAUAUAUGAAUAAUUAUGUGUUGCGAACUGUCGUAUAUGGUUAAACUCAAUUAAAAGUGAUCUAUUAAGGUCUACAAUAAUAUAGGCUUUAAUGUAUUUAAUAAGGUGUGGACUUUUAAUGUGUAGAGACUUAGGAGUAAUUUCUAUUUCUAUGACUGGUUGAAAUAAGAAUACCUAAAGCCAAUAGAAAAAGUUAUCUAUAUAAAUAGUCAUGAUCCUCAGGUCACAUGUAUUAUUCUAUUCUUUCUAACAUCCCAUCUAGGGGUUUGAGAUGCCUCUUCCUGCUUCAACUCUUGUGAGUUCUCUUUAAUUUUCUCUCUUUUUCUAUUUAUUUUAUUUUUUAAUUUUAUUCCUAUUUUAUUUUUCUAGUUAUGUUUGUCAAUUAGUUGAAUAAUUAUAGUAAUCGAUUUUAGAGAUGAUGCGAUUGAUUCUCUUGUAGGUCCUGAUAACUUUUCCAGAUAAGUCUUACUUCUUAAUGGCAUUAAACCGUUGAGAGAGAAAGUGAAUAAGUUGAUAAGUUUUCUAUAAACUGCUAUUUUCUAAUUUUGAAUGUUCAAUUCGUUUAAAAAAGUAAAUUUUUAAUAUUUAAAUGGCCACCAUUUAUUUUUCUUUAAUUAAGGAGUUCCUAGAAGAACCAUAAAUUAAGAAUAGUGACAAUUGUAUUUAGUAUUUGUUGAAUCUAUUUUUCUUCAUUAAUGUGAUAAUAUUAUAUCACCUAAUAAAUGAUGACAUGUCAUAUGUUUCAUUACUUUUGGAUUUAAACAGUGUAUCCCAAUAACGGGUAUAUGUAGCAUGACUUCGCUGUAUACUGAAAUUAAAAUUCAAGAUUGAUUUACGAUGUCAUAAUUGAAUUAAAAACAUUGUAAAAAUAUGUUUAUGACAUCAUAAGCUUGUCCAAGACUUUAAUCUCAAAUUAAAAAAAAUUAUGUAUGUAGCAUAACUCUUAUUUAUUUGUAACUAUGAUGUAGAUCUCGGCGAUAUUGGUAAAUUUUUUUUCUAAAAUGUGCUACUUAGAUUCUUGAUUUUAAUUUAAUAAAUAGGAAUAGAUAGAGUAUAAAUUCAAUGAGAGGUAAGCUAUUCAAGUAGGCAUUUAUUUGGAUCGACUGCAUGCAAAAUAAAAUUAAUGAUGGUUUGCUUGUAAUAUUCCCAUUAUUUAAUUUUACUAAUUUAUAAAAUUAUCGUAGUAAGUUGUGGAUAUCCGAAUUUUAUAAAUUUCACACUCACUCUUUUAUAGCACCGUAAGGCGUAAAGUAGCAAUACAAUAUAACAAAGGCCGUUGAUACACCAAAGGGCUCGUAGCCUAUUGACAACCCAUGUGCCCAAUUGGGUUCGAGUUCCAAUAAUAGCUAGGAUUUGAUUUCGCUCAUAGAAGGGUAUGAUGAUGUAGCAUUGAUCGAUGACAUGGCAAUGUCGUAUUAGAGCAAUGAUGUGGCAUUGACCGAUGAUGUGACGUUGGCCGAUUAUGUGGCGUUGAUCGAUGAUGUGGAAGUAUGCUAUUGCACCAAAAUACUGAUGUGGCGUUGACUUAUGAUGUAGCAGCAUAUUAUUGGACCGAAAUGUUGAUAUGAUGUUGACUGAUGAUUUGUUCCAACUAAUUAAAGCUUGUCACGUUGCCCAAUCCUAAGCGUCCGAAUUAUUUUCAUCUGAUGACCAUGAUUUACCUAUUGUAUCUAUAAAUUAAGGGCUCUCUCCUAAUUUGAUGCCCCUGAAUUUAUUUUUUAGCUCCAUUUUCUAUAAUUCUCUCUCUAUCUUGCAUUCUCUAUGUAUUUUAAUAAAAUUAUCAUUUUACCCCUAAUUCAAUUGUGAGUGGCUAAUUUAGUUUUAAGCUUGGGUUGAAGGUGAAGCCUCAACAUAAUCCAUGGGCUUAAUUAGGUAGUUUAUUUUAUUUUUCCCUUUGAUUUAUGUGGUUGUUUUGACUCAUUGUUGACAGACAACAUAUCAUGUCUAGAUUUUGCAAGGUAUAUCGGCUCCCUAGCGACGGACCAUUACUGUCUAGCACAAUGAGCACUUAGCACCAUAUUAAUUAGCAAAAAAUUCCCCUCUAGUAUUUUGUAGGACGUCUUGACUGAGUGUCCACAGAGAGUGUAUCUAAGCUACUUAGUGGAUGGUCUUGCUACGUUGUCGACAAAAGAAUUAUUAUUGUCUGGCACAACAUGUUCUUUACACCACACUUAGUGGAAGAUCAUUAUCUCUGACACAUUGAGCACUUGAUACCAUAUUUAUUAGAGUGAGAAUUAUGAGGAAUGAAAAUAUCCACCUCAUAAAUUAAUUAGAACUAAAAAGGAAAUAUUAAGCACAUGGUGAAUGUUAAGUGUGAAUCUAAAGACUCAAGCGUUUCAUUUGUAUUGAUUUCAUCCUUAAUACAUUUCUGCCUUUUAAUUUUAAAUGUUAAGAUAAAAAAGAAUUCACUUUCAACCAACUCACAUUUACACCCAAACACCCAGAAAAUUAACCCUACACAUAAUUAAAUCUACCACCUCGUGAGAUCGAUACUUGUCACCACAAAAUCUAUUGUACAAUAGAUUUGUGCGCUUGCGAGUACAAUAAAAUUUGCACAAUAUCUCUGCUGCAAUAAUACAAUUCUCAGACUGUAGCGGAGACUACUUGAAUAGAUGAACCAAUUGAAGAAAGUGCAGUAGCAAAGGAAUGGGGUGAGGAAUCAGAAGAAGAGCAGCACCCAGAGAAGGACGAAGUCCAAGCUAUAAAAGGACACAUUUUAAGGAAACAAAAGAGGGAUUUUCCGUCAACACAAAAAAAAAAAAAGAAGAAAAAGACACAAAGGAAUUUUAAAGCUAAAACAGAGGGUAUUUCGUGGAGAAGGAUGAGAGAACUUGAAAACUAAAGCAUGACACCUUGAUCCUUUUGCAUCUCAACUUCAUUCUUAUAUUUGGUUUAUUGUAUUUUCUUUUGAAUGAUAUAUUUCAUGGCACAUACUUAUGUUUUUAGUGUUUUAAAGCUCAUUAUGAGCUAAACUUUACUGUAGUUGGGUUUUGAAUGAGCUUAAUAGUUAUUUGACUUAUAUAUAUGUAUGUUGCUUAGAAUCUAACUAUGUCAUUUUGUCUUGAUUUUACAUAUAACAAAUUCCUAUUUCGAUUGACCACCCAUUUAGUGGAUACUAACUAAGAAGGAGCCUAAAAAAUGUUUGAUUUAGUGGAACAAAUUAAGACAAUAGAUGGUUUUAAAUUGGGUUUCCCAAGUUGAGUAAAUCUCAAUUUGAAUAGAGCCAUACUUAAUCUAGAAUUAGUGAAGAACUAGACAUAAAGAUCACUUUGUAGGACAAAUAUAGUCUAGAUCGUAUAAUGCUAUGUUUAAUGUUAAUUUAACAACUAGUUAUUGUUAGAUUGUAUACAAACAUAAGAUAUCCAACAUGUGAUAGUUGAUGAUACAUUAGAGAUUUUGCCUAGUGCUUUAGUAGAUGUUGUAGCAACCAUACCUCAAGUGUAAAACCGUCAGUAACCAUUAAGUAAGUUUAGUACCCAACUACCCUUUUAUCAUUAACGCAUAUCUUUUUGUUUGACGUUAAUUCCUCUUUACUGCAUUCUGUUUGUUGUAUUUUUUUAAUUUCAUUAGAUCAUUAAUCUCAACAUUUAUUUUAUUUUAUUUAGUUUAGUAAAGUUGCACUAUUAAGAUUACUGUAGCAAAUCUUAUAACAUCAAUUCAUGUGAAGACCUUGAUUCUAAUUAUUAUAUUACUUGUUGUGUACACUUGCACGUUAACACCUUAACACACACACCAUUGAGAUUUUUUUUUUUUCCUUUUCUCCUUUUUCCUCAUCUUUCAUAAAUUGGCCUAAUGUCCGAAUUACAUGGACCAUAUUUUUCCCAUUUUUCUUUAUACCCAACUGCCUCUAGAAUAUGCAAAUUCUAUGGGGUGCAAUUCAUGUCUUAUAUUGAACCUGGUCAUCUAGCAGCUGCUAGGAAAUAUGUCUUAUUUGCAAUAAGAAUUUCUAAGGAUAUGUUCUUCUUUAGUAUGAUUUUAUUUAAGGAAAAAAUAAUUUUUCUUUUGCGACUUGACUUAUUUAAGGAGAAAUACAACUAGUAUAAGAAAAAGAAUACUUCUCCUACAAGAAAUAAUCAUUAUAUAUUAGAUUUACUUAUUUGUAUAACACAACAAUUAGUUCUCUGUACAUAAAUAAUUUCUAAUGUGAGAGAAACGGUAAGUCUAUUGCAAGAUUCGAUAUUAUUGGGACUUUGGGUGUGAAAUAAAUGAUAGAAUGAUUGUAAUAUUUUUUCACAUAAAUUACUGUGUUGUGUGAUUGAUUUUAUUUCCUAUUUAUUUUAUUAUUAUUUAUUUAAUAUUUUUUCUUAUAAGAUCUUGGGUGGGAAUAAAUUUCUCUAACAAUAAUCCAUGAGAAUAAGACAAUAAUUUUGUACAAUGUCAUUUUAUAAAUUAUUUUUUACGUUGAUACUCUCACAUGCAAUGUUAAUUGCGAGAAAUGGCCGACACAAUAAUUUUUCCUUUCUGUAUUUUUAUUUUUAUUAUUAUUAUUUUUUUUUUUAACACUUCACAUAACAACCGCUCAAGUCUAUGCAAAAGUCGAGGAAAUUUUUCCACGUAUAAAACAAAAAAGCCGAUAAUGCAAGAUCACAAUUCGUUCGUAAUGAUAUAUCAGUGGCUCCACGUGGAAGGCAGAUAUGCUAGAUGUCAGAUGACUGUGUUUGUGUUUUAUGAAUGAUAAAGGGACCAUCUGACUCUGGUGUAGAUUCAAUGAGCUAUUUCAUCAUGCUUUUCUUAUUGCACCUUGUUAUGUUACGUUAGCUAUAACAUACAAUCACCCAAAAUUAAUUAUUUUAUAUUUUUAAUUGUUGUUAUUCAAACAAUUUGAAAAUUGUGAAAAAUCAGUUUUAGGUGAGCUGUAGCAGCAUCCCAUCUUAUUUCACUUAUUUACGUCUAAUACGAGAACUGAUUUGGAUGAGAGCGACUUUAGAGAAUUAUUAGUUUGUAUGAUGGUCCCACACCCAAAAUAUACGCACCAGCAAUUUAACGUAGAAAUGAUAGGCAUAACAAAUACACAGAGCUAGAGUCGGGUUCCAAAUGUUGAAAGGAUUGAUAUUAAUUACACAACCCAAGCGUUAAAAUUUAAGGAUUGAUUAAACAAGCCAACCAACCUCCGCGUAUCUUAAUUCUGGGUAACGCAAACCGUUUGCCGACCCCUAAUUUUUAUUUUUAUGAGGGGAAAAAUGUUAUCCACUUUUAGCCUUCCGCUUUCAGCAAUCUAUCUUAAUUUAACGGGCAAGAGCUAUAAUAUUAGCUAAACAGUACAGGCGGCGCCCCCCGCCGGGGGGGGGGGGGGGGGUGGUUGUUGCUAGCCUUUGCAAGAAACAAUCUCUCUACAGGUUACCUAACAGGCUACAAUAGGAACAGAAUUUUCUUAAUUAUAAUCGACUGGGUGUAUUGUGGCGAUUUUUUUGAGUAAUAUAUCUGGAAGUGCCCUUGAAUAUUCCUUUUUAACACCAUUUCGAACACAACUAGUGCAUUCCAAUAACCCUUACCCGGAAGUCAUGCAUGUUUGGAGCAAUUUGUCCCUCAUAAAUGUAUGCUGUUUUGUCAAAGCAUGCAUGGAUCGUGCUCCUUAAUAAAACCAUAAUGAUGUUACAGUUUUCCACUUUACGAUUUAUCAUGAAAAACAAUAGUUAUUGUCCAAAAUCAUUAAAAUUAACUCUUUGAUUGGUGAUAUGAUUAGGUAGUAACUAAAAGGCUACUACAAUAAAAUAUUUGGUAAUCAAUGGUCAUUGUGGUGUGGAAGCUAAAUUGAUGUUACACUAUGCUUGUAUGGUGAAAAACCUAUAAUAUCUUUCAUAUUUUUUUCAAGCUUAUUGUUCAAAAUUAUGUUUAUUACACAUUAUUUCACAAUAAUUACAGCACUUCAACAACAAAGGAAGCUUAAAUUUCUAAUAAUUAGAGAAUGUAUGCAAUACCUAUCAGAUAAACUAAAAGACAAUGUAAUAAAAGAAAAAUUGGACGGACCGUGUUUCGGCAAGUCGUUGGAAAGUAGUUCCCAGAUCUGACAAGUUUAAGAUCUCGGUGGUCUUGCGAGAGCAUGGUUGAUAAACUACUAUUGUAGUUUUCUUUAGGAACUCCCCUAGCUAUCAGGCUUUUAAUACAACGAAGAUAUUUCCACUAGUUGGGUAAAAGAUAAUAAGCCUAAUGAAUUCACUACAAAGGUAGCCAACAGUCCAAUAAAUUAAUUGGAGAAUGCAUGUUUCAUCUAAUAAAUGUCAUAUUUCUAUUUACAUCCUUACUAGAUUUUUAGUUACCUUAUUCAUUCUUCUGGUUUAAGAGAUAACACAUAAAGUCAACAUUUUUUUUUCAUUUAUUUAUCACUCACACCUCUUUAGAAGAUUAUAUGCCAUUUCUAAGUAGUUCGGUGUCAAAAUUAAAGAGAAGAUGAAAAUGAUUAGUCCUAUGUAAUUAAUAAAAGAACAUUCACAGUUUUUCAUUUUUUGCUGAUCCCAAUUACUUAUAUUAUAUUUUAAUUUAAAAUUUAAAAAUAUUACAACAUUUUGCCCUUAUUUUCAUAAUUCAUUUUGUUAUCUCUUAAUGGAAGGGAUAAAACAGGUAAGUAAAAAUCUAUUAGGAAUAUAUAAGUGGUAAAUACAACAUCUUAUCAUUGUUGAAACAUGUAUCACUACUAGAAAAAUGGUCUUUAUUGACAUUAGAAUAGUGUCAGCAAUUAUUUUUAGUGACACUUAUUAUUUGUGUCAGUAAUCUGGGAGUCAGAAAAAUAGUAACACUUAUAAUUAGUGUUAGUGAUUAUUGUUACUAUAGUAUCACUAAUAUUAUGAUGCUAUAGUAUUAGUAAUUGUUGAUACAAUUUUAGGGUUAAAUUGGUAAUUUAAUUAUUUUCUUUUUAUUAAUGUCUAAACAAAAAAUUAUUAUUAUAAAAGGGUAAUAUUGUAAAAGUAAGCCAAAAGAAAUAAAAAGUAACGGUAGGGGUAUCAAUACUUUAACGGCAGGGAUGUUUUGAGGUAUUUUUAAAAAUAUAAGGACUAAAUGGACACUAAUUUUAAAAUACAAAAACUAAAUGGGCUUUUACCCAGCUACCUAUUGACUUUUGACUCAAUAUAUAGUUAAUUAAUUGGCAAGAAAUCCCUUAGAUAAUGAUAUAAAUUAUGUCAACUAUAGACUUGUAUCAGACAAGCACAUAGUUGAAUUAGAUAAAGAACAAUUUGUUUAUUUUUUGCAAUUUCGUGAGUGAAAUAACUUACAAUUAAGUGAGGAUCGUGGUCCAAUUGAUAUAUGGUAAAGUUUUAGUUGAUUCCUUGUUGUUUGAAGAAAGAAACUCAAAGAUCAACGACUUUUAGAAUGUACAACUUAAGUCCUUCAAAUUUUGAAUCUAUUUCAUUCAAGUCCUUCAGUAAUGAAUUUCACCAUUAAAAAAUUGUAAAAACGUUACCAUAAAUAUAGAGUGAUAAUUAUUCCCCCAUACCUCAUAUCAGUGAUUUUAAAGUCCAUUCUACCCUUGCUAAAUAAUUAUUUUUUUUCUUUUUCACCAUGUUAAAAAUCUUAACAGUUUGCUAAAUAAUUACAAUAGAUUUAUAGCCACAAAACUUGAAAAUUUAUCCUAUACUUUUCAUAUGCGAAUUCAACGCAAUAUUCAUGAUAUUUUUAGUUCGUUGGUAGGGAGUUGCCCAGGAAGCCAGUCAAUUAAAUUAAUUAAUUAAAGGACCCUAUCUACUGUUUAGUCUAUUAUACGUGUUAAAAAUCCCAGACCCGAGGAAUCGUCCAUUAUUGAUGUAACCUAAUACUAGCAACGAGAAAAACAUGAUAAAAAGCUGCUGAAAUCUGCACCACAAAAAAAAAAGUCUUAUUUCAUUUUUUUUUCUGGAGAAGAUGAAUGACGCGAGUCCCAACUCACAAGGGAUGGCAAUAGUUUGUCAUCAUGCCAAUCGCGAUUAAAUAUCAAUCGUCUAAAAUAAUAGUGUGGCAAUUUACAUUCUUUGGAUAAUUUUCAUUCUAGUGAAAUUUUAUUUUAUUUAAAAUAACCCUAAUGUUAUCGUUUUAACAAGAUUUUGUCUCUGUUGUUCGCAUUUUUGUAAUGCAUGUUUAUCUUUUUAGACAACAUUUUGUUUAGGUUAGUUAGAUGACUAUUUUAACUUCAUGUUUUUAAUUUGCUUUAGAGUAAGACUCAUUACAUCAUUCUAUUUAAGUGUUAUUAUUAUUCUUCUUUUUAAUAAAUCUCGCUAAUAUCGUCAAAGAUUCGUCUAAAAAAAAAACUCUAAUUAAAAAAAAUGAUAGUAUUAGGGAUAUUAAUAUAAUUUAAGAAAAUAUGAAUGCUCUUAAAACCCAUCCGGCAUAUACGGGUAGAAGAAUUAUUGUCAAAACUUUUCUGCUUCAUUAUCCAAUUUAACCAUUGUAAAGCAAAAUACUUAUAUAGUUGCCAACAACAUAAGCUGGAAGUCAUCAAGCCACACACAUUUUACAGCAAUGCAACUGAAAGGAUAAAAUGGACAGAUUUGAAUAAAAGAUUAACAAAUUGCACCAUUUGUACCUAAAGACAUUAAAUGACAAAUUGUUCUCGGAAAUUAGUAAAUAGAAAAUGAAUAUAUUUUAUAGAAAUAUUUUUGGAAUAUGAUUUUAAUUCUCAUUCAUAUUUUUUCUCUUUCAAAUAAAAGUCGGAAAAAUCAUAAAAAUUUAUUUUUUCUUUUCAGAUAUAAAUUCUAAAAAUCAUAUAUAAGUUACAAAUUUCAUACAUUUUUUAAAAUGUAUGAAAUUAAAAAAAUUUAUUGCCUUUUUCACAAGGAGCCGCGGUCUAUCAUUAUCCACGUACGAAUUGUCAUCUUGUCAAUAUAUUACAACUUGUUUUUAAAUAUUUGGGUGCUGAAUAGUAAAUGAAUAAACUUGUUUGUGUUAAAAAUAAGAAUUAUGAAGUCCAAACUUUGCUCACAUUGGUGGUAUGAGAGUUGGGUUACUGUUAUUUUUCCUAUGAUCAACUGAAGCCACUAGUAAGUGUUAAAUAAAAUUCAAAUACUAUUAUUUGGAUACUAACCUUUAAACUUAAACUAAUACAACUUAAGAUUUUAGGUUAAUUAACUCAAUAUGGUUUUAUGUCAGGUGUGAUUAACAAAUCAAGCUAUAAUUCACAAAGAAUGGGAAGGGGGCUGCAACAUGUCUUCGCCAUGCGUAAUGCUAUAUGGUGCUUAAAUUUAUAUUCAAAAGUUAGCUUAUAUAUUGUAUCUUUUUUUUAAUUAAGUAAGCUUAUAUUAGGUAGCAUAUGCACUUUAUUUUUUUAAUUAAGUGUAUUAUUUUAUUUUUCUCUUUGAUCUAAAAUUUUAAGAGUCAUUGGCAAAUUUACUGCGACUCGACUACUCGUCAUGAAUAAAUGGCUAUAGAUCAUCUAAUUUGAUAUGGUUAUUAAAUGGGUCUUGAUUGGUUACUUUAAAUUUGUCACGACAUGAAAUAGACACAACACAAACAUGACUUGGUAACUCGAUUUAUCAGCUUUUAUUACAAUAAUCGAGUCCAUCAUUAGCUUAUAACAAAUUAAGCUUAAAAAAAAGGAGCAUUGAUGUUAUAAAUAAAGCAAAGGGAAGAAGAAGCUCACAGAGUUAGAGACAGAACACAAACGAUCAGGUUAGAGGAGAAAGGAAAAAGGUUGGUUGGGUCAACCUAUUUACAAAACCCAAAACCUAAGCAUAAAUUCAGCUACGUCAUUGGUGAUGGAGGGUACCAGCCGAAACCCUAAGAGUUGCAAGUCACUUCCCCGCCAUCAUCAUUACCGAAAAUGGCCAGAAGAGAUUCAAUUAAAGAGAUGAUAGAGAUUUAGUUAUAGUGAUACAUAUGAGAUAAAGGUCUUUGGGAUCUGUCUGAGUACACAAAAAGACUUUGAGCCAUGGACUUGGGCAUUUUGUCCUUUGGAGAAUAGAUUAUACAUGCAUACCUAUGAUGAGAUAUAUGAGAUAACAGUACUUGUUUUAUUCUUAUACCUCCAGACAUGAUAGAACUAGACAGUACAUCAUUGCAUCAUCCGUAUGAGGUCUCAGUACGACAAUAUGAUGAGAUAUAUAAAAUAGCAUAUCCUUUGAUACACGAUACUACAUCAUUGCACCAUUUCUACGAGGCCCAUGUAUGAUAGUAUGAUAAGAUAGAAUGAGUUUUGUUAAGUCCAUUAUUUAUAGAGUUGACAUCUUAUGACAAGUCUAGUUAAAUUGGAAUUUUAUUUAUUACAUAUCUUGUAAUAGGGAUUACUUUACUAAUUCUCUAAUUUAGUGAGAUUCCAAUUUAUUAGGAAUAUUUGUUUCUUAAUUUAAUUAGAUGUCUAAUUUAGAAAGUCUAUCAAUGAUGAGAUUCUAUAAUUGGCUCAUGAGAUUUAUUUAGAGCAAGAAGUUGGUUCAAACAGGAAGUUCAUUAAAUGCUCUGGAUAUUUCUUGGGAGACAUGUAAGGCAAGAAGAUCAGAUUUAUUUCAAUUCAGACUUAUGAGAAUUAUAAGAGGAAACUCUUAUUUGGUAAGAAUCCAAGUCUUUUAAGACUUGCUAUUUUGGUGGGACCCUAGUGCCUAUAUAAUGAGAGGUAUUUCACAAUUGAAGGUACGCACAACACAGAGCAUAAAGCAGAGAAGCAAAAUUUGGCCUCCUACCUAGAGAAUCAAGAUUUGGUGCAUAAUGUUGUGUUGAUUUAUUUACUUAUCUUCUUUUUAUCUUCGUGGAGAGUUUAUGUGGAUCUUGGAUCACUAGACAUUGUAGAAUUGAAGAAUUGCUAUUGAUCAUUUUGCGAAGUGUCUUGGGAUCGUGGAUCAAGAAGGGUAGAAAUUAUUUAAGAUAAGCAGAUUCAGUCUAAGGUUGAGUAAACUGUAUGAUAAGAAACUGUAAAUGAGAGUCUUAAGUUUGGUAAUUGCAUAGGUUGUAAUAUCUCAACGUAUUGAAUUGCUUUUCAUCUGGAUGUGGCCUCGUGGAUGUAGGAUUGAUUAAUCCGAACCACGUAAAAAUCUCCAUGUCAUUUACUUUCUACAAUUUACUAUUUUUUUGGAAAUUUAAUAUUUUUUAUGCGGAUGAACAGUAACCGUGAACAGUAAUGGUGAAAAGUAUUUUCGAAAAUUAAUCAAGUUGUUAACCUUAGGUUUUUUUAAUUGCCUACAUCUAUUUACGAUAGAUCUAAAUUCAUUUCAAUUGGUAUCAGAGCAGGACAUUAACUAUUUAGUUGGUGAGAUACCUAGAUCUAUUUUGUAGGUAUGAGUUUGCAAAGAGAGACAGGCUUUUUGGUUCGUCCACCUGUACUAGAUGGGACAAAUUAUGCUAGUUGGAAGCAAAGGAUGAAAAUUUAUCUGACAUCUAUUGAUGAAAGAUUUUGGCAAUGCGUACUCACAUGAUAUAUUCCACCUAUCAAAAUUGAUGAAAAUGGUGUAGAAUCUCCUAAGGGAGUAAGAGAAUGGACUAAUGAUGAACUUGAUGCAUCUGGAUAUAAUGCAAAAGGACUUAAAGCCAUUGUUAAUGGAGUUGAUGUGUUUCAACGCCAACUAAUUUCUAUAUGCAAGACAUCUAAAGCAGCUUAGGAAGAAAUUUGUAGAAAAAUCUUAAGAUCUACCCAUCCUAGAUAUCAUCCUAAAAUUUUGGCUAUUAAAGAAUAUGCUGAUAUGUCUGCUAUGACCAGGGGUUCAUUUAUAGAAAAAUUGAAGGUCUAUGAGACUAACUACUUAAAUUUGAAUCCUAAGAAAGAAAAAAGGUAUUGCUUUUCAGGUUGAAAUGGAGGCUCCGGUCACCAAAUCAAGUGAGGAUGAUGAUCCAUAUUUAUACGUGGAUAAUUCACUUGCACUCAUUGCAAAGCAUUUCAAGAAGAUGUUGAAAAAGAAGAACUUUAACUUCUACAUCAGUGGCUCUUAUAGUUCAAGAAGGUUCUUCUUACCUUAAUUCUAAAUUGUUUGAUCUUAACAAACUUAAGGGUAUUAGAUGUAGAGAAUAUAGAGGCAUAGGACACAUACAAGCACAAUGUGCUAACACUCUUGUGAAAAAGAAAGCAAUGUAAUCCAUUUGGAGUGAUGAUGAUUCAAAUGAUAACAUUAAUGAAGAAGACCUUGUUGGAGGACUUGUUGUCCAUAAUGAUGGUAGUACACAAGAAUCAAACAUUAGAUAUGCAUCCACAUCUAAAGCCUCGCACUUAGCUACUUGCAAGGAAGACACCAGUUCAUGUCUUGACAAAACUGUGCAACAUGUUGACAAGAAUAAUAAUUCAGAUAGCGACGUCAGUAAUAUUGAUAUAAAUGACAAGAAAGCUUUUCAUGAAAGCUACAAGAUGAUGUUUGCUGGAUAGGAAAAAUUCUACAAUGAGAAUCUGACCUUGAUGACUCAAGUAUCCAAUUUUUUGGAUGAUAAGGUGAAACUUAAAAGUGAGGUAAUUAAUUACAAAUCUUUACUUACUGACAAAGAUAAUCAAUUACUUGUAGUGUCCGCAGAAUUAGAGAACACCAAAACUUACUCAAAAUGAUGAAUUCUGGAACUCAAAAGUUAGAUCACAUCUUGUCAAUUGGAAAGUCCAACUCAAAUCAUCACGGUCUUGGAUAUCAAGAUGGUAAAGACUUAAAUUUUCAAGGUGUGUUUGUUAAAGCUUCUCAAGUUACAACUUCUCCACCAAUAGUUAAAGUUCCGUAUCUUUAAAAAGGUAAAGCUGUUGCACAUUCUUCACCAAUUCAUCAAGGUAAGAAUAACAGGUUUACUCCUACUUGUCAUUUUUGUCAUGUGAAAGGGCAUAUAAGACCUAAUUGCUUCAAGCUUAUUAAAUAUGUGAAACAAACAAUGUUCUUUAAUUAUUCUUAUGGAAAACUUAGGAUGACGCCCAGAUCUAAGGUUGAGACAAGUGAAAACAAACCUAGAACUACUUGGAUAAGGAAGACUGAUUAUAAAGCUUAUGUUUCCUUUAUUUCCUUGAGACCUUGCACUAUUGAUUUUUGGUACUUUGAUAGUGGUUGUUCAAGACACAUGACAGAUGAUAGAAGUGUCUUGAUCAAUUAUCAAAAAGUUGAUCGAGAAAAUAUAACUUUUGCUGAUGAUGUGAAAAGUCGAGUGCUUAGAAAGGGACCUUUGAAUGUGGAAGGUUUUCCAAAACUGGAUAAUGUUUUGCAUGUGGAGGAUCUCAAGAAAAACCUACUCAACAUUAGUUAAAUUUGUGAUCAAAACUUGUUUGUCAACUUUGACAGGAAUAAAUUUCGCGUUCUCAAUGUUGAUGGAAAUUGCAUUUUGAAAGGACAUCAAUCAUCUGAUCAUUGUUAUAAAUUGAUUAGCUCACUUAUUUAUCAUAAGACCAUUCUUGAUGACAUAAAAUUAUGGCAUCAAACGUUAGGUCACUUGAACUAUAGAUUACUGACUAGAAUUGUGAAAACAGGUGCUGUCAAGGGAGUUCUAAUACUCAGGAAGAGACAACCAGGGAUAUGUGAAACGACCCGCCCCGCACCCCCAAGGCAAGUCUAUUUAAACUCGUAAAAUCGACUCGAUAUUAAUUAAGAUAUCUAAGAAUUCUAUAAAAAUUUCGGCAGAAUCUCCCUUAUAAAUAAAACAUUCCCAACCUGCGAUUUACAAAACAAUACUCCCAAAAUAAUUCAAUAUUCUUCCAUCCUCCACAACUGACUUCUCAAGUCAACAAACCAAAUACCACCCAAAUCAUUCUAAUAUUAAAAUACAAUGAUUAUCCUUAAUUACAAAAUAUAAUAAAUAAAUAAAUACAAUUCGUAAUAUCCCAAAUAUCACAGUAUUAAAUCUACGACAUUCUAGCACCAUCACGUGGCCACAAAUUCAAAACUAACAUUCGUUACUGAAUCGACUGAUGUACCUGCAAGUCUCCUGGGAGGGGGGAAAAUAAUAAAAACGGGAUGAGUAUAAAACUCAGUGAGCUCAGUGAGUGGAUAGUAGUUUUAAAAAUUAAUUCUUACUUUGAACAAAUAAUCAUAUCAUUUCCAAACAUAAUUUCAUUAAAUCAUAAGCGUAAAAUCAGAAAUAAAUCAUUAAACAUUUAAAUCAGAUUACUAACCAUAGAAAUCAUAUCACAAUAUCAUAUAGAAUUCACAAAUUUGAAAAUCAUCACCAAACAAGUACCCAGGGAAAAUCUCGUCAUAUCCGGACCUUAACGGACGGGCAAUGACGUACUAUCUGGGUAACGUCACGCCUCGGAGCUACACGGAUAGACAGAGAAAUACUAUCUCAUAUCUCAUCAUAUCUCAUCAUAUCUGUGCAUGCAUAAUCUAGUCCCCAAAGGACAAAAGCGCCUAAGCACACGGCCCAAAGCCUCUGUGUGUACUCAGACGAGCCCCAAAGGCCUGUAUCUCAUCUGUAUAUCAACUGUCUGUAUCUCAUAUCUGUAUCACUGUAUCUCUGUAUCUCAAUAACUGAUCUGUAUCCCAUAUCUAUAUCAUUGUAUCUCUGUAUCUCAAUAACUGAUCUGUAUCCCAUAUCUGUAUCACUGUAUCUCAAUAACUGAUCUGUAUCCCAUAUCUGUAUCACUGUAUCUUUGUAUCUCAAUAACUGAUCUGUAUCCCAUGCAUAUAAAGGCAAAAACGCCCAAACACACGGCCCAAAGCCUCUAUGUGUGUUCAGACAGGCCCCAAAAGCCUCUCAUCGCAUAUCAUUUGUAUCACUGUAUCUGGAGGGGAAGGGUACUGUCUAAUGAUUUCAAAAACAAUCAUUAUACUCAUAUUCACGUACCUCUUAACCAUAUUUUAAAUCAUACCACAUUUGAAUCCACUUUUCUUAUCUUUCAAAUAAUAUCAUACUUUAUUCAAAAUCGAUACGCAAAAUCAUUAACCAAACAUUUUAAUAUAAUAUCAAUACGUGAAUAAAAUCCAUUUCAAGAAAUCAUUAAAUCAAAACAUUUAAAACACUUAUUUCGUAAACAUGCUUUACUAUCAUAAUUAACUCUAAAAAUAGGUUUUGUAUAUUCCACUCACAGUGACAAUGUCCAGACUCGGUGUCGACAACAUCCGCAGGUUGAUUCUCGUUUCGCGGAUCCUCCUAAUCAAGGAAACGGCAUAAACAUUCUCCGUAAAUUUGAAAUACAACUAAUCUUACAUAAUAAUUCUUGAAACGAAUAUCUAUCAACAAUAAACUAUUCCCGCAUGUACAAAAUUACCGAAAUACCUCUACAUGCCAAAAUCACCAAAAUGCCCCCAUCAUCAUUAUUUUACCAAAUUAUCCUCAGAAUCUUCAAUUACUAAAUUGUCCUCAAUUCAGAUAACAAAAAUAACCACAAUGUCAGAAAUUACGAAAUUACCCUCGGAGCGUAAAUUUACCAAAAUGUCCUUAACAACUUAAAUUACCGAAUUACCCUCGUAAUAUCAAAUUACCUCACUGCCCUAACUUAAAAUUAUCAAUUUAUCCACUGAUUCCAUAAAUUACAAAUUCACCCUCAAGUUUUAUGAAUUUACCGAAUUACCCUUGAAUUCAAUAUUACCAAAAUACCCCCAUAUCAAAAUUACCAAAUUAAACUCAAAAUCAUAAAUUACCAACUUUAUCCUCAGUUACAACAAUUACUAAAAUACCCACAAAAUCUGAAAUUACAAAAUUGCCCUUAGACUGUGAAAUUACCAAAAUACCCUUGCCGGUCAACGGUCACCGAAAUUCAACCGACGACGACGGGAAGCUCAGAACUGAAAGUUCAAGCCACGCUGAGUCCAAUGGUGGUGGUGGUGACCUCCCACGCGCAGCGAUGGCUCCGGAUCGAGCUCCCAAAGUCGUGAAUCCUCCAACGGCCGAUCAACGGCAAGACGACGUCCUCGGCGUCAAUGGUUAGUCGGAAAUGGUAGAGGGUAAGGUAAGGAACAAAAACCAAGUGCUAGCUUCACCGGAAACCGGCGAAAUCACAGCAAAUCGAGCCGGCGAUUCCGCGGUACUUCAAAGCUUCGAUCGGUGACUUUCCGAUCAAUUUCCGGCGACAAGGACGACAUGGACACGUAGCUCAUCUCUCAAGCUUCAAAUCGGUACCAACCUUGCCCGAAAUGGUGGCCGAAAAUGGGAGAACCGGCCGGGUCAAGGUCGCGGGUCGGGUCGGGUUUCCGGGUCAAAAAUUGGGUCAACUCCUUUCUCUCUCUCUCGUGCCUCCUCUCUCUCCUUUUUUUUCUCUCUCUCUCUCUCUCUCUCUCAAUAUAUAUGGGUGGAGGGUCAAAAACUUAGGUGUGGGGUAUUACAAUAUAUGGUUCAUGUCAAUUUGGCAAACAACAAAGGGCAUCGUAUAAAGCUAUUCAAGGUAGAACAACAUCUAAGGUACUACAACUACUUUAUAUUGACCUUAUGGGACCAAUACAAGUUGAAAGAUUAGCUAGAAAAAGGUACGUAUAUGUGUGUGUAGAUGAAUUUGGCAACAUAGUGAGAAAUAAAAUUAGGUUGGUUUCACAAAGCUACACACAAAUGGAAGGUGUUGACUUUGAUGAAACCUUUGCACUUGUUGCUAAACUCAAAUUUAUUCAUUUGCUUUUUGUAGUUGCUUGUUUAAUAGACUUUAAAUUAUUUCAAAUGGAUGUUAAGAGUGCCUUUUUGAAUGGCAUCUUAAAUGAAGAAGUCUAUGUUGAAAAUCCUAAAGGUUUUGAAGACCCCUAUUUCCCAAACUAUGCUUUUAAAUUGAAAAAGGCUUUCUAUGGUUUAAAUCAGGCUCCUCGAGCUUGGUAUUAAAGGUUGACCAAAUUUUUGCUUGAAAAUGGCUAUAAGCGAGGGGGAGUAGAUAAAACACUAUUUAUUAAGCAACUUAAUUAAAGGAUUUUAGUUGGUCAAAUCUAUGUUGAUGAUAUAGUGUUUGGUUUUACUUCUUCUGAUCAUGUGCAAUAAUUCGUGAGUCAAAUGAAAAAGGAAUUUAGGAUGAGUAUGGUGGGAGAAUUGACUUACUUUUUGGGCUUGCAAGUGAAACAAAUGGAGAAUGUAAUUUUUGUUAAUCAAAUUAAGUAUGCCAAGAGUUUAGUUUAGAGGUUUGGCUUAGAUUCUGCAAAACACAUGAGAACUCCUAUAAGUACUAAUACCAAGUUGACUAUUGAUGAUAGUGGUUCUAGUGUUGAUCUUAGUCUUUACAGAAAUAUGAUUGGUAGCUUACUUUAUUUGACUGCAAGUAGGCCUGACAUAUGUUUCAGUAUUGGUGUACGUGCUAGGUACCAAGCAAAUCCAAAGGAAUCACACUUAGUUACUGUCAAACAAAUCAUUCGUUUUGUUAGUGGAACAGUUAAUGAUGAUAUUUGGUACACUAAUGACACUAAUUCAAGUCUUGCAGGAUAUAGUGAUGCAGAUUAGGCUGGGAAUGUUGAUGAUAGAAAAAGCACCACUAGAGGAUGUUUUUAUUUUAGAAAUAACUUAGUGCCGUGGCAUAGAAAGAAACAUAAUUCAAUUUCUCUUUCCACGGUUGAAGCUAAAUAUAUUGCAGCUGGAAGUUGUUACACCCAAUUGCUCUGGAUGAAACAAAUGCUUGCAGAUUAUGGUAUGGUUCAGGAUGCUUUGACUGUGUUUUGUGAUAACAUGCGUGCUAUCAAUAUUUCUAAAAAUCUUGUUUAACACUCUAGGACUAAGCAUAUUGAUAUUCAUCAUCACUUCAUUAGAGAUUUAGUUGAGAGUAAGACUGUGUUCUUAGAAUACAUUGAUAUAGAAAAACAGCUUACAGAUAUUUUUACAAAAGCUUUAGACUCCAAACGAUUUGAAUCUUUAAGGAAAUCUUUAGGUGUGUGUUCCAUGUAAGUCAUUUUUUUUUACAUUAGUUUUAAAUCAUGCAUUAGUGCAUUAAUUAUAGGACAUGAAUUUAUAAAUUUUAAUUUUAAAUCAUUGUUUUUUUGUUCCCUUUUUUUAGACGACAAGCAAUUUUUUAUGUUUUUAAAGAUUUGAAAGCAUUGAAUAAGUUUUGAUUAGAGUUAUUUAACCUUUCUUCAAAAGCACCUGAAUGUUGACUCAAGGUUUUGAUAUUGACAUGGUCUUUGUUGAGAAUAUUUAACUUGAGUUAUGACUGUUUACCUUAAUUCUUAUCUUGUCAUAAGACCUCAAAUAUAUACAGACACUAUGGUCAAAAAUAGCUAUCUAUAACUCUUAAGUGUGAAGCUAUUCUUGAGUAAUCUGAGUUUGCGUAUCAUAAAUAUGAUAGAGGACGAACUACCAUGAGAAGAAGGCUACCUUAAGGGGUAGAGUGAAAGCUACUGACCGUAUUUGUUUUUUAAAAAAGAGGCUUUGCUUUAAAAAAAAAAAGGUCUGUCAAUUGAAAUGGUCAAAAAUUGGAGAUUAAGAUGAUAAGGUUAGUUUGACCAACUCUAUAUUUAAUAUUUAAGACUUUGACUGUGAAAAUUGAUGAAUUUUUAAGAAAAGGUUAAGAUUAAGUUGUUUGCACACACACACACACACACAAGUUUAAAAUUUUCUAAUCCUUACUUAUUUGAGGAAAUUGGAGUCUUGAUCACAUAAAUUAAUGCUUGAUUCCCAGACAUUCUUUUUAGUUCAAUUUCAUUAUUAAUGCAUUUUUUUAAAUAUAAAAAAUAAAAUAAAAAUUCAUUAUCCAUGUGCAUUCUCAUGUUCUAACAUGAUGAUAUGUUUUUAGAUUUUAAGAGUUACAUAUUUUUUAAAAAGAACUCAAAUUUUUGUUUUCUAAGUGCAUUGACAAGCUUUUACCCGUCACAAAUUCUUUUGGUCAUAACUUUGUCUACAGAACUCUAAAUUCAGUUCUAUAAACUCUUGUGAGAAUCUGAUUCAAUAACCUUUCCAAUGGUAUGUAGAUCGCAUUGUACGUCUGUUUCGUAAAAUAUCAUGCAUGGGAUUUCGUUUUUGGUAUUUUCCUUUAUGUUUCUGACUUGUUUGAGUUGAUUUAUGUUUAGUUAUUGAUUUGGAAUAAAAUCUAUGAUGGUUGGUGCAUUAAAUUAGAAUAAAAUCUUCUUUAUUAUUUUUUUCCUUAUGUAAGUUGGAUUUCCAAACCUUCCUUGAGCAAGGCAAGUUCUUCUAUAUAAGGCAGCCACUAGAUCCUUGUUUUCCAUUCAAAUUUGUGGCUUCCUUCUUCCUUCUUUUGGAUGGUCCAGAAUUUUUGCUUCUUCUUGUUUAAUUUUUCCUUGUUUUUUAUAUUUCUCUUCCAUGGCUCCCACCCUCUCCAAGCUUAAGGUAGGUGAGAGCUCUCAUGCUCAAUCUAAAUCCAAGUGUCAUCACACUCUUUCACCCUACCUUUAUUCUGGUUGUGGAUGACCUCAUGAGACUCACAUGCUUGAUGAUGAUGAGGAUUUUGGUCCUAAAUUUGGCCAAAUACCUCCUGCAGAAUCCAUGCAUUAAAGUGAUCCUAGUGAAGAUAGUUUUCACUCUGGACCUUCCACCUUUGACCCUAGGACCACCAUUACUGCCGCCAUUGUACAUGUUGCCAUCACCGAGCACCAGCCGUCGCCACCGCCACACGCGUGCGCCCUCACGCACCGUCACUAGUGGAGCUCUUCCUAGUACCCUUCGUGACCUUCCUACUUUUGUUGUAGCCUUUGUUCACUCUUCUCCUCCAUCUACUUCUUUUGAUCCUAAUCUUGCCGAUCUAGAGGCUUCCAUUUUGAAACAAGAGCACGAUAUUGUUGACCUUUCUACUCAUUUUGUCGAAUUGCAUGCCAAACUUCUUCCCUUUUGCAAUCUUUUGGCAAAAGAGGGGGAGUAAUUCAUUUCAAUCUUCAAUUACUCAAUAUAAUGAGUUAGGAGGAGUAGUAUUUUCAAUUCUAGGGGGACUUUUAUUUUUUGUUCAAGAAUUUUUAGAUAUUUCUAGUUCUUAAGGGGAGUUUAUCUUUUUAUUGCUUUUGCUUUUGUGCUUAAUGUUGCCUUUCUAUUUAUUGAUCAAUAAAAUUAGCAUUUUAUUUUAAUUCUUGCCUUGGUUUAUUUACAUGAACUAACAUGCUAAUUGCCAAUUAUUUUGGUUAGUUCCUUGCUAUUGUUUAUGCUUGUUUCAUAUUCAUAUCUUAGUGCCAAGGUUCAUGUAAGACUUGUGUUGGAUUGCUUUUGCGACAAGAAUGCCAAAGGGGGAGAUUGUUAAGUCCAUUAUUUAUAGAGUUGGCAUCUUUGGACAAGUCUAGUUAAAUUGAAAAUUUAUUGCAUAUCUUGUAAUAAGGAUUAAUUUAUCAAUUCCCUAAUUUAGUGAGAUUCCAAUUUAAUAAGAAUAUUUGCUUCCUAAUUUAAUUAGAUGUCUAAUUUAUAAAGUCUAUUAAUGAUGGGAUUCUAUAAUUGGCGCAUGAGAUAUAUUUAGAGUAAGAAGUUGGUUCAAAUAGGAAGUUCAUUAAAUACUCUAGAUAUUCCUUGGGAGACAAGCAAGGCAAGAAGAUUAGAUUUAUUCCAAUUUAGGCUCAUGAUAAUUAUAAGAGAAAACUUUUAUUUGGUAAGAAUCCAAGUCUUUUAAGACUUGCUAUUUUGGUGAGACCCUAGUGCCUAUAUAAUGUGAGGUAUUUCUCAAUUAAAGGUACGCACAACACAAAUCAUAAAGCUGAGAAGCAAAAUUCGGCCUCCUCCCGAAUGAAUACGGAUUUGGCGCAUAAUGUUGUGUUGAUUUAUUUAUUUAUCUUUUUUUCAUCUCUCUGUAGAGUCUAUAUGGAUCUUGGAUCACUAGACAUUGUAGAAUUGAAGAACUGCUAUUGAUCACUUUGCGAGGUGCCUUGAGGAUCGUGGAUUAAGAUGGGUAGCAAUUAUUCAAGAGAAGCAGAUUAAGUCUAAGGUUGAGUAAACUGUAUGGUGAUAAACUGUAAGUGAAAGUCUUAAAUUUGGUAAAUCCAUUGGUUGUAAUAUCUCAACUUAGUGAAUUGCUUUUCAUCUGAGUGUGGCCUCGUGGAUAUAGAAUUGAUUAAUCUGAACAGCAUAAAAAUAUCUGCGUCAUUUAUUUUCUGCAAUUUACUAUUUUUUUUAGAAAAUUAAUAUUUUUUAUUCGGAUGAACAAUAACCGUGAACAAGUUGUUUGAGAUAGCACUUCAUUAGUCUACCUAUUGUAUCUCUGGGCAUGACAUGCCUAGAUAGUACAUCGAAGCACCACCCGUAUGAGGUAUGGGUACAAUAAGAUCAUUCCCUUAGGUGUGUCUUUUGCUGAUAGUUUUCAGAAUGAAGUAUUUUAUAUUAUGUUUUACUUUUGAUAUAAUUUCCACGAGUACUACGUAUAGUAUUAUGUUUUGUUCAAUUUAAAGUUUGAUUAAUUUACCUGUGUUAUUAUAGUUUGACAAAAAAAGUAUAUUGAAAAGAUGUAAUCUUAAAGUAAGUUUUUUCAAAAACUAUUAAGUUAUUUUUUAAAAAAACUAUUACCCACUCUUGAGUUUCGUACUCGUCCCAUUUUAUUAUAUUUUCCCUCCUAUAAGAGAUUUGUAGAGGCAACAGUCGACUAAGCAAUAAUAGUUAUUUUGAGUUAUGGCCAUACGAUGGUGCUAAGAGUUGUAGGUGUUAUUAAUAAGAUAUUCUCGAUUGUAUAAUUUUAUUAUGAUUAGACUAUUAUGGAUGAUUAAUGUAUGUAGACAGUAAAUGUUUGAGUGGUAUUAAGUAUUUGUUGGGGAAAAAUCAGUUUUUUAAAUUUUUUAUAAAAUAUUUUAGGACCGAUCUCAUACAAUAUAUAGGAAUAAGUAAUCUAGAAAUCGUACCUUGAAAAUUUGAGAAGAUGAACAAUCUUUGCUCUUUCCGCUGAAGUGAUUUAGACUCGCAGAUCACGAUCUGUCACUACCACUCCUAUUAGAUCACGAUCUGUCAUCAUUGAUCUUCCAAAUUAUGACUUAAGUUUGAUGUGCACUUGACGUGUGGUUAUCACCACUAUAAGCAACUAGCAAGAGAAAAUUUUUCUCUCAAAAUCAGAGAGAAAUUUUUUUUUCUCUGAUCUGUAUAAAGUGGCUGCUCUAUCUCUUUUGAGAGAAUAUAAGUCUUUUUAUAUCUCUUUUUAGUGGAAACCCUAUGCUCCAUAUUUAUUUAUUUUUUAAUUCUAUUAAAUCACAUUUGAUUUAAAUUAAAAAUAAUUAAAACAAAAGUCACGUUACUUGUUCUUGUGUUAUAGGGGCCCACUUUGUAAAAUAACACAAGGCCCCUUACACUCAAGUAUAUUAAUGGAGCCUCCCACUAAAUAAUAUAUUUAGGCUUUUAACCUGAAUAGCUAGUUAUCUUGCUUAUUAAUCCAGUAGCGGCGCAAUCAAUUAAAUGAGCUAACCCGAGGAUCAUAUGAGUACAUACAAUAGUGGCUACAAUAAUUAGGCCUGUAAUUAAACUAGUUCAAUUAUUUAAUUCCAAAUCUACUCCACUAAAAGAUUGGAAUUGACCUCCAUAAUUGUAUGCUAUCUAGGAUGGUGUAUUCGAAUAAUAAUUCGACUCAUGCCACAUUGAUUUUUUUACUGCAUAAUCCUUUGUACCACAUCGUUAAUUAAAUCGAUAUCUCAAUUGUCCAAUCGAUUUAAUUACAUCUUGUUCCUUGAUACUUACUGGUUUUCUCUAAUGAUCAUUUUUAACAUGCUAAAUAUGUUGACACACUCUGGCCAGAGAAUUCUAUGAUCAAGUGCCGAAAACCCAGCAAGAGAUGUGUUGUACAAAUUCUAUAUUAUUAAUCUAUAACUCCAAUACUCAUAAUUGCUCCCACCAAUAUACUGGGUAAUCUUGACCACAAGUGUGUGUCGUGCCCAUUGGUAACUCAAAUGGUAUAACAAUUACAAUCAUAAAAUCAUAACUAACUCAAAAUUAAGAUUACAGUAAAAUCAAUGCCUAUAAGAUUUAAUAAGUCUGACAGUCAUUUCAAGGUUAAUUAAAUCUCAUAUGUGAUCCAGCUCAAUGUAGUCAAACUAUAUUAGUAAAUUCAUAUAUGAUUAAGACCAAUCAUUCAAUGAAUUUACUACAGUCUAAACUUAAAUAAAGUGCCCAACUUUAUUUAUCAACUGCGAACUUAAUUUAUUUAAUCAUAAGAUAACUUGUAUUUAUGUCUUCUGGGAAUACACAUGGUGAUCACAUAAAUACAUAUAAUAUGAUCAAAUGGACUUUACUCAAAAUAUUAAUGCAAUUAAGAUACUUGAAUAAAAUACCUCAUUUAUUUUAUUAAUCAGAAAAAUUAUUUAUUACAAUUAAAUAAACACAUGCUUUUAAAGACAAUAUUUUCCCAACAGUAUUAUGGUUGAGGAGGCUGAUUGAUAAAAAUUGAUUGUAUUUUGAUAGUGCUUAUGUUAUAGAUUUGUAAGUUUGGUAAUGUUCAUAAAUAUUGGGGAGAUUUUGCCAAAUUUUUGACAGAGUCCUUAUUAAUAAGCUUAUUAUGAGUCAAGUUAGAUGAUAAUGAGACAAACUCACCCUUAGAGUUUCGGGCGGGUCUUUUCAUUUUACCAACUAGUACCUGUUUUCAACCAUGGGGAUAAUAUGGUAACAAUCUAAUACUAAAACAUAUUCCUAUGGUGUAUGUUUUUAAAAAAAGAAACAUAGGUUUGGUACGUGUACGGAACUUCUUCGGACAAAAGGUUGAAUCAUGCAUGCUGCAAGUUCGAGACCAAAAAUGUAUUUGAAUAAACAAACAAAAUAAAUAAAUAAAAAACCGAUACCAUGCAUGAGUUUGAGAUAAAUAUUAAAAAAUGGACAACAAAAAAAUAAAAAAAGGGCUAAAUCAUGCAUGAGCUUUGCAUGCAGCUAACCCAAAGACCUUAUCACCUAAGCUUCUCUAGCUCUCUGUAAAUUCUAACUCUUCUUUACCGAAUUCAGCGCACGUCAAGCACGUUCACAGCUUUCAAAGUAAUAAAAUGAAGACUCCAUUACCAACAACACUCUUCUUCCUUAUCCUUACCUUGGCCACAAACUAUCUGUUGGUACUGGGCACCACAUCAUUUCCUGAACCUCUCUUUGAUGUCCAUGGCAACACGGUCCAACCUAACUGUCAGUACUAUCUCGUCUCAGCCAUCCCGGGAGCUGGGGGUGGCGAAGUCAGCCUUCAAGGAAGCAGAAACUGAUUCUGUCCACUGGACCUUAUUCAAUUAUGACCUGAUUCGAGACGAGGAAUCAAAUUGGCACUCUCACCGUAUGAAAAUUCUACUAUUGUCCGAGAAUCAACUGAUCUCAACUUGAUAUUCCCAGUGUUGCUAUCCGGACGUGAGUACUGUAACAAACAAUCGUUGUGGAAAGUUGAUAACUAUAAUGCUUCAUCAGGCAUAUGGUUUGUAACAACCGGGGGAUUUGUCGGUUACCCUGGAGCUGAAACUUUGCUAAAUUGGUUUAAGCUUGAAAAAUUUGGAACCUUUCCUGGUGCAUACAAAAUUGUGCAUUGUCCAUCCAUUUGUGAGUCUUGAGUCAAGCUCUUCAACAGCGUUAGCAUUUCGUAUAAGGAUGGCAUUUGACGUCUGGCUGUGAUUCCGUAUGAAAAGCCGGCUUUUUUUGUUGCGUUAAUUGCUAAGGAAAGAUCAAUGUCUGUGUAUAUCAAUGUACUCUAACUAGCUAGCAGUAUUAUUAUUAAAAAUAAUGGACCAGGUUAAUUGCUCUUUAAUCUCAAGGAUUAAAAUUAUGAAUGAGAUAGCCUGUGAUCCUUUCGCCGUUGAUAAAUUCCGCUGCUGGUAUAUCCGUUAAAACAUAAUUUCUAGUUGAACAUGAAAAUCAGAAUCAAGUAUACUUUGUUUUGAUUCCCUCCAUUUUUUGUUCAAUAAAAUUGUGCUUACCUUUUCAUAACCUUCUGCCAUGCAUACAUUUAUAGUUUGUACCUUUAAGAUUUAGUUACCUUUAUACUUUUGUCCAAUAAUUAUCAAUUUAAUAUAAAAAUCUGAAAAAAUAGUCCCAUAAGUUUUCGGAUUUAUAAAAAAUUAACCCCACAAAACUAUUUCUAUCAUAAUUACCCAAACAAUUUAUAAAAAUAGUCCCACAUUUCACGACCCCUAUUCCCUUUGUUCUCUUCCUUAUCAAACCAAAAGCUAGCUUCACGAUUUCAUCUUUAUUGGCGAUAGUGAUGGAAUAAAGACAAGGAAUAUAUCACCGGUGAUGGAGUAGAGCACGUCCACGGCAAGAAAAAUUGGAAACCCCAAUCAAUUAAGUCUAGAUAGAUCAAAACCCUAAGUGAGUUAACUACAUCAUUUUUUAGUGACAUGAAUAAGCUUGAAUGGAAUUGUAGAUUGUUAGAGGAAAGAAAAAAAUGAAAUUUUGUCAAAAUGAUGAGUUACAACUACUGCAUAUAAGGUGUUCAAUGAAAUACCCCUUAGACGUUGUUUGUGCUUAUUCCUUGUGCAUUAAGUGUUAAAACAAUUUUAGGGUGCUUGUGUUGAAUUUCAUGCCCAAAAUAGAUUUAUGGUUUAUUUUUUAACUUCUCAACUCUUGAUAAGUUAUUUAUUCAAUGAAUUAUAAAAGUUCAAUGUACAUAAUUUCUUGGAACUACAAUCAUUUACAAAAAGGUUAGCAGGCUACUAGUUUGGAUUUGAUGCAAUAAGAUUCUUACAUUUCUUGCUAUUGUGGCUAGGUUGCUUUGCAAUGCCUACAUUUCACAUUUCUUCGGUUUACAUCCACACAUAUAGAAGUUAUUUUAAAACUCUAGAUGAUGACUAGGUGGUGAUGCUUCUAUGGGUGCAUUAACCUUCAACUCUCGAAUAUCCUCAGGAGCUUCCUGAGAUGCCAUGUUGCCAACUAGACGGACAAAUAUUGCUUAAGCUAUCACUAAUAAUUCUUAGGUGGAAAAAUUUGAACAAAAGCUUGUAUAAUCCACUAGGAAGAUUAGAUAAAUAGCAAUUGCAUGAGCAUAGACAAACCGAUCAAGUUGGAAUAUUCUAUAGGUGCAAAUCUCACUAUUUAUGUCAACUGACCCCUUCUUAAUGCCACCAUCUAAAACUUGGAAUUCAUGCUCAGACAAAAUAUGAAUGAUUAUUUUUUUGUCCUUAGUUUUUCCUCUCAGUGAUUAUAUUAUUUAGCUAGUUGCUAAAUGAGUACUCAUUGAUGAAGCCAUUGUCUUUCCAUCAUAACAACUAUUGUAGUAUGUUCUAAAGUGGUCAACUAGAUAAGUAAUAGGGAAUUCCAUGGUUCCCUCAUGAAAGAAUUCACACUUUUCAUGAUGUUAAUGAUUAGAAUAUUGUACCUCCUACCUUCUAAUUGAGACAGUAUCCAAUUAUACAUAUCCAUAUUAUUCUCUAAGUAAUCACCCAAUUGAAGCUUGCACAUCAAGUUGGUUUUCUAAAUUUUUUUUAACCCAUAUGUGUUUGCUGCUACUUUAAAUGAAGGUUCAAAUGAAUUCCAAAGAGCUUAGACAUACUGAACAUUGACUUUACAUUACCUUUCACAUGGGGCAAAAAGAAAAAGGUGCCAUGGGUGACAUUAAGAAAUACUUUUCUCAGAACAGCUCUGUCGAUAGAUGUACAUCGAUAGGAGAUAAUUACUAACUUUGGCCUAGCGCCAGUCACUUUUUGUAACUUCAUUGUAAACAAUUUCCAAGAGUCCUUGUUUUUCAAAUCGUUAAUCCUAAUGGCUAAUGAAUAAAAUUAAUUAUUUCCAUUCAAGCAUAUUUUUAGAUGUGUAUUAUUUAUAGCAAUAAUUGGCCUAAUGCAUUGUAUAAGACCUUUCGUGCAAAAUCCAAGAGCUACAAAAUAGCAAAAAAGAAUUAUUAAUUCAAUCCAGCUUAAGGAUAGUAAUUAUACCCUUAUUUUUUUAGGCCAAAACAAGAGAGUAUUUGGGAAAUAUUUCUUAUGACUCUGUAGAGGUCUAUUGCAUUAUUUUUUGAGCAACUUCUUUGGACUGAUAUGCCAAUUGAUAUGAUAAAUGGACAUUGUAUUCCUGUCACAUAUUCACUUUGAUGUCAAUCAUAGUGUAUAUAUCCUUCUUCUGAAUAAAUUUGUUCACGACAAUAUAACUGACAACCCGACUUGUUAUGAAGACAACUAGGCAAUACUUACUAGAACAAGUGUGCAUAUUGUCAAAUCUUCUCCCUACCCAAUGAACAUUUUCCUUAUUUGAACCUCUUGUUGCUCAAAUAUGCCAUUAACAUGAUUUUGAAUAACAAUGGUCCUCGAAACAUGUCGCUAUAGACCUUGAAAUCUUAAAACCAAACCUUAUUCCUCAAGGUAACUUUGAGUAAUUCCAAUNNNNNNNNNNNNNNNNNNNNNNNNNNNNNNNNNNNNNNNNNNNNNNNNNNNNNNNNNNNNNNNNNNNNNNNNNNNNNNNNNNNNNNNNNNNNNNNNNNNNNNNNNNNNNNNNNNNNNNNNNNNNNNNNNNNNNNNNNNNNNNNNNNNNNNNNNNNNNNNNNNNNNNNNNNNNNNNNNNNNNNNNNNNNNNNNNNNNNNNNNNNNNNNNNNNNNNNNNNNNNNNNNNNNNNNNNNNNNNNNNNNNNNNNNNNNNNNNNNNNNNNNNNNNNNNNNNNNNNNNNNNNNNNNNNNNNNNNGAAAACUGGAGUAAUACUUAUAAGGGGUGUUAAUUACUAUCCUCAUGUUGUAACGAAUCAUUAGAGGAGUAGGCCAUUUACCUUUAUUAUUAUUAGGACUAUCAUAAAGAGCAUCAUCCUCUUCAUUAAUCGAAAUAUCGGAAUGACCCUCACCCUCAUCAUCAAUUAGACUAUCGAGAUAAGCCUCGACAAGACUAUUACAUAGUUUCGUAAAAUUAUCUACUUAUAUAUCGUUGAUGUUGUCAAUGAAUGAUCAUUAUUGUAGAAUGAGUGGUAAUGUUGCUUCAAGGACGUCGUUAGUGGUAAAACCUCUAUUUGAACAUCCUCUAUUGUAAUGUCAUUGUCAUCGAUAGGGUUAUUGUUGUAGCAAAGUUGAGAGUAAUGUUGCUGCAAUGACAUCAUUUGUGGUAAUAUCUCCUCUUGAAUAUCAGAGAUAAAGACCUUUUUUCUAAAAGAAAUUUGAGUUUUUAUCAUUGCAGGAUCAUUUUUUAGAAUUUUGUAUGAUGUGGUAACAAAUAUAGAGAUACACCAUAGUUAGUCAGAUUAAAGCCUAUAUAUAAUACAACAUUGACCAUUGAAUCAUCACGUAAUUCAUAGGUAGUGAACAUGCACGUUGGGUGGAACAACUAACCUUAAAGUUGUCUUCAUCAUGAUACUAUAUUAAUUAGAAUUUACUUUUAAAAUCUCAUACAAUCUUCUAAGAAAUUCAUCAAAUGUACAGUUUUUCAAACGAAAAAAGAAAAAAGAAUCUUUACUCUUACUAUUCGUAUACUACAUAGACUAUAUGGCAACUUAUUAUACGUUCCAUUAAACCACGUCUAAAGCACAACUGAAUCCACUAACCCUGAAUGCAUGUAUAAGUAUAUAUGUAUAUAAUCACAAACACACACAAAAUCAUUCUCAGGUAUAGGCACCAUCCUUUUUUUUUUCAAUGCGGUUUAAUAGCGUCAUUUUUAAACGAGCUAUAAAACCAUGCAUUUCAAUAGAUGUCUACAUAGACUCCAUUAAAUCACACGAUAAAAAAACAAUGAGAGCUCCCAUGCUAGAGAACGACUAUAUAUAAAACAAUUAUGAUUAAACAUUACAAAAUAUGAUGAGGUUAAUGUACAUCACUUUUUCAUGGCUGUAACGUUACUGUGAGUGUGUAUGAUAGGCAUUUGUUGUUGGCAACAAUCAUGAUGACAAGUGCCUAUUGUAGAUAAUUACACUAUGUCAAACAUACUAUAAUAGUUUAUAAAAAUCUCAAAUCGCUCUGCUUGUCGCCAACAACAAAUGUCUACUGCACAUAUUUUGGGUUUCAUCUCUAAUUUCAUGUUAACUAAACUUUUGAUUUGUUUCAAUGGUUUUUUUUAUCCAGUAUCUCAAACUAAGUAUAUUUGGAACACAUAUUGUUUUAUAAUGAAAAAAUCAACAAUAUCAGAACACGCAGAUAAAUUUCGAACAUCAACCCUAAACUAAAUACAUUAAAAAUCCACGUCUGUUAAAAACAUACUUUAACCUUAACUUCUAAUUCUCCAAUUGAUGAUAUUGUCUUUAGUUAUGCAUUACUAAAUUUGAUUGAUGAAUUUGGCAAUUUGUUGGGAUUGAUGAGGUUUGAUGAUUUGGUUAGUUGGUGAGAUUUGAUUUGAUAAGUAUUUAAGAGUGGUUUUGUAUUGAGAAUUUUUUGAAAGUGAUGAGGGUUAUUUGGUCCAAAAAACUGUGUCCAUUUAGUUGUUAAAAAGAGUUAGAGGGAUUAAAUUUAAAAACCUACAAAUUUUGGGACUAUUUUUAUAAAUUUUCCUCCAAUCACAUGUUGCUAAAAUUUUAAUUCGACCAUUCAACUCAAAUUAGUAUUUUAUGAACCCACUUUGUUUUAUGAUGGAAAUUUUUUUUUAAUAUUUUCUUAACAUGCACAUCAAUUUUAAACCUACACCCUCAACCUAGUACGUUAAAAAACCCACAUUAGGUAAAACAAACACUAACUUUAACUUCUUACACACCAAUUGAUGAUUCCGUCUUUGAUUAUGCAUUAUUAAAUUUGUUUGAUGAAUUUGGUAAUUUGUUGAGAGCGACGUGGUUUGGUGAUUUGUUGAGAUGGUGAAGUUUGAUUUUUGUUUUUAAGACUAACAUUGGUUUGGUAAUUUGUUGAAAGUGAUGAGCGCUAUUUGGUGUAAAAGAUUUGUAUUUGAUUAAUUAUGAAUGAAAAAUUCAGAGGGGUUAAUUUUGAAAAAUUAAAAGUUUUGAGGAAAAACUUCCUCAUUAAAUGUUUCUCGACAAAGUGUGAACUGAAUUCAAAUGCAUUAUUGCCUUUCCACGAGUAGCUGUGGUUCUUUCAUUAUCGACGUAGGAAUUUUCGGCUUGUCUAUAUAUAUAUAUAUAUAUAUAUAUUACAGCAUAACUGUUGUCGUAAAUAAUUGUUUGUUUAUUAGACCAUGGAUUUUGCCUCACACGUAAUAAUUAUCAUCUUCUGCCAUGUUUGAAUAAGUUAUUAUACGAAUAAAACAAAACAAAUUGAAAUAAAAUAAAUAAAUAAAUAUUUAUUGGCAUUUUCUGGAUCGUAAUUCUCAUAUUAUGUCAAUGUAUCCACAUUGAAAGCAAUUAGCAAUACUAGACCACCUGGUUCAAUAUGCGACCUGAAUUGCAUCCCGUUGAAAUUGCACAUUCUAGAGGUAGUAGUGUUUAAAGUAGGGGUUGAAUUCAAUAUUAAACUAAUCUAUCCAUUUUCUACCACAUGUGAAUAUAUAGUAAUGUACAGUUAAAAUUUUAAUUAAUUGUAUGUUUUUAUUUAAUAACUACUAAUUAUAUAUUUCUAAAAUGUUAACAAAAAAAGAUAACUCUAGCAUUAAAUCCAAAUCUUUCAAAAUAUUAUAGUUCCACGUCCAUGUAAUGAAAACUUUACAAUGGUCCAAUUCAUGAAAGAUUUAGAAAAAGGAAAAAAAUAAAAGAAAAGGUUUUUCCAAAUUUACUUUUUGUAUGAGAUUUGGCUGUAUGGAAAAAUUUUGUUUUUAAUUAAUUGAUUAGACAUGAUUCUUAACAUAUUUGCAUUGCAAGCGAUUCAAUUAGCGAACAGUAGAGGACUUUUGAUUGGAACUUAACAUCCCCACUUAAGGAUGAUAUAAAUUUCAAAAACCUAUUUACAAUUAGAGAUUCCAUACAAAUUAUUAGCUAACUGAAAAGUUAAGGAAUAUAAAAAUAAUGAACAGAUUGUGUUUGGCUGGAGGUAAAGCCUUAGAAAAAUUUGAUCUGCUAAUUCUGGAAUCUUCAUAUUUAGUAAGUGAAUUAGUACAACCUUAUAUAUAUACACAUUCACGUGACUAUAGGAAUCUGUUACCAACUUCAAUCAUUAAUCACUAAGCUAAUUACAUUUAGUUACACUCACAAAUAGUAUGAUUAACAACAAACUUAACAGCCUAUUGCCACAGACUGCUAAAAUUUGCAGCAAACAGAGGCUAAAUUACCGCGCACAGGUACGCUCAAUAAAAAUAUGCGCAACAACAGGAUGCACUCAGCAAUGGGCCACCUCACACUACUAGCAAGCCGUGUUGUGCUUAGCAAGCAGACAGUCCAAAUACAAUAAAGUCCAACCUAAUCUUAGAAUUCCCUACAACUUGUAAAUAGCUAGAAUUUUAGGCAACUUGCACCACAUGCUAGGAAGCAUCUAUUCCUAGGCUAGCUCCUCGGUAAAUAGGGGAUGCCACGAGCCAUUUUGCAUAACACACCUGUUAACAUACAUAUUUGCAUAAUAUUGAUUUUGAUGAUAACAAACUAGAUAAAUAAGUUGGAGUCUUUAAUACUGAUUAUUUUAAAGCCAUAUAAAGUUGUUUUAAACAUAAAUAAGAUUUUGGAAAUAAAUGGAUAAGCAUUAAUUCUAAGUUGACAAACAAUUUUUCUUAAGUGAGUUUUAUAGCUUUGAUUUUGGAAGAUAACAGUGCACGGUCCUUUUCCAGAAAAAGAAGGAUGGAUCUUUAUGGAUGUGCAUUAACUAUUGGAUGCUCAAUAAGAUCACAAUCAUGAACAAGUAUCCAAUCCUCUUAAUAGCAGAUCUCUUCAACUAACUUGGCAAAGCACGACACUUCACCAAACUUAACUUGUAGUCCAAGUACUAUUAAGUGCGCAUCACUAAGGUAGACGAGCUAAAGAUAUCAUGUGUGACCGGGUAUAGAUCUUCUGAAUUCCCUAUAAUGCAAUUUGGUCUCACCAAUGCACCAGCCAUGUUUUGCACUUUUAUAAAUAAGGUUCUUUAACUUUUCCUUGACUGUUUCAUCAUCGUAUACUUGGAUGACAUUGUGGUGUAUAGCACCAAACUCGAGGAACAUGCUCAACAUUUGCGACAAGUCCUCUAAGUACUAUGUGAAAACAAACUUAACCUAAAGAUGGAGAAAUGCUCGUUUGCUCAACAAGAGGUGGAGUUCUUCAACAACAAGAUAGCAAACGAGAAACUAAUGAUGGAAAACUCAAAUGUGAACGCUAUCCUUGAGUGGGAACUUCCCACCAAAGUACCUGAGCUUCGAUCGUUUCUCGUAUCGGUGAACUAUUACUAUUGCUUGAUCAAGAGCUGUUCAGCCAAGGCAGCAUGAUCGUAGCAUUAGUCUGAAGAAUGCCACUGCACAUUUGAAGAAUUAAAGAAGGUUAUCUCUAAAGAACCUGUCCUUAUUCUUCUAGAUAAUAUGAAGCCCUUUGAGGUUUAAACAGAUGGCUCAAAUUUCGUCAUUGGCGGAGUACUCAUGCAAGAAGGCUACCCAAUAGCUUUUGAGAGUUGGAAGCAAAAUGAUACAUAAUGGUGAUAUAGAAAAGGAAAAUUACUGCCAUCAUUUAUUGCCUACGACUGUGGCGACUCUACUUGCAUGGCUCACACUUGGUGAUCUUAAUAGACAAUGUAGCCAUGAGCUACUUCUAAACGAAAAAGAAGUUGAGCCCCAAGCAAGCAAGGUGAUAAGAUUUUUUUGAGGAAUUUGACUAUCGAAUCGAGUACAAGCUCGGGAAAAAAACAACGUCGUUGCAAACAAUCUAAGUUGUAAAGCAAGGUUGGUGACCUUAGCAUGAGCCAACAAAAGUCCGAUCUUGUUGCACGCAUUAAGGAAGGUCUCUAACAAGAACCCCUAGUGAAAAACAUGCUGAGGAAAGUACUUGAAGGCAAGACAAGAUGAUUUUGGCAAGAUGAAGGAAUCCUCCUCACCAAAGAAGAUCGGUAGUUUGUGCCUAGGUGGGUUGGCCACUCUAGAGUUGAGCACCUAACUGCACUUGUCCAAACCUACAACUUUUGGCCACACAUGUGGCACAAUAUCAAGGACUAAGUGCAGACUUGUCUUAUGUGCCAACAAGAUGAAAUCGACCGCCACAUUUUGGCAGGAUUGUUAGAGCCCCUACCACUAGUAUCAAGGCUAUAGGAGAGUGUCACGAUGGAUUUUAUUUCAGCCUUAACUAAGUUCGAAGGACAAAGAAGCAUCAUAGUUGUAGUCAACCGCUAUAGCAAGUACACGAUAUUCAUCAUCGCACCAGUCGAUUGUAAAGCGAAUGAAGUUGCCUGCUGCUUCAUCAAGUAUGUCUGAAAGCUAUAGGGAGUUUCGAAGAGCAUUGUGAGUGAUCAAGACCCACGAUUCACUAGUUGCUUUUGAAUCGAGCUCCUUAAGUUACUGGGAAUCGACCUCAAGUUCUUGACAAGCUUCUACCCACAAAUCAAUGGGCAGGCUGACCACAUCAAUAGCCUUAUCGAGAUGUAUUUGAGGUACUAUGUGAAUGCUAACUAGAAGAUUGGGCAAAGUUGCUGGAUGUUGCCCAAUUCUCAUAUAAUCUUCAACGAAGCGAGGCUAAGAGCAAGAGUCCGUUCGAGAUCAUCAUAGGAUUUCAGCCCAUGACACCCAACGCCAUAGCCUCUGCCUACAAAGAAAAAGCCGAGCAACUCACAAACUUACCUGUGAAUGGCAUAAUAAAAUAGACGUCAUAAGAGCUUAUCCCGUCAAAGCCGUAUAGAGAAUGAUAAAGUGUGUUGAUUCAAGGAGACGCCACGUCAAGUACUAAAAAGGCGAUCAAGUCAUGAUCGAGCUCCUAUCCUAACAGUUCAAGACUUUGCGGAAAGUCCAUAAGGGGUUAGUGAGGCAACAUGAAAGGGCUUUCUAAGUCGUAUGAUGUGUCACUAAUGUCUCAUAUCAACUCCAACUUUAGCCAAGACUACAGUUUCAUCCAAUCUUUCAUGUAAGUUUUCCUAAACCUUAUUAUAAAGAUGUAAGAUACCCAAGCCGUGGUGAGUUAGGAUGUGCCCCAACAAUCAUUGUCACAACGUAUGACAAAGAUGUAGAGUACCAACUUGCUGAUCGAGUACUUCAAAGAAAAGGCAUAUCAGCAUACAAGAGUACUUAGUAAAGUGGAGGAAUCUCCAAGAGAGUGAAUCCACUUGGGAAUGUGAAGAAGGUUUAUUGCAAUCAUAGAGCACAUCCAAUGGUACAAGCAUAAGAACACAACAAGGAUGCCAUGAGUAUAGGUGGGGGAGGAAUGUCACGAGCUACUCAAAUUUACUGCAAAUAGGAUGUGCUUAGUAGUAGAAUACCAUUAGCAAUGGGCCACCUCAUACAACUAGCGAGCCGUAGUGCACUUAACAAGCGAACAACUGAAAUAUAAGAAAGCCCAGCCCAUUUUUAGAAUUCUCUAAACCUUGUAAAUAGCUAGAUUUAGGCUAAGAAGCAUUUAGAUCUAGGCUAACUCCUCUAUAAACAAGGGAUGCUACCCACUAUUUUGCACAACAUGCCUGUUAACAUAUAUAUUUGUAUAAUAUUGAUUUUGAUGAUAACAUAGUAGAUAAAUAAGUUACAGUCUGUAAAACUGAUUAUUUUUAAGUGUAUGAAGUUAUUUUAGACAUACAUAAGAUUAUGGAAAUAAAUGGAUAAUCGUUAAUUCUAGGUCAGUAAAUCAUUUUUCUUACUGAAGUUAACUAUUGUCGGUUCAUCAUUUUGAAUUUAUGCCAGUUAUCGUUAUGUAGAAACGACUAGCUAGUAAAUAUCAUGUAAGUCUCUGGAAUUAAACAAUUAACAGAAAACUCUAACACCAAUUAUUCAAAAUUCAGUGUAACGAUAACUAGCAUAAAUUCAAAACUGUGAACCAGUUAUUCCUAAAAAGUCAACAAUGGCUACUUUUCUUCUCCAACUACAAAAGGCUCAAUCAGAUUCAAAUUGAAAAGUAAUUUUACGAUCAUCAUUGAGUUUCUUAUUGUGUAUACAAUCUCUUUUAUGGUUAAAACUUGUUAUUCUUUCAUUAAAUCACACUUUGGGCUUUGAUUUGUAAAUACCUAUAUUAUAGGAAGAAAAUUUUGUGUGAUUUUCUUUUUAAUAUCAAAUUGAUUGAUUGAGAGUAUAGGAAACACUUUGGUUUAAGAGGUUUAAGAUAACCUCAGAUUGUAAAGCUUGAUUGACACCUUAGAAGUUAACUAUAAAGAUUUUAGAACCCUUAGGGUGUAAGGCUUGGUAGUGGAAUCCUCAAGCACUUUUAGCUUGGAGGCGUGGAUGUAGGUGGAGUUAGUCGAACCAUGUAAAAAUCUCGUGUUCGAUUAUGUUUCCGUUAUCUCUUUACAUUUUGAUUAUUGUGAUUUAUUUGUUAUUUGUAUAAUUUUAUUUUGAUAUUUGCAUUGUGUUUUGAUUUACUUUCUCCUUAAUUUCUAGAAACCCAAUUCACCCUCUUUUUGAUUGAUUAGCUAGUAUUUCAUUUGGUAUAAGAGCAAGGUAUUCUUGUUAGGACUUAACCGUGUAGAGUAAAAAAUCUAUGGCAACCCAAAAUAUUUAUACCUUUAAGUAAGGUCAGUCCACUACCAGAGCACUAUUUGUUGAUGAAAAUGAUUAUCCAUAUUGGAAAAUUAUGAUGAGAAUUUACUUGUAAAUUUUAGAUUAUGAGAUUUGGGAAAUUGUUAAUAAUGGUCCUUUCAUGCCAAAACCUUCAUGUGAAUGAAGUGAGGCAGAAAAGAAAAAUGCCUCCUUAUAUUUUAAAGCUAUGAAUGCUUUGUUUUGUGCCUUAGAAAAGAAAGAAUUCCAUAGAGUCUCAGGUUGUGUAAUGCAUAUGAGAAUUAGAAGAGACUUGAAGUAGUUUAUCAAGGUGUAAAUCAAGUCAAUGAGACUAAAAUUAGUGGAUAUACUAGGCAAUACAAAUUAUUCCAAAUGGAACAAAAUGAGAGUUACAUUCUAUGUAUACUAGAUUUAUGAAUAUUGUGAACAAUCUAGGUGCUUUAGGAAAAACCUUUUCAAAUAGUGAGAAGGUAAAGAAGAUCAUUAAGUAAAAGGAGGUAAAGAAAAUCAUUAGGUUUUUACCAAAAGAAUGAAGACCUAAAAGAACCCCCUAUUAAGAAAGCCAAAGAUUUAAAUACUUUAUCUAUUGAUGAUCUAAUUGGCUCACUUAUUGUAUAUGAAGAAGAUUUAACAGUUGAAAAAGGUUAUGAAGACAAGAAGAAGAAGAGCAUCACUCUUAAAGCUUCAAAAUUAUAAAAGUGAUAAAGAAAGUGAAUUCAAAGAUGAAGAUAUGGCAAUGAUUGCAAGAAAAUUCAAAAAACAUUUCAAGAAAUCAAAUAAGCGAAAAAAGUUUAGAAACUUCAAGAACCAAAGAAAAAGAAGAAAGCAAUUACUUGCUAUGAAUGCAAGAAGCCUGGCCAUUUUAGAUCAGAGUGUCCUUUUUCUCAACAAACUCAAGAAGAAAGCUAUGGUGGCAACUUGGGAUGAUCACGACGAAGAGACCUCAAAUGAGAGAAAUCACAUGAAGUGUCUAACCUUACACUUAUGGCAAUCGGAGAAGAAUCAUGCAAUGAGCCUAAUGAGGUAUAUAAUCUUCCAAAUUAUGAUGAAUUAAGUGAAGCAUUUAAGGAAUUGCAUAGUGAUUUAAAGAAAAUUAAAAUGGAAAAUAUUUCUGUUAAAAAGAAAGUGCUGGAAAUUUCAAAUGAGAAUGAUGUUUUGCAAGAACAAAAAGUUUCUUUAAAUAAAGAGAUUUUUUAAAUGAUUUAAAUUAGAGAAUAAAAUAUUGCAUGAUAGGAUUGCAUCAUUAAAAGAAAAGCAGUGUGCUCCAUAUGACUAUGAAAAGUUACGUGUUAAUGAUUGGAUGAAGGAAAAGGAAGAUUUAAAAAAGAAGAACAAUGAACUUAAAGAUAUUGUGUUAAAGUUCACAAAUGGUCAAGAAUUUGGAAAAAUUGCUUAGCUUUAAAAAAUGUGUCUUUAAUAAAGGAGGACUUGAGUAUAAGUCUAACUUGAAACAAAAACAUUACAAGAAUUACAUUGUUAAGGCUACCUUCGUUAGUUAUCAUUAAGUUGUUUGUUAUUAUUGUAAUAUAAAUGGUCACCUAAGUUAUCCGCAUCCGAUUAAGAAAAAUGCAUAUUUAGAAUUAAAUAUGUUUGGAUUCUAAAAGGAACUAUCUAACAUUGGAGGUCCCAAAAAGCUUGGGUACCUAAAACUUGAGAUUUCUUCUAAAGAGUCAAAGAAGAACACGAACAAAUGACACUUGGACAACAAAUGCUCGAGACAUAUGACAGGCAAUUAAUCUUCGAUUUCGAGUUUUACCAAAAUAAAAAAUGGUGGAGAAGUAUCUUUUGGAGAUAAUUCAAAAGGAAAGAUUAUAGGUAUUGGUAAUGUCGAUAAAGAUUUUUCUACCUUGAUUGAAAAUGUGUCUUUAGUUGAAAAUAUGAAACACAACUUGCUCAAUAUUAGUUAAUUGUGUGAUAAACAUUAUAGAGUUAGUUUUGACAAAACAAAAUGUGUUAUUGAGAUUGCAUGUGAUGGUAUUUUUUUUUUUUGUCGAAAAAAGAUGUAUUAAUGUAUACACCAUUGAUAUCGAUUGUGCAUCAAAUCAUGAUAAAUGUUUUUCCACAUUGCAUGAUGAUAGUUGGUUAUGACAUAGAAGAUUAGGUCAUGCAAGCAUAGAUUUGAUUUCAAAAAUUUCGAAAAAUGAUUUAGUGAAAGGUCUUCCAAAUGCGAAGCUUGCCAAUUUGGAAAAUAAAUUAAAACAUCUUUCAAGAACAAAAACCAUGUUUCUACUUCAGCUUCUUCACAUGGAUUUGUUUGGACAUUCUUAAUAUGCAAGUCUAAGUGGUAAGUAUUAUGCAUUUGUAAUUGUUAAUGAUUAUUCUAGGUAUACAUAGGUUUUGUUCUUAACUAAUAAGGAUGAUGCCUUUGAUACUUUUAUAAUCUUUUGUAAAAAGAUUCAAAAUGAAAAAGGAUAUAUUAUUUCUUGUAUUAGAAGUGAUCAUGGUGGAGAAUUUGAAAAUCAUGCAUAUGAAAGCUUUUGUAAUAACUUUGGCAUUGUGCAUCAAUUCUCAUCACCUAGGACUCUACAACAAAAUAGAGUAGUUGAGAGAAAAAACACAUCUAUUUAAAAAGUGGCUAGGAUCAUGUUGAAUGAAAAUGCAUUACCAAAAUAGUUUUAGGUCGAAGCCAUUAAUAUCGCUUGCUAUGUUUUGAAUCGUAUUUUAAUUAGACCUUAUCUUAAUAAAACUCCCUAUGAGCUUCAAAAAAAUAGAAAACCUAAUAUUGGUUAUUCCAAAGAUUUUGAAUGCAAAUGUUUUAUGUUGAAUACUAAAGAUAAUCUUAAUAAAUUUGAUCCACAAUCUGAUAUUAGUAUCUUUCUUAGAUAUUCAAACACAAGCAAAGCUUAUGAAGUGUAUAACAAAAGUACCUUAGUUGUUGAAGAAUUUAUGCAUGUUACAUUUGAUGAGUCUAACACUUCCUCUAUGAAAAAAGUUAUUGUUAAUGAUGAUGAAGAUGAAGAAUUAUAAAAAGAAGAGCUUUUAAAUGACAAGCAAGAAAAUGUACCAUGUGAGAAUCAAAGAAUCGACAAGAAAAGCAAACAAAUACAAAGCAAAAUGAAGGUAAUUCACAAACACUCCCUAAGGACUAGAGGCAUGUUUCUUCUCACCCAAAAGAAUUAAUCUUAGAAGAUCCUUCAGGAGAAAUAACUACUAGAUCAUCAUUUAGAAAUACUUGUGAGCAUGAUAUAUUCAUAUUCAAAUUGAACCAAAAUCAUUUUCGGAUGCAGAAAACGAUGAAUUUUGGAUUAUGGCAAUGCAAGAUAAAGUAAAUCAAUUUGAGAGAAACAAUGUAUGGAAAGUUAUUCCUAAACCAAAACGUCAACUUGUUAUAAGUACUAAAUGGUUGUUUUGGACUAAGAUUAAUGAAUCUGGUGUAGUUGUAAGCAAUAAAGCGAGAUUAAUAGCUCAAGAAUACAACCAAGAGAAUGAAUUAAAUUUAAUGAAACUUUUUCACCUGUUUGCAUCUGUAAUUGGAUUGGAAUCCAUUAGGAUGCUCUUAGCUUUUGCAUGUUAUAAAGAUUUCAUUUUCUAUCAAAUGGAUGUCAAAAGUGCAUUUGUAAAUGGUUACAUUGUGGAGGAAGUUUAUGUGAAGCAACCCCCUAGUUUUGAAAAUGAAAAAUUUUCAAAUUAUGUCAAUAAGUUGUCAAAAUUUUUAUAUGGAUUAAAUGCUAGUAGGCCCGAUAUUCUAUUAACAUGUGCUUAUGUGCAAGAUUUCAAUCAUGUCCUAAGGAAUCUAAUUUACUUACAGUUAAAAGAAUUUUCCAUUAUUUGAAUGGAAUAAUAGAUCUUGGCCAUUGGUAUGCUAGAGAAACACACAAUGAUCUAACUUGUUAUUUGGAUGCUGAUUUUACUUGUUAUAAAGUUGAUAGAAAGAGUACUAGUGGAACAUGCCACUUUCUAGAGUCACUCACUUGUCUCUUGAUUUAGUAAAACAAAAUUCAGUUGCACUCUCCCAACCACUGACGCUGAAUAUAUUGUCGUUGAUAGUUGUUAUGCACAAGCCCUUUGGAUGAAACAAACUCUUAAAGACUAUGAUAUUAACCUUGACCAUAUACCUAUUAUGUAUGACAAUAUUAGUGCUAUGAAAUUGUCAAAGAAUCCCAUUCAACAAUCCAAAACCAAGCACAUUAAGAUAAGGCAUUAUUUCUUAAAAGAUCGUGUUAAAAAAGGGGACAUUGCAUUAAAAUUUGUAUAAACCGAAAUAUAACUUGCAAAUAUCUUUAAAAAACCUCUUAGUAUAGAACAAUUAAUUAAGAUUAGAUAUGAGCUUGAAAUGAUGAAGGUUGCACAUUAGCAUAAUUUUAUAUGAUAUCAAGGCUAUCUUGUUUUUCAUGAUAUGAUUAUUGGCUUAAGAAUGUGUUAUUAUUUGCUAUCUUUGAGUUGUAUGCCUCAAUAUGCAUUCAUGAACAUGCAUUAAAAUGGCCUUGGAGACAUUUCAAAAUAAUAAAAGAAUAUGGGAAUAGAUUAACUAUGAGCUAAAAAUUAAAACAAAUGUGCAAAAUCAUAGUUAAAAUAAAUGGAUAAUUGUUUGUAAAUGAACGAAUUACCAUUGAAAAAUAGAAACUCAGGAAAUAAAAUUACAAGUUAUCGAUUAACUAAUUGAGAACAACGGUUUACUGAAUAAAAAUAUAGAGGAUUGUUUGUAUUAACGAAUAUUGGGGUAAAUGGAUAACUGCUUUUACAUUAAGUGGUUUUUGAAAAUUAACGGUUAAGAAAGUGUAUAUUUACUAGGUCACAUAAAUGGAUAACCGCCAUAAGACAUUGUUGCUAGGUUCUCUUCUUUAUUUUCUAGCUGUCUGUGUUGAGUGUUAGAAAGUGUAUAUUUAUAAAAGAGAAAAUCGUCAUUUUACACUUCAAAUUUCACUAACAUUCCCACUUUUAUGUAUUUAAGUCUCUUGUGAUUUAAUUAUGUGUGUUGUAUUAUAAUUAAGUAUUUUAUGUAUUUUAGGGGUAUUAUGGUCAUUUCAUAAUGAACGAGAGACCAGACAGUGAAAUAGACAUCACUUUUAAACUCAGGACAAUCGAAAACCUUAGGAGAAACAUAAAGGGAAAAAUGGUAUUGUUCACAAGUAUAGUACUAUUCACAUGUACGGUACUGUCCAUGUUACUGUUGACGACAUUAUUCACACAUACGGAACGAUGACAUGGUAUUGACCGAUGAUGUGACAUUGAUUGAUGAGGUGGCACGAUCCUAUUGGACUAAAAUUCUUAUGUACUGUUGAUCGGUGAUGUGGUAGCAUGUUAGUGGACCAAAAAUUGUGCGUACGAUACAUGCAUAUGCACAGAAUUAUUUAUAACCAAACCACGUCACUAUUCAAGCCGUCUCACUAUUCUAACCGUGUCAUUAUUCAAACCGCGUAGUCAAAAUGUGUACUGUUGACCGAUGACGUGGCGCAAUCCUGAGUGUCCAAAUUGUUUUUAAUCCGAUGACUAUGAUUUACUCAAUGUAUCUAUAAAAAGGGGGCUCCACUCCUAAUUUGAUAUCCCUAAAUUCAUUUUUGAGCUCCAUUUUCUGUCAUUUCUUCUCCAUCUUGUAUUUCCUACGUAUUUAAUAAAUUUUCAUUUUACCCCUAGUUUAAUUAUGAGUAGCUAAUUUUCUUUCAAGCUUGAGUUGAAAGUGAAGUCUCAACAAGUGCCAUGGGCUUUAUUUGGUAAAUUUAUUUUCUCUUCCCUUCUAAUUAAUAUGGAUGUUUUGACUUUUCAUCGACAGAUAGUAAUAAUCUUAUCUAGAUACCGCAAUGGUUUAACCGGCUCCUUAGUAUAAGGUUAUUAUUAUUUGGCAUGAUAAGCCCUUAGCAUCAUAUUGAUUAGAGUGUGGUUCAUGAGGAGUGAAAACCCCCCUCAUGGUUUAAUUAGCAUUAAUAAGGAAUAUUUAGCCCUGGUGCAUGUUGAUACAGAUCCAAAUACCCAAGUGCUUCAUUUCAAUAGAUUUCGUUUUAAUUUAUUCCUGCUAUUUUAAUUCAAAUUUUAGGAUAAUCUAAGUCACUUUCACCACAAAUACACCCAUCCACUUAGAAAAUUAAUUCUACACAUAAUUAAAAUCUAUCUUCUCGUGGGAUCAACACUCGUCAUCGUUAAUCUAUUCAACAAUAGAUUCGUUCACUUGCGAAUUCAAUAAAAUUUGUACAAGUUUUUGGUGCCGUUGCCGGGGAGGUAAGUUAUUUUAAUUCGUAAAUUUAAUUUUUGUAAAUAAUUUCUUUUAAUUAAAUUAAUUUUUUUAAAUAAUUUUUUUAAAUUGUUUUCUUGUAAUUUGUUUAUUUAAAAAACGAGAAAAAAAGUGAAUCUACAUUAUGAGGUAAUAAUUUCUUUUCUUCAUCUCUUCUUUAAAGUUUCGUAAUUUAAUUUUCAAGUUAUUUUUCGUUUAUCUUAUUAAUUUAUUUUUAGUUAAUUUAUUUCACAUAUUUUUUUAGUGUGUUUUCAUAGUAAGAUUGUAACAACGUGAUAAUGUUAGUACCGUAAUUUCUUCUUCUUCUUUAUUUUUAUUAAUUUUGUUCUCAUUUCUUUUUAUAUUCUUUGCAUGUAUGGUCGAACAUCACUAUUACCUAAUCUUGAGCCUAUAGAUUUUGAACUGGAAAAAAAACUUCGCACACACAAACACGUUGCAAUUAAAAAUAAAAUUGAAAUGGAUUUGCAACAACAAUAACAAGCACCACUAGAAAGGCUAUUUAAGGAUUACUUCAGUCUCUUAGCUAACUUGAGCACAUCAUGUAUAAGAUACCCGAAUAUAGCUGCUAGAAGUUUUGAGUUAAAACCUAGUGUGCUAAAUUGUCUCCCAAUAUUUUAUGGCCUAGAAAAUGAGGACCCAUUUAAUCAUCUGAAUGAUUUUCAUGCUGUUUGUCAAACUUUUAAAUAUGAUAAUUUUUCAGACGAUGACUUUAAACUUAGACUAUUCCCAUUUUCUUUAAAGGAUAUAGCUCAUUCAUGGUUCAGUACAUUACCUGCUAAUAGCAUUACAUCAUGGGAACAAAUGGUAACAAAAGUUUUGAAUAAAUAUUUCCCAGUGCAUAAAACCAAUGCUAUUCACAAGAAAAUUUCAAAGUUUACCCAGAGAGAAGAUGAGCAGUUUUUCGAAGCAUGGGAGCGAUUCAAUGGGCUACUUUGGGUACGAGAAAUGACACCAAUGCCAAUACUUUUUGGAGGGAUUAUUGCCACAUGUGCAAGAAUGGCUAAUGGGCAACAAGUGGAGGAGAGCUAAUGUCAAAAAGUGCAUCUGAGAUUUGGGAUUUCUUCCAGCGAUAAGUAGAUAAUUCCCAACAACAGAGUCGAUCACUCAGGAAUACUAAAAGAAUUAAAGGAGUGAAUGAGGUUUACAUUGGCGAGUCAAGAUCGAGAAUUAAAGAAGUCAAAGAGAUGGUUGAAGGUCUUUCCCGACAAAUAACAUCGUUAAUGACUACUAAAUCAACAUAACCUCAUGACCAUGACUCAUACCCAGAUCAAGCCAAUGCCAUAUGUGUAAUGUGAAAGCCAUCAAAUUAUAACCCAUACUCCAACACAUAUAACCUUGGAUGGAGAGACCACCUUAAUUUUUCAUGGUCUCAAAGAUUCCAACAGAAUAGAUCAGCAACUCCAGCUUCACCAAUGCAACCAAUUCCUCAAGUUCCUCAAGCCUCUCAGCCACCAUUUAGACUAUACAAUCAGAACUAGAACUACCCUCAACACAGACCAUAGGAGGAUGCAAUUCAGAAUUUUAAGAAUCUUACUCACUCCACGAUCGAGCAAUAGAACCGCACACAUUGAUGAACUAUGAAAUGAGAUGAGAGCAAGCUUCAACUCACAAGCCCAAUCAGUUUCAAACCUCGAAAAGAUGGUGGGACAGCUUGCCUAUUUGGUUCAAACCUUGGCAAUGACUGUUGAGAAAGGUAAAUUUCCAAAUCAACAAGUGCCUAAUCCUAAGGGAGUGCAUGAAGCAAGUACCAGUUCACCACAGCAGCAUGAAGAGGUCAAAGUCGUCAUGACCUUGCGAAAAGGAAAGAAGUCGACAACAAGGUGGAGAUGCCAGUGACAAAAACAAAUCAAGUUAUACCUAUAAAUGCUAAGAACUCAUCGCCGGAGGAGAAAAAAGAGGUUAGCUCACAAGAAUACAUUCCUAAAGUUCCAUUUCCUCAGAGGUUAGCUAAAGGAAAGAAGGGAAAAUCCAUAGGUGAGAUUUUAAAAAUUUUUAAACAGGUCACUGUUAAGAUUCCUUUUCUUGAUGUUAAAAAAUAAGUACCAUCUUAUGCCAAAUUUCUUAAAGACCUUUGUAAUAAAAAGAGAAAUAUUCACGUUCAAAAAAAGGCUUUUUAACAGAAAACAUUAGUUUUAUACUCCAACAAAAUUCCUCUAAAAUACAAAGACGCAGGCUCCCCCACUAUCUCAUGUAGCAUAGGGAAUCACACAAUUGAGAAUGCUUUGUUGGACUUAGGAGCUAGUGUAAAUCUGUUGCUUUACUCAGUAUUCGUGAAACUUGGACUGUGAGAAUUACACCCAACUCCAGUGGUGUUAUAACUUGCAGAUCGGUCCACGAAAAUAUCUCGUGGUAUUGUGGAGGACGUGCUUAUCCAGGUAUACAAGUUUUAUUUUUCUGUUGAUUUCAUUGUAAUUGACACUCAACUAAUCUAGGAUUCAAGGAAGCACAACCCCAUUAUCCUAGGUUGACAUUUCUUGGCAACUGCUGAUGCUCACAUUCAAUGCAGGACUAGAAAUAUGCAGUUGUCCUUUGGCAAAAUGACUAUGGAGCUAAACAUCUUCAACAUUGCCAAACAACCUCACAAUGCAGAUGAUGGAAUUGUUGAUGUGGAUUUAAUAGAAGAAAUAGUUUAUAAUAUUUUUCUUUCAAACCUUAGUGAUGAUCCUUUACAAACAUGUUUAACUUACUUUGAUUUUGAUUUUAAUAUUGAUAGAUCAGUCGAUGAGGUCAACGUUCUACUUGACUCAGCACCAUCCAUAGACACUAAUAAAUGGAAGUCAAGAAUUGAACAACUAUCACCAUCAGAGAAGAAACUCAUCCCAUCAUCAGAAUCAUCAUCAAAACUCGAGCUCAAAUCAUUACCCAACACUUUAGAAUAUGCAUUUUUGGGAGAAGAAAGCACUCUACCAAUAAUCAUCUCAUCAUCCCUAAAUAACGAACAAAAAGGUAAGUUGUUGGAUGUUUUAAUAGAGCACAAAGGAGCAUUAGGAUGGACCAUAGCCGACAUAAAAUGUAUAAACCUACUAGGGAAAUGUAACAUCGAUUAAAUCCUAACAUGAAAGAAGUUGUAAGAAUUGAAGUCCUUAAGCUAUUAGAUGCAGGUAUUAUUUACCCCAUUUCUGAUAGUUCAUGGGUUAGUCAUGUACAAGUUAUCCCCAAAAAGUCAGGAGUUACAAUAGUUACCAAUGCUGAUAAUGAAUUGAUACCUACUAGGGUGACUACAUGAUGGCGUGUAUGCAUUGAUUAUAGAAAGUUGAAUUCUGUCACAUGUAAAGACUAUUUUCAUUUACCAUUUAUUGAUCAAAGGCUUGAUAAAUUAGCAGGCCAUGAAUUUUAUUGCUUUCUAGGUGGCUACUUAGGAUAUAAUCAAAUUCUCAUAGCACCAAAAGAUCAAGAGAAUACCACUUUCACUUGCCCUUUUGGCACUUUUGCAUAUAGGAGGAUGCCAUUUAGAUUAUGUAAUGCACCUGCUACAUUUCAACGAUGCAUGUUAAGCAUUUUUUCUGAUAUGGUUGAACGAUUCCUUAAAGUCUUUAUGGAUGACUUUUCUGUUUUUGGUGACCCAUUUGAUCAAUGUUUAUAUCAUCUAACACUAGUUCUGCAGAGAUGUGUAGAGAAAAACUUGAUCUUAAAUUGGGAGAAGUGACAUUUUGUGAUAAAACAAGAUAUUGUUAUCAGUCACAUCAUUUUAUACAAAGGUAUUAAGGUUGAUAAAGUUAAGGUGGAUCUCAUUUCCAAUUUUCCUCCACCAAAAACAAUCAGAGAAGUAAGUGUUAGCCUAUAUGGUUGUAGAUAUUGAUUUUGAUGAUAACAAACCACAUGUGUUGAUUAAACAAAGAUUUAUGAAUUGUGCUUUUAUAAUAAGAAAAUGAUGUUAUGGAAUUAAAGUGUUUUGGACUCAAAUGAAAGUAUUUUAAAACCUUUGAUAUUGUUUUAAAAUUUCAGAUUUGGUCAUAUUUGAAACUAUUUAAAUAUUUUGGCUCAUUCUAUAAUUUCACAUAGUUUGGGUGAAAUUAUAAUUUCAGAAAGUUUUGGAAUUGACAAAGCAUUAUUUAAAAAUUCUGAAAUUGGACCUAUUUGAAAGCUUUCAUAACGUUUUGGGUCAUAAUACAGUUUUAUAAAGUUUUAGGAUCAAACUAUAAAUUUAAAAAAUAUUUCACUGUAGCAGUUACUGUAGCAAGCGGCUAACCAGAUAUGGUAAACGGUAAUCCGAAUUUUGGGUAGUAAGCUUCUGGAGCAUAAACAACUAUCCGGAUUUCGCAAGCGGCUAUCCGGAUUUCAAAAGCGGCUAACCGGGUAUGAAAAACGGCAUGCCGGAUAUUCUGAAAUUCAAAUUUUUUCCUUAUCGGUAACAUACAAGCGGCUAACUGGAUUCCAUAAACAGUAAGCAGGUUAUGACCAAAAUGUGCGUAACGACUAGUUUUUGAGCUCAAACUAUAUAAACUCAAAUCCAAUUCAUUUUCAAGUUCUCUAGCAAGCAUAAACAAAAAAUAAAAAAGCACAUGAGAUAUCUUGAGCUUUCAAUUUGCAAAUCCCAAAACAUUGAAUCAUCGCUUGUUCUUCAUUUUUGCAUAUCUACUCUUUGAGUGAGUUUUAUUGUAACUUUCAUUUCUUCAUCUUAAUUGUAAGUGUUUGAGUGUGUGAGACACUUGAGUGAAGAGAUUGGGAGAUAAUCUCUUUGUUGUAUAGGUUCAUUGACACCUUGAAGUCAAUUGUAAACGGUUGAAGCCUUGGAAAGGCUCGAAUAGUGAAAUCCUGAAGCUUGGAUCGCUUGGAGGCGUGGACGUAGGUGGUGAUUGCCGAACCACGUAAAACUUCGUGUGUUUGUUUCUCUUCUCCCUUACUUAUUUGUUAUUAUGCUUUUAUUGAACUUAUUGCUUUCAAUUUUAUUAAGAAGUUAGAUUGUUUGUUGUGUGGAUUUGUUAGGAUAAUUUUUAAAAUACCAAUUCACCCCUCCUCUUGGGUUGCACACUUAUAUUUCAUUUGGUAUCAGAGCGAAGUACUCUUAUUUAGACUUAACCGUCUAGAGCUAAAGAUCAAUGGUAACUCAAAAUGAUUCCACAUUUAGGGAAGGACAGUCCACCACUAGACCACCUUACUUUGAUAGAAACGAUUACCCGUAUUGGAAAACUAGGAUGAGAAUUUACUUGCAAGCCUUAGAUUACAAAAUUUGGGAAAUCAUUAAUGAUGGUCCUUUCAUGCCUUUGACUAAAAGUGAAGUCGGGGAAGACAUUCCAAAACCUUCACGGGAAUGGAAUGAAUUCGAAAAGAGAAAAGCUUCUCUAAAUUCCAAGGCUAUGAAUGCCUUAUUUUGUGCACUAGAUAAGAAAGAGUUUCAUAGAGUAUCUAGUUACGAAAGUGCUAAUGAGAUUUGGCACAAACUUGAAGUUGUUUAUAAAGGCACGAACCAAGUAAAAGAAUCUAAAAUAAAUAGGUACACUCGACAAUAUGAAUUGUUCCAAAUGGAACAAAAUGAGAAUGUGUACUCUAUGUAUAUUAGAUUUACGGACAUAGUGAACACUCUAGGAGUCCUAGGAAAAGACCUUUUCAAAUAGCGAAAAAGUUAAAAAAAUCAUUAGGUCGCUACCUAAGGAAUGGAGACCAAAAAGGAUUGCCAUUGAGGAAACCAAAGAUUUAAAUAUAUUACCUAUUGAUGAUUUAAUUGGUUCUUUCAUUUCAUAUGAAGAAGAUUUGGCAGCGGAAAAAGGGCAUGAGGAAAAGAAGAAAAAUAUUGCUCUCAAGGCUUCAAAACAUGAGAGUGAUGAGGAAAGCGAAAUGGAUGAUGAGGAGUUGGCAAUGUUGGCUAGAAGAUUCAGAAAAGUUUACAAGAAGAAUAAUGAGCAGAGAAAGUUCAGUGGCUACAAGAAUAAGAAGGAGAAGAAAUAGCCAAUCACUUGUUAUGAAUGCAAGAAGCUUGGAAACAUAUGACCGGAAUGUCUUCUUCUCAACAAACUCAAGAAGAAAGCUAUAGUGGCCAUGUGAGACGAUAGCGAUGAGGAAAUAAGUGAUGAUGAUGAGCAACAAGAAAUGAUAAAUUUAGCUCUCAUGGCCUUUGGGGAAGAAUCAUGUGAUGAACUUGAUGAGGUAAGUGUUCUUCCUACAUAUGAUAAAUUACAUGAUACCUUUAAGGAUUUGCAUGAUAAGCUGAUGAAGAUUGGUAAAAAGAAUAUAUGUCUUAAAAAGAAGAUGAUAGAGCUUAAAAAUGAAAAUGAAUCAUUUAGUACAAAGAUUACAUGCCUAGAAUUAGAAAAUAAAACAUUCCUUGAUAGAAUUGCAUUAUUUGAGAAUUCUAGCACUCCACAUGAGUACUUAGAGUCACACGUGAAUGACUUGAAAAAUGAAAAUGAAAUGCUUAGAAAGAAGAGCAAUGAAUUAAAUGCAAUUGUGCUAAAAUUCACAAAUGGGCAAAAGAUGUUGGACAACUUGCUAAACUCACAAAAAUGUGUAUUUGACAAAGGAGGCAUUGGUUAUAAACCAAAUUUGAAAUAAAAAUAUUACAAGAGUUAUUUUGUGAAGAAUACAUCUAUUAACCAUCAAAUUGUAUGUCAUUAUUGUAAUCAAGAUGGUCAUAUGAAAAAUAGAUGUGCAGUGAAGAGAAAUGCAUAUUAUGGUAUGAAAUGUGUUUGGGUUCCGAAAGGAACCAUUGCUAACUUUCAAGAACCCAAAAAAGUUUGGGUACCUAAAACUUGAGAUUUUCUCUACAGGGCUUGAAGAAGAAGAAUAAUAAGUGGUACUUGGACAGCGGUUGUUCAAGACACAUGACAGUGAAUUAUUCUUGGUUUUCAAGUUUUACUAAAAUUGAAAAUGGUGGAGAUGUAUUGUUUGGAGAUAAUUCAAAAGGAAAAAUCAUUGGCAUUGGAAAUGUCGGUAAUGUAUCCUCUACUCUCAUUGAAAAUGUGUGUUUGGUUGAAAAAUUAAAACACAACUUGCUUAGUAUUAGUCAAUUAUGUGAUAAAGGACAUAGAGUUAUCUUUGAUGAAUCAAAAUGUGUUAUUGAGAAUGCAUGUGAUGGGAAAGUUUUGUUUGUAGGAAAUAGAUGUGUUAAUGUCUAUACUAUUAAUAUAGAUUGUGCAUUGACAAAUGAUAAAUGUUUCUCCGCAUUGCAUGAUGAUGGUUUGUUGUGGUAUAGAAGAUUAGGUCAUGCAAGCAUGGAUUUGAUUUCAAUUCCAAAAAUCAGUUUUCAAAAAGAUAGAAUUUGUGAAGCUUGCCUAUUUGGAAAAUAAAUCAAAACUUCCUUCAAAAGCAAGAAUCAUGCCUUUACUUCAAAACCACUUCAACUACUUCACAUAGAUUUGUUUGGACCUUCUAGAUAUGCUAGUUUAAGUGGCAAAUUUUAUGCAUUUGUAAUUGUAGAUGAUUAUUUUAGAUACACAUGGGUAUUGUUCUUAGCUAAUAAGGAUGAUGCCAUUGAUGCAUUUCGAAUUUUCUAUAAAAAGGUUUAAAAUGAAAAAGGUUAUUCUAUUACUUGUAUUAGAAGUGAUCAUGGUGAAGAAUUUGAAAAUCAUGCAUUUGAAAAUUUUUGUAAUGACUUUGGCAUUGAACAUCAAUUUUCAUCACCUAAGACUCCACAACAAAAUGGAGUUGUUGUCAACACCGCUUGUUAUGUUUUGAAUCGUGUGUUGAUUAGACCUAAUCUUAAUAAAACUCCAUAUGAGCUUUGGAAAGAUAGAAAACCCAACAUUAGGUAUUUUAAAGUUUUUGGAUGCAAAUGUUUUGUUUUGAACACAAAAGAUAAUCUUGAUAAAUUUGAUCCAAAAUCUGAUGUUGGCAUUUUUCUUGGAUAUUCAAACUCAAGCAAAGCUUAUAGAGUUUAUAAUAAAAGAACUUUAGUUGUGGAAGAAUCUAUGCAUGUUACAUUUGAUGAGUCUAAUCCCUUCUCUACGGAGAAAGUAGUUGUUGAUGAUAAUGCAGAAGAAGAACAACGAGAAGAAGCAUCAAUUGACAACCAAAAAGAUGCAGCACAUGGAAUUCAAGAGGAGCACCAUAAAGAAACAAAUGCAGAGCAAAAUGAAGGUACUUCUCAAACACUCCCCAAGGAGUGGAGAUAUAUUUCUUCUCACUCUAAGGAUGUAAUUUUAGGAGAUCCCUCACGAGGUGUUACAACUAGAUCAUCUCUUAGGAACACAUGUGAGCAUGCUGCAUUUAUCUCUCAAAUUGAACUAAAAUCCUUUGCGGAUGUGGAAAAUAAUGAAUCUUGGAUUAUGGCUAUGCAAGAGGAGUUGAAUCAAUUUGAAAGAAAUAAUGUGUGGGAAUUAGUUCCUAAUCCAGAACAUUAAUCCAUUAUAGGUACUAAAUGGGUAUUUAGAAACAAAAUGGAUGAAUCCGAUGUGGUUGUAAGAAAUAAAGCUAGAUUAGUGGCUCAAGGUUACAACCAAGAAGAAGGAAUUGAUUUUGAUGAAACAUUUGCACUUGUAGCAAUGUUAGAAUCCAUUAGGAUGUUGUUAGCAUCUGCACGUCAUAAGGAUUUUAUUUUAUAUCAAAUAGAUGUCAAGGGUACUUUCUUAAAUGGUUAUAUUAUGGAGGAAGUUUAUGUGAAACAACCUCCUGGUUUUGAAAAUAAAAAAAUCCAGAUCAUGUGUAUAAGUUAUCUAAGGCUUUGUAUGGACUAAAACAAGCACCUAGAGCUUGGUAUGAUAGGCUUUUUGUUGGAUAACGAUUUUUCGAUGGGAAAAACGGACACAACUUUAUUUGUUAAGCAUAAGAACCAAGAUAUACUUAUUGUUCAAAUUUAUGUUGAUGAUAUUAUUUUUGGUUCUACUAAUGAAUUGUUGUGUAAAGAUUUUUCAUCAUGUAUGAGCAAAGAAUUUGAGAUGAGUCUGAUGGGAGAGUUGAAGUACUUCCUUGGACUCCAAAUCAAACAAAAUGAGGAAGGAAUUUUCAUAAAUCAAGCCAAGUACGUGAAAUAUCUACUCAAAAGAUUUGGCUAUGAUAAUGGAACAGCAAAAAGCACUCCAAUGAGUACUACCAUCCACCUGGACAAAGAUGAGAAAGGCAAGGAAGUUGAUAUCAAGACAUAUCGAGGUAUGAUCGGAUCCUUACUCUACUUGACUGCUAGUAGGCCUGAUAUUAUGUUUAGUGUAUACUUGUGUGCUAGAUUUCAAUCUUGUCCUAAAGAGUCACACAUGCUUGCUGUCAAAUGCAUUUUUCGAUAUUUGAUUGGCACCAUUAAUCUUGGCCUUUGGCAUCAUAGGGGAACUCAUAUUGACUUAACUUGUUGUUCGGAUGCCGAUUUUGCUGGAUAUAAGGUUGAUAGAAAAAGUACUAGUGGAACAUGUCACUUCCUAGGCCAUUCACUUGUCUCUUGAUUUAGUAAGUAACAAAACUCGGUUGCGCUUUCAACCACCGAGGUAGAAUAUAUUGCCGCAGGUAGUUGUUGUGCACAAAUUCUUUGGAUGAAACAAACCCUUAGAGACUAUGGUAUUAAACUUGAUCAAAUACCUAUCUUGCGUGACAAUACUAGCGCUAUAAAUCUUUCCAAGAAUCCCAUUCAACAUUCUAGGACUAAGCAUAUAGAAAUUAGACAUCAUUUCCUUAGAUAUCAUGUUCAAAAAGGAGAUGUUGUAAUUAAAUUUGUUUCUACUGAAAAUCAGCUUGCGGAUAUCUUUACAAAACCUCUUAGCGAAGAGCAUUUUAUAAAGAUAAGACAUGAGCUUGAAAUGAUGAAUGUUGCAACUUGACUUAUGUUUUACUACAUGGCUUGAUAUGUUUGUUAUUAUAUGGAUUUAUGCUUCAUGAAUUAGAUAGCUUGAAUUGCUUGUAAUUUUAUGAUUUAUGUUUCAUGCAUUAAAUGGCUUAUUGAAAAGUUUUAAAUCUCAAAAUGAUUUAAAAUUAAUCAAUUUUAAAAGCCAAAAAUAAAAUGGUGUAUAAUACAAGUAUAAGAGCUUGCCAAAAUUCAAUUAGAGACAAAAAGAUUUCCAAGUCUAAAAUCGGUAUACCACUUCCUCUCAUCCGGAAAACCGCUUUCUUAUUGAUUGCUCUCGGGUUAACAUUCGGAUAACUGGAUUUAUCAAACCGGAAAGUCGGAUGUAUUCUGGAGCUCACUGGACGCAAACUGGUCAUCCGGUUAUUCAAUCCAAAAAACCAGAUUUGCUAAGCCUCCUCUCUGCCUCAAAACCGGAUAGCCGGUUCUUUAAAUUCGGAAAACCGAUUACGGUUUGCAUGGUUCUGCCUCACAACUGGCUAACCGGUUUUUCAAUCUGGAAAGCCAAAUUCGUGAAGCAAUUAUUUGUCUCAAAACCGGCCAACUGGUUAUGCAAACCGGCAAGCCGAAUCAGCACUUGACACAUUUUGAAAGCUAUCUGGACAACCGGAUCACACAACCGGCAAGCCGUUUUUGACUUUCAUGCUUCUGGACACUAACCGGCUAACCGGUUAGUGACAUUUGGCAAGCCGGAUUCAAGACUAUAUUAAUUGUUCAUCUUCUCCCUCUCAUUCGGUAAUCUGGAUCUCGUUCUCUCUCUAAAAACCGGUUCCUCUCUCUCGUUUUCACUCCAAAAUCCACCAUUUCUACUCGGUUUUUAUGCAAAUCAAUCCAUAAAUCCUAAUCCCCAUCCAUUCUUAUGCCUAAAAUCGUGCUUCAAAUCCAUUUUCAAUAUCUAAAUCUCUAGAUCCCAAAGUCAACCUAGGGUUUAAUCGAAUUUUUCUCUCUCUAAAAUUCGUCUCCUCAAGUCAUUUUUUUAUCCAAAUUGCUUCUCAAAAUCACUUUCAAUCUUCAUAAUCUUCAUUCUCUUUGCUUCGUUUAACUUCAAAUCACUACAAAUCAACAUGUCAAGCUCACGACCGGUUCGAAGAAAAGGCAAAGAACCGAUUCAACCAACCAAUCAGUCACGACAAGCAGGGGGCAACUCCAACCAAUCCAAUUUUGAGUCCAUACACUUUCAGAACAAGAAACAUUUAAGCUUCAGGACUCGUGAGGUACUCAAUAUGUUUUUUGUUUUAUCAGAUUGGAUUCAUACUCUCAAUAUUAGUCAUAUAAAUUUAUUUCAAUUGUUAGGAGAUGUUAGUUGGAUUGAUGCACUUAUGAUUGAGGAGAAUCUUUAUCCCGACUUGGUGAAAGUGUCUUACUCGAAUAUGGACGUUUCCGCGGAGAACAAGACUCGAGUAAUCACCAAUGUUGGAGGAGUUAUGAUUGAUUUUGAUGUUUCCCUAUUAAAUUCUAUCAUAGGAUCUUCCGAUUUUGGCCUAGAAAUUUAUUUGCCUAGGAAAUCUCCUAACCUUGAGAGUUAUGUUCAUAUUGACGCCAUUCGUAAUAUUUGUCGGCGUGAUGAUCUUUCUGAUGAAGAUUGUACCAUUCAUUUUCGUACUCAGUGUCUUUGUCUUCAAACUCGUAUUUUACUUCGCCUUAUUCAGUCCAUUGUUCUUCCUAGAUCAAGGCAUUUGGAUGAGGUCUCUCACAUGGACGUUGCUUUGAUUGAUUGUAUUCUUAGACAUCGUCUGAUUAACUUGGGCUAUACCAUCAUCCGAACCAUGUUACCUGCCUUGAUUACUCGCUCCUUUCCAUAUGAUCACUUCAUUACCCGAAUCCUUAAAUAUUUUGAUGUAUCGAUUCAAGAACCGUCGUGUAGACCGUCUAAGGGUAUCGGGGAUGACACUAUUUUUGGCUUAGGCUUUGAGUGGAAAAAUGGCACUUGGGUCAAAUUCAUUGAAAAGAAGUUUAUCAUUCUUGCUCCAAGUGAUGAUCGGCCACUUAAUGAUGUGGUUCCAGCCGAUCAGCUACCUAUUUUCUCACUCUCAUUUCGAGGCCAGCGUAGACGCCGAGAUCCUCCUGUGAUUGCUUCAGCUCCUAGUGUCUUUGCAUCCACCUCAUCACCUCCACAGCCUCCUAUCUCUGAAGAGGUUACUCUUCAGCAGCUCAUGGAUGAAGUGCGGACACUCUCUGUGCGGUAGACUAAGUUUCAACAGCAGCAGCUCAUUCAUGGACAGCGCCUCCUUUUUGAGCACUUCGGCAUUCCAUAUCUGUAUCCACCUCCAUCACCACCAUUCUCACCACCUCAGUAGUCUCUUAUGCUUGUAUUUGGACACACCUACAUAUUAUUUACUGCUUUAUGUCCUUUUAUUUUCAACUAUAUGGAUGGUUAUUAUGCUUUUGGAUUAUGUAUUUGUUUUGGAUGAUAUGGAUUUGUUUUGAUUGUUUGUUAUGGAUUAUAUGGAUUUCCUUAUGCUUAUGGAUAUUUUUGAACUAAUGUGCUUAUAUUGCGAUUUUGAUGAUUGAUAGGGGGAGCUCUUAUUCUUUUAUUCUUUUUGAUGAUGAAGAGGGAGAAUAAUCUAAUAUGUGUUAUAAAAAGUGUUAUAAAAAUAUGCAUGUAUGCAGGGGGAGUCUUUUAAAUAAUUUUCAAAUCAGUUUUUUUUAACCUUCCAUUAAUUAAGGGGGAGUUUUUCAUAACUAGAUUAAAUUUUUAGUAUGUGUUUUGUCAUCAUAAAAAAUGGGGAGAUUGUUAGCUUAUAUGGCUAUAAAUAUUGAUUUUGAUGAUAACAAACCACAUGUGUUGAUUAAACAAAGAUUUAUGAAUUGUGUUUUUAUAAUAAGAAAAUGAUGUUAUGGAAUUAAAAUAUUUUGGACUAAAAUGAAAGUAUUUUAAAACAUUUGAUAUUGUUUUAAAAUUUCAGAUUUGGACCUAUUUGAAACUAUUUAAAUAUUUUGGCUCAUUCUAUAAUUUCACAUAGUUUGAGCUUUCAAUUUGCAAAUCACAAAACAUUGAAUCAUCUCUUGUUCCUCAUUUUUGCAUAUCUACUCUUUGAGUGAGUUUUGUUGUAACUUUCAUUUCUUCAUCUUAAUUGUAAGUGUUUGAGUGUGUGAGACACUUGAGUGAAGAGAUUGGGAGAUAAUCUCUUUGUUGUACAGGUUCAUUGACACCUUGAAGUCAAUUGUAAAUGGUUGAAGCCUUGGAAAGGCUCGGAUAGUGAAAUCCUCAAGCUUGGAUCGCUUGGAGGUGUGGAUGUAGGCGGGGAUUGCCGAACCACGUAAAAAUUCGUGUGUUUGUUUCUCUUCUCCCUUACUCAUUUGUUAUUGUGCUUUUAUUGAACUUAUCGCUUUCAAUUUUAUUAAGAAGUUAGAUUGUUUGUUGUGUGGAUUUGCUAGGAUAAUUUUUAAAGUACCAAUUCACCCCCCCUUUUGGGUUGCACACUUAUAUUUUAGUAAGAUCUUUCCUUGGGCAUGCUGGUUUUUAUAGACGUUUCAUUAAAGAUUUUAGCAAAGUUUCUAGACCCUUAUGCAAUCUACUUGCUAAGAAUAUAUUUUUUAUCUUUAAUGAUUCAUGUCUUGUGGCAUUUGAAAAAUUAAAGCAGUUGUUAACAUCAUCACCCAUCAUUCAGCCCUUAAACUGGAGCUUACAAUUUGAGCUUAUGUGUGAUGCAUCUGAUUAUGCAGUAGGAGCAGUAUUUGGACAAAGAAUUGAUCGAAUUCCCCAUGUUAUUUACUAUGCUAGUAUGAUAUUGAAUGAUGCACAGUUGAACUAUUCAACCAUUGAAAAAGAAAUAUUAGCAGUAGUGUUUGCAUUAGAGAAAUUUCGAUCUUAUUUCAUUGGUUGUAAAAUAAUUGUAUUCACAGAUCAUGCUGCUCUUAAAUAUCUUCUCACAAAGAAAGAUGCAAAAGCUAGACUAAUUCAUUGGGUGUUACUUUUGCAAAAAUUUGACUUGGAAUUCAAAGAUAAGAAAGACAUAGAAAAUGUUGUGGCUGACCAUCUCGCUCGUCUCAAUUUUGACACAAUUACAGAAUCAUUAACAUUGAAUGAGUCAUUUCCAAAUAAACAAUUGAUGAGUGUGCAAGUAUUACCAUGGUAUGCUAAUAUAGUUAAUUACCUUAUUACAUGUCAACUUCCAGAGCAUUGGACUAAGCAGGAUAAAGCCAAAAUUUUUGCGGAAUAUGAUGCCACUAAAUCGAAUUUUAGUGGUUAAGAUUUUUGAUGUGUAGGGUAUCGACUUUAUGGGACCAUUUCUCCCUUCUUUUGGCCAUCAAUACAUAUUGGUUGUUGUUGACUAUGAAUCAAAAUGGAUAGAAGCAAUUCACUGUAGAACCAAUGAUUACAAGGUGGUGAUAUGAUUUUUUGAAAAGCAACAUUGUUUCAUGCUUUGGAUUCCCUCGAACAAUAAUCAGUGAUGAUGCUACCCACUUUUGCAACAAAGCAUUCAAAGCUCUUUUUACAAAGUAUUCCAUCAUUCAGAAAGUGCCAACCCCAUAUCAUCCGCAAACUAGUGACCAAGUUGAGAUCUCCAAUCGAGAAAUAAAGCACAUAUUAGAAAAGAUGAUGAGGCCAGACAGAAAAGAUUGGUCAUUAAGACUCGAUGAUGCAUUAUGGGCAUAUAGAACGGCUUUCAAGACCCCGAUUGGGAUGUCACCUACAGGCUAGUAUAUGGAAAAGCUUGCCACCUACUUGUGGAACUCGAGUAUCGUGUGUACUGGGCCAUCAAAAAAUUCAAUUUUGACAUGCAGUAAGCUAGCUCAGAAAGAAGAUUACAACUGGCAGAACUUGAAGAAAUUCGCAAUGAUGUAUACGAAAAUGCCAAGAUUUACAAGCAGUGAAUGAAAGUCUUUCAUGACGAGUAAAUUAUGAGAAAAUCUUUCACUCCAAGUCAGAAAGUGCUUUUAUUCAAUUCUCGCUUGCACCUAUUCUCAGGUAAGUUAUGCUCUCAAUGGUCUGGCCCCUUUAUUGUUCACACUAUUUUUCCAUACGGGGUAAUUGAAAUUAAGGACCCAAAGAACAGUGUCACUUUUAAAGUUAAUGGUCAAAGAUUAAAGCUAUAUCUGGAGUACCAUACAUAUGGAGAGGACACCGAAAUAAAUUUGAGUGACCUACCAUAUUUUAAUUGAGAUUUUUCUUUCUUUUCGAUGAUUUAAUUUUUUUCUUUCUUUUUACUAUUCUUUUACUAAUUGAAAUUAUUUUUACAUAAGUGUGUGUAUUUAACCAUUAAGUUUUCUUUUAUAAUUAUUAAUCAUGAGUACCUCAGCGAAACAGAUCCUUUUGGACCUUCUUAUGUGACUUCAACGUGUAAAAUUUCAUCUCAGAAGCCAAAUUUGAUUUUGUAAAACACAUCAUAUUUAGGAUCUACAUCCACCAGAGUUAGUAUCCUAUGUUGAGGAUUUAGAAAGACAACUCAGAGAUAUUGAGGGAGGUAUCUUCGACAUUCAGUUGGAGCUUGAGGUAAAUUCAAUAAGAGGACGAUUGUAAUUUUCUUUGUGUGUUUUAGUUUGUUACUCCGUUUGUGUGCUUUAGUUUGUUACCCCGGUUAAGUGGCAGAUAACAGUACUCCGUGAAAAUCAAGUUGGUUACUUAAGUUUUCUAUAAUAACUGAUAUUCUGAGGCGAAGGUAUGGACAGAAAUGAGAUUCUAGCAAAGCUUCACAAUCGAUUCCCUUCACUUCCUCAGAAUGCCCUCCUUACAAUGUAUAAAGCUCGAUCCGAACGCAUACGAUUGCUUAUAAAAAAUAACAUACCUGUUAACAUCCGCUAGUUAAUCGAGGCCAAAGUACGAUUGACAUGUGAGUUGCCUCCAAAAUUUAUUGCAUACACGCCUGGUUGUGGUAAAGGAAAGUAUACAAGAAAACGAAGAGCUCGAAGAAUUUCUGUUGCUUGUCAUAAGUGUGCUAAAAUGAUAUGCAAUAAAAAACCAUGUUCUUUAGGAAAGGUGUCUGAUAACAGGGAAGAUAAGAUUCAAUUCAUUAGGGAUGACUUGAAUAAGGAGUCAUUGGAUGAUAUUCUUUUGUCUCUUGAAACGCAUCCUAGUGGAUAUGUAAAAUGACCAAUUCUCUAGUUAUGGCCAUUAUUCCAAAAAGAGCGUGCACGAUAUAGUCUCGGGAAUCUAACUAUAAAUGACCAUGUUUCCCAGUUUAUAAGAAAACAAGAUGGGAAGUCUAUCAUCAACCCAUAGAAGGCGUUCAAGCCAUUUCUGGAUGUAAAACCAGAGGAAGAUGUGAGCCACAUUCACAUCUACCUGUAAAUAUCCUUUUACUUCACUGUUGUUUUAUUUCACUGUUGUUUUAUCAUUUUCAUUACUAUCUUUAAUAAUUUUAUUUUAUUAUUAUUAUUUUCUUUUUUACUCUCGAUCCAUGUGCUUUACGCGUUAAUUGACACUGACAUGCUACCUCAUACACAAUUGUGACCCACUGUCACCAAGAUUCUUAAAUAUGAUUUUUUUGUUAAGCACUCAUAAAUUAUUUUCGAGAAGUAUCCCAAUGGUAGCUACUCCCAAUAAACAAUUCAAGAACAUUUGUGUGCUUUCGGGAUUUAACUAUGGCAAACAUAAAGAGUUUGUUAAAGUAGGCAUAGAUCUUGGUCGAAGUAUAGUAGAGAGAAAAUUACACUUGGUGUACGGAGGAGGUAACAAAUGAUUAUCAAAAUUGGUCUCAGAAGCUGCUUUUGUCAGAGGAAGCCAAGUAUUAGGAAUCAUCCUAAGAGCCCUAAAACCUUAGGGCAGUUUGUCUGACUCACUGAUUGGAGACGAGUUAGUUGUCUCAGGUAUGAAAGAGAGAAUAACUAAAAUGCUAAAUCAUGCUAAUGCUUUUAUUUUCCUACCAGGAGAUCUUGCAACUCUAGAGGCACUUAUCACAUUAGCAUCUUGGGUCCAUUUGCACAUUCACCAGAAACCCAUCGGUUUGUUAAAUGUCAAUAACUUUUAUGAUGACUUUAUAGCAUUUCUUAACCAUCCAAUAAAAAACUAUUUCAUUCCUUCCACAGCGAAAAAUUUUUUUAUUUGCGCUCACACUACUAAUGAGUUGCAUGAUCUGUUACAAGCUCAUAGACCAGAGCUAGACUCCAGGACCUUUAUGUUGGAGUGUCCAAAUAAUGAUGGUAAUAGUAGCCGCAGUAAGAAGUGCAAAUUAGAUUUAGCUCUUCGCUGGUAAAUAUUUUCUUCUGUGUUGCACCACCUAGGUGAUGUCUUCUAAACUCUACUUCUUUCAUUUAAAAUAUUGAAGACAAUGUUUUGUUCUGGUUGGGGGGGGAAUAGUUGACAAUUGUGAAAUCUUAGUUAAGUUUUUUCUAAUUUUUUGUUGUAGAGACUAACCGUGGCUAACUUUUUGUGUUGAAGAUGACUGAAUAUAGAGUGUAGUGACUCUAGAAACACAUCUUCUUCAUUUGGAAAAAACAUUUCAGACAUUUUCUUUUUCUUUAUUAAGUUUUGACAAUCAUUUUUUUUCUUUUCUAACUUAUUCUUUCUAAUUUCUCUUUUAUAAAUAUACACUUUCAAAAUUUUGAGUUGAAGAUGUCAGAAUAUAGAGUGUAAUGACUCGAGAAACGCAUCUUCUUAGUUAAAAAAAAAAUUAUUUUCUUUUUCUAUCAUUUUAAGUGUAACCUUUCUAAUUAGUUUUUCUGCAUCAUUUUCACAUUUCUGCAUGCAUAUUUUCUUUUCAUAUUUAGAAUAAGUUGGGAGGUAGAAUGUCGUUUGAACCUAAAAAAAAAAGUGCGAUUUUUUCUAACAUUGGAUGGCAUGAUGACUUUCAAAUUUUAGUAUUUGUAUUAUAUUUGGUCUUAAGUGAUGUUAGGCCAUGUUUCCUACUCCACAUGUUGAUGUCGGAGACAAAUAUGAGUUGUUUGAAAGAAUACAUAUGUCAUAAUAAAUACCAAGUGAGUUUUUGAGCCUAUUAUUUUUCUUGGAGAGUAACCCUUUUGCCUAUUCUUCAUACAGCUUAGCAGUUUAUUAUUUUAAACAUGAUCUCUAAAAAAAUGUGUUGCUACAUCUGAAGGUCCAUUUAACUAGUAUAUAUGAAAGAUUAUUUAGAGCCCUAAAAGACGAUGGAAAUGUCAUCUUUGACCCGUUUGACCAUUUCUAGCCAUCCCUUUUGUGAAAUAUCCAUAGUUAGCCCUUUUGAGCCUUUUAUUUAAUAAAAAAAAUUAUUUGUCAACUUAUCAUCUUGACCCACUUCGAUUUUGAAUAUUACCUAAUGUCUUACAAGUUCCAUCACCUAUUCAUGUUUGAGAAAAAUGUAAAUAAUUGUUUUGUUGAGUAAAGUUGUGCCAUACAAAAAAAAACUUGUUAAAAAAAGAGAAAAAAAUAACAAUAAUAAUAAAUAAGCGAAAUGCACCUUGCAACUUCCAAAAAAUCUCUACUUUUUCUCAAACAUAUACUUUGUUUUUCUUAUUUCCCCUCCUUUGUUAGCCAUGUCCCUAGCCUACGUUACGUCAUUAUAAAAGUCCUUCUUGAUUUUAGGGAUUUAUAGUCUGAAGUAGAAGCUAGUUAUAUGGGCUAAAAAGUUGUAGUGAUACAUAAAAAAUAAAAAAAAUAUAUAAAUAAAUUAAUAAAUUGGGUUGACUAGCAUUUUGUUUGACUUAAGAUCUUAUUAUUUCUAAGCUGUUGGCAUAUUUCUUUCAUCUUGAUGAGAGCGUGAGAUAUUACUUCUCUAUUAUGUUCUCUCAAAUUUAACAUUCAUUGGAGUGACUAUUUUUAUUGGGUUUAAUUUCCUUGUGAGAGUGUCACUACUUCCAGUGAGAUUUUGGGGUUUGAUAUGUCAUUCUUGAAAGUAGUUGUGACAAAGUCUACUGGGCUGAUUCAUGUGGAUGGAUGAUGUGGUAGUGAUAUUUUUUUAGACUGGAGAUAAUGCUUAUACUUUUAUUUGAUUGAUAUCAUUAGUCUGAUUGAAAAAACACGUGUUUUAAAAAAAAUCAUUUUGGGUUUGAAUUUUGUUUUCGCUUUAAUUGCUAGGGACUAGCAAUAAGCUGGUUGGGGGGUAUGUUGAGUGUUAGAAAGUGUAUAUUUAUAAAGGAGAAAAUCAUCAUUUUACACCUCAAGUUUCACUAACAUUCCUACUUUUAUGUAUUUAAGUCUCUUGUAAUUUAAUUAUGUGUGUUGUAUUAUAAUUAAGAAUUUUAUGUAUUUUAUAGUCAUUUUACAAUGAAAGAGAGAUCAGACAGUGAAAAAGACAUCACUUUUGAACUCAAGACAGCCAAAAACCUUAGGAGGAGAAUAAAAGGAAAAAUGGCAUUGCUCACAAGUAUGGUACUAUUCACAUGCACGGUACUGUGCAUGUUACUGUUCACAACACUGUUCACAUAUACGGAACGAUGAUGUGACAUUGACUGAUGAGGUGCCACAAUCCUAUUGGACUAAAAAUCUUAUAUACUGUUGAUCGGUGACGUGGCAGCAUAUUAGUGGACCAAAAAUUGUGCGUACGGUACAUGCAUAGACACGAAAUUAUUUAUAACCAAACCGCGUCACUAUUCAAGCCACCUCACUAUUUAAACCGCGUGGUCAAACUGCGUAACUAUUCAAACCGCGUGGUCCGCGUACUGUUGACCGAUGACGUGACGCAAUCCUGAGCGUCUAAAUUAUUUUUAAUCCAAUGGGCAUGAAUUACUCAAUGUAUCUAUAAAAAAGGGGCUCCCCCCUAAUUUGAUACUCCUGAAUUCAUUUUUUGAGCUCUAUUUUCUGUAAUUCCUUCUCCAUCUUGUAUUUCCUAUGUAUUUAAUAUAUUCCCAUUUUACCCUCAGUUCAAUUAUGAGUAGCUAAUUUUCUUUCAAGCUUGGGUUGAAGGUGAAGUCUCAACAUAUGCCAUGGGCUUUAUUUGGUAAAUUUUUUCUCUUCCCCUCUAAUUAAUGUGGAUGUUUUAACUUUUUGUCGACAGAUAGUAAUAAUCUUGUCUAGAUGCCGCACUGGUUUAACCGGCUCCCUAGUACAAGGUUAUUACUAUUUGGCACGAUAAGCCCUUGGCACCAUAUUGAUUAAAGUGUGGUUCAAGAGGAGUGGAAACCUCCCUCAUGAUUUAAUUGGCAUAAGGAAUAUUUAGCCCAUAGUGCAUGUUGAUGCAAAUCCAGAUACCCAAGUGCUUCAUUUCAAUAGAUUUCGCUUUAAUUUAUUCCUGCCAUUUUAAUUCAAAUUUUAGGAUAAUCUAAGUCACUUUCACCACAAACCCAACCACCCACUUAGAAAAUUAAUUCUACACAUAAUUAAAAUCUACCUCCUCGUGGGAUCGACACUCGUCACCAUUUAUCUAUUCUACAAUAGAUUCGUGCACUUGAGCUCAAUAAAAUUUGCACAACAGUCUGCUCGUUGUCUUCUCUCUACCGAUGGUAUCCAAGCCUUUUCUCUAUGAAAUUCUCACUUGUUUUUUGAGUUUUCUUGCCAAAUUGAAGCUAAAGAAACAUUUCUAAUCACUUUUAGACCUUUUUUAACCAAUCAAAACAUAAUUUCAAGCCCAAAAUCUCAAUUUGAAACCCUAACGGUGAAUUGAACUGAUUUCUUCAAUUUUGGCCAAUUUUUCAUCACUUUUUCAGUAAAUUGAGCAGCCAAUCAUUUCCUAAACCUCUCAUAUGCAUUUUAAUUGGUUUAAAUUUUUCUAUUUGAUUAAGUUUCAAAAAUUCCCAUUAUUACAUCCAUAUCAGCAGCUGAAACCUCAAGGACUGGAGCAAGAAGAAAAUAAGUUGCAAGGAGGAACACAAUACCUCCUAGGGAGACUUCUGAGUUCCGGAGAAUUCAUUUCUUUAUUGCUCCCUUGGCUCAACAUUUCCAAGCCUGCUUUAUGGGUCAUAAGGUAAUUAAUUUUUACUAUGUGGAUUUGGAUGACUUGGAGGAGUUGGUUGUAUGUAAUAAAAGUGUUAAGGUGAUGUAAGAACCUAGGGAUAAGGCUUUGAGUAUUAAGGAACGAGUUCAUCCUAAUCUAGUUCCAGUAUUUUACUCAAAUAUAGAAAUCUUCACAAAUAGGCUAGAUAGAAUAAUUGCCAAUGUAGAAGGGGUUCCUAUAGGAUUUGAUGUUGAGGACUUAAAACAAAUCCUAGGGACUGAAAGUUCGGAUUUCAAAAUAUAGACAUCUAGAAGGCCUACUCGUUUGCUAAUUUUAUUCAUUUAUAUGUUGUUCGAAACAUAUGUAGGCAUAAAGACUUUUCUAAUGAUAUAUGCUCUCUCCCUUUCCACUCUCAGUUACUACCUUUAUAUAUUAGGAUACUCUACACUAUAUUACAACAUAUUAUCACUCCUAGAAAGAGGCAUUCAGAUGAAGUAACUAGUAUGGACAUUUCAUUAUUGGAUUGCAUUAUUAAGAUGCGACCUAUUAACUUAGGCUAUGUCAUUCUGAGGCAUAUGUUAAGUCCCCUUAGGGUUAAUUAUCGAUUGAUUCUUUAUGGUAGUAUUAUUACUAAUAUUUUUAAAUAUUUAUAUGUACUACAUUGUGAAUCCGUAUAUAAGAAGACCGAGAGGAUAAGUGAAGAAGCCAUAAUAGGCAUAAGAUUUUAUGAGAGGAACGAGAAGUGGGUUAAUACGACCACAUCUAAGAAUUGGGAUACUGUUGUUGCCUAUAAUGAUAUGUGAAAAUAUUCUAAUGGCAGUGAUCAGGAAUCAAACAUUAGGGAUGCUUGGAACUUAGAUCUAUUUUAUAGGUAAAAGUUUGCAAAGAGAUGGAGGCUCUUUGGCUCGUCCACCUAUAUUAGAUGAGACCAAUUAUGAUUAUUGAAAGCAAAUGAUGGAAAUUUAUCUGACAACUAUUGAUGAAAGAGUUUGGCAAUGCGUACUCACUGGAUAUACUCCACCUAUCAAAAUCGAUAAAGAUGGUGUAGAAUCUCCAAAGCCAAUCAGAGAAUAGACUAAUGACAAACUUGAUGCAUCUGAAUAUAAUGCAAAAGGACUUAAUACCAAUGUCAAUGGAGUUGAUGUGCUUCAACACCAACUAGUUUCUAGAUGCAAGACAUCAAAAGCUACUUGGGAUAUACUCCAAAAUACUUUUGAAGGCAAUAAUACGGUGAAACUUUCUAAACUUUAGAAACUUACAUCUAAUUUUGAAAGCCUAAAAAUGCAUGAAUAUGAUGUUAACAUUUAUGUAUCCAUAAUGUUGAUUUUCAUAAUAACAAACAAAAUUAAGAAUGAUUAAGUUUUUAAAAGCUUAAAUUAUUUUUUAUACAUUUUAAAUAAAUCAUUAUUUUCACAUUAUAAAAGUUUUAUAUUUAAUGAAAAAAUGAUUUUAUAAAAUUGGUUGUUUUUCAAGUUUAUGGUCUAAUUGAAAUGGUUUUGAAAAUUUUGAAAUCAACGAGUAUUGCUUGGAAUUCUAGAGAAGGACUUAUUUAAAAAGUUUCAUAGCAUUUUGGGCGAUAUUAUAAUUUCAAAAAGUUUUGGCAAUAACAAGCAUUAUUUAAAAAUUUCGAAAUUGAACCUUUGUAAAACUUUUUAUGUUGUUUUGGGCCAUAGCGUAAUUCUAUAAAGUUUUGGAUCAAAACUAUAAUUUUAGAAAAUUGUUCAAUUUAGCAAUCACUAUAGCAAGGGGCUAACAGGAUUUGACAAGCGGUAGAUCGAAUUUUGGGCAAUAGCUUACUGGAAUGAAAGCGGCUAACUGGAUUCCAAAAGCGGUAUGCUGGAUGUUCUAAAAUUCAAAUAUUUUCUGUAACGGUAACAUAAAAGCGACUAACCGGAUUUCAAAAGCAGCAAGCCGGUUAUCAUCAGAAAACUCAUAAGGGCUAGUUUUUGGGCUUAAACUAUAAUAACUCAAAUCCAAUUCAUUCUUGGCAAUCUUGGCAAGCAUAAACAAGUGCACACAACAUAUAUUGAGCUUCAAUUUCGCAAAUCAUCAUAAAUUAAAUCUUCAUUGAGCUAUCAUUUGUAUAUCCACUCUAAAAGAGAGUUGUUUGUUGUAAUUUUCAUUUCUCAUCAAAUUGUGAGUGUACAAAUGUGAGAAACAUUUGGGGUGAAGAGAUUGGGGAGAUAAUCUCUUGAUUGUAAAGGUCUAUUGACACCUUGGAAGUCAAUUGUAAAGAACUUGAAGCCUUGGGAGGCUUGGAUAGUGAAAUCCUCUAGCUACGUGAGCUUAGAGGCGUGGACGUAAGGGGGAUUGCCGAACCAUAUAAAAAUCUUUGUGUUUGUUUUAUCUUCUCUUACUCUCUUAUUAUUGCGCUUUAUUGAAUUUAUUGUUUUUGAUUCCAUUAGGGCAUUAGAUUAAAUUGUUGUAUGGUUUGCUUAGCUUAAAUUUUAAAAUCUCAAUUCACCCCCCUCUUAGGUUGCGUAGUUAGUAUUUCAUUUGGUAUCGAGCGAUGUGCUCUUGUGUAGACUUAAUCGUCUAGAGUAAAGAUCCAUAGCAAACCAAAUUAGCUCAACCUUCAUAGAAGGCCAAUCUACCUUUAGACCUCUAUUAUUUGAUAGUAAUGACUAUCCUUAUUGGAAAAAUAAGAUGAGAGUCUUUUUACAAGCCUUAGACUAUGAAAUAUAGGAAAUAGUUUGUGAUGGUUCAUCCAUUCUUAGGAAGAAUGCUUUAAGUGAGUCGGAUAGGAAAAAUGUCUUUAAAUUCCAAGGCUAUGAAUGCUUUAUUUUGUGCCUUAUAUAAAAAGAAAUUUCAUAGAGUUUCAAAUUGUUCUAAUGCAUAUGACAUUUGGAGAAAACUUGAAGUUGUGUAUGAGGAGACUACAAACGAGAAUGAAUCUCAUGAAGUGUCAAAUUUGGCACUUAUGGCAAUUGGAGAUGAAUUGAAUAAUGAACUUGAUGAGGUAAGUGAUCUUCCUACAUAUGAUGAAUUACAUGAUGCUUUUUAAGAAUUGCAUGAUGAGUGGAUGAAAAUUGGUAAAAAGAAUGCAUGUCUUAAAAAGAAAAUAGUAGAGCUCACAAAUGAAAAUGAAUCUCUAAGCGCAAAGAUUACAUACCUAGAAUUAAAAAAUAAACAUUGCAUGAUAGAGUUGCAUUAUCAAAUGAGAAACCUAGCACUUCGUACAAGUAUCUAGAAUCACAUGUAGAUGACUUGAAAAAUGAAAAAGAUGCCCUUAAAAAAUGCAAUGUUUCAUUAAAUGAAAAGAUCAAAGAAUUGGAAUUAGAUAAUGAUAUGUUACAUGAUAGGAUUGCAUCAUUUAAAUGUAAACAAAGUACUUCAUAUGAGCAUGAUAAAUCACAUGUUGAUGAAUUAAUAAAAGAAAAUGAAGUGCUUAAGAAGAAGAGCAAUGAGUUAAAUGAGAUUAUCUUAAAUUUUACAAAUGGACAAAAGAUAUUAGAUAACUUGCUUAAUUCACAAAAAUGUAUGUUUGAUAAAGGAGGAAUUUGGAAUUCUUGAGAAGGACUUAUUUGAAAAGUUUCAUAGCGUUUUGGGCGAUAUCAUAAUUUCAAAAAGUUUUAGAAAUAAUAAGCAUUAUUUAGAAAUUCCGAAAUUGGACCUUUGUGAAAAGUUUUAUGUCGUUUUGAACCAUAGCGUAAUUCUAUAAAGUUUUAGAUCAAAACUGUAAUUUUGAAAAAUAUUUCACUGUAGCAAUCACUGUAGCAAGCGGUAGACCGAAUUUUGGGCAGUAGCUUACUGGAAUGAAAGCGGCUAACUGGAUUCCGAAAGCGAUAUGCCGGAUGUUCUAAAAUUCAAAUAUUUUCUGUAACGGUAACAUAAAAGCGACUAACCAGAUUCCAAAAGCGGCAAGCCAGUUAUCAUCAGAAAACUUAUAACGGCUAGUUUUUAGGCUUAAACUAUAAUAACUCAAAUCCAAUUUAUUUUUGGUAAUCUUGGCAAGCAUAAACAAGUGCACACAACAUAUAUUGAGCAUCAAUUUCACAAAUCAUCAUGGAUUAAAUCCUCAUUGAGCUAUCAUUUGUAUAUCCACACUAAAAGAGAGUUGUUUGUUGUAAUUUCAUUUCUUAUCAAAUUGUGAGUAUACAAGUGUGAGAAACACUUGGGGUGAACAGAUUCGGGAGAUAAUCUCUUGAUUGUAAAGGUCCAUUGACACCUUGGAAGUCAAUUGUAAAGAACUUAAAGCCUUGGGAGGCUUGGAUGGUGAAAUCCUCUAGCCGGGUGAGCUUGGAGGUGUGGACGUAGGGGGGAUUGCCGAACCACGUAAAAAUUAUUGUGUUUGUUUUCUCUUCCCUUACUCUCUUAUUAUUGCGCUUUAUUGAAUUUAUUAUUUUUUAUUCCAUUAAAACAUUAGAUUAAAUUGUUGUGUGGUUUGCUUAACUUAAAUUUUAAAAUCCCAAUUCACCCCCCUCCUAGGUUGCCUAGUUAGUGUUUCAUAUGAAACCAUAUAUAAAUUUAAUUCCAGAAUCCUUGCUAUGGUUAAUGACUUUUUUGCUCUUGGAAAACAUAUUUCUGAGGAAGAAAUUAUAGAAAUAUCGUAAGAUCUGCCCAGCCUAGAUAUCAUCCCAAAAUUUUGGCCAUUGAAGAAUAUGCGGAUAUGUCCACCAUGACUAAGGGUUCACUUAUAGGAAAAUUGAUGGUUUCUGAGACUAACUGCUUGAAUUUGAAUCCCAAGAAAGAAAACAAUGACGCUUUUCGACUGAAAUACAGGUUCCCGCCACCAAACCAUGUGAGGAUGUUGAAAAAGAAGAACUUGCAUUUAUACGUAGAUAAUUCACUUGCACUCAUUGCAAAGAAUUUCAAGAAGAUGUUGAAAAAGAAGAACUUUAACAAACCAAUGAAGACUUUUACAUCAGUGGCUCCAAUAGCUCAAAAAGGUUCUUCUAACUCUAAUUCUAAAUUGUUCGAAUUUAACAAACUUGAGGGUAUUCGAUGCAGAGAAUUUGAAUGUAUAAGACACAUACAAGAACAAUGUGUUAACACUCUUAUCAAAAAGAAAACAAUGCAAUCCACUUGAAGUGAUGAUGACUCUAAUGAUAGCAUUAUCCUUGUUUUGAAUAAUUUUGCAAGAAAUGGCAAGAAAAAUAAAGGAUUAUAGAGAGAGAGAGCUUGGGUAUUGAGGCUUAGAGAGAAAAUGAUAAAAGGGCAAGCAAAAAUGGAAAAGAAACCUUGGCAAAAAUUUUAUCACAUAAAAACGGCGAGUUGUUUAUUACAAUCGCUACGCCGAUAAUUUCCAGAGAGCUCCAAAUGAAAAACGGUUAUCUGGUUUCCACUAAUAGUGAAGGGUUAAUAAAGGUUAGCUCUUUGUUUUUAUUCGAUUAACCGUUUUUGCCAAACGGUUUGCCAAUAAUUUUCAACUAUCAUUUCCUAGUUUUUGUAUUUUAACAGUAAUAUGUUUAUUACCAAACGGUUAUCUGUUUAUUUUAACUAUAAUUUCGCACAUUUGUUUUAAUUUUUGGCCUAAAAUUAAUCCAUUCCAAGAUCAUUUCAUUGAUCUGAAGUGUUUUAAAAACUGAUUUAAUGUAUGAUUUAUGAAUUCACACAAUUCGAACAAUCAAUUCAAGCAAGUAAUCACAUCAUGAAAAUAAAGCACACUUGAUAUCAUAUAAAGCUACGCCAUUGUGCAAUAUCUGAACAUGAUCUCUAAAGAAAUGAUGCCUAAUCUCUAUAUGCUUGGUUCUUGAGUGUUGAAAAGGAUUCUUUGCAAGAUUUAUGGCACUAGCAUUAUCACACAUGCUAGAUAUUUUAUCAAGGUAAAUGCCAUAGUCUCUAAGAGUUUGUUUCAUCCAUAAGGCUUGAGCACACCAACUUCCAGUUGCAAUAUACUUAGCCUCGGUAGUUGAUAGUGUAACCAAAUUUUGUUUCUUACUAAACCAAGAGACUAGAGAGUGACCUAAAAAGUGACAUGUUCCACUAGUGUUUUUCCUAUCAACCUUAGAUCCGCAAAAUCAGCAUCCAAAUAACAUGUUAAGUCUAUAUGUGUUCCUCUAGGAUGCCAAAGGCCAAGAUCUAUGGUUCCACUCAAGUAAUAAAAAUUCUUUUCACCGCAAGCAAAUGAAAUUCUUUAGGACAUGAUUGAAAUCUUGCACAUAAACAUACACUAAACAUAAUAUCAGGCCUACUAAUAGUCAAGUAAAGCAAGAAUCUGAUCAUACCUUGAUAAGUUUUGAUAUUAACUUCCUUGCCUUUUUCAUCCUUGUCAAGCUUGAUGGUUGAACUCAUUGGAGUACUUUUUAUCUUUCCAUCUUCAAGUCUGAACUUCUUGAGGAAAUCUCUUAGAUAUCUGGCUUGAUUGAUGAAAAUUUCUUGUUCAAUUUAUUUUAUUUUAAGUCCAACAAAGUAGUUCAAUUCUCCCAUCAUGCUCAUCUCAAAUUCUUUACUCAUACUAGAUCAAAAUUCUUUACACAAAAGCUCAUUAGUAGAUCCAAAUAUAAUAUCAUCAACAUAAAUUGGAACAAUGAGAAUAUCUUGAUUCUUAUGCUUAAUGAAGAGAGUUGUAUGAGCCUUACCUAUUGAAAAACUAUUAUCCAGUAAGAAUUUUUUAGUCUAUCAUACCAAGCUCUUAGUGCUUGUUUUAAACCAUAUAAUGCUUUAGUUAACUUAUAAACAUGAUCUAAAAUUUCUCAUUUUCAAAACUAGGGGGUUGUUUUACAUAAACUUCCUCCAUAAUGUAACCAUUUAAAAAAUGUACUUUUAACAUUCAUUUGAUAUAAAAUAAAAUCUUUAUGAUGUGCAAAUGCUAAUAGCAUCCUAAUAGAUUCUAAUCUAGCUAUUGGUGCAAAAGUUUUGUCAAAAUCAAUUCCUUCUUUCUUGGUGNNNNNNNNNNNNNNNNNNNNNNNNNNNNNNNNNNNNNNNNNNNNNNNNNNNNNNNNNNNNNNNNNNNNNNNNNNNNNNNNNNNNNNNNNNNNNNNNNNNNNNNNNNNNNNNNNNNNNNNNNNNNNNNNNNNNNNNNNNNNNNNNNNNNNNNNNNNNNNNNNNNNNNNNNNNNNNNNNNNNNNNNNNNNNNNNNNNNNNNNNNNNNNNNNNNNNNNNNNNNNNNNNNNNNNNNNNNNNNNNNNNNNNNNNNNNNNNNNNNNNNNNNNNNNNNNNNNNNNNNNNNNNNNNNNNNNNNNNNNNNNNNNNNNNNNNNNNNNNNNNNNNNNNNNNNNNNNNNNNNNNNNNNNNNNNNNNNNNNNNNNNNNNNNNNNNNNNNNNNNNNNNNNNNNNNNNNNNNNNNNNNNNNNNNNNNNNNNNNNNNNNNNNNNNNNNNNNNNNNNNNNNNNNNNNNNNNNNNNNNNNNNNNNNNNNNNNNNNNNNNNNNNNNNNNNNNNNNNNNNNNNNNNNNNNNNNNNNNNNNNNNNNNNNNNNNNNNNNNNNNNNNNNNNNNNNNNNNNNNNNNNNNNNNNNNNNNNNNNNNNNNNNNNNNNNNNNNNNNNNNNNNNNNNNNNNNNNNNNNNNNNNNNNNNNNNNNNNNNNNNNNNNNNNNNNNNNNNNNNNNNNNNNNNNNNNNNNNNNNNNNNNNNNNNNNNNNNNNNNNNNNNNNNNNNNNNNNNNNNNNNNNNNNNNNNNNNNNNNNNNNNNNNNNNNNNNNNNNNNNNNNNNNNNNNNNNNNNNNNNNNNNNNNNNNNNNNNNNNNNNNNNNNNNNNNNNNNNNNNNNNNNNNNNNNNNNNNNNNNNNNNNNNNNNNNNNNNNNNNNNNNNNNNNNNNNNNNNNNNNNNNNNNNNNNNNNNNNNNNNNNNNNNNNNNNNNNNNNNNNNNNNNNNNNNNNNNNNNNNNNNNNNNNNNNNNNNNNNNNNNNNNNNNNNNNNNNNNNNNNNNNNNNNNNNNNNNNNNNNNNNNNNNNNNNNNNNNNNNNNNNNNNNNNNNNNNNNNNNNNNNNNNNNNNNNNNNNNNNNNNNNNNNNNNNNNNNNNNNNNNNNNNNNNNNNNNNNNNNNNNNNNNNNNNNNNNNNNNNNNNNNNNNNNNNNNNNNNNNNNNNNNNNNNNNNNNNNNNNNNNNNNNNNNNNNNNNNNNNNNNNNNNNNNNNNNNNNNNNNNNNNNNNNNNNNNNNNNNNNNNNNNNNNNNNNNNNNNNNNNNNNNNNNNNNNNNNNNNNNNNNNNNNNNNNNNNNNNNNNNNNNNNNNNNNNNNNNNNNNNNNNNNNNNNNNNNNNNNNNNNNNNNNNNNNNNNNNNNNNNNNNNNNNNNNNNNNNNNNNNNNNNNNNNNNNNNNNNNNNNNNNNNNNNNNNNNNNNNNNNNNNNNNNNNNNNNNNNNNNNNNNNNNNNNNNNNNNNNNNNNNNNNNNNNNNNNNNNNNNNNNNNNNNNNNNNNNNNNNNNNNNNNNNNNNNNNNNNNNNNNNNNNNNNNNNNNNNNNNNNNNNNNNNNNNNNNNNNNNNNNNNNNNNNNNNNNNNNNNCGAUUUAAAACAUAACAAGCAGUGUUGACGGCUUCGACCCAAAAGUAUUUUGGCAAUGCAUUCUUAUUUAAUAUAGUCCCAGCUAUUUAUUUAAUAUACAUAUCCUUUCUCUCAACAACUCCACUUUGUUGUGGAGUUCUUGGUGAAGAGAAUUGAUGCAUAAUGUCAAAAUUAUUGUAAAAGGUUUCAAAUGCAUGAUUUUUAAAUUCUCCUCCAUAAUCACUUCUAAUACAUGCAAUACCAUAACCUGUUUCAUUUUGAAUCUUUUUACAAAACACUUUAAAAGUAUCAAGAGCAUCAUCCUUGUUAGCUAAAAAUAACACCCAUGUGUAUCUAGAAAAAUCAUCAACAAUUAUAAAAGCAUAAUACUUGCCACUUAACCUAGCAUAUCUCGAAGGUCUAAAUAAAUAUAUAUGAAGUAGUUGAAGUGGAAACAUGAUUUUUGCUUUUAAAAGAGGUUUUGAUUUGUUUACCAAACUAACAUGCUUCACAAAUUCUAUACUUUUGAAAACCGAUUUUUGGAAGACCUUUAACCAAAUCAUUUUGGAAAUCUUUGAAAUUAAAUCCAUACUUAUAUGUCCUAGUAUUCUAUGUCAUAACCAAUUAUCAUCAUGCAAUGCAGAAAACAUUUAUUGUGGGUAGAUGCACACUCCUUGUCAAUGGUAUAAAUAUUACCACAUCUAUUUCCAACAAAUAAAAUUUGGUAUCACAUGCAGUCUCAAUAACACAUCUAGAUUUAUCAAAAAUAAUUUUAUAACCCUUAUCACAUAAUUGACUAAUACUUAUCAAGUUGUGUUUCAAAUUUUCAAUCAAACAUACAUUUUCAAUUAGAGUUGAGGAAACUUUACCGACACUACCAAUUCCAAGAAUCUUUCCCUUUGAAUUGUCUCCAAAGGAAGCAUCUCCACCGUUUUCGAUUUCGGUAAAACUUGAAAACCAUGUAUAGUUUCUGGUCAAAUGCCUUGAACAACCAUUGUCCAAGUAUUAUUUAUUUUUCUUCUUCUUUAAGCCUUACAGAGGAAAUCUUAAGUCUUAAGUACCUAAACCUUUUUGGGUCCUUCAGUGUUAACAAUGGUUCCUUUUGGAAUCCAAACACAUUUCGAUCCAUAAUAUACAUUUCUUUCAACUAGACAUUCAAGCUUCAUGUGACCAUCUUGAUUGCAAUGGUGACAUACAACUUGAUUGUUAAUGGAGGUAUACUUCACAAAAUAGUUCUUAUAAUACUCAAGUUAUCCAACAUCUUUUGCCCAUUUGUGAAUUUUAAGACAACAUCACUAAGUUCAAUGUUUCUUUUCUUAAGCACUUCAUUUUCCUUUUUCAAAUCAUUUACUCAUGACUCUAGAUACUCGUGUGAAGUGCUUGAUUUCUUAUUUCAUAAUGCAACUCGAUUGUGCAAUGUUUUAUUCUCUAAUUCUCUAAGUCUAUACCAUUUUCUUUUUAAGACAUGCAUUUUUUUUACCAAUUUUCAUCCAAUCAUCAUGUAAUUCCUUAAAAACAUCAUAUAAUUCAUAAUAGGUAGGAUCACUUACCUCAUCGAGUUCGUCAAACGAUUCUUCUUCAAUUGCCAUGAGAGCGAGAUUUGACAUCUCUUGUUGCUCUUUAUCAUCACUUGUAUCCUCAUCACUGUCAUCCCAUGUGGCUACCUUUGCAUUUUUCUUAAGAUUGUUGAGGAGAGGACACUCCGAUCGUAUGUGUCCAGGCUUCUUACACUCAUAACAAGUGAUUAACUCAUUCUUCUCCUUUUGGUUCUUGUGGUUUCAGAAUCUUUUCCGCUCACUGGUUUUCUAGAAAAAGUUUCUGAAACUCAUAGCCAUCAUAGUCAUGUCUUUAUCAGCAAGCUCACUUUUCUCAUCCCUCUCAUGCUUAGAUGCUUUGAGUGCAAUGUAUUUCUUCUUCUUUUCCUCAAUGCCUUUUUCCGCUGCCAAAUGUUUCUCAUAAGAAAUAAGAGAACUAAUUCAAUCAUUAAUAGGCAAAAUGUUUAAUCUUAAGCUUUCUCUAUGGCAGUUCUCUUAGGUGUCCAUUCCAUUGGUAAAGACCUAAUAAUUUUCUUAACUUUUUUGCUAUUUGAAAACGUUUUUCCUAGGGUUCUUAAUGUGUUCACAAUAUCCGUAAACUUAAUAUACAUAGAAUACACACUCUCAUUUUGCUCCAUUUGGAAUAAUUCAUAUUGUCGAGUAUAUCUACUAAUCUUAAACUUUUUAACUUGAUUUGUCCCUUCAUAGGCAACUUCAAGUUUUUUCCAUAUUUCUUGAGCACUCUCACAACUAGUCACUCUCUGAAAUUCUUUCUUAUUAAGAGCACAAAACGAAACAUUCAUUGCCUUGAAGUUUAAAGAUAUCUUUUUCUUUUCUAACUCACUCCAUUGUCUUGAAGGUUUUAGACUAUCGUCUCCUACUUCAGUUUUAGUCAUAGGCAUGAAUGGACCAUCACAAACAACUUCCCAAAUUUCAUAAUUUAAAGCUUGCAAAUAAAUUCUUGGGAAAAUAUCCACCGUCCACUCUUUUUUUUAACUUUUUCAAAAAUACACAAUUCCUUCUUUAUUUUGGCUGCAAUCCACCUAAAGUUACAUUUUGUUUCACUUUUCCACUUUCGUUUGGAAUCCGUUAAGAUACCUACCCAAAACUUAUAAAAAUGACCAUUUUACUCCCCAAUACGACAAUUACAAUUUCCCCUUUAAUAAUUACUAAAAAAUAACUCAUAUUAAAUCUAAAUUAUUUUUCUUAACAUCUAAAAAUAAAAUAUUUCCCCUCAACUUCUAAUUGUAGGGAUUUUUUUUAAUUUUAUUCUUUACUAAAAUGGCUAAUUAUAUAUUGAUAAUCUUAAUAAUUAUUCNNNNNNNNNNNNNNNNNNNNNNNNNNNNNNNNNNNNNNNNNNNNNNNNNNNNNNNNNNNNNNNNNNNNNNNNNNNNNNNNNNNNNNNNNNNNNNNNNNNNUAAAAUGCUAAAUUAUAAUGGUAGUAUUAAAAAUAGCCCAAUCUCGUAAACCAUCAAUUGAAUUUAAGAUAAAUAAAGUUUUAUUAUUCAUUGAAUUAUAAUCUCUAGUAGUUAAGAUUUUUUUGUACUUCAUUACGUACCAAUAAUGAUAUUCAUCAUUAAAUUUGAUUAUUUUUGGCAUUUUUUGGGUGAAAUUGUAAUUUUCGUUUUGGGGGUAAAAUGGCCCUUUUUUUAAGUUUCUAUUAGUUUUCUUAACGGAUUCCAAACGGAAGUGGAAAAGUGAAACAAAAUGUAACUUUUGGUGGAUUCCAGCCAAAAAAAUAAGGAAUUGUGUAUUUUUGAAAAAGUUGAAAAAACCGGAUGGACGGUGGAUAUUUUCCCUAAAUUCUUAUUCUAGUUUUCCAAUAAGGAUAGUCAUUUCCAUCGAAAGAUGGAGGUCUAAUGGUUGAUUGACCUUCCCUAAAUGUGGAGUCAUUUUGAGUUGCCAUUGAUCUUUAACUCUAGAUGGUUAAGUCUAAAUAAGAGCACCUCGCUCUCAUACCAAAUGAAAUAUUAACUAGGCAACCGAAGAGGGGGUGAAUUGGGUUUCUAAAGAUUUGAGCUAUUAAAACUAAAUGCAAAUUAAACAAAGUAAUCAAAUUCGAAAUAAAUUAAUUAAUAUACAAUAAAAAAUAAUGAGAUAGAGUAAGAGAGAGCAAACACAUGAUUUUUAUGUGGUUCGGCCAAUCAUGCCUACGUCCACACUUCCAAGCUCACCGGGAUUGAGUAUUCUACUAAUCGAGUCUCCAAGGCUUCAAAUACUCUUACAAUUGAUUUCUAAGGUGUCAAUAAAAAUUUACAGCAAGAGAUUAUCCCUAAUCUCUUAACCCAAGUGUAUUCGAACACUUACGAUCACUCAAAAACAAAGAUGACAAAUGAAUUUUCUCUUACACAAUGUAUAUGGUUACAAAUGAAAGCUCAAAGUGUGAAUAAAUGAAACAAGAACAAGUUAAGGCUCAAUGAAGGUUGUAUUCUCAAUAGCAAGCUCAAUAAUAUCUCUUAGAUCACUUCUUAUUUGAAUUUGAUUGAGCUAUUUUAUAGUUGGAGCUGAAAACUAACCAUUAUUGACUUUCUAAACAAAAUCGAAUCGCCGUUAAUUGCUAUCGCUUAAUCAUUUUAACUAGUCCAAAUGACCAUUGAGCUUAAAUUUCAAAUAAUCGGUUAAUCGUUUUGAAUUACCAGUUAGCCAUCAAUUUCUAGAAACCUGCAAAAUAAAUUUAGCUUGACCAUUCUUGCUAAAUAGUUCACGGUUAUAAUGUAAUUUCUUUUUGAAAAUUAUCGAUUAGCCGUUUAUUUUCAUAAACCCACAUAACAAAUUUAUAGCUCUCUGGAAUUUAUCGGUUAAUCAUUUUCAGUUAACAGUUCACUGUUAUUUUCCAGAUUCCGCAUUUUAAUAGUCUUUUGCAGGAAAUGAUUUUCUGAUUAAAGUUAACAAUUAUCCAAAUUCAUGAACAUGUUUAGAAAUAUUAUAUGGCUUUUAAGAAUUUAAUUAUUAAUGAAAGCUCCAACAUUUUUAAUAAAAAAUAUUAAAGUUUGUUAUCAUGAAAAUCAAUUUUAUAGACAUAUACAUGUUAACAUAUUGGGUUUCCUUACUUUGAACUGCUCAUAAAGUAAUACCAGCCAUCAUAUGUUAGGCUAUUUCCAAGCUGGUAUAGAUUUUUUAUUUUCUUCACAGAGGCUCACCUAUCUCACACCUCCAGUAUAGUACGAAUGAACAUGAGAGAACUCUCCUUCCGUUGGAAGAUAGUUUUAGUUUUCCCAAAAUCUUAGCAAAAUACAACUGAAGUGGCAGUCUAACACCAAGCCUAAAGCAUUUUGUGUUAACAUGUAUAUGUCUAUAGUAUUGAUUUUGAUAAUAAAAAACUUUAUAUGUUUUUGAUUUAAAAUGUUGGAGUUUUCAUUAAUAAACAAUUUCUUAAAAGCCGUAUAAUAUUUCUAGAUAUGUUCAUGAAAUCUGGAUAAUCAUUAACAUUGAUCGGAAAAUCAUUCUUUGAGAAAUUAUGUAAAAAUGGUGAUUUUGAAAUUAAACAGUGAACCGUUAAUAUCAAACGAUUAAUCGAUAAUUUCUAGAAUGGAAUUACGUGCUAACCUUGAACCAUUUAACAAAAACGAAUAAGCUUAUUUUGUUUUGCAGGUUACUGGAAAUAAACGGCGAAACGUUAACUACAAACGGCUAACAGAUAAUUUCAAGAGUAGAAUUUCAUGCUAACCUUGAACCGUUUAGCAAGAACGGACAACUAAAUUUGUUUCGCUGGUCUCUGGAAAUUAAGGACGAACCAAUAAUUUCAAACGGUUAACCGAUUAUUUAAAUUUUAGCCCAACGGUCAUUUGCACCAGUCAAAACGGUAAACCAAUAGUAGUUAACAACGAUCUGAUUUCUGUCAGAAAGUCAAUAACGGCUAGUUUUUAGCUCCAAUUAUAAAUAAGCUCAAUCAAAUUCAAACAAGAAUUUAUCAAAGAGUUAUCAUUGAGCUUGUAAUUGAGAAUACAACAUUUAUUGAGCCUUAAAUUUAUUCUUUUUUCAGUUAUUCACACCUUGAGCAUUCAUUUGUAAUCAUAUAUAUUGUGUGAGAGAAAAACACAUUUGUAAUCUUUGUCUUGAGUGAUUGUAAGUGUUGGGAUACACUUGGGUUAAGAGAUUGAGGAUAAUCUCUUGGUAUAAAGGUUGAUUGACACCUGUAAAGUCAAUUGUAAGUGUUCUUGUAGCCUUGAAAGCUUGAUUAGUGGAAUCUUAAAGUCCAGCGAGCUUGGAGGCGUGGACAUAGCCAAGGUUGACCGAACCACGUAAAAGUCUCUGUGUUUGAAUCUCUCUUCCCUUAUCUUUUUACAUUUUUGGUUGAUUUAUUUAUUAUUGUUUUAAAUUUGUUUAAGAUUUUCAUUAAAGUUUUGUUCAAGCAUUGCAUGUUUUUUAGAAACCUAAUUCACCCACCUCUUGGGUUGCUUAGAUAGUAUUUCAUUUGGUAUCAGAGCAAGGUUCUCUUAUUAGGACUUAACCGUCUAGAGUAAAAGAUCCAUGGCAACCCAAAAUAACUCUACCUUUGGGGAAGGACAAUCCACAACUAGGCCACCAUUCUUUGAUGGUAAUGGCUACCCAUAUUGGAAAACUAGGAUAAGAAUUUAUUUGCAAGCUUUAGAUUAUAAAAUUUAGGAAGUUAUUUAUGAUGGUCCAUUCAUGCCUAUGACUAAAAAUGAAGUAGGAGAUGAUAUUCCAAAACCUUCAAGUCGAUGGAUUAAGUUAAAAAAAGAAAGAUAUCUUUAAACUCCAAGGCAAUGAAUGCUUUGUUUUGUGCUCUUAAUAAGAAAGAAUUUCAUAGAGUGUCUAACUGUGAGAGUUAUGGAAUUUCACAUGAGUUAUAUAUGCCAUGUUAAAAGAAAUGCAUACUAUGGAAUCAAAUGUAUUUGGGUUCCAAAAGGAACCAUUACUAACACUUAAGGACCCAAGAAGUUUUGAGUACCUAAAACUUAGAAACAUUUUUCUGCAGGGAUCAAAGAAGAGGACCGUGGAUGUUCAAGACACAUGACAGGGACUUACUCUUGGUUUUCAAGUUUUACCAAGAUCGAGAAUGGUGGAAAUGUUUCCUUUGGAGAUAAUUCAAAAGGAAAGAUCAUUGGUAUUGGCAAUGUUGGUGAUGUAUCCUCUACUCCUAUUGAAAAUGUGUGUUUGAUUGAAAACUUGAAACACAAUUUGCUUAGUAUUAGUCAAUUGUGUGAUAAGGGUUAUAAAAUUAUUUUUUAUAAGACUAGAUGUGUUAUUGAGAAUGCAUGUCAUGGCAAGAUUUUAUUUGUAGGAAAUAGAUGUGUUAAUGUUUAUACCAUUGAUAUAGAUUGUGCAUCUACCCAUGAUAAAUGUUUUUCCGCAUUGCAUGAUAAUGGUUGGUUAUGGCAUAGAAGACUAGGACAUGCAAGCUUGGAUUUAAUUUCAAAGAUUUCUAAAAAUGAUUUAGUUAAAGGUCUUCCAAAAAUUGAUUUUUAAAAAGACAGAAUUUGUGAAGACGGCAAUUUGGUAACAAAUCAAAACCUCUUUUAAAAGCAAAAAUCAUAUUUCUACUUCAAAACCUCUUUAACUACUUCACAUAGACUUCUUUGGACCUUCAAGGUAUGCUAACUUAAGUGGCAAGUAUUAUGCUUUUGUAAUUGUUGAUGAUUUUUCAAGAUAUACAUGGGUAUUAUUCUUAGCUAAUAAGAAUGGUGCUCUUGAUGCUUUUAAAGUGUUUUGUAAAAAAAUUUAAAAUGAAAAAGGGUAUGGUAUUGCAUGUAUUAGGAGUGAUUAUGAAGGAGAGUUUAAAAAUCAUACAUUUGAAACCUUUUGCAAUAAUUUUGGCAUUGUGCAUCAAUUUUCAUCAACUAGGACUCCACAACAAAAUGGAGUUGUUGAGAGACAGAAUAGCCCUAUUCAAGAAAUGGCUAGGACCAUGUUGAAUGAAAAUUCUUUACUUAAGUAUUUUUGGGCCGAAGCCGUCAACACCGCUUGCUAUGUUUUAAAUCGUGUAUUGAUUAGACCUCAUCUCAAUAAAACUCCUUAUGAGCUUUGGAAAGAUAGAAAACCCAACAUUGGUUAUUUCAAAGUUUUUGGAUGCAAAUAUUUUAUAUUAAAUACAAAAGAUAACCUUGGAAAAUUUCAUUCAAAAUCUGAUGUUGGCAUCUUUCUUGGGUAUUCAAACUCAAGCAUAGCUUAUAGAGUUAUAACAAAAGAACUUUAAUUGUGGAAGAAUCCAUGCACGUUACGUUUGAUGAAUCUAACCCCUCAUUUGCGGUGGAAGUUAUAGUUAAUGAUGAUGUAGAUGAAGAACUACAAGAAAAUUCAUCAAAGGAUAACCAAAAGGAUGCACCACCAAUAAAUCAAGAGGAGAAACAUGAAGAAACAAAUGAAAAGCAAAAUGAAGGUACUUCUCAAUCACUCCCCAAGGAGUCGAGGUAUGUUUCUUUUCACCCUAAAGACUUAAUUUUAAGAGAUCCCUCAUAAGGCGUAACAACUAGAUCAUCAUUUAGAAAUACUUGUGAGCAUGCUGCAUUUAUAUCUCAAAUUGAACCAAAAUCCUUUGCGGAUGCGGAAAAUGAUGAAUCUUAGAUUAUGGCAAUGUAAGAGGAGUUAAUCAAUUUGAGAGAAAUAAUGUGUGGGAAUUAGUUCCUAAACCUGAACAUCAAUCCAUUAAAGGCACUAAAUGGGUAUUUAGAAAUAAAGUGGUUGAAUCCGGUGUGGUUGUAGGGAAUAAAGCUAGAUUAGCGGCUCAAGCUUACAACCAAGAAGAAGGAAUUGAUUUUGAUGAAACAUUUGAACCUGUAGCUAGAUUAGAAUCCAUUAGGAUGCUCUUAGCAUUUGCAUGUUAUAAAGAUUUUAUUUUAUUUCAAAUGGAUGUCAUGAGUGCUUUAUGGAAGAAGUUUUUGUAAAACAACCCCCUGGUUUUAAAAAUAAAAAUUUUCCAAAUCAUGUUUAUAAGUUAACAAAAGUUUUAUAUGGUUUAAAAUAAACACCUAGAGUAUGAUAUGAUAGGCUUAAAAUUUUCUUGUUGGAUAAUGGUUUUUCAAUAGGUAAAGUUGAUACAACUCUUUUUAUUAAGCAUAAGAAUCAAGAUAUUCUCAUUGUUCAAAUUUAUGUUCAUGAUAUUAUAUUUGGAUCUACUAAUGAGUUUCUGUGCAAGGAAUUUUCCUCUUGUAUGAGCAAGGAAUUUGAGAUGAGCAUGAUGGGAGAAUUAAAGUACUUUCUUGGACUUCAAAUAAAACAAAUCGAAGAAGAAAUCUUCACUAAUCAAGCCAAAUAUCUAAGAGAUUUACUCAAGAGAUUCGGACUUGAAGAUGGAAAGAUAAAAAGUACUCCAAUGAGCUCAACCAUCAGGCUUGACAAGGAUGAAAAAGGUAAGGAAGUUUAUGUCAAAACAUAUCGAGGUAUGAUCAAAUCCUUAUUUUACUUGACUACUAGUAGGCCUGAUAUUAUGUUUAGUGUAUGCUUGUGUGCAAGAUUUCAAUAAUGCCCUAAAUAAUCUCAUUUGCUUGCGGUAAAAAGGAUUUGUCGUUAUUUGAGUGGAACCAUAGAUCUUGGCCUUUGGUAUCCUAGGGGAACACAUAUAGAUUUAACAUGUUAUUCGAAUUGACUUUGCCAGAUAUAAGAUUGAUAGAAAAAGCCCUAGUGGAACAUGUCACUUUUUAGGUCACUCUCUAGUCUCUUGGUUUAGCAAGAAACAAAAUUCGAUUGCGCUAUUAACUACCGAGGUUGAGUACAUUGCAGCCGAAAGUUGUUAUGCUCAAGCUUUAUGAAUGAAACAAACACUUAGAGACUAUGACAUUUAUCUUGAUAAAAUCUCUAUAAUGUGUGACAAUACCUAUGUCAUAAAUAUUUCAAAAAAUCCUAUCCAACACUCAAGAACCAAGCAUAUAGAGAUUAGACAUCAUUUCUUGAGAAAUCAUGUUCAAAAAGGGGGAUAUUUCAUUAAAUUUUAUUUCAACUGAAAAACAAAUUGCUGAUAUUUUCACUAAACCCCUUAACGAAGAACAAUUUACUAAAAUUAGGCAUGAGCUUCGAAUUAUUAAUAUUGCACAAUAGCAUAGCUUCAUAUGAUAUCAAGUCUAAUUCACUUUCUUGAUGUGAUUGCUUAUUGGUUGUAUAAAUUAUGUGCAUUCAUAAAUCAUGCAUUAAAUUGGUCCUUUAAACAUUUCAGAUCAAUGAAAUGAUCUUGGAAUGUAUUAAUUGUUAGCCAAAAAUUAAAACAAAUGUGCGAAAUCAUAGUUAAAAUAAACGGCUAACUGUUUGGUAAUAAAUGGUUUACCGUUUAAAUCCAGAAACUAGGAUAUGAUAUCUGUAAAUUAUUGGCAAACCGAUUGUUGAAAAUAGUGAACUGAUUAAAAACAGAGAGUUAUCUUUUAUUACUCCUUCACCGUUAAUGAUAACCGAAUAACUGUUUUCCAUUAAGAGCUCUCUGGAAUUUAUCGGCUCACCAUUUUUGUACGAUAUAAAUUGUUCCUGGGUUUUCUUCUUCUUUAUACUAGUUUUAUCGAUUCAAAACACCAAAUCAAGCCUCAAAUCAAAAAUUCCCAAAUUAAAACCAUAAGCAUAACCGGACGAUUUUCUUCGAUUUUGGCCAGAUUUUUGUCAUCUUUUGACCAAAUUAAGUAUCCUAAUCACAUCCUCUACUCUCCAUUAUCUCUUUCAUCGGUUCAAUUUCCUUAUAUUCAUCUUUUUCAAAAAUUCCUAAUUUCCUUAGUGUGUCCAUGGUUGAAUCAUCAAGGGCUACUCGGAAGAGGAAAAAUGUCCCAAGAAGGAAUCCAAUACCACCACAGGAAACUUUCGAAUUCGAAAGGAUCCAUUUUCCCACCGCUCCGAUGGCUAAAUGUUUCGAAGACCGCUUUAUGACACGAAAGGUGAUUGAUUCUUACUAUGUGGAUUUGGAGGACUUUGGGGAGUUGGUUGUCUGUGGUAGAAGUGUUAGAAAGAUGUUAUUAUCUUGGGAGCCGGCUUUAGACCUUGAUGAACGGGUGUAUCCUAAUCUAGUCAAUGUCUUUUACUCGAACAUGAAAAUUUCCGCAACUAGGAUAGAUAGGAUAAUUACUCAUGUCGGGGGUGUUCCCAUAGAAUUCGAUGCUGAGGACUUAAACAAUAUCUUAGGAAUUUUGAAUGCUGGUCACAAUGUUUAUACAUGAGAAACCUAACCUAAGAUAACAAUGUCAUGCUAAGAAAUAUUCUAUAACUCUGUAACUACAACAUUUUGAUCAUAUUAUGAAUGUACCCAAAUCUUUUUACGGUCUCAAACCAUGCACACCACUUAGAACAACUUGAUUCCAAUUUCCAAGUCACAAAUAUACUACCAAAAAGGCUUGCACCUUUACAAGAUUUAUAGAAACCAUUUGAGCAGUGAAUUCUUAUUACUUUGAAAUCAAUCGAAUAGAUUGAAAGUGAUUGUAAUAUAUAUGUGAAUGCUAGUGCAUAUAAAAGAAUAAAAAUAAUACAUAUAUUAAGCAACACGACAAAAAAAUCUUACCAAAAUAUAUAUAUAUAUAUAUUUAAUAAAAAAUGACAACAAUGCAACAACAAGUGUAUAAUAAAAAUUAUUAAUAUAAUUGUUACACGGAAUCACUUAUUUAAACCAUUUGUCCAAUAUUUUUCAAUGUGUAAUCAUGAUAAAAUUUAAGUAUUCAAUAAAUGAUAACAAACAAAUCUCAAAGGAAAGCCCUCUCAUUUGCCGACUUUGCUCAUAAUUGUGGUGUUAGAAACAUUUGUUGGUGUCGGGAUCUCACGAGUGAUAUUUGUACUCUUCUUUUCCAGUCACAAUUAUUGCUUCUACAAGUUCGAAUCAUCCACACCAUAUUACAACAUAUUGUUACUCCUAAGAAGGGGCAUUCAAAUGAAGUGACGAGGUUGGAUUUCAGAUUAUUAGAUAGUCUUAUUGAGGGGUGACCUAUUAAUCUCAGAUAUGUUAUUUUGACGCACAUGCUAAGUACUCCUGUGGUUAACCAUCGCUUACUCCCAUAUGGUAGUAUCAUUUCUAAGAUAUUACGACACUUUCAAGUACCUCUUCGAGACGCAGUCUAUAAAGAGACUAAAAGGAUUGGUUCGAAAGCUAUGACGAACAUUGGUUUUUCACGAAAGAAUGAGGAAUGGAUCAAGACAUCUAAUUCAAAGAACCACGACACCCUUGUUGCUCUAGAAGAUGUUCGCAUGCUUAAUGAUGUCUACCAUCCUGAUCAGUUACCUAAUUUUAGGCUAGAAGCUCAUCCUCCACCCCCUUGUCGUGGAUCCGUAUCCCAGCCUCCAGCCGAUUCUGAUUCUGAUGAGCGUGAGAUGGAUACUGAUCAGCCCCCAGUUCCAGGGCAUCCACCAGCUUCGGAUGACCUAAAGUAGAAGUUGGUUGGUGAUGUUCACAAUUUUUUUCGAGUAGCAAUAGCAGCUUCAAUCCCAUUUUGCUUCAUUUCAGCUUCAGCAGUAGAAUGUUCUUGAUCAUCAACAAGAACUCCUUGAUGGACAACGCCCAUUCUUGCCCUUCUUAAUUGCCAUCCUGGUGGUUCUUCAUCUUUGUAGCCCCCCUCUUUGUUUCUACUUAUGCUUUUCGCACAUACAUUUCUCCUCUCAUGUUAUGUUUUGGAUGAUAUUAUUUUGACAUAUGUAUUUUUCUAUUUCUUUUUGGAUUGCAUGGAUAUUUAUUGAUGAUUUUGAUGAUUAAUGGUUUUAUGUGUGUUGAUUAUUGGAUUGAUGAAGUUGCUGGUUUGUUACAUUUGUUUAGGCUUAUAUGGAAGUGUUUUAACCAUUUUUUUGUAUUUAAGGAUAUGCUCAUUUUUAAGGGGAGACUCUGCCGAAAUUUUUGCUCGCACAAAAUGGGUAAUAUCUUCCUCUAUUAUCUUUUAUGAUCAAGUUGAAAUUGCACCUAUUAUUUUCUCCUUUUUUUAUGAUAAAGAGGGAGAUAAAUAUGAUAUGUUUGGAUAAAUUUAUUUUGUUUAAAAAAAAUUGAUUGGCCAUAUAUUUAGGGGGAGCACACAUUUAGGGGGAAAAAUAUUGGAAACUUUGUAAUCAUCAAAAAGGGUGAGAUUCUGAAUAUAAGGUUACAUAUCCUUUGGGGGAAGAACUAGGAGUGUUGCCUUUACCAAAUAUUUUCAGUUUGAUAUCAUCUGGAAUGUUAUACUUCAUUCUAUGUCUAUCUAAAUCCUCAUGAGUGGUUUUACAAUCCAUAAGAUCAAUGGGAUAUGACUCAGCUUCAGUUUUAUGACUAAUUUUGGCUUUCUUUUCUGGUUGAGAUUCCUCUGAAGAACUUUCAUCGCUAUUCUCAUCCUCAUCAGCAAUCAGUGCUAUACUAACACUAGGAUUUUCAUCGAUGUUCAUCUCUCCCUUACUAAUUCUCUCAUGGGAUCUAUCUUUUCCAGAUGAAAAGUAUAUUUCUAGAGACAUCUUUCUAGGAACUUCUUCUAUGGGUUUUUGAGGAUUAGGUUUUGACCUGUUGAAAUGAUCAGAUAUGAUACCCAAUUCAUCCCUACUAUCAAGGUUUAUUGAUGUGUGUUUUACCUUAGGCAUUGCAGCAACUAGAACGAAAAUCCAGACAAACAACAAAAAACAGUGGCAUAAGAAACAACCAGGAAAGAUUAGGGUGGCUAGUUUUAAAAAAAAUGCAUGUUAGUGUUUAUAACCGGAAAAGCGAAUACCAUAGUUCUAGCAAUAAAAAGGGGGAAGCUUUUAUUGGAAGCUUUUAUUUGGAUCUUAAUCGAAGAACGUGAGUUGAAGAAGAGGGAAAGGAAAGAAGAAGAAGGAAAUUUUGAAUUUAUAAUUGGGGAAAGAGUGCUUGAAAUAACAUCAUGAUGAUUCCAAAGGACGCGUUGAUUUAAAGAGACAUGCCGAGAAACCCAAAGGCUGCCACUUUGAAAUUUAAACAUUUGGCUAGGCUUAGCCACGUCAUGCAUAUUUAAUGCAACAAGAUAGAAAAUCAGGUCAUUGAGAAUUCGUGUAGCAAAAGCCAUUGCUUCCUGACUGAAAUAUUAGUUUCUAGUCUUAUUUUGUUUUACUCUAAAUAUUAGAAACUGGGGGAUCGGAGUUUGGGGCAUAAAAAGAUAGAUACUUGACUUCGCGGAAAAGGUUAUCUGGUCGUAGGUAUAAGUGCGGCCAGCAUUCUAGGAGGAGACCAGAAUCAAGCCGUAUGAUUUUGAUUUAUAUCUCAUAUUAUUGAGCUCAUCCAUAACGUGUAUGCACGAUUUGCUAUGAUGUUUAAAGCACAAUCAAGCGUUAUAAUAGUAGCUCAAUAACUAUACAAACAAAUAUAUAACUCUUAGAUUCAACUAGCACAUUCAAUUUGGUAACAGCUGCGUAUUAAAGAACGAGCAAUAAUGCGUGACAUGUACAGUUGUCUAUAAGAACUGGAAGAGAUCUAGAAAAAUAUACUUUUCUUUUUUCGACUUUAAAAAAAGGGAAUUUUUGUAAGAAAUAAAAAAUACUUAAAAUCGCGAGAGUGGCAUUAUUAUUUUCCUAACAAAGAAAAUUGGAUUGCUAAUGGUAGCUCAAUAAUGGUACCUCAAUAACUAGACAAACAGAUGUAUUAACUCUUAGAUUCAAGUGGCACAUUCAAUUUGGUAACAGCCACGCAUUAAAGAACGAUCAAUAAUGCGCAAUAUGCACAGUUGACUAUAAGAACUGGAAGAUAUCCAGAAAAAGUGACUUUUUUUCUUUUCUGGCUUUAAAAAAAGGGAAUUCUAGUAAAAAAUAAAAAAUAUUUAAAAUAACGAGAGUGGCAUUAUUAUUUUCCUGACAAAGAAAAUUUGAUUGCUAACUUGACCGUCAGAGGGUUUUCGUCGAAAAAAUCCGGUGCCCCUGACAGUUUUCUGUUAUUACAGAUCAAAGGAAGUAUUAGUAUAAUUCAAAUUCUACUAUAUCAGUAAGUGACAGUGUCCCAUCAAAACAAAUAAAAGCAUUGACGAAACAAUCUGGUCGCCAUCAUCAGCUCGACCCGAUUUCAGCAUCAACAAUUAUAUUGCCGACUGGAUAAGUAAUGAGCAACUCUGAGGCAAAGAUGGAGGCACGAGUUUCUUAUUUUUGUAAUCUUUGUGUUGUCAAUUCUGUAUGUUGUACAUAUUCCUGGGUUAUCUUUUUGCAUAAGUGCAACACUCUAAAAAGAAGAUAUUCAUAACUUAAUUUCAUCCAUUGAAAAUUCGGAGAAUUUUUUUCUUUUUCCUACCACAUACGCCUACUGAAAUAUUGAUCACACAAUGUACAUAAUUGUCUUGUUCAUUGUUUUGAAUGUUUCUCUCUUACUCUCUCCCCUUAACCCUGUGAAAAAAAUCUUAUUUACUCCCGGAUAUUGUAUUAUAAUAUAUGGUAGAAAUAAAGAUUGCUGCAUGAUAUCUACUAGUUCCUACUUAUGAGCAUAAUUUAUAUAUAUAUUUUACCCUUAAUUAUUCAAUUGCUAGUUAUUUUUAUUUGUUAUUUUUAAUUAAUUAAAUUAUUUUAUUGAACAUGGUAAUAAAUUGAAGAUUGAGAAUAAUUUGUGCUUAAAGGGAUCAAAGCUAGAGAGAGUUAAAGACGGUUCAUGCUCGUUGCCGUGGUGAUAAAGUCAAAAGAAGAAAAAAAAAAAUUAAAUUGAUUGGCCGAAUUAAUAGCUAAAGGACAUGAGAAAUAUUAGCCAAAUUAAAAAGGAAUGAAAAUUCCUAAUGGAGUGCACGUGAGUGAAGCCAGAGCAAAUUAAAAGGCUUGGCCUUUGGCUUAACAAUUGGAAAAAGUCAGUGGGGCCCAUUUUAAAGGCUAUAUAAGAAAGCUAAACUUUGGCUUUUGGAGAGAGUAGCUGCCACGAGGUAAAAAGAGAAGACGCAAGGCAUAUUAGAAAAGAGGAGCAACGGCUGCAAUAAUUCAAAAUUUCUCAUGGCUGAUUUUAUUAAUUUUGUUGCUCUCAAUUUAAAUAUAUCUAAUUAAUUUUUUUAUACUAAGGUUAAAGAUUAAACUCUAUUUAAUAAAAUAAUUAUUUUUUUAUUUAAUUAAUUCCCUACAUAUGUACUUUAAUAUUUAUGGUUCUUAUUUCACAUGAUUAGUUGGAUGUUAUUAAUUUUUUUCACCAAUUUUGUCAUGCAUUAUUAAUUGUUAUGAUUAAUAUUGGAUUAAUAUUGGAUUAAAUCUAUACUUGGAUCUAUAAAAUUUAUACAUAAUUAUCUUCAAUUAUGUGUCUUUCAUUAAAUUAUUUACAUAGAGUAUUUAGGAAAACUUUGACUCUUUGUUAUUCAAUAUGUUUACAUGGGAUGCUUGGAUAUCAUAUUAUUAAGCGGAAAAAGAACCUACUCAAGAUUAAUUUUUAUUUGAGCUUAAUUGUUAUAUCUAUGAGAUGACAUAGAUUGAUUUCGAGUUGUCACUCUAAAAUUGAGGAUUAAUUAAUAAUUAGAUAAUUAUUACUUGAAUAGUGGUGGAUUCUGAAACCUUGUUAAUUUUUGUCUUAUUGAAUUCUCCUUUGUUUUAAUUGUUUUCUUAGUUUAAUUAAUUUAAUUUUCUUAGAAAUUUAAUUUGCUCAACCAGGUUAGGAUUAAUAUUAAUUUUAGAUUUAAAUUAGAGUUUUCAACUUAUAACAAUCCCUGUGAGUUCGACCUCGUUACCACUAUUCUAUCUCUAGAUUCAUGCGCUUGCGAGUAUAUUAAAAUUUUUCACAACAAGUUUUUGGUGCCAUUGCUGGGGAUUGUGCCAGAAAGUCAGUUUAAUCUAGGUUGAUUUGAUUCUUCCACUAGUUAUAAUUUAGGUUGUCUUUUAUUUUAUUUUAUUUUUAUUAAAAAAACACAAAAAAUUUGCUUAACCUUUUUUUUAAUUCAUUGUUUGGUUGUUUGAUUUCUUUUAUUUUAAAUUUUUGUUUAUUUUUAUUAUUGUUGUUUAUUUUUCUUUCUUUGUCUAGUUAGUUUAUGAGUUGUUUGAGAAUGUGAUUCAACAAAUCUUUUGGUAAAAAAGGAGUUGAAAAUUAAUAGUAGUGAAGCUAGUUCUUCUCAAGUGAUGGAUGACACAAAUAGAAUAUUGUCAGUACUACCACCAGUGCAAGUAGAGAAAACCCUUAGAGAAUAUUUUUCACCACUUGCAGCCAACCAACCAUCUUGUAUUGUGUUGCCACAAACUACAACAAUACACUUUGAACUUAAGCCUUCUGUCAUUCAACUUUUACCAUCUUUCCAUGGGCUAGAGAGAGAGGACCCAUGUUUGCACAUUAAGGAAUUUCUUGACAUAUGCUCUACAUUCCGUUUUCAAAAUUUUAAUGAUGAGUCAAUUAGGCUUUGUAUGUUCCCUUUCUCAUUAAAAGACAAUUUUAUGAGUGUUGAGAAAGAUUCAAUGAUUUACUCAUCAAGUGUCCCCACCAUGGUUUUGAGAAAUGGAGACUUAUACAAUACUUUUAUAAUGGUUUAAAUAUGUCAAAUUGUCAUAUGGUAGAGUCUAUGAAUGGUGGGAGAUUUUUGAACCUACAUGAAGGGGCUGCAUGGGAUUUCUUUAAUUCACUUUUUGAAAAUUCUCAACAGUAGGAUUUUUCAAAUCAAAGGAAAAAAUCAUCUCAAGUUUCUAGGAAGGGGUUAUAUGAAGUUAAGGAUGAUUUUGAUGUGACAUCCACUGUAGCCACACUUUCUAGGAAAGUUAAUGCCUUACCUCUGAACCAAUCAAUGAAUCAAUAUCCUAGUGUAGCUAAUGAGGUUUGUGCUCUUUGUUCUAACUUAUCUCAUACAGCACAAAAUUAUUCAUCAUUACCAGGCUAUCAAGAGGCUUAUUAUGAGCAGGUACAUGCCUUACAAUCAUAUGAGAAAACCUCCAAUAGUCCAUAUUCAUCCACAUAUAAUCCUAAUUGGAGGAAUCAUCCUAAUUUUUCUUGGAAACAAAAUCGACCUUUGUCAAACCAAGGAAGAUAACAAUUUAGCAUUCCCAAUCAACAAUUGGUCCCUCCUAACCAAGUAUAUCCCCCUACCCAAUAGCCUAUAUCUCAAUUUGUUGCACCCCAAUAAAGAAAACCUUCUUUAGAGGAUACACUUCAAAAUUUCAUUCAAUCAACCUAACAAGCCUUUCAGUCAAACACUCAAGAUAUUCUAAAGCAUGAACAUCAAUUAGGUCAAUUAGCAACUACUGUAGUUGAGAGAGAAAACGAAAAAUUCGCAAGUCAACCAGUUCCUAAUCCUAAAGGAGUGCAUGAAGUUGGAUCAAGUUCAAGCCAUCAGCAUGAAAAAGCAAAGUCUAUUAUGACUUUGAAAAGAGGAAAAUUGUUUGACAACAAAGUGGAGGCUUAAACAAGGAAGACAUCGGAACCUACUUCUUCAGAUGUAGUUCCAUCACAAGACUCAUCACCAAAUGAUCAAGAAGAAAGUGGCCCACCAGCUUAUAUUCCUAAGGCUCAUUUUCCUCAAAGGUUAACAAAGGUAAAGAAAGGGACUUCAACAAGUGAGAUUAUGGAAAUCUUUAAGCAGGUAAGUGUAAAAAUCCCUUUACUUGAUACUAUUAAACAAGUUUUUAAAGGAUUUAUGCACUAAAAAGAGAAAUCUGCAUGUCACCAAAAAGUCAUUUUUUAACUGAACAAACUAGCAAUUUACUUCAAUGUAAAAUGCCACCAAAAUUUAAGGAUCUAGGUUCCCUUACUAUCUCAUGUGUUAUAGGGAACCAAUUGUUUGAUAAAGUAUUAUUGGACUUGGGUGCUAGUGUUAAUCUCUUGCCUUAUUCUGUUUACAUGCAGCUUGGACUAGGUGAGUUAAAAUCAACUUCUAUUAUUUUUUAACUUGCUGAUAGAUCAAUGAAAAUACCUCGUGGGAUUAUAGAGGAUGUGUUGAUACAGAUUGAUAAAUUUUAUUAUCCUGUUGAUUUUAUUGUUAUUGAUACUUAGUAUAUUCAGGAUCCUAAGAAACACACCCCAGUUAUUAUAGGUUGUCCUUUCUUAGCUACAAUUGAUGCUCUUAUUAAUUGUAGGAAUGAAAACAUGCAGCUGUCUUUUGCUAAUAUGAGAAUAGAAUUAAAUAUUUUUAAUGUCACCAAGCAGCCACAGGAAGAAGAUGAAUUUGUUGAAGCAAAUAUGUUAGAGGAAUUAGUAGAAGAUUCAUUCAUUUCUAACCACACUGAUGAUCCAUUAGAGGCAUGUUUAACUCAUUCUGAUUUAUCUUUUAAUAAUGACAAUGCAAUUACAGGAGUCAACGCCUUACUUGAUGCACCUCCAAUUAUUAUAGGUUGGAGAUGAAUUAUACGCCUGUCUUUUGCUAAUAUGAGCAUAGAAUUAAAUAUUUUUAAUGUUACCAAGCAGCCACAGGAAGAAGAUGAAUUUGUUAAAGCAAAUAUGUUAGAGGAAUUAGUAGAAGAUUCAUUCAUUUCUAACCACACUGAUGAUCCAUUAGAGUCAUGUUGAACUCAUUCUGAUUUAUCUUUUAAUAAUGACAGUGCAAUUACAGGAGUCAACGCCUUACUUGAUGCACCUCCAAUUAUGGACACAACUAAACGAAAGACAAAGUCAGAACCACUACCUCAUUCAGAGAAGAAGAUUAGCCCAUUUACGGAGACACCACCAAAAUUGGAACUCAAAGUACUAGCCGACACUCUGGAAUAUGCAUUCUUCGGAGAAUCUGACACCCUACCUAUUAUUAUUUCUUCGUCCCUCGAUCUUGAGUAAAAAGGUAAGUUGUUGGGUAUUUUAAAAGAACAUAAGGAGGCAAUAGGAUGGACCAUCGCUGAUAUUAAAGGUAUUAAUCCAGUAGACUGCAUGCAUCGUAUUUAUCUUGAAGAAAAUGUUAAACCUAUUAGGGAGAUGCAACGUAGGCUAAAUCCUAAUAUGAAAGAAGUAGUAAGAGCUGAAAUAAUUAAAUUGUUAGAUGCAGGAAUUAUUUAUCCUAUUUCAGAUAGCUCUUGGGUUAGCCCUGUGCAAUUUGUUCCUAAGAAAUCUGGUGUUAUAGUAGUUACUAAUGCAAAUAAUGAAUUAAUUCCCACUAAGGUAACUACAGGUUGACGUGUUUGCAUUGACUAUAGAAAAUUGAAUUUAGUCACAAGAAAAUAUCAUUUUCCUCUUCCAUUUAUUGAUCAAAUGCUUGAUAGACUUGUAGGUCAUGACUUUUAUCGUUUUUUAGAUGGAUAUUCAGGUGAUAAUCAGAUCCAUAUAGCUCUAGAGGACCAGGAGAAAACUACUUUUACUUGUUCAUUUAGAACUUUUGUAUAUAGGAGAAUGCCAUUUGGUUUAUGCAAUGCACCUAUUACCUUUCAAAGAUGCAUGCUUAGUAUUUUUUCUGAUAUGAUUGAGAGAUUUCUCAAAGUAUUCAUGGAUGAUUUUUCUGUUUAUGGAGAUUCUUUUGAUGAAUGUUUGCAGCAUCUAACAUUAGUUUUGCAAAGAUGUAAAGAAAAAAAACUUGGCUCUAAAUUGGGAAAAGUGUCACUUCAUGGUAAAACAAUGUAUUGUUCUUGGUCAUAUAAUUUCCAGCAGAGGUAUAGAAGUCGACAAAGCUAAGGUGGAUUUAAUUUCUAAUCUUCCACAUCCUAAAUCCGUAAAAGAAGUAAGAUAUUUCCUUGGACAUACUGGUUUUUAUAGAAGAUUCCUUAAAGAUUUUAGUAAAAUUUAUAAACCCUUAUGCAAUUUACUUGUUAAGGAUGCACCUUUUGUCUUCGAUAAAUCUUGUCUUGAUGCUUUGUAAAGCUUAAGAACUUGUUAACUGCUUCACCUAUCAUUCAGCCACCUAAUUGGGAUUUGUCUUUUGAAAUUAUGUGUGAUGCAUCUGAUUAUGCUGUAGGAGUAGUUUUAGGACAAAGAUUAGAUCGUGUGCCUUAUGUGAUUUAUUAUGCUAGUAUGACACUCAAUGAUGCACAAUUGAACUAUUCAACUAUAGAAAAAAAAUGUUGUGGCGGAUCAUUUGUCUCGCCUUGAUCUUAAAUUUAUUCCAGAAUCUUUACCUUUGAACGAGUCGUUCCCAGAUGAGCAGCUUAUGAGUGUAAAUGUUGUACCAUGGUUUGCUGAUAUAGUUAAUUACCUUGCUACAGGUCAAAUUAUAGAGCACUGGACCAAGCAAGAUAGAACAAAGUUUUUAUCUAAAGUGAAGAAUUUCUUUUGGGAUGAUCCCUAUUAAUUUAAAUAUUUUACUGAUCAGAUUAUUAGGCGAUAUGUUUCCUGAUAAUGAAAUUAAAAGUGUCAUCUCUUGUUGUCAUGAACAAGUUUGUGGAGGCCAUUUUAAUGCUAAAAAGACAGCAACAAAAAUUUUAUAGUGUGGUUUUUAUUGGCCUACUCUUUUUCAUGAUGCAUAUGUUUUUUGUUCUUUGUGUGAUAGGUGCCAAUGCAUGGGUAUCAUUUCAAAGAGGAAUAUGAUGCCACUCAGUAUUAUUCUAGUGGUUGAGAUUUUCGAUGUAUGGGGUAUUGAUUUCAUGGAACCUUUUCCUCCAUCUUUUGGUUAUCGGUAUAUAUUGGUUGCAGUGGACUAUGUGUCGAAGUGGGUUGAAGCUAUUCCAUGCAAAACCAAUGAUCAUAGGGUUGUAGCGAAAUUCUUGAAGAGUAAUAUUUUAUCUCGUUUUGGUUUCCCUCGAACAAUCAUUAGUGAUGGCGGUACCCAUUUUUGCAAUAAACCUUUCAAAACUCUUUUAAACAAGUAUUUCAUUUCACAUAAGGUUGCCACCCCAUACCAUCCUUAAACCAGUGGCCAAGUAGAGAUUUCUAAUAGAGAGAUCAAGCAAAUUCUGGAAAAAACAGUUAGGCUAGAUAGAAAGGAUUGAUCUUUGAGACUUGACGAUGCAUUAAACACCAAUUGGGAUGUCACCUUAUAGACUUAUGUAUGGAAAAGCAUGUCAUCUGCCAAUAGAGUUAGAGCAUCGUGCAUAUUGGGCUAUCAAGAAAUUCAAUUUUGACAUGCAGCAGGCUGGUUCUAAGAGAAGAUUACAACUGACAGAACUUGAAGAGAUUAGGAAUGAUGCUUUUGAGAAUGCCAAGAUUUAUAAACAGUGAAUGAAAGUCUUUCAUGACAAGCACAUCUUGAGAAAAUCCUUUACACCAGGUCAGAAAGUACCUUUAUAUAAUUCCCGAUUGCAUCUCUUUCCAGGUAAGUUACGUUCUCGAUGGUCUAGUCCUUUUAUAGUUCGCAUUGGCUUUCCUUAUGGAGCAAUUGAGAUUGAAAAUCCUAAAAAUAGUGAUUUAUUCAAGGUCAAUGGUCAAAGAUUAAAACCAUUUUUAGAGUUAAGAACACCAAAAAUUGAGGAGAUACUUUUAGAUGAUCCUGUUUAUCAGGAUUAAUUAAUUUCAUCUUUACAUUCUUAUUUUAUUUAAAUAGUAGGUUUUAUUUUCAUUAUUUGUUUUCUUUUUUAGUAUUUUUCUUUUCUAAUGUUUUCUUUUUAUUUUUCAUUUUCUUUUAAGUUUCCCCAGCCCAUUCAGGUGUGUUAUCUCCAACUUUCUCUUUUAUUAUUUAUGUUUUAUUUUUAUUUUUUAUUUUUUAUUUUUUCAUCUUUUUGCAUGCAUAUCUUUUGUUUGUGAAACAUUGAGGACAAUGUUUCAAAUAAGUUUGGGGGUGGGAAUAAUGUGUGCUUUGUUUGUUAUUAAAAAAACCAAAAAAAAAUUAAAAAUUUUCAAAAUUUCAAAAAAAAUUGUUUUUUUCUUUUUGUUUUAAUGUGAAAUGCCAAUGAUAAGAACUUGAUUGACAGUGAAUAUGGUUCUUAGAAAGGGUUGAAUAUUGUCUUUGUUUAUACUUGAUUCUUGUGUUAAUUCCUCUUGAUUGAGAUUCUUUAAACUAUGAGCACUAAUAUCAAUUUGUUCAUGAUUUUGACUUGAAAUUUGAGAUUGAUGCAACCUGAGUUGAGAAUUUUAGAUAGAGUAAAUGAUUGUUUGUCUCGAUUCUUAUCUCCAUAGUACAAAAUAGUAUACACAGGCACCAAAGUCAGAAAUAACUACCUAUAACCCUUAAGAGUGAAGCUAUCCUUGAGUAAUUUGAGCCUAUGUACCACCAGUAUAUAGAGGAUAAUCUACCAUGAGAAGAAGGUUACCUUAAGGGUAGAGUGAAAGCUCCUGACUAUGGUUAAAAAAAAAGAAAAAAAAUCAAGUGGAUGUGCUGAAAUGAAAAAAUAAAAGAAAAUUUACAUAAAAACCUAAAAAAAAAAAAGAGAUUAAGAUGAUAAGAUUAGUUUGACCUAUUUUUUUUCUUUGUUUGAAGCGAAAGCUGUUGAUAUUGAAGAUUUUGGGAAUGGAUUUGAUUGAAUUGAUUUCACACAAACACUACAAGAAUCAAAAGAGAGAUAAGAUUCAUUAUUGAAUUAAAGUUAGAACUUUGCCAAUAUUUGAAAUUUUCUUUGAGCUAUAUAAUCUAUGCAAUCUUUGAGGAUAUUUUCAUGUUUUAUUUAAAGUUUGUUGUUCUUUUUAUUUUUUUAAAAAGAUGUUUGUGGGUAUCAUCGUUGAAGCCCUCACGAGACUGUAACUCAUCCACUAGGGCUGUUGAGUGUUAGAAAAUGCAUAUUUAUAAAGGAGAAAACCGUCAUUUUACAUUUCAAGUCUUACUAACAACCCUUACUUUUAUGUAUUUAACCUUCUUGUGAUGUAAUUACGUGUGUGUUAUUUUAAUUAAGUAUUUUAUGUAUUUUAGGGGCAGUAUAGCCAUUUCACAAUAAAGGAGAGAUCAGACGGCAAAACGGACAUCACUUUUGAACUCAGGACGGUCGAAAACAUUAGGAGGAGCAUAAAAGGAAAAAUGGCACUAUUCACAUGUACGGUACUAUUCACGUGUACGGUACUGUAUACGUUACUGUUCACGACACUGUUCACAUAGACGGAUGAUGACGUGGCAUUGACCGAUGAUGUGGCAUUGACUGAUGAGGUGUCACGAUCCUGUUGGACUAAAAUUCUUAUGUACUGUUGAUGGUGACGUGGCAGCAUAUCAGUGGACGAAAAAUCUCGCGUACGGUGCAUGCAUCACACAGGAUUAUUUUCAACCAAACCUCGUUACUGUUCAUCCGGGUCAAACCGCGUUACUGUUCAAAGUCGGGUCAAACCGUGUUACUGUUCAUCCGCGUGGUCAAACCGUGGACUGUUGACUGAUGACGUGGCGCAAUCCUGAGCGUCCAAACUGUUUUAAUCCGAUGGCCAUGAUUUACUCCAUGUAUCUAUAAAAAGGGGGCCUCCCCCCCUAAUUUGAUAUCUCUGAAUCCAUUUUUGGGAUCCAUUUUCUGUAAUUCCCUCUCCAUCUUGUAUUUUCUUCGUAUUUUAAUAAAUUCCUAUUUUGCCCCUAGUUCAACUAUGAGUGGCUAAUUUUCUUUCAAGCUUGGGUUGAAGGUGAAGUCUCAACAUGUGUCAUGGGCUUAAUUUGGUAAAUUUAUUUUCUCUUCCCCUCUAAUUUUUGUGGAUGUUUUGACUUCUCGUCGACAAAUAAUAAUAGUCUUGUCUAGAUACCGCCUUGGUUACACCGGCUCUCUAGUAUAAGGUUAUUAUUAUUUGGCACGAUAAGCCCUUAGCACCAUAUUGAUUAGAGCGUGGUUCAUGAGGUGUGGAUUCCCCCCUCAUGAUUUAAUUGGCAUUAAUACGGAUUAUUUAGCCCAUGAUGCAUGUUGAUACGGAUCUAGAUACCCAAGUACGUCAUUUCAAUAGAAUUAUCUUCAAUUUAUUCUCGCCAUUGCAAUUCCAAUUUUAGAAUUUAUUCUCGCCAUUUUAAUUUAAGUUUUAGCAUAUACCAAAUUAUUUCCACCAUAAAUCCAACAACCCAUUUACAAAAUUAAUUCUAUACACAAUUAAAAUCCACCUCCUCGUGGGAUCGACACUCGUCACCAUAGAUCUAUACUACAAUAGAUUCGUGCGCUUGCGAGUAUAUUAAAAUUUGCACAACAAGGGCCGCCUAGGGGUUUAAAGGCUUGUUGCAUACGCUAAAUAUAAUCGUGAUUAUCUGUGAAAGUGGUUUACUUUUAUUUUUGUUUUUAGUUUUAGUUUUACUUGAGGACUAGCAAAAUUUAAGUUUGGGGGUAUUUGAUGAACAUAAUUUAUAUACAUAUUUUAUCUUUAAUUAUUUAAUUGUUAAUUACUUUUAUUUAUUAUUUUUAAUUAAUUUAAUUCUUUUAUUGAACAUGGUAAUAAAUUGAAGAUUGAGAAUAAUUUGUCCUUAAAGGGAUCAAAGCUAAAGAGAGUUGAAGAUUGUUCAUGCUCGUUGCCGCGGUGAUAAAGUCGAAAGAAGGAAAAAAAACAAUUAAUUUGAUUGGCCGAAUUAAUAGCUAAAGUACGUGAGAAAUAUUAGCCAAAUUAAAAAGGAAUGAAAAUUCCAAGGGGAGUGCACGUGAGUGAAACCAAAGCAAAUUAAAAGGCUUGGCCUUCGGCUUAUAGUUGGAAAAAGUUGGUGGGGCCCAUUUUAAAGACUAUAUAAGAAAGCUAAACUUUGGCUUUUGGAGAGAGUAGCUGCCAGGAGGUAAAAAGACAAGACGCAAGGCAGAUUAGAAAAGGGGAGCAGCGGCUGCAAUAAUUCAAGUUUAAAGAUGAAAUAUUAUUUAAUGAAAUAAUUAUUUUUUAUUUAAUUAAUUUUCUAUAUGUGUGCUUUAAUAUUUAUGAUUCUUAUUUCACAUGAUUAAUUAGAUGUUAUUAAAUAUUUUCACCAAUUCUAUCAUGUAUUAUCGAUUGUUAAGAUUAAUAUUCGAUUAAAUCUAUGCUUGGAUCUAUAAAAUUUAUACAUGAUUAUCUUUGAUUUUGUGUCUUUCAUUAAAUUGUUUACACAUAGUACUUAGGAAAACUUUUACUCUUUGUUAUUCAAUAUGUUUUCAUAGGAUACUUGAUAUCAUACUAUUAAGCGGAAAAAGAACCUAUACAACAUUAAUUUUUAUUUGAGCUUAAUUGUUAUAUCUAUGAGAUGACAUAGAUUGAUUUCGAGUUGUCACUCUAAAAUUGGGGAUUAAUUAAUAAUUAGAUAAUUAUUAGUUGAAUAGUGGUGGAUUCUGAAACAUUGGUAAUUUUUAUCUUAUUGAAUUCUCCUUUGUUUUAAUUAUUUUCUUAGUUUAAUUGGUUUAAUUUUCUUAGAAAUUCAAUUUGCUCAACUAGGUUAGGAUUAAUAUUAAUUUUAGAUUUAAAUUAGACUUUUCAACUUAUAACAAUCCAUGUGGGUUCGACCUCGUUACCACUAUUCUAUCUCUAAAUUCAUGCGCUUGUAAGUAUAUUAAAAUUUUUCACAACAACUACCUUCCUAAGACUCGAAUUCGGGUGGUCAGCCAAAUAGAAUGUCAUGCACUUUUAGUGUUGUUAAAUUACGCUUAUUAUUUCUAUUUGUUUCAAAAUGUAAUACGUAAAACUUAUUUGAAUUUUGAGUUAUAUUAUGACAAAACUAUUAUUUUAUUAAAUCUAAGUUAAUUCUGACUAUGAGAGGUUUUUAACCAAGACGUUUUGGAUGAUUUUUGAGAAUACAAAAACUAAAACUAGCAUAAACCUUAGGAAUUAAAGAAGUUAUAUGUCCUUAUUUUAUGCCCUUCCGUCCCAAACACAUAAAUAUGAGGGUGAGUGCACUAAGUAAAAAAUUAAUUUGAAAUUAUUUACUUGUGUUGGAACGAAAUCUCUUCAAGGAAUGAUAUGAAGAAGGUAGAUUUUACAUUUAUUGAUUGAUGAGCUCAAAUGAUACAUUUAUGCAAUUGUUUCAACAACAAAUUUCAGACUAUUCCCUUCAUAAAAUGAUGAUCUCUAAAAUACUUCUCAAUCUAUUGUAAUCCUCAGCUUACCUCAUUUUUAUAUAAAAAAAAGAAUAAAAUGGGUUGGAUUCAUGAAAAAUACUUCUUAAAUUGUUUAAAGUGAAUUUUUGCUAGGAUUUGAUUGAACCAUUUAGUGGUCGUUCUCACAAAAUCCAAGAUCAAUUCUAAUUCAAUCAAAUAAAGUUUAUAUUUAGGGGGAGAUUGGGCUAAGUUUGGGUUUAGGCAUGCUUUUCUAACUUUUAGGCCAUAAGGUAUCGCUGAGGUAAUUUAGAAGUCGACUUGAGGCAAUUUGGGACGUCAACUGAAGAGUCCUGAGCUUAGAAUAAUAUAAAGAGGUUUGUGGAGUUAAUUUAAAAAGUUGACAUGAGGAGUUUAAGAGAGCUUAGAGUGUAGUUCUAGUGAACUCAAUGAUAACUCUAGAGAGCUUAUCUAAGAAGCUUAAUAGAGCUCAUGGUAUACCACGAAUGAGCUCGUAUAUGAAGUAUGAUUUGAGCAUUAGCAUCAUUCUAACAAGCAUAAAGUAGAGAACACACAAUAUUUUACAUGUUUCGGCAUUUUGGCCUACAUCGACAGUAGUAAUCAUCUCCAAUCCACUAUAUAUGUGAAGUAUUACAUUAUUUACUUUACAAUAUCAACAAAACCUUACUAAAGGUUGUUGUUGAUGAAUAAUAAUGUUAGAGAGACGUGGAUUUUAUGCAGAUUGAAGAGUUUUCUAAGAGAAUAAUAAGGGAAAAGCUUCCUUGAGAGAUGAAAUGGCCAAAAUCUUCUAUUGAGGUAUAAAAAGUAAGGAAGAAAUAUCAUAAAUGAAGUAAAAAAAAGAUGAAACCGCCUCUUAAGAAGUCAUAUCUUUAAAAGAAGGUCUAAAGUUAAAUAGAGCAAAAGAGGAGAGAGAUCCCUCACUCAAGGUUGAACAAGUGGAGCUUAUAUUGGAGUGUGCUUGAGGGUAUUUUGGUAAUUUUGGACAUAGUGUUCAUUUAAUGGCUAACCUCCCUCGGGUAAUGCUAUUUGAAUAAUUUACCUUGUGUUCCCUUAAUGGUAACAUCCAUAGACUUAGAAGGUAAAGAAAUCUCCAGCCAUAUUUUUGCCUUCAAUAUUGUGCAUGUGGCAGCCUCUCCAGCCUAUGGUCCUGCUGCUUUUCAAAGGAUAGUAAAGGAUAGCUGGCAUGAUCUCCUCCUAUUGCUUUUCUAAAAAAACUUUUAUUCCUACUGGCUUCUUAUUCUUAGCCAAAAUCAAGAUACUUUAUUCUUUCUCAUGAUGGCGUGUAUUGUUCAUGUGCUGUCUCUAUCCACCAAAAUUUGAAUUUCGAUAAUACCUCUUGAUAUUGGGCAUAUUUACCAAACCUGUCCUUUUUCACAAAGAGCUUAUCUUUUAACUUUUGAGAGCUAUAUUGCAAUUCGGUCAAAUGAGACGACUUUAUUAAGGUGAUUUUCUUUGCCACGUGUCGGUAAGUUAUUGCUCCUGUCAGCAUCCAAAUUUCUGCUAAACACAAGCUAUUGGCAUGAUAUGGAGCAGGGACAUCGAUGUAGCUUGCUUUGUAAUUCUAGGACAAUUUGGCCUAUGAUGAAUGCAACAUGGGUAUUUGACAUUUUGUGUUAUGGUAACAAAUAUGGGCAAUUUUCAGAAACCUCCCCUGGGGUUUGAUAUAAUUUCACUUAGAUGGCGAGUUUGAUUGUAUUCUCACUUACCUCCCUUACCGUUAGUAUACAUACGGUUUGACCGUUAGUUGACAAGGGCAAAUAUGUAAAAGAUAAGGUGAAAUUAUAAAAAAAAAUCAAAUAAAAAUAAAAAAAUGAUUUAAAAUCUAUUGGACAAUUGUAUUAACCGAUUAGACAAAUUAUCCAUUGUGUAAAAGAAUGCAUUUCUCUUUCUCUUCUCUUUCCCCAGCACAAAAAACCAAUGAAUGUCAUUCCCUCACAAUUUUCACUCCAUUCACCUACUCUCAUUUGCUGGAACAAAAAGAAAUACACAUCAAGAGCAUACAUAACCCAUGAAGAAGAAAAACAUAGGUGGUCGGAGAAGGUCACCAACCAGUGACGAUCAACGACGGCCGGAAGAUGGCACUGUUAUUGAAGUUUGUAAGAGGUUAGUUAUUUUAUUAAAGUCUAAAAUUUUUAAAUACCUUUAAUUUUCUUAUUUUUAGAGAUUUUAUAAGUGACUGUUGGUUGUGUUUGAUUUGUUUUGUUCAUGGGUUGGUGGUGGAAAUGAAAUGAAAUGAUAUUGAUAGCUAUAUGAGUGUAAGAUUGAUUAUAGAUGAAUAUUAGGAUUGAUUGUUGUGUAAAUAUAAAAAACAGUUUAAUUAAAUUGGUAGGUAAAAAAUGGCACAUGAGGUGUUCGACAAAAUGUCUAUUACGGUUUGUUUGUUUCAUUUUAAGAAGAUUAAGUAUAAUGACACAUUGAUGCGAAGGCAAAUUUUGUAAGCUCAUCAUGUAGAACGACAAAUCUGCGAGAAAGGGCUUAAAAAGGCAUUUACCAAUUCUGUAAAAUCGCAUGCGUGAUGGCAGCCGGUCGCGCGUGCGACGGGGGUUGAAACGCGCCCGCAACGAGCGCUCGUUGCAUUCGCAUUUUAGCACCCAUCGCGCGCAACUACUGCUUGUUGCACGCAGGACGAGCUCAGUAAUGCUAUCUUAACAUUGAAUAGAAAUUCUUAUAGUCAUUUGCAGGUUUAAUUCCAAUUAACUUGGAAGACAACCAUUGGGUACUAGCCCGGGUAGAUUUCCGGCGCAAGCAGAUCUCUAUCUAUGACUCAAUGAAGGAGUUUUGCUAGGACAAAACGUAUGGUCAGCUAUUGAAGCCACUUCAAAUUAUCUUUCCCCAAUGGCUAGAAGAUGUUGGGUUUUACAACAUCCGACCAAACUUAUAUAGUGCGGAAUCCUGGAAACUGGUGAGCUUUGGUGAUGUGCCUCAACAAUAGCACGAAAGCAGCGAUUGUGGGGUGUUUAUGUUAAUGUAUACGAUGUACUCAAUGUUCAAGCUACAAUUUAAUUUUGAUAAUUGGCGUGGACAAUAUUUUAGGAGGAAGAUUGUCGUUGACAUAUUUAACGGUGAUAUUAUGUUAUAAAUGAUAUAUUAUAUUUUAUAUUAAUUAUUGAAUCUUAUGUCGACCGAACUUCCAUUCAUAUAUUUAAGAUUGUUAUUAUGUCUGUUUUGAUACCUUGUGUUAGUGGGUUGAUUGUGGCUUGGUGAGAAUCAAGAGUUGCAUUCUUUUUGUAAUUUCAUUGAGAUGAUGGUGGGUGAAAAUCCAUGUUGUGUUAUAGGUUGAUAGUAGCUUGUGUCAAAUAUUGUUGGUUUGGUUUUGUAGCAAAUUUGAAUCCCUUGAUGUAUUCUGGAGACUAGUAUAGUUUGUUGCUGAGAGAACUAAAUAAUGCUUUUGUAAUUUUUGAUUUUACCUUUAGGCAAGCAUACUGUAAUUUGGGAGAUAAGACGUUGUCUCCGGGGAGACGAGCAAUCGUCACUCCAAAUUACAGAGACAAGCAUUCUGGAAUUUGGGGAGAUAAGCACUGUCGCACGGGAGACAACAACUUGUCUCCCCAAAUUACAGAAUACUUGUUUCUGUAACUUCGAGCUGAGCAUUCUGUAAUUUGGGGAGGCAAGCACUUGUCGCACGGAAGAUAAGUGUUGUCUCCCCAAAUUACAGGAUGUUUACCUGGAGGUGAAAUAAAAAACUACAAAAACAUAAUUUACUUCUCUCAGCAAUAGACCAUACUCUCCAUCAAAUUGUUUGUCACCCAACCGACAAUACAAAUAACAAACAUUUUAGUUUAUGCCGAGACCUAAAAAAUAUUAAUAUCAGUUAAUUAAAUUGGAAAAUAACACUAAUAAAAAUUGACACCAUCACUUAAAUAACAGGCACAUGUGUAUUUCCGUAGCUUACAAUUGGUCAUAAUCAUAAUUUGACUUAAUUUCAUGAGCCUAUACAUCUAGCAUGAGGUAAAUCAUUUUCAAUAUUAGUUUCUGUACAUACAUCUGCAAAGACAUCUCUAUCGUCAUUUUUUGCCAUCAUCUCAAUAAAAUCUUCUAUUGUCGUCACUUGCUCAACUUCAUUAACCUCAUCAUUCAAAUCAGAGAGAGCAAACUCAUUCUCAUCCGCUAAGUUAAAGCAGUCCAUUUGAACUAGCCUUUCAUCUCUAUCAUAUGUGAAUAAGACCACGUUAAUAAGUGAAAGUAAAGUAAUAAUUAUGAAUAAUAAUAAUAAUAAUAAUAAUAAUGGCAUUGCUAAACAACAACAACAGUUACAAUAAUAAAGAAAAAAUGAUAAUAAUAAUACAUUUUAAUAAUUUUCAUGUCACAUGCAUGUCACAUAACAAACAAAAACUGAGUAUGUGCGACAAAAAUGUUGCACGGAAGACAAAACUUGUCGCCAAAAAAUACAGAAUGUUUGUAUGUGAGACAAGAGCAUGUCACCGCACAGAACACAAAAACAUUGUUUCACUUGUCGCCCAAAAAUCCUAGUUGUCGCCUAAAAAAACAGAAAUUGCGUUCGUCUGACAAACAACUGUCACACGGGAGACAAACAACUGUUGCCCAAAAAUACAGAAUAUAUGUGCGACAAGAGGAUAUCGCUGCACAACAGACAAAAAUACUAUUUUUGUGCGACAAGACUUGUCCCCCGUGCGACAAUUUUGUCGCCUUAAAACACAGAAACUCAAUACGGGCGACAUCAGUUCAUCGUACGUGUGACAACAAUGUCAUCCAAAAACUCAGUCUGUAUUAGUGCGACAAGGACUUGUCGCACGGAAGACAAACUUGUCACCCAAAAACGCAGAAACUGUGUUUCUGCGACAGGCGCACACAAACACUGCAAAUUCAUAAACAUAUCAACUUAAGCAAACUUUGGCGGGAAAAAUAAAAAUUACAGCUAAGACUACUUCUAUUUUACACACCCAUUUGCAUAACAAUAACAAUUUUUUUGGCUUUAUAGCCUUAUUACGCUAUGUAUGGUGUAAAUUUUUUCAACUCAUGGCCGCAUAUGGCUAAACUCAUUCUCCUUUUAAUAAAUUUUUCCACCACCAACCCAUGAACAAGACGAAUGAAACACAACCAACAACCACUUAUAAACUCCAAAAACAAAAAAACCAAAGGUAUUUAAAAAUUUUAGAAUUUCAUAAAGUAACUAACCUCUUACAAACUCCAAUAACGGUGGCAUCUUCCGGUCGCCGUUGAUCGUCACCGGUCGCUGGCCUUCUCUAACCACCUAUGUUUUUCUUCUUCAUGGGUUAUGUAUGCUCUUGAUGUGUAUUUCUUUUUGUUCCAGCAAAUGAGAGUAGGUGAGUGGAGUGAAAAUGGUGAGAGAAUGCCAACUAUUGCUUUUUUGUGCUGGGGAAAAAGAAGAGAAAGAGAAAUGCACUCUUUUACACAAUGAAUAUUGUGUCUAAUCGGUUAAUACAAUUGUCCAAAAGAUUUUAAACCAUUUUUUUAUUGUUAUUUGAUUUUUUUAUAAUUUCACCUUGUCUUUUACAUAUUUACCCUCGUCAACUAACGGUCAAACCGUAUGUAUACUAACGGCAGGAGAGGUAAGUGAGAAUACAAUCAAACUCGCCAUCUAAGUGAAAUUAUAUCAAACCUCAAGGGAGGUUUCUGAAAAUUGCCCUAACAAAUAUUCUUCAUUGUCUUAAGAUAGAGUUCAUCAGUCCGUAGGACAAAUAAAUUAAGGCUGCAACAACAACUUUGCAUUUGUAUUUGUAUUUUACUUGUUUUGCUUUGUAUGUCCCGGUUUGACCUGUAAUUAAUAUGCAAUGGCUAGUUUAAUUAAAAAAUAAUAAAAAUUAAACAUUAAGAUUCGGAUAAAGAUCCUUUCAUGAUCUAAUAAUAUCUUUACUUAAUUAUUAUAUUCUCAUUUAUUCAUUAUUAAUCAUGUAAGUGUAUUUACUCAGGUAAAAUAUCAUAUCAGAUCAUUGACUCGAUUUCUGGAUAACCAGCUUAUCCAUGCAUGCUUUAUUAAACAACACCACUUGUUCAUUUAUUUUACUAAUGCACUCUAGUUGACCAUGGACGAAUGAAACCAUCCAUGGAUGCGGAGGAACUUCAACCACCUUUCCGUCGUUGUUAACCGCAACCCGAACCCGAUCACACCUAAAAUCUUGGGGAACUGAUUGCAUUAACAUAUGGAUUCUCUUUCUCUAUGAUAACAGCAGCACCCUCCCCAUUUACCCAACCAACUCUGGCCAUGAGCGCUUAUCUGUAAUAAUAGAUAUUUCAUAUUAUUUUUAAAAAUUAUUAAUUAACACAACCGAUCAAAAUUAAAGCUGCUCAUCAUUAACCAAACACGGCCAUAAUUAUGUACGACCUUUACUCUUAAAAAUUAAGAUAAGUUAUGAUAUUGCAAUUGCUGGUACCCAUGAGGAGCUCCUCGCCAUCGGGACGAAGCACUAAAGGCUCGUGACGGGCAGCCAAAGAUGGAUUUGUAACGAAGGCAACAAACAGGCGAAGGGUGCUACUGGUAGUAUUGAGCUCUUCAUUGUUGAUAACUUUUUAUUUAUUUUUCAAAGGUUGUCAGAUAUGCAGAAGUGAUGCACAAUUGCUUGAUAUUUAUAGUGCUUGUAGGAAUAGAUCACAUAAGUUGGUCAGUACUGCACUGCUACAUAUUCGAUUAAUUAUUUGGGCGUGUCACGUGUGCGCACAUGACUUGCUCAUAAAAAAUAUCUUAAUUUUCUUUUUGUGAUUCUAGCCCGAUUUGGCCAAUCCACCCAAAAAAAAAAAAAAAUUGUAGAGGUUAAGGGUAUAUUAUUUACCCCCAUUCACUCCAUUUUGGGAUAAAUAGCAUAUCCAUGCAAGCUUUAUUAAAUGACUCUACCUAUUCAUUUAUUUACUAAUACACAAUAAUUGAUCAAGAACAUGGUGAUCGUAGAUAAUUAUUGAUAUCAAAAUUUGGAACGAUACUAACUGCUGCGAAAGAGUUCGUUUACUUAGGGAAUAGGUUAUGGGAGAGCUUGAUGUUCUAGGAAUAAAGAGCUUAGUGGUCGAAAUCCUAUAAAACAAUAAGCCCAUCAGAGGUGGCCGGGAGUGUUACUAAUGUAAACCUUCCGAUGCUUAAGUCAGAGAUUGAGAUUACCAUGAUAACAAAUAAAUAAUAAAAGAAAGGAAAGAGCGUAAAAGACUAGGCUUAAAGGAUAUUGUGCUCCCUCCUCCAAUAUGGCUAUUUCUUAUGUCCUACCUUUUAUAUUGUAUUCCAUACCUUCAUUACUAGAAAAAAGGACCUUUAUGAUGGUUAUUACCCGUCAUCUGCCCUAUGGCAUGACAGUUGAGUGACCGUCAUUAAUUUCGGUGUCAAGAAAAUAAGAUGUCAGUUUUUAUAUGUUAUGUUAUGCAUGACGUAUUAUCUAUCACAAUUCUGUCAUUGUUACUUUAAUGAAAAAUUUCAGGCAUGAUUAAUAUCUAUCAUAAACACUUCCUAUUCACGACUGUUGUUUGUCAUAUAACAUGACAUCUUUAAUUGGAAUAAUAAAUUAUUUAAUUAUUUUAAUUAAAUAUUAAUUCCUUUAAAAUUAUUUUUAUUAAAUCUAACAAGAAUAAUUGAAAUUUCUUUAAGAUAUAUUUUGGCGGUAAAUAAAAUAAAAUAAUUGUUUUGUUUAUAAUUUUUUUUUGCGGGAAUUGAAAUAUUUUCUUUAAAUUAUUACAUAAAUAGAAAAAUCUAUAUAUAUAACUCAUAUAUAAUAAUUCUCAAAUCCAUCCACAAGUUUCAUAGAUUGUAGUUUAGUUUUGAAAUAAAAUAACUACAACAAUUAUAGUUAAAUGAAUACUUCAUUGAUUCUUAAUUUGCAUCCUAACGCAUUACAGUUACAAUUCUUAAAUGAAGAAUCUUGAGCCAACCAGUUGAAGCAACCAGCAACACCGCUUGAGUCAACCAUAUGCAUAAACCAGCAACAUAAUUAGCUGAUUCAAGCACCUGAUUAACACAACAAUAACAAUCUUAAAUCAACACCAAGAACAGACCGAACUGCCAUCANNNNNNNNNNNNNNNNNNNNNNNNNNNNNNNNNNNNNNNNNNNNNNNNNNNNNNNNNNNNNNNNNNNNNNNNNNNNNNNNNNNNNNNNNNNNNNNNNNNNNNNNNNNNNNNNNNNNNNNNNNNNNNNNNNNNNNNNNNNNNNNNNNNNNNNNNNNNNNNNNNNNNNNNNNNNNNNNNNNNNNNNNNNNNNNNNNNNNNNNNNNNNNNNNNNNNNNNNNNNNNNNNNNNNNNNNNNNNNNNNNNNNNNNNNNNNNNNNNNNNNNNNNNNNNNNNNNNNNNNNNNNNNNNNNNNNNNNNNNNNNNNNNNNNNNNNNNNNNNNNNNNNNNNNNNNNNNNNNNNNNNNNNNNNNNNNNNNNNNNNNNNNNNNNNNNNNNNNNNNNNNNNNNNNNNNNNNNNNNNNNNNNNNNNNNNNNNNNNNNNNNNNNNNNNNNNNNNNNNNNNNNNNNNNNNNNNNNNNNNNNNNNNNNNNNNNNNNNNNNNNNNNNNNNNNNNNNNNNNNNNNNNNNNNNNNNNNNNNNNNNNNNNNNNNNNNNNNNNNNNNNNNNNNNNNNNNNNNNNNNNNNNNNNNNNNNNNNNNNNNNNNNNNNNNNNNNNNNNNNNNNNNNNNNNNNNNNNNNNNNNNNNNNNNNNNNNNNNNNNNNNNNNNNNNNNNNNNNNNNNNNNNNNNNNNNNNNNNNNNNNNNNNNNNNNNNNNNNNNNNNNNNNNNNNNNNNNNNNNNNNNNNNNNNNNNNNNNNNNNNNNNNNNNNNNNNNNNNNNNNNNNNNNNNNNNNNNNNNNNNNNNNNNNNNNNNNNNNNNNNNNNNNNNNNNNNNNNNNNNNNNNNNNNNNNNNNNNNNNNNNNNNNNNNNNNNNNNNNNNNNNNNNNNNNNNNNNNNNNNNNNNNNNNNNNNNNNNNNNNNNNNNNNNNNNNNNNNNNNNNNNNNNNNNNNNNNNNNNNNNNNNNNNNNNNNNNNNNNNNNNNNNNNNNNNNNNNNNNNNNNNNNNNNNNNNNNNNNNNNNNNNNNNNNNNNNNNNNNNNNNNNNNNNNNNNNNNNNNNNNNNNNNNNNNNNNNNNNNNNNNNNNNNNNNNNNNNNNNNNNNNNNNNNNNNNNNNNNNNNNNNNNNNNNNNNNNNNNNNNNNNNNNNNNNNNNNNNNNNNNNNNNNNNNNNNNNNNNNNNNNNNNNNNNNNNNNNNNNNNNNNNNNNNNNNNNNNNNNNNNNNNNNNNNNNNNNNNNNNNNNNNNNNNNNNNNNNNNNNNNNNNNNNNNNNNNNNNNNNNNNNNNNNNNNNNNNNNNNNNNNNNNNNNNNNNNNNNNNNNNNNNNNNNNNNNNNNNNNNNNNNNNNNNNNNNNNNNNNNNNNNNNNNNNNNNNNNNNNNNNNNNNNNNNNNNNNNNNNNNNNNNNNNNNNNNNNNNNNNNNNNNNNNNNNNNNNNNNNNNNNNNNNNNNNNNNNNNNNNNNNNNNNNNNNNNNNNNNNNNNNNNNNNNNNNNNNNNNNNNNNNNNNNNNNNNNNNNNNNNNNNNNNNNNNNNNNNNNNNNNNNNNNNNNNNNNNNNNNNNNNNNNNNNNNNNNNNNNNNNNNNNNNNNNNNNNNNNNNNNNNNNNNNNNNNNNNNNNNNNNNNNNNNNNNNNNNNNNNNNNNNNNNNNNNNNNNNNNNNNNNNNNNNNNNNNNNNNNNNNNNNNNNNNNNNNNNNNNNNNNNNNNNNNNNNNNNNNNNNNNNNNNNNNNNNNNNNNNNNNNNNNNNNNNNNNNNNNNNNNNNNNNNNNNNNNNNNNNNNNNNNNNNNNNNNNNNNNNNNNNNNNNNNNNNNNNNNNNNNNNNNNNNNNNNNNNNNNNNNNNNNNNNNNNNNNNNNNNNNNNNNNNNNNNNNNNNNNNNNNNNNNNNNNNNNNNNNNNNNNNNNNNNNNNNNNNNNNNNNNNNNNNNNNNNNNNNNNNNNNNNNNNNNNNNNNNNNNNNNNNNNNNNNNNNNNNNNNNNNNNNNNNNNNNNNNNNNNNNNNNNNNNNNNNNNNNNNNNNNNNNNNNNNNNNNNNNNNNNNNNNNNNNNNNNNNNNNNNNNNNNNNNNNNNNNNNNNNNNNNNNNNNNNNNNNNNNNNNNNNNNNNNNNNNNNNNNNNNNNNNNNNNNNNNNNNNNNNNNNNNNNNNNNNNNNNNNNNNNNNNNNNNNNNNNNNNNNNNNNNNNNNNNNNNNNNNNNNNNNNNNNNNNNNNNNNNNNNNNNNNNNNNNNNNNNNNNNNNNNNNNNNNNNNNNNNNNNNNNNNNNNNNNNNNNNNNNNNNNNNNNNNNNNNNNNNNNNNNNNNNNNNNNNNNNNNNNNNNNNNNNNNNNNNNNNNNNNNNNNNNNNNNNNNNNNNNNNNNNNNNNNNNNNNNNNNNNNNNNNNNNNNNNNNNNNNNNNNNNNNNNNNNNNNNNNNNNNNNNNNNNNNNNNNNNNNNNNNNNNNNNNNNNNNNNNNNNNNNNNNNNNNNNNNNNNNNNNNNNNNNNNNNNNNNNNNNNNNNNNNNNNNNNNNNNNNNNNNNNNNNNNNNNNNNNNNNNNNNNNNNNNNNNNNNNNNNNNNNNNNNNNNNNNNNNNNNNNNNNNNNNNNNNNNNNNNNNNNNNNNNNNNNNNNNNNNNNNNNNNNNNNNNNNNNNNNNNNNNNNNNNNNNNNNNNNNNNNNNNNNNNNNNNNNNNNNNNNNNNNNNNNNNNNNNNNNNNNNNNNNNNNNNNNNNNNNNNNNNNNNNNNNNNNNNNNNNNNNNNNNNNNNNNNNNNNNNNNNNNNNNNNNNNNNNNNNNNNNNNNNNNNNNNNNNNNNNNNNNNNNNNNNNNNNNNNNNNNNNNNNNNNNNNNNNNNNNNNNNNNNNNNNNNNNNNNNNNNNNNNNNNNNNNNNNNNNNNNNNNNNNNNNNNNNNNNNNNNNNNNNNNNNNNNNNNNNNNNNNNNNNNNNNNNNNNNNNNNNNNNNNNNNNNNNNNNNNNNNNNNNNNNNNNNNNNNNNNNNNNNNNNNNNNNNNNNNNNNNNNNNNNNNNNNNNNNNNNNNNNNNNNNNNNNNNNNNNNNNNNNNNNNNNNNNNNNNNNNNNNNNNNNNNNNNNNNNNNNNNNNNNNNNNNNNNNNNNNNNNNNNNNNNNNNNNNNNNNNNNNNNNNNNNNNNNNNNNNNNNNNNNNNNNNNNNNNNNNNNNNNNNNNNNNNNNNNNNNNNNNNNNNNNNNNNNNNNNNNNNNNNNNNNNNNNNNNNNNNNNNNNNNNNNNNNNNNNNNNNNNNNNNNNNNNNNNNNNNNNNNNNNNNNNNNNNNNNNNNNNNNNNNNNNNNNNNNNNNNNNNNNNNNNNNNNNNNNNNNNNNNNNNNNNNNNNNNNNNNNNNNNNNNNNNNNNNNNNNNNNNNNNNNNNNNNNNNNNNNNNNNNNNNNNNNNNNNNNNNNNNNNNNNNNNNNNNNNNNNNNNNNNNNNNNNNNNNNNNNNNNNNNNNNNNNNNNNNNNNNNNNNNNNNNNNNNNNNNNNNNNNNNNNNNNNNNNNNNNNNNNNNNNNNNNNNNNNNNNNNNNNNNNNNNNNNNNNNNNNNNNNNNNNNNNNNNNNNNNNNNNNNNNNNNNNNNNNNNNNNNNNNNNNNNNNNNNNNNNNNNNNNNNNNNNNNNNNNNNNNNNNNNNNNNNNNNNNNNNNNNNNNNNNNNNNNNNNNNNNNNNNNNNNNNNNNNNNNNNNNNNNNNNNNNNNNNNNNNNNNNNNNNNNNNNNNNNNNNNNNNNNNNNNNNNNNNNNNNNNNNNNNNNNNNNNNNNNNNNNNNNNNNNNNNNNNNNNNNNNNNNNNNNNNNNNNNNNNNNNNNNNNNNNNNNNNNNNNNNNNNNNNNNNNNNNNNNNNNNNNNNNNNNNNNNNNNNNNNNNNNNNNNNNNNNNNNNNNNNNNNNNNNNNNNNNNNNNNNNNNNNNNNNNNNNNNNNNNNNNNNNNNNNNNNNNNNNNNNNNNNNNNNNNNNNNNNNNNNNNNNNNNNNNNNNNNNNNNNNNNNNNNNNNNNNNNNNNNNNNNNNNNNNNNNNNNNNNNNNNNNNNNNNNNNNNNNNNNNNNNNNNNNNNNNNNNNNNNNNNNNNNNNNNNNNNNNNNNNNNNNNNNNNNNNNNNNNNNNNNNNNNNNNNNNNNNNNNNNNNNNNNNNNNNNNNNNNNNNNNNNNNNNNNNNNNNNNNNNNNNNNNNNNNNNNNNNNNNNNNNNNNNNNNNNNNNNNNNNNNNNNNNNNNNNNNNNNNNNNNNNNNNNNNNNNNNNNNNNNNNNNNNNNNNNNNNNNNNNNNNNNNNNNNNNNNNNNNNNNNNNNNNNNNNNNNNNNNNNNNNNNNNNNNNNNNNNNNNNNNNNNNNNNNNNNNNNNNNNNNNNNNNNNNNNNNNNNNNNNNNNNNNNNNNNNNNNNNNNNNNNNNNNNNNNNNNNNNNNNNNNNNNNNNNNNNNNNNNNNNNNNNNNNNNNNNNNNNNNNNNNNNNNNNNNNNNNNNNNNNNNNNNNNNNNNNNNNNNNNNNNNNNNNNNNNNNNNNNNNNNNNNNNNNNNNNNNNNNNNNNNNNNNNNNNNNNNNNNNNNNNNNNNNNNNNNNNNNNNNNNNNNNNNNNNNNNNNNNNNNNNNNNNNNNNNNNNNNNNNNNNNNNNNNNNNNNNNNNNNNNNNNNNNNNNNNNNNNNNNNNNNNNNNNNNNNNNNNNNNNNNNNNNNNNNNNNNNNNNNNNNNNNNNNNNNNNNNNNNNNNNNNNNNNNNNNNNNNNNNNNNNNNNNNNNNNNNNNNNNNNNNNNNNNNNNNNNNNNNNNNNNNNNNNNNNNNNNNNNNNNNNNNNNNNNNNNNNNNNNNNNNNNNNNNNNNNNNNNNNNNNNNNNNNNNNNNNNNNNNNNNNNNNNNNNNNNNNNNNNNNNNNNNNNNNNNNNNNNNNNNNNNNNNNNNNNNNNNNNNNNNNNNNNNNNNNNNNNNNNNNNNNNNNNNNNNNNNNNNNNNNNNNNNNNNNNNNNNNNNNNNNNNNNNNNNNNNNNNNNNNNNNNNNNNNNNNNNNNNNNNNNNNNNNNNNNNNNNNNNNNNNNNNNNNNNNNNNNNNNNNNNNNNNNNNNNNNNNNNNNNNNNNNNNNNNNNNNNNNNNNNNNNNNNNNNNNNNNNNNNNNNNNNNNNNNNNNNNNNNNNNNNNNNNNNNNNNNNNNNNNNNNNNNNNNNNNNNNNNNNNNNNNNNNNNNNNNNNNNNNNNNNNNNNNNNNNNNNNNNNNNNNNNNNNNNNNNNNNNNNNNNNNNNNNNNNNNNNNNNNNNNNNNNNNNNNNNNNNNNNNNNNNNNNNNNNNNNNNNNNNNNNNNNNNNNNNNNNNNNNNNNNNNNNNNNNNNNNNNNNNNNNNNNNNNNNNNNNNNNNNNNNNNNNNNNNNNNNNNNNNNNNNNNNNNNNNNNNNNNNNNNNNNNNNNNNNNNNNNNNNNNNNNNNNNNNNNNNNNNNNNNNNNNNNNNNNNNNNNNNNNNNNNNNNNNNNNNNNNNNNNNNNNNNNNNNNNNNNNNNNNNNNNNNNNNNNNNNNNNNNNNNNNNNNNNNNNNNNNNNNNNNNNNNNNNNNNNNNNNNNNNNNNNNNNNNNNNNNNNNNNNNNNNNNNNNNNNNNNNNNNNNNNNNNNNNNNNNNNNNNNNNNNNNNNNNNNNNNNNNNNNNNNNNNNNNNNNNNNNNNNNNNNNNNNNNNNNNNNNNNNNNNNNNNNNNNNNNNNNNNNNNNNNNNNNNNNNNNNNNNNNNNNNNNNNNNNNNNNNNNNNNNNNNNNNNNNNNNNNNNNNNNNNNNNNNNNNNNNNNNNNNNNNNNNNNNNNNNNNNNNNNNNNNNNNNNNNNNNNNNNNNNNNNNNNNNNNNNNNNNNNNNNNNNNNNNNNNNNNNNNNNNNNNNNNNNNNNNNNNNNNNNNNNNNNNNNNNNNNNNNNNNNNNNNNNNNNNNNNNNNNNNNNNNNNNNNNNNNNNNNNNNNNNNNNNNNNNNNNNNNNNNNNNNNNNNNNNNNNNNNNNNNNNNNNNNNNNNNNNNNNNNNNNNNNNNNNNNNNNNNNNNNNNNNNNNNNNNNNNNNNNUCAGUUUGAUACUGCCAUAAAAUGCAAGUACACAUAUGCACAAACUAGAUAUAAGCAAGCUGAUGUUCAAUGCUAUGGAUACUAUGUUACACAUACAAACUCAAUCCUUAAUAACAUUAGAUGAUCAAUUUAUAGCAUGUUAUGAGUAUAUCCUUCCAAAUAUACACAACUCAAAAUGUUAAAGAACAAUCCAAUAUAUCUUACCCGUAUUAGAAAAAAACCAUAAAUGGUUUAAUAGUUGAAAAAAAAAAUCCCAUUUAUCAUGCUAUAAAUGUCUCAGUACAAUAAUUAAAUAAUGUAUAGAUUAAACUUAACACAUUAAGUAAAUAUCUAAAUACAACCAAAACAAAGCUUAAGUUCUAAGUUAAUAUUGCCAAGAUCCAAGCAUUAAUGUCACAAAACGAAAAUCUAACCAAAAACAAAAAGUUUUAGCACUGUAGUAAGCCAAUAACGCAUCAUUAAUCUUCAAUCUUUACUCAAAUCAUAGUUACAGAACCAUAUACGAGACUACUAAAACAGAAAAAUUAAUAUAAAAAGUUAAAGCCAAAGACAUAGUCAAAGUUGAUCAUCACCCAUCAUAAUUCCCCUAUUAUAAUGAUAAGAUAUUGAAAUAUAUCAAUCAAAUUGAGUACUAAGAAAUAUUGAAAAAUGAUGAAGGUUCGAAUUAUAAAAUUACCAAAAUGCCGUCAUAGACCAAUGAUGACCGGAAUUCAUACAAUGGUGACUGGGAAGGUCGAGAUAGAAGCUUCAUACUACAUUGAAUCCAAUGGCGGCGGCGGUGUGCUCCAACGCAUAGCCACGGCACCGGAUUGAGCUUCGAUAGCCGUGAAAUUUUAAUGGUUGAUCGAUGGCGAUUUGGUUGUUUUUUAUGACGAUUUCUGGUCGAGUUUUGAAGAGGGUGUCGUGAGGGGCAAAACCCAGACGACGGCGUCUCAGAAAUCUGACAAAAUCGCCGUCGAUUAGAGGCGGCAAUUACCGCGACCUUUCGGGCUUCUUACUAUGGCCUUUUGCCAUUUCGACGACAAUGAUGGCUGGGUAAUGACCGGCGGCUGUUGGAGGUUCCAUUGGUACCCUCUAUUGCUGGUGAGGUGGCCGGAAUCGAGGCAGCUAGGAUUGCCUCUUGGAGGGGCUAUGCAGUGUUUGAGAGAGAGGGAUCCGUGAGAGAGAGAGAGAGAGUUAGUAAAUUUUGUUUGUUGAUAUGUUUUAGGUUCAUUGUCUUAGCCAUUCUUUAAAGAAUAAUUUAAACAUUUAAUAAAAAAAUAUUACAGCUAAUUAAACGGUACCAUUUCAAAAACUAUAUAAGUCCAUAUUACAAAAACAUGACUUAUAUCUAUCAUCUAUUUAUGUCUUUAAAUUUUAAGUCACGAAUAUAUCAUCAAUUCAUGAUAUAUGUAUAUAUGUCAUGAAUCUAUCAUAUUUUCUUGAUAAACUAGUGACAUAACAAGAUAAGUCAUAAAAUUUAUGUCAUUAUUCAGCGUUUUUUUAAAAGUGCUUUGAGUAGUAACCUCUUUAUAUAAGAGAGAUUAUCAGAAGUAGAUUUAAUUAAGAAAACUUAUCUCUUAUUUUAUAGGACUUGACUUGGACGAGAAUUAGGACUUGUAUUGUUUUAUUUAGAUUUGGACAUGUCCUUGGGUUCUUAACCUCAGGUUUGGUAAAAAUAUGGCUAUAACAGGAGCCUUCCAGUUUAUAGUAUUCACGAGUUUACUAGUGAAUAGUGUAAACUGAAAUAAUUAUAGUAUGUUAGGUUUUUUUACCAUCCCUUGUAAUAUGACAUGAGAAAAUCUCGAAGGACAUGAGAGAAUCUUAAAUGUUAUGAGGAAAUCUCUAAUAUCAUGAGAACUACUUGAAUGACAUCUUGAGUUCGGGCCAUAAGAAGGGCCAUAAUAACUGAAUUGGGUCAUAGUAGAGGGCCAAAAUAAUUAUGAUCGGGCCAUAGUUGAAGGCCAAAAUAAUUAAUGUACCAAACAAAAGUUUUUGAGCUACCCAUCACUAAACAUCCAUCGAAACACCGCUGAUCGAAGUUUGAAAAUUUGUGACUUUGCCGCCUCGAUCUGCCAUUGAUCUUGUCAGAGUUUGACUGCGCCACUGAUGGGAUCUUUUACGCCACCUUACCAUCUACCAUUUCCAACCAUUCACUGUCAGUGGAGACUGCUGCUUGCCAUUGAACGGCCACAUCGAGAUUUAUGGAUAUCGAGCUAGAUUUCGAUGCCGCCUUUGCGUUUGGAAGCUCAUGGCUGGUACCGUUGAACUCAGCUCGGCCAAAAGUGUAUAGCCCAAGCCUCCUAGUCGUCAUAGGUUGACUUUUGGUCACCGUUUACUGAGAAGGGCAUUUUGACAAUUUCACUCUACGUGGACAACUUCAUAAAUUCUAGUCUUGUGGAUAUUUUAGUACUCUGAAUUGAGGGUAGUUUUGGUAAUUUAGGAUUAUGAGGGUAAUUCAGUAAUUUAUGAUUUUAGGGGUAUUUUAGUAAUUUAUCAAUGGAGUGGUAUUUUGGUAAUUUUAUGGAUGCGGGAAUGGUCAAUUGCUGAUAAAUGUCGUUUCGAGCUUGUUAGUUGUAUUUCACAUUUAUGAAAAAUAAUUAUGUCGUUUUCUUGGUUUAAGAGGAAUCGGGAGCAAGAACAAAUUCAUGGAUGUUGACAAUACCUAAGUUUGAGUAUCAUCACUAUGAGUGCAAUAUACAAAACACAUUUUUAUAGUUUAUUACGAUAGUAAAGUACCUUUGUGAAAUAAGUAUUUUAAAUGCUCGAAUUUAAUUAUUUUCUCGAAAUGGAUAUUAUUCGCACAUUGAUAUGUUAUUAAAAAAUGUAUUGUUAAUGGGUAUGGUUAAUGGUUUUCUAUUUCAACUUUGAAUAAAACAUGAUAGUAUUUUAAAGACAAGAAAAGUGAAUUCAAAUAUGUUAAUAAAAGCAAAAGUAUGAUUUAAAUUAUGAUUAAAUGUUAUAUGAAUAUAAGUAUAAAGAUUGGCUUUGAAAUAAUUAGACAAAAUCCUUACCCUCUAGAUAAAGUGACAUAGAUAAGAUGAGAGGUGUUUGGGAUCUGUCUAAACACACAUAGUCUCAGGGUCGUGUGUUUAGGCACUUUUUCCUUUUAGAGGCUUAUGCAUGAGUAUGAUGAUAACAAAGAUAUAGUUAUUGAGAUAUAGAUGAGAUACAGGCCUUUGGGGCCCAUUUGAGUAGAUACAGAGGCUUUGAGCUAUGUGCUUGGGUGCUUUUGUCCUUUAGUAAUGUAACGACUUGCCUCGAACUCCACAGGAUGAAUCUAACUGCAACUCAUAUAUAUAUAUAUAUAUAUAUAUAUAUAUACACACACUUAAAAAUAAUAAUCCUUUUACAGUCCAUAAAAAUUCUAGCCUCAGAUACAAAUAUAUUACACAAUCUGCAACGGAGGAAUUUAAAAUUUAUGCCAAACCAUCUACUGUCCUCAAUUCAUGUGCUUCUUCUCGACACUCAUCAUGAAUCAAUCUUGAUUUAUGAGAACUGAAUUUUAGUAAACUAUAAUAAGUAUGAAACUCAGUAAGUAAACUAGUUUUUCAUAUACCAAAAUACAUACACACAUGCAUAUAUUUAAUGCAAAUGGAUGAUGUGCCAUGGUAUUCAAAAACAUUGUAAAACAAAUCAUCAAAAUCUCAAUUCUGUCAUUUUCAAACUUGCACAUUUUAUUUCAAAUCACUUACUUGAGCUACCUUAAUUCAAUUAUCGCUUAGUAGGAUACUCCCUUAACUUUCAGACACUUUGGGCUUCAUGUCAAUGCGUCCCUUGCCCACUUGUCUCAUAUCCAUAAUAUAACAUCCAGGGUGUCCUUCACUAAGCGAGUAACGAAUUCAAGCAUCCAAACCAAAACUAUAAAACAAACUUUCUUUCUUUAAAUUCUGUUUCGCUAAAAUCCACUUUCUCAUUUUAUAGAAAACAUAAUGCAUUUCAUACUAAUGGCAAUGAAACAUUCACACAUACAUAUGCCCAUGUCCAUAAACACACAUAACAACACAUCAUAUCAAUGCAUCACAUAAACACAUGGGCAAAACAUACAAAUCUAUAUCCGUAUAUAUCAAAAUAGGCUUUUCAAACAUUUCAAACAUAUAUAUUGUUUAUUGUGAUUCAUUUCAAAAUCUAGUUUACUUACCUCCUGGCAUCCUUAAGCAAUAAAUACAUACCGAUAUCAUUGGCCUAAAAAUAAAUAAAAAUACUCUAAUAAGAUAAAAUUAAAUCAUGAUAAUAAACUCCAAUGUUUUAAAAUUUCUCACUAUAAUCACAUUCCAUACUUAACCUCAAAUAAUCUCAAUUUAAAUCAUAAAUUACCAAAAUACACUCGAAAUCAUAAAUUUUUGAAAUACCCUCAAAAUUAUCAUUUACCAAAUUAUCCUCGAAACCAUAAAUUAUUGAGAUGCCUUCAAAAUCAUAAAUUACAUAAAUAACCUCAAAAUCUUGAAAUCACAAAUUACUAAUUAUUCUUCAAUUCAGAAACUACCGAAAUAUCCAUAAUUUAAUAAAUUACAAAAUUACCCUCAAAUAAUAAAAUUACCGAAUUGCCCUCAAAUUCAAAUAUUACUAAAUUACCCCUAUAGUUAUUCGCCAAAUUAACCUCAAAAUCAUAAAUUACAAAUUAUCCUCAAUUUUAGAAAUUACUAAAAUAUCCACAAAGUCUGAAAUUACAAAAUUUCCCUAAAAGUACAAAAUAACCCAAGUGCCUUUGCUGGUCAACGGUGACUGGAAUUCCACCGACGACGACAAAAAGAUUAGGUCUGGUAGUUCUGACCAUGCUGAGUCUAAUUGUGAUGGUCAUGCGACGCCGGCUCCAAAUAGAGCUCCCAAAGCCGUAAAUCCUUCAACGGCCGAUCAAUGGCAAAUCGGCUCCCUCGGUGGCUGUGGUUGGUCAGAAAAGACAAAGGGGAUUAUGGGGAACAAAACCCAAGUGGCGAUGUGGCCUAACUCCGGUGAAAACGUACCGAAUUGAGGCCGCGAUUCUGUGAAACUUCAAGGCUUCGAUCGGUGGUCUUCCAACCGUUUUCUAGCGACAUGAACGAUAGGUAAAUGAUCUGCGUUGCAUGAGCUUUUGAUCGGUACCAAGAUUGAUCGGUGGGGUGGCCGGAAAUAGGAGAUCCAACCGGGUCACGUUCGCAGGUCGGGUUGACCCGGUUCGAUUUCUCCUCUCUCUCAUCUCUCUCUAUUUAUAAGGGUGUGGGGGUAUUACAAGGGACUAAUUUAUGCAUGUCAAGAUAUGAUGAGAUAUAUGUGAUACAUGAGAAAGUACUUCAUUGGCCUACCUGUUGCACCUCCGAGGACAUGACGGUUCCCUAAUAAUGUGUGUCAUUGCCCGUCCGUAGAGGUCCGACUAUGACGAGAUGGUCCCCCUGGGUAAUUGUUUGGUGAUAAUUUCAUAAUUGAGUACUUUACUUUAUGUUUUGAUAUGAUUUCGAUGAGUAUUAUGUACAAUAUCAUGUUUUCUUUUAAAUGACAUUCAUUCGGUUUAAAGUUUGCAUAACAUAACUAUGUUCAUGCUUAUAGGUUGAUGAAAACGGUAUUCAGAAAAGAUUUGACUAAUUUAUAACAAUUUAUUUUCAAAAACUACUAGUCACUCACAGAGCACAUUGAGUUUUAUACUCAGUCCCUCUUACCAAGAGAUUUGCAGGUACAACAGUCGACCCAACAAUGAUAGUUAUUUUGAAAUUAUGGCAACGUAAUAGUGCUAGGAGUAGUAGAUGUUUUUGUUGAGAUAUUUUGAAUUGUAUAAUUUAAUACUCUUAGAUCAAAAUCAAAAUUGAUGGUCUGGCGAAGGGAAAACCUAGGUCUUGCAACUUGUGGUGCCGUGUUUCGUGGUUACAAUGGUGCUUCCUGAGGUUGUUUUGCAUAGCCCCUUAGCCAUCAAAUGUCUUUUUAUGCCAAAAUAUAUGCUAUUUUAAAGGCUAUUGAGUUCGCAACUUCGAAAGGUUGGAAUUUUAUCUAGUUGGAUAGUGACUUGCUUAAAUUUUAGCUUGUUUUACAAGUACUAAAUUCAAGCUGAAUGGCGUCUCUGUAUCAAAUGGUUCAAUAGUUUGAGAUUUAUUCAUGGAAUACGCUUUGUUCGUCCAUUUAUCUAUAGAGAGAGGAAUUCAAUGGUUGAUAGUAUUGUUAAUUUGAGAUUAAAUCUUAAUACAUACUUAAAAUUCAUGGGAUGAUCCUCUUGUUUUAACUCAUUUGAGUUUGCAUGAGGAUGCUUGCAGUCUUCACCAAUAUCAUUUCAAAUGAUCGUUUUUGUAUUCGUUCUUCUCCAUUUUUUCCCUUAAUAAAAUUGAGUAUCAUUUAUUUUUUAAAAAAUAAAAUUGAACACCCAUUUAUAGAUUUGAAAACUCAAAAGGACCUUUUGGGAAUUCUUCCUUUUUAAAGAAAAAAUGUUAUCAAUAAUGUAAGUGUUUAUAGAAUACUCCCCUAAAAUAAUCUAAACAAUUUUAACUGCGAGCUUUUGAAGUGAGUUUUUAUAAUAGAGACCAUAAUAAUUCCAAGCCCAAAUUAAAAGAAAUUUUUUCCCUUUUUUGAUAUAGUAAAGGAAUUAACAUUUAGAUAACAACUGUUUUUUUUAUCUGAACGUUAAAUAGGGUUGAAUACAAAUAUCUAAAUGACAUGUUUAUUUUUUUUAAUAUAUGAAUAUAAAUGAUAUUUUUUCAUUAAAAAAAUCUUAAACAUGGUUAUUUAACAUUUAUAUCGUUGCAAAUAAAAAAAAAUAAAUGGGGGAUUAGAUUUUAUAGUUUAGGUAAUAAACGUUUUAUGGAGAUAUUUUUUUAAUAUAAUAUUUUACUUCUCAUUCAGUCAUUUUUCCAUUAAGAUAAAAGUCACAUAAAGUCUACUUUUCUAUUCAGAAGUAAAUGUUUGAAAAUCAAAUAUAACUUAUAAAAAAUUAACAAAUAAACUUUAGAAAAGGUCUAAAACAAAUAAAAUUUACAUUUAACAAACCAACCCUUAGACUAGUAGUGCAUUUGAUGACACUAAAGGAAAGUCAUGUUUUAAAAUUUUUUAUAAUUGUUCGGGAAUGAUAAACAAAUUAUAAUCUAUUAAUUUUAUAGUCCUUCUGGGAUAUGAGGGUGAAUAAAUAAGAACUUCAUGUAUCAAAUUUUGUUUAUCAAAAUACGAUUGUUCGUGGAGGCAAGUUCUUGAUUUUCUUUCAUUGCCUUAUUUUUAUAUUCACACCUCAAGGAUUUUAAUAUUGACAAUUCGAGGUGAAUAAAUAUAGCAAAUCGAUAUAAUUCUUGUUCAAACGUAAAGAAUAAAAGCAUCAAGCAAAUAUCAUUUCGUGAAUUAGAUAUGUAAUAUAAGAGAUAAUCAAACAUAUGCAAGAGUGUCACUGUGUCUUUAUAUUGUGAACAAAUUAUAACAUGAACAUAAUAUUAUACAAAAUUAGAACUGUACAGUAUAGAAAAUAAAAGCUUCCAUACCUUUCCAAGGAAGAAAAAAAGAUAGCUUACCAUGUUCUCAAGGAAGAAAACAUAGACUUUAGUUGGUUAGACACUCAUGCUAAUAACGCGUUAAAUUAUUUAAAAACACAUUACAGUAAGACAAAUAAAGAGAGAACAAAAAAUGGACACAAUAAUUCAUAGUCCAGAUAUAACUUUUAUUCAAGUUCAAGUAUGUACAAAUAGAAGCAAAUGCCUCCUUUUAUAGUGAACCACACUACUAGAAAAAUAGAUUUUAUUAACAUUAGAAUAGUGUCAGUAAUUACUUUUAGUGACACUUGUUAAUUGUGUCAGUAAUUUGACAGUCAGAAAAAUAGUGACACUUGUAUUUGGUGUCACGAAUAUGGUGUCAAUGAUUACUGUCAUUACAGUAUCACCAAUAUUAUGACACCAUAAUGUUAAUAGUUGCUAAUAUUUUGUUAGUGCCUAUGAUUACUGUUACCAUGGUAUCACUGUUUAAUUUAUUUAAAAAAAAUGAAUUGGAUAAUUGCAUAUUGAUUUAUUGGCAAAAUUACAAGGCACCACAAAAUAACCAAAAAAAUCAUUUUGUAUUACAAAAUCUUUCAUUUCAUAUUUAAAUAUUAUUCGUAUAUAUUACAAAUUCCAAAUACUUCAAUAAACAAGAUACGAGAUAUCCUACUUUCAUUACCGAAUAAUCUAAAUUAUGUAAAUAAAAAUUUCUACAAUCCAAUCAAAUGCCUAAUAAUUGUGAGUGAAUUUAACAAAUCUACAAGCUAACUUUAGAAGGUUGACUGCCUUUCACUUUUUAAACAUAGGUGGUGCAAUUGCGGUAUCACACCAGGAGCUUCUCCAUUCAAUAGACUAGAUGGGUUAGGAUACAAGUGAAGUUGAGGAAGAAACACUUCAAACACAUUGAGCAAAUCUGCAUAUAUGGAAAAGGGAGAAAAAAUUAGCUGCCAAUCCCCAACCAUUAGAGAAACAAUGGUUAAUAGAAAUAAAUCUAUUUUGUUCUAAAGAAAAAAUAUUCAUAUGCUAUUUAUAAGUAAACUUAGUUAUUUCAAAGAAAAAUUAGUGAACAAGAAAGUUGUAGUUUAUUUCCUUAAAAAUACCAAAGAUAUACAGUUUAUUCAACUAUAGAUAUAAAUAAGAAAAAAAUGAGUCAAUGAUUAUUCUCUUUUGGUAAGGUUAUUUAUAAUAAGUUAAUGACUCUAAACAGAGUAAGAACUGUUGGGAAAAUAUGCUCUUUAAAAGCAUAUGUGUUUAUUUAAUUGUAAUAAACAAUUUUUCUGAUUAAUAAAAUAAAUGAGGUAUUUUAUUCAAAUAUCUUAAUUGCAUUAUAUUUGUAUUAAAGUCCAUUUAAUCAUAUUAUAUGUAUUUAUGUGAUCACCAUGUGGAUUCACAGAAGACAUAAAUACAAGUUAUCUUAUGAUUAAAUAAAUUUAGUUCGCAGUUGAUAAAUAAAGUUAAGCACUUUAUUUAGGUAUAGACUGUAAUCAAUUCAUUGAAUGAUUUGUCUUGAUCAUGUAUGAAUUUAUCGAUGUAGUGCGACUACAUUGAACAGGAUCACAUAUGAGAUUUAAUUAACUUUGUAAUAACUGUCAGACUUAUUAAAUCUCAUAGGCGUUGAUUUUACUGUAAUCUUAAUCUUGAGUUAAUUAUGAUUUCAUGAUUGUAAUUGUUAUUCCAUUUAAGUUACCAAUGGGCACGACACAUCCUUAUGGUUAAGAUUACCCGGUAUCUUGGUGGGAGCAAUUAUGAGUAUUGGAGUUAUGGAUUAAUAAUAUAGAAUUUGUACAACACAUCUCUUGAUGGGUUUUCGGCACUUGAUCAUAGAAUUCUCUGGCCAGAGUGUGUCAACAUAUUUAGUAUGUUGAAAAUGAUCAUUAGAGAAAAUCAGUAAGGAUCAAGGAAUAAGAUGUUAUUAAAUUGAUUGGACAGUUGAUAUAUCAAUUUAAUUAACGAUGUGGUACAAAGGACUGUGCAGUAAAGAAAUCAAUGUGGCUUAGGACGAAUUAUUAUUCGAGCGUACAAUUAUGGAAGUCGGUUCCAAUCUUUUAGUGGAGUAGAUUUGGAAUUAAAUAAUUGGGCUAGUUUAAUUACAGGCCUAAUUAUUGUAGCCACUAUUGUAUGUUCCCAAAUGAUCCCCGGGUUAGCUCAUUUAAUUAACUGCACCACUACUGGACUAAUAAGUAAGGUAACUAGCUAUUUGGGUCAAAAGCCUAAAUAUAUCAUUUAGUGGGAGGCUCCAUUUAAUUAGCUUUUGUAUAAGGGGCCUUAUGUUAUUUUACAAGGUGGGUCCCCUAUUGAAAAAGCAAAUAAACGUGGGUUUUAUUUUUUGAUUAUUUGGAGCCUAGGGUUUUCACUAAAGGGUGAUAUAAAAGGCUUAUUUUUCCCUAAAGAAAAAAUAUAGAAGCCACUUUAUACAGAUUAGAGAAAAAGAUUUUUCUCUCUAUUAUUGAGAGAAAAAUUUUCUCGUUCUAGUUGCUUUGGUAGUGACAAAGGCGCCCACAUGUCAAGUGCAGAUCGAACCUGAGUCAUAACCUGAAAGAUCAUUGGUGACAGUUCGUGAUCUAACAAGCGUGGUGGUGACGGAUCGUGAUCUAACAGUAGUGGUGGUGGCGGAUCGUGAUCUAGGAGCCUAAAUCACUUCAACGGAAAAAUCCAAAUUGGAUUUUCAAGGUACGAUUUCUGGAAUACAAAUUCUUAUAUAUUAUAUGAGAGCGAUCUUCAAAAGGUUUUAUAAAAAUUUAAGAACCUAAUUUUUCCCCAACAAUUGGUAUCAGAGCCAUCUCAUAUUAAUAUAUAAGAAUUUCGUAUGAAAUCAUUCUUGAAAUUUAUGUAUUAGAGUGGCACAUUUUAUUCAGAUAUAUAUUAUUUGUUUAAUAUAUGAAUAAAGCAUGUUUAUGGUUUAUCUUAAUUCAUGGUUAGAUGUUCUACUGUAUUUUUCGUUUGGAUCUGUAACAAGAAGGAUGGUUUAUUAUCACCAUGUUUCCCUCUUGAUUUAUUUUAAUGUAAUUGAAAUUUUGUAAGCCAAAAAUUGGCAUAAGAAAUUUGUAAAUUAAUUACUGGAAAAUUGCGGAAACUUGCUGGAAACUGCGGCAACGAACCAGAGUAGCAGCACGCGGCCAGCAGCACUCGCUGCCAGCACCGCGUGCUGCGAGCGCAGCCCAACGGCACACGCUGCCAGGCGCUGCACACACAGCAGCUGCAGCGCGCGAGCAGCAGCUGCAGCGCCCAAGCAGCAGCUGCAGCGCCCAAGCAGCAGCGCGAACGUGGGCUGGAGGCGCGCGAGUGAAGGCAGCUGGCAGAGCGUUUUGGUUGGUGUCUUUCCGGUGUUGAUGAGGGCUGUCCGGUGUGGAAGCAGUGAACAGCGACUAGGUUUUUGGAGAUGGCGGCUGGGGAAGAGAGAAAGAAAAAUAUGGAUUUAGGGUUUCAUGGUUUCUAUCAUGGAGGUCCCUAUGGUUCCAUAAGUUUUCAUUUGGGCAGAAAAUUUUUAAUUUUUUGCGUUUAAAUCCAAAAACAGUUUUGGGUUUAAUGAAUCCUAGUUUUAGGCCCAAUUUCAAUUGGGCUUAAUGGAUUAAAAAUGCAUAGACAAAAUUAAAUACAUUAAAUUUAUUUUUGGUCCAAAAGUUUUAUUUUAAUAAAAAAAAUAAAUAAAACUAUUUAUUUAUUUAUUUCCUUUCAAAAUUAAAAUUGGACCAAUUAUAAAUUUAAAAGCCCAAUUUCCCCUAGUCCAUUAACAAAAACAAGCUUAUGGAAGAUGGACAUUGACAAGAAGCCCAAUGAAGAUUAGGCUUAGGGUUAAUCUAUUUUUCAUUAUUAGGAAAGCCAUGAAUUAAGAUUAUUUAAUUAUUUUUCUAUAUGUUAUGUUUUGGAUGUCAACAUGCCAUGAUAACAUGUCAUAUAGAAUAGGUGGUGCCACUCUAUGCAUAAUGAUACAUGUCAUUCAUUAAUAAUGAAUUUCUUUAUAUUGUUUGAUAUUUGCAUAUGCUUAAUAAUAUUUGAUAUCAUCUAGAUAAUAUUAUAGGAAGCAUGCAAUUAACAAUAUGUAUGUUUUAAAAGAAAAAAAAACAAUUUUAAAAUAUUGAGUGGGAGAGAGAAAAUUCAAGAUAAUUUUCCCAUGGGCUCCAUUGUUAGUUCAAUAAUAAAAUUAUAUAUAUACCUCGACUUCAUGAUACGGUGAUGCUCCUUUUGGAGGGUAUAUAUAUUAGAUAUUUUAUUUGAUGAACUUCUUCAAAGAUAAAAUUGAAAUAUUUUUUAAUCGAUUGUUCACUCCAACGGUGACUAUUGAUAUGAAAAAUAUCUAGAUUGAAACAAUGGUUAUACACUCAACUAAAAUUUAUUAUUAACCUUCCCAAUGAAGCUCUGUUAACAAAUUUAGGCCCAAAAGGAUAACGAUAAUUAUUUAUCAUGUCUCUACAUGAAAGUAAAUAAUCCAAUGGGUUAUUGGGUCUCGUAAGUAUAGACAUGACUUUCCCACCGGAUAGCUUGUCAAAGCGGAACUAGAUUAUCGUUACAAUAAAUUAAAAUGCAUUUAUGGUUUUAUGCAUUUUUGUCAUUUAUUGUGAAUAUUAUUUCAAAUUAUUUAUGCAUGGAUGUUUUAUUUUUCAGAAAAUGUCUUCCCUGAGCCCACUUACUAUUAUUCUGAGUCAAAACAAACUCACUGGAGAGAACUAUAUAGAUUGGAAAAGAAAUCUAUUCAUUGUCCUGACUGCUGAAAAUUAUAAAUAUGUCUUAACCCAGCCAUGCCCUCCAGUUCCAGCGGAUGAUGCUUAUAGAAAUCAGAGGAGGCUUUAUGAGAAAUGGCAAAAGGCCAAUGAAAUGGCAAAGUGCUACAUUUUAGCCUCGAUUUCUAAUAUUCUGCAGACCAAACAUCAGAACUUGGAGACUGCCACUGAAAUAAUGGAUAGUCUCCAACAGAUGUUCGGGCAGAGUACUCGCUCUGCGAGACAAGCAGCGCUGAAAGAAAUUAUGAACAGUAAAAUGGGGAAGGGCACAAGAGUUCGUGAUCAUGUCCUCAAAAUGAUGGACUAUUUGAAUGAGGCUGAGAUUCAGGGAGCACAAAUCGAUGAUAACUCAAAGAUUGACAUGGUGCUAGAAUCUCUGCCAGAAACAUUCAAGGAGUUUAAGGUCAAUUAUAACAUGAACAAAAGAAACAUGACCUUAACUGAAUUGAUGAACGAACUCCAUUCUGCUGAAGAGAUCUAUCGUGCUGAGAAAUCUCUGGGAAGCAUAAAUAUUACUGAAAAAAGUUCAUCUUCUGGGCCUAAGCCAAAAGGCAAAAGUAAGAAGAAAGCUGGGAAAAAGAGACCGUCUACCAAGCAAGAUGGCAAGCCGAAAGGCAAAUGCUUCAAGUGUGGACAGAAAGGUCACUGGAAAAAGGAUUGCCCUAAGAUUGUGAAAUCAGGUAUGGGAAAUCUUUUUGUAAUUGAGGCCUGUUUAGUUCAGAAUCCAAUUGACACUUGGGUGUUGGAUUCAAGAGCAACUAAUCAUAUUUGUAAUUCACUUUAUUGGUUUCAGGAAACCAGGAAAAUAAGUAAAGGAAGCGUCAAGCUGCAGUUAGGGACAGGACAGUUCGUGUCAGCAGUAAAGACUAGAUCUGUUUUAUUAUCUUUUAAUAAUUAGACUUUAGUUUUGAAUAAUUGUCUUUAUGUUCCAGACAUUAAAAGGAAUUUAAUUUCAGUAGCUUGUUUGUCAAAGCAAGGUUACACUGUAAAUUUUGGAUCCUCUGUUUCUAAUUUUCAUAAUAAGAGACUUAUUUGUUCUGGUACAUUGGAAGACAAUUUAUAUCAUUUAAGUCCAAUGAUCCAUUCUAUGCAUGACACAGUGAUAAAUAAUGAUGAGCACACACAUUUAUCUAAGAAAAGAAAUAUUUCUUCCAACCAAUGUUACCUCUGGCAUUUACGGUUUGGUCAUAUAAACCAAAAUAGGAUACAGAGAAUGAUCAAAGAUGGGCUCUUGGGUCCAUUAGAAAAUGAAUCAUUGCCACUCUGUGAAUCCUGUUUAGAAGGGAAAAUGACCAAAAGGCCAUUCUCGGCCAAAGGAGUAUGUGCAACAGUACCACUUGAAUUGGUACAUACAGAUGUAUGUGCACCAAUCAAUGUACAAGCUCGAGGAGGUUAUGAGUAUUUCAUCACUUUCACUGAUGAUUACUCAAGAUACGGUUAUGUUUAUCUGAUGCGUCACAAGUCUGAAGCUUUUGAGAAAUUCAAAGAGUAUAGGGCUGAGACAGAAAAACAAUUAGAUAAGAACAUAAAGAAACUUCGAUCUGAUCGAGUUGGUGAAUUUCUCUCAGGAGAUUUCAAAGAGUAUCUGGUUGAAAAUGGGAUUAUAUCUCAGUUGAUUGCCCCAGGAACACCACAACAAAAUGGGGUCGCUGAAAGAAGAAAUAGAACUCUUUUGGAUAUGGUGAGAUCUAUGCUUAGUUAUUCGUCAUUACCAAUCUCUUUUUGGGGACUAGCAUUGGAAACUGCAGUUUACCUCUUGAACUUAGUUCCAUCCAAGUCAGUGCCUAAAACCCCAAUAGAAUUAUGGUCAGCUCGCAAACCAAGUUUACGACAUGUCCGUAUUUGGGGAUCAUCAGCACAUGUGCUGAAACCAAAGGCAGACAAAAUGGAUUCACGUUCUGAGGUUUGUAUGUUUGUGGGGUAUCCCAAAGGAACAAGGGGAGGUUUAUUUUAUAGUCCUCAAGAUAGGAAAGUGAUCGUGAGCACACAUUUCACUUCCCUCGAGGAAGACUAUAUGAAUAACUUCAAACCUAAGAGUAAGGUAAUACUUGAAGAACUGUCAGGUGAUCAGGUUGAUGCUCAGCUUUCAAUGUCUGUUACAGAACAGGAAGAACAGCAACAACCAGAUGAUCAACACAGGAUUAACCCUGAACAACCAUCACUUUUAGAACCUUGUCGUAGUGGGAGGGUAACUAGGUUACCUGCGAGAUACAUGCUUUUGGGAGAAACUUAUACGGCUAUCUCAGAUGAACAUGUACAAGAUCCCACUAGUUACAACAAAGCUCUAAUAGAUAGAGAUGUUGAAUUUUGGAAAAAGGCCAUGAAUCAAGAAAUGGAAUCGAUGUAUUCCAAUAAAGUCUGGGAACUUGUAGAGGAACUAAAUGGGGUAAAACCUAUAGGGUGCAAGUGGAUCUACAAGAGAAAAAGAGGAGUAGACGGAAGGGUGGAAACAUUUAAAGCAAGAUUAGUAGCCAAAGGGUUUACUCAGAAAAAAGGAAUCGAUUAUGAGGAAACCUUUUCUCCGGUUGCUAUGCUUAAAUCCAUCAGGAUUCUGCUCUCCAUUGCUGCAGUGCUAGAUUAUGAAAUUUGGCAAAUGGAUGUCAAGACUGCCUUUCUUAACGGGCAUCUUGAAGAAAACAUCUACAUGCAGCAACCAGAUGGAUUUAUACAAAAAGGCCAAGAACACAUGGUAUGUAAGUUGCAGAGAUCCAUUUAUGGAUUGAAGCAAGCAUCCCGGUCAUGGAACAUCAGAUUUGAUCAAGCGAUAAAAUCAUUUGGAUUCAUUCAGAACAUUGAUGAACCAUGUGUGUACAAGAAAAUUCAAGAAAAAUAUGUAGCCUUUCUAAUUCUUUAUGUAGACGAUAUUCUCCUAAUUGGAAACGAUAUAGGAGUGUUGACUACAAUAAAGAGUUGGUUAGCAAAACAAUUUGAUAUGAAAGACCUGGGAGAGGCAAGUUAUAUUCUUGGUAUCAAGUUACUACGAGACCGGAAGAAUAAAACUUUAGCCUUGUCUCAAGCGGUCUAUAUCGAUAAGAUAUUGGCUAGAUUUAGUAUGGAAAAUUCGAAGACUGGUUUAUUACCAUUCAGACAUGGAAUUACAUUCUCUAAGGAUCAAUCACCUAAAACAUCUGAAGAGAUAGAGAGAAUGAGACGAGUUCCCUAUGCAGAAGCUGUGGGAAGUCUUAUGUAUGCCAUGCUUUGCACUAGGCCAGACAUCUGUUUUGCGGUAGGGAUGGUUAGUAGAUAUCAAUCUAAUCCUGGACCUGAACACUGGACUGCGGUCAAGCAUAUAAUGAAGUAUCUGAAAAGAACUAAAAAUUAUAUGCUUGUGUAUUCUGGUGAUGAACUCAUUCCAGUGGGUUAUACUGAUUCUGACUUUAUGUCAGAUAAGGAUUCCAGAAAAUCAACUUCCGGCUAUGUGUUUACAUUGGGAAGUGGAGCUAUUAAUUGGAGGAGUGUGAAACAAUCUUGUAUCGCAGACUCCACAACUAAAGUUGAAUAUGAUCCGAAGCUGCAAAAGAAGCUGUAUGACUCCGCAAGUUCCUACAAGAUCUUGAGGUGGUACCUGCUGUAACUGCACCCCUUAAACUAUUUUGCGAUAAUAGUGGUGACGUAGCUCAAUCUAAGGAACCAAGGAACCACAAGAAACAAAAACAUAUUGAGAGGAAGUAUCAUCUUAUAAGGGAUAUAGUGCAGAGAGGUGAUGUGGAGGUUACUCAGAUUGCGUCACAGUAAAACUUGGCAGAUCCUUUUACUAAGGCCAUACCUGGGAAACCUUUUAACUUGCACUUAGAAUCCAUGGGCAUGCGUGAGAUGCCAAAUAUGCUUUGAGAGCUAGUGGGAGAUUGUUGGGAAAAUAUGCUCUUUAAAAGCAUAUGUGUUUAUUUAAUUGUAAUAAACAAUUUUUCUGAUUAAUAAAAUAAAUGAUGUAUUUUAUUCAAAUAUCUUAAUUGCAUUAAUAUUUGUAUUAAAGUCCAUUUAAUCAUAUUAUAUGUAUUUAUAUGAUCACCAUGUGGAUUCACAGAAGACAUAAAUACAAGUUAUCUUAUGAUUAAAUAAAUUUAGUUCGCAGUUGAUAAAUAAAGUUAGGCACUUUAUUUAGGUAUAGACUGUAAUAAAUUCAUUUAUUGAUGUAGUGCGACUACAUUGAACAGGAUCACAUAUGAGAUUUAAUUAACUUUGUAAUAACUGUCAGACUUAUUAAAUCUCAUAGACUUUGAUUUUACUGUAAUCUUAAUCUUGAGGUAAUUAUGAUUUCAUGAUUGUAAUUGUUAUUCUAUUUGAGUUACCAAUGGGCACGACACAUCCUUGUGGUCAAGAUUACCUGGUAUCUUGGUAGGAGCAAUUAUGAGUAUUGGAGUUAUGGAUUAACAAUAUAGAAUUUAUACAACACAUCUCUUGAUGGGUUUUCGGCACUUGAUCAUAGAAUUCUCUGGCCAGAGUGUGUCAACAUAUUUAGUAUGUUGAAAAUGAUCAUUAGAGAAAAUCAGUAAGGAUCAAGGAAUAAGAUGUUAUUAAAUUGAUUGGACAGUUGAGAUAUCAAUUUAAUUAACGAUGUGGUACAAAGGACUGUGCAGUAAAGAAAUCAAUGUGGCUUGGGACGAAUUAUUAUUCGAGCGUACAAUUAUGGAAGUCUGUUCCAAUCUUUUAGUGGAAUAGAUUUGGAAUUAAAUAAUUGGGCUAGUUUAAUUACAGGCCUAAUUAUUGUUGCCACUAUUGUAUGUUCCCAAAUGAUCCCCGGGUUAGCUCAUUUAAUUGACUGCACCACUACUGGACUAAUAAGUAAGAUAACUAGCUAUUUGGGUCAAAAGCCUAAAUAUAUCAUUUAGUGGGAGGCUCCAUUUAAUUAGCUUUUGUAUAAGGGGCCUUAUGUUAUUUUACAAGGUGGGUCCCCUAUUGAAAAAGCAAAUAAACGUGGGUUUUAUUUUUUGAUUAUUUGGAGCCUAGGGUUUUCACUAAAGGGUGAUAUAAAAGGCUUAUUUUUCCCUAAAGAAAAAAUAUAGAAGCCACUUUAUACAGAUCAGAGAAAAAGAUUUUUCUCUCUAUUAUUGAGAGAAAAAUUUUCUCGUGUUAGUUGCUUUGGUAGUGACAAAGGCGCCCACACAUCAAGUGCAGAUCGAACCUGAGUCAUAACCUGGAAGAUCAUUGGCGACAGUUCGUGAUCUAACAAGCGUGGUGGUGACGGAUCGUGAUCUAACAGUAGUGGUGGUGGCGGAUCGUGAUCUAGGAGCCUAAAUCACUUCAACGGAAAAAUCCAAAUCGGAUUUUCAAGGUACGAUUUCUGGAAUACAAAUUCUUAUAUAUUAUAUGAGAGCGAUCUUCAAAAGGUUUUAUAAAAAUUUAAAAACCUAAUUUUUCCCCAACAAGAACGACAACUAGGUGAAAGUACAAUUACUUGUUGAAAAUUAGUCACUAGACUCCCAGUAACUACAUCAUAAUGUUGAACAAUUAAUUACCAAGGUAUUAGCCAAGUAGUUGGUGUAGGGACUGACAUCAUUCAUUCCCUUAAAGAAAUCCAAUAACCUUGCUACCUCCUUAUUUAUAUGCAUACUUCCAAUGUUUAAUUAUUUUGCUGCAGAGAAAGAAAGUUAAUAGAAAUGACAAACUGAUAGCGUUUCUGCAAUUUUCAGAUAAUCACAUAGAACAUUUCUUUUAUAAAUUAACCGUCUACUUGAUCGAUUAAGCACAUUCUUGUUAAUUUCCUUAAACUCUUCUAUUUUAUUUAAUAACUUAAUUUCAACCUUCAUCACUAGGAAAAAAAAUUAAAUUUCAACCUUGAUCACUAGGAAAAAAAAUUUAAAAAAAAACUUUCACAGUGGUGAAGGAGCUGGCUAAAUAUAUGCAUAGCAGAAAAUGAAAAAUCCACCCUGUUGACUUGGAGGGUCGUAUUAAUUUAAUUAGCAAUUAUUUCUGUGUAAUUUAUAUUGAGACGAUUGCUCCCAUUAUUGAAAACCCAGAAUGAAAGAGGUAUGUAGGACAAUUAAACUAAUAAAACCAGAUUCCCAAAAAUAAUUAGGUAGAGAUUUGUGUGUAAGUCAAAAUUGUCUAUGAAAAACUUAAGUAGCAAUUGGUACUUAAAUACAUAUUUAUAAAAUUUAAGAUACUUAAUACAUUGGAACGAUAUUUUCCAAUUUGUAACAACAUAUGAAUGAACAACAUAUUAAAAUUUGAGGUUAUUCUGAUAUUAUUAUGCUAGUGUUUUGUAAGAUCAAAAGUUAAUAAACAGUUAUGUCAAAAGAACUUGCUGCAGAGCAGCAGAGUUUAAAAAAUCAUUAAAAAUAACCUGCAAGUUCAAUCAACAUAAAAUUUUUUGGAUUUGAAGUAUACAUGUAGAACUUUAGUUUCUCUAAAUUUCAGCUCAUUCAGACAUGUUUAGACUAUUGUUUUGCACCACCAAACAUGAUACAUGAGUAAUUUAUCAAAAAGAUUGGACAGCAACCAACCAUUUUAAAAAAUCGAUUAAAAAUCAGUUAUAGACAAUUCAUUCCGAAAUUUCCAGAAUUGAAACAUACACAUUUAACUUUAAUUAUUUCAAACAUAUGGUAAAGUUUGGACAAAAUAUUUCAAUAACUUGAGAGUUCAUUCCAAAAUCAUUACUUAUAAACAAGUUUUUGUUGGGAAAAUAUGCUCUUUAAAAGCAUAUGUGUUUAUUUAAUUGUAAUAAACAAUUUUUCUGAUUAAUAAAAUAAAUGAGGUAUUUUAUUCAAAUAUCUUAAUUGCAUUAAUAUUUGUAUUAAAGUCCAUUUAAUCAUAUUAUAUGUAUUUAUGUGAUCACCAUGUGGAUUUACAGAAGACAUAACUACAAGUUAUCUUAUGAUUAAAUAAAUUUAGUUCGCAGUUGAUAAAUAAAGUUGGGCACUUUAUUUAGGUAUAGACUGUAAUAAAUUCAUUGAAUGAUUUGUCUUAAUCAUGUAUGAAUUUAUUGAUGUAGUGCGACUACAUUGAACAGGAUCACAUAUAAGAUUUAAUUAACUUUGUAAUAACUGUCAGACUUGUUAAAUCUCAUAGACAUUGAUUUUAUUGUAAUCUUAAUCUUGAGUUAAUUAUGAUUUCAUGAUUGUAAUUGUUAUUCCAUUUAAGUUACCAAUGGGCACGACACAUCCUUGUGGUCAAGAUUACCCGGUAUCUUGGUGGGAGCAAUUAUGAGUAUUGGAGUUAUGGAUUAACAAUAUAGAAUUUGUACAACACAUCUCUUGAUGGGUUUUCGGCACUUGAUCAUAGAAUUCUCUGGCCAGAGCGUGUCAACAUAUUUAGUAUGUUGAAAAUGAUCAUUAGAGAAAAUCAGUAAGUAUCAAGGAAUAAGAUGUUAUUAAAUUGAUUGGACAGUUGAGAUAUCAAUUUAAUUAACGAUGUGGUACAAAGGAUUAUCGCAGUAAAGAAAUCAAUGUGGCUUAGGACGAAUUAUUAUUCGAGCAUACAAUUAUGGAAGUCAGUUCCAAUUUUUUAGUGGAGUAGAUUUGGAAUUAAAUAAUUGGGCUAGUUUAAUUACAGGCCUAAUUAUUGUAGCCACUAUUGUAUGUUCUCAAAUGAUCCCCGGGUUAGCUCAUUUAAUUGACUGCAACACUACUGGACUAAUAAGUAAGAUAACUAGCUAUUUGGGUCAAAAGUCUAAAUAUAUCAUUUAGUGGGAGGCUCCAUUUAAUUAGCUUUUGUAUAAGGGGCCUUAUGUUAUUUUACAAGGUGGGUCCCCUAUUGAAAAAGAAAAUAACGUGAGUUUUAUUUAGGGCGUUAUUUGGAGCCUAGGAUUUUCACUAAAGGGAGAUAUAAAAGGCUUAUUUUCUCUAAAGAAAAGGGAAAAGCCACUUUUACAGAUCAGAGAAAAAGAUUUUUCUCUCUAUUGUUGAGAGAAAAAUUUUCUCGUGCUAGUUGCUUUGGUAGUGAUAAAGGCGCCCACACGUCAAGUGCAGAUCAAACCUGAGUCAUAACCUGGAAGAUCAUUUGUGACAGUUCGUGAUCUAACAAGCGUGGUGGUGACGGAUUGUGAUCUAACAGGAGUGGUGGUGGCGGAUCGUUAUCUAGGAGCCUAAAUUACUUCAACGGAAAAAUCCAAAUCGGAUUUUCAAGGUACGAUUUCUAGAAUACAAAUUCUUAUAUAUUAUAUGAGAGUGAUCUUCAAAAUGUUUUAUAAAAAAUUUAAAAACCCAAUUUUUCCCCAACAAUUUUAUGAUUUUGGCCAUGAAUCAUAUAAAUAUAAAUAAGAAAAAUUAAACAACUGAAGUAGAUAUUGCCUUAUUAUGAACAUAAAUAUAAAUAAGACAAAUCUAUUAUUGCCUUAGUAAUGAACUAAAGAAACAAAAUUUUGUUUUGCCCAGUAAACAAAUCCAUUAAAGAAAUGAUAAAGACACCUCAUUUUUCAACCUAAGCCAGAUACUUCAAACUUUUCCUUUGUAAAAGCAUCUUUUUGAUAGUUUGUAAUAAGUAAUCAUCCAAUGAGACUAUUUAUAGUAAAUAAAAAUUGAAAUCUAUUCGAUAUGAACAAAACUAAAAAAUAACAGCCGAAAAAAAAUGAAACGAUUGCUUUUGAAAAAAAAACUAAUAACACAUGAACAAAUGGUUAAUAAGCAAUAGGUUAUGUCAACAUAGAACCCCUAUGAACCAAUAUAAACCAUCAAUUUUAGCAUAAUCAUGCUGCUCUUAAGAAUUCCCAAAUUAGAAAAUUUUAGGGUUUUAGUGUAAAAAAUGUUUAAUGUCAUUCAUCAGCGAAAUAAAGUUAAUCUUAUAGUGACGAUCACCCUAAACAAAAUAUUUUCCAAAGUAGAUAUAAUGAAGGCUAUUUGGUGCCAAUAAAAGAAAAGAAAGUAGCAGAGAAAAAAACACAAUAAAAGUUAAAUCUUUACCUUCUAGUUUCUUCCAAGUAGCCAAAGAAACAUAUAAGCUCUUCUCCAAAUCACUUAUUUAAACCUAAAAGAACAAUUCAAACCAAAAAAAAAAAAAAACUCAAGAUCUAGUGACAAUAAAAGAGACCCGAAAUCAUAAAAUAAGUAAAGAAAGAAGAAGUUAGGAUUUUGAAGGCAAAUGGUCAACCUAUGCCACCGGUUUCACAAGAUCUUGGUCGAGCACUUUUUGAAAAUUUGGAUGUUAGGGAUUUUUCAAAUAUGGGGAGCUUAGGAGGGAACGAAUACUUUGGUAGAGGGAGUUGAAAAGUUUUUGUUAUAUUUUGGAUAAGAUAAGACUUGUCCAUUUGUUUUGUUUUUAUCCACUCAAAAAAACACUGCUCUAAAAAAAUUAAAAAUAAUUCGUAGCCUAGUGGUCUUUUGAUUCAAUGUAGAAGCUUUAGGUUUAAGAGGUCUUGGGUUCAAAUUCGGACUAAAACAAAAUUAAAAUGAUAAUUUUUAAUUGCUGAUACCUAAGUGUCAUUGAUCUCUAUUACUAAAACUAUUGAUACUUCAGUAUUAGUAUUUAGUGAUACCUAUCUAUUAAACGCGGAUAUGGUCCAAAUAUAUAUACAUACUGAUACUUUUAAAUAAAGUGUUAGAAGACAAGUAUCAGUAAGAUCAUUUUUCUAGUAGUGCCAAUCAUAAAGAAGUAAUUGAAUAGAUUAUAACAUGAGAGACAAUGAUAAUGGGAAUCAUAUUAAGAUAAAGGUUGAUAGUGGGAAGAUAAAAAUUAUGCUUGAUGAACAUCCACAUAAAAUUUAAUAUUUUCAUAACAAAAGUUAAAUAAUAUUAGCUAUAAUUAAUAUAAGUUAUAAUUUUCUAACAAAAAUAUUUAAAAUGUUACUAUAUUAUUUUCCUUCUCUCUUGAACUGAUUCUACAUUUUUUAAUUUACUAGUACAGGUCGGAAAGUCAUGAAUAAAUACCAUAACGUAUUUUUGUAUAUGCUUUUUUAAAUAUAAAAUCUAAUAAAAUCUUUACAACUCAAACAAUCAAACGGCAUGCAUGACGUGUCAGAUAUUUUACUUAAUGUAAUUUUCAAAAGGCCGAAUAUUUGUUUUCCACCUAAGAUCUCAAUUUUCCUAGGGUAUUGUUGAGAAUGGAAACUAUGAAGAGUCAAAGGCUGACCCCGAGGCCAUGCUGGCAUGCCACUAGAGCUAUUAUGUCCAGCGGCUAGCUGAUGUAGAUGAUGAGCUGCAUUUAAUGAGUUGGCAAAAUUGUUAUACUGAAGAAUAUCAACACGUGAACUCUAAAAGAUGGAAAUUCUAGAAGUUAUUCAACGAUCAGCUAUUAUAGCUAAAGUUGCGGAUUAAAUUUUGUUUAUUUCCAUUCACUGCACCUUAAGCAAGCUGUCAUCCUUUUCAUUCAUGUAUAUAUAAGUGAACACUUUGUAUAUGUCAUUCAUCCAAGUUAUAAUUCUAAUGAAAAUGUUUGGUUUUAGCUCUGCUUACUUACAUGCUUAAGCAAUUCUUAUGAAUAUUAGUAUCAGAGCCAACUUUGAGCUAUGGAAAGCAGUAGCAAUUCACAAACAAUAUAUGAAUCAAACAUCAGAAAACCCAAAUAAUCAAACAUAUAGCUUGAAUCAAAAUUCAUCUGAAAAUGUUGAAUAUUAUAACCCAGGAAUAUAAUUGUGGUUAAUCCAUCUCCCACUCAACACAUCACCGGUAACACCUAUGUGUUCACUACCCCUAUCAAGCUACACAGAACAAUUUUAUGCUCUAGAAAUCACUAGCAUUAGAGCAAAUGAGCUUGAAGGAUUCAUAGAUGGGAGUCAUAUUGUCCCCCUAGAUUUUUCACAAGUCUUGGACCAAAUCAAACCACUGUCACUACACUAAAUCCUGAAUACCAAAUUUGGAAGAAACAUGACCAUAUUCUCUUAAGCUGGUUACUUUCAUCACUCAGUGAAGGAGUAUUAGCACUGUGGUGGAUUAUUCUACUUCAUGUGAGGUAUGGACAACUCUUGCCAAUCAAUAUGGUGCGAGAACAAGGGAUAGAGUCUUAUACCAAAGAACUCAGAUUCAAAGCACUAAAAAGGGGUCACUUACAAUUCAUGAUUAUUACUUUAGAAUGAAGUUUUCAUGACCCACCCUAGACCUGGCAAGAUAUUGUCCACUUUGGACCUUAACAAGGCCUGCACGGUUUUGCUCGUGGGGCGCCCAUACACCCCAAAACACGUCUUGCCAAUUAAGGUGUAGAUCACCCCUUAUAUACCCAGCAUCUCUCCCGUGCUUUGUUGAUGUGGGAUUUGCCUAGGGUGUCAUAUACACCCCUCUUAGGGACUCAGCGUCCUCGUUGAGGUUUGCCUUGUUAAGGUCCAAAGCAGACAAUAUCUUGCCAGGUCUAGGUUGGGUCAUGAUAUUAUGGUAUUAGAGCGGUUCUGCGUAUCCUCUUGAGCGAUAGUAGGGCAAACCUCAGCGAGGACGCUGAGUCCCUAAGGGGGGUGUAUGUGACACCCUAGGCGAAUCCCACAUCGACAAAGCACAGGAGAGAUGCUGGGUAUAAAAGGGGUGAUCUACACCUUAAUUGGCAAGACGUGUUUUGGGGUGUAUGGGAGCCCCAGGAAUAAAACCGUGCGGGCUUUGUUAAAGCCCAAAGCAGACAAUAUCUUUUCAGGUCUAGGUUGGGUCAUGACAGAAAUAUAUCCUAAAUGCACUUAGAACUGCCGGAAACAAUAUGAGUAAUGAGGAUUUGAUCAUAUGUAUCUCAGCUAGAGUAGGAACAAAAUAUGAGUUAGUUGUUAGUAAUAUUAAUUCUAUGCCAGAAACUCUCCCACUAUCAGAGGUUUAUGGUAUGCUACUUAGCCAAGAAACCAGAACUGUGCAAAACUUUAGCACAGAGUCAUUUGAGGCCAACUUUACACAAAUGAGAAAUCGAAGAAGAUACAGGGGUAAUGGUGAAAUGUUUGGGAAUCAGCAACAACCUAGGAUUGUUUUUAGAAACUCUGGUGGUGGUUCUAGAAAUGGUGGAACUAUAACUGGUUAGGGAAAUCAAAACUCGCAAGAUAAAGGCAAAGGGAAAGUUGCUGCAGACAAUGAGGGUUCUGAAUCAAAAGGACCAUGUCCAAUUUGCUUUAAAAUAGGUUACUUAGUUGCUGAUUGCUGGCAUAGGCAAGAGAAAACUUAUGUUCCACAACCCAACAGGAGAAGAAGAGCAUAUAUGACUACAAUAGAAGGACAGAGCAAUGGAGCUUUGUAUCUUGACAGUGGUGCCACAAAUCAUGUAACCAAUACCAUUGGGAACAUGAGCCUAAAUUUAGAAUAUCAAGGUAAUAAUAAACUUACUAUUGGAAAUGGUGAGAAACUUCUUAUUUCUCAUAUUUGCUACUCUAUACUAUCCACUUCUGAUCCACACAAACACAUUAAAUUGAAUUAUAUUUUGUGUGUGCCCAAUAUUACCCAAAAAUAUUAUCAAUGUUUCUAAAUUACUACAUGACAAUGAUAUUGAUGUUAAGUUUUAAAAAUCUGUUUAUUUCGUCAAGGAUAAGAGACAAGGGAAAAAUUCUGGUGAAAGGAGUGGCUAGAGAUAGACUAUAUGAACUGUUAUGCAUGCUUACUCAUAUGAGUGGCAACAAGGUCACAUAUGUUGCUAUGUUAUCUUCAUCUUCAGUAUCUAAGUCAAUAAAUUGCAUUAGCAAUCUAGUGUCAAUGUUGUUCUUUAAUUCUAGUUACAGUAAUAAUAAGUCUGUUGGUGCCAUUAUUGGUGCUAGUGUUAUUGAGUCUGGUAGAGCUGAUAAAUCAUGCAGUAGAAUCUAAGAACAAGUAAAAUAGAUCUUUGGCAUCUUAGAUUGGGGCAUCCAAGAAUGUCAGUUUUGAAAAAUACCUUAUUGUCAUGUAAUCAGCUCAAUAUUAAUAAAAAAGUUGUUUAUUCAGUUUGUGAUGCCUGUCAGUAUGGAAAGUAAUGAAAAUCAAGUUUCAAAAUUACUGAAACCAAAACCAACACAGCCUUAGAAUUAAUACAUAGUGACCUAAGGUGACUAACACCAAUCCCUUCAACCCAUGGACAUAAAUAUUACAUAUAAUUUGUAGAUGACAAAACGAGAUAUACAUGGUUAUUUCCCUUAACAAUAAAAUCACAAGCCCUUGACACAUUUAUUGUGUUUAAAAACCAAAUAGAAAACUAGCUAAAUUUGAAAACUAAAACUUUACAAACAAACAUGGGUGGUGAGUUUAAGAUUUUUGAACAUUUUAUUAGGAAAGAGGGAAUAGCCCUAAGACAUUCAUGGCCCUAUUUGCAUGAACAAAAUGGAAAGGUAGAAAGAAAAUAUUGAGACAUUAUAGAGACUAGUCUAAUAUUGCUAACUUAGGCUAAAAUUCCUUUGAAAUACUAGCGAGAAGCCUUCAACUAUGCCACUUUCAUCAUUAAUAGACUAACCUCACCUAUACUUGGAAAUAAAACUCCAUUUGAGCUAUUGUACUCCAUUAAACCAAACUACUCCCAGAUUAAAGUCUUUGGUAGUGAAUGUUAUCCAUACUUAAGACUCUAUAGGAAGCACAAAUUUGAUUUUCAUACCUCUAAGUGUAUAUUGUUGGGCAUCAGUGUCAGUGAUAAAGGUUAUGUCUGUAUGCAUCAUUUAGGAAGAGUCUAUAUUUUAGCAAGUGUUAAAUUUAAGGAGAACUUAUUCCUUUUCCAAAGCGACUCUAAUUUUUGUAAACGUAAACUCAUUGACCAAAAUGAUUUUACUACAGCGCUUAAAAGAUUUCAGGUUUUAUCAUUUUCUAUUGAUGUUCCUUCUGAGUCAACAUAGCCAGAAACAUCUCAUAGCCACUAUCAAGCUAUUACUGGAAGCUUAGAACAAUCCCUAAAUCUUGACCAAGAUGAAACUCAUUAGACUUUAGGUUUUAACACUAUAUCAAACAACCAUUCUCUUGUUCAACCCCUAUCAAACACCUUAGAGGAAAAUCACACCCUGUCUCGAGUAGCAGAACCAAACACUCAAACUACCUCCACUCAAAGAACCUUACCUACAUAUCCCAUGAUUACAAGGUCAAAGGCAGGAAUUUUCAAACAAAAAAUAUAUCAAGUCUCCACUCAACUCUAGACUUCUUUACCCCAAAAUUCAAUAGAAGCAUUGAAAGAUCCUAAAUGGAGAUGAGCCAUGGAGGAUGAAUACAAUGCCCUGAUGAAAAACAAAAACUGGAUCUUAAUACCACAUGACCAAAACUAAAAACUUAUUGGAAACAAGUGGGUGUACAAAGUGAAGGAAAAUCCAAAUGGUACUAUCAACAAAUACAAAGCUAUAUUAGUUGUGAAAGGUUUUCUUCAGACACCAGGACCUGACUUUAAUGAAGCCUAGUAGUCAAAGUGUUGUGCAAAUUUUAAUAUACUCGCAAGCGCACGAAUCUAUUGUAGUAUAGAUCUAUGGUGACGAGUGUCGAUCCCACGAGGAGGUGGAUUUUAAUUGUGUAUAGAAUUAAUUUUGUAAAUGGGUUGUUGGAUUUAUGGUGGAAAUAAUUUGGUAUAUGCUAAAACUUAAAUUAAAAUGGCGAGAAUAAAUUCUAAAAUUGGAAUUGCAAUGGCGAGAAUAAAUUGAAGAUAAUUCUAUUGAAAUGACGUACUUGGGUAUCUAGAUCCGUAUCAACAUGCAUCAUGGGCUAAAUAAUCCGUAUUAAUGCCAAUUAAAUCAUGAGGGGGGAAUCCACACCUCAUGAACCACGCUCUAAUCAAUAUGGUGCUAAGGGCUUAUCGUGCCAAAUAAUAAUAACCUUAUACUAGAGAGCCGGUGUAACCAAGGCGGUAUCUAGACAAGACUAUUAUUAUUUGUCGACGAGAAGUCAAAACAUCCACAAAAAUUAGAGGGGAAGAGAAAAUAAAUUUACCAAAUUAAGCCCAUGACACAUGUUGAGACUUCACCUUCAACCCAAGCUUGAAAGAAAAUUAGCCACUCAUAGUUGAACUAGGGGCAAAAUAGGAAUUUAUUAAAAUACGAAGAAAAUACAAGAUGGAGAGGGAAUUACAGAAAAUGGAUCCCAAAAAUGGAUUCAGAGAUAUCAAAUUAGGGGGGGAGGCCCCCUUUUUAUAGAUACAUGGAGUAAAUCAUGGCCAUCGGAUUAAAACAGUUUGGACGCUCAGGAUUGCGCCACGUCAUCAGUCAACAGUCCACGGUUUGACCACGCGGAUGAACAGUAACACGGUUUGACCCGACUUUGAACAGUAACGCGGUUUGACCCGGAUGAACAGUAACGCGGUUUGGUUGAAAAUAAUCCUGUGUGAUGCAUGCACCGUACGCGAGAUUUUUCGUCCACUGAUAUGCUGCCACGUCACCAUCAACAGUACAUAAGAAUUUUAGUCCAACAGGAUCGUGACACCUCAUCAGUCAAUGCCACAUCAUCGGUCAAUGCCACGUCAUCAUCCGUCUAUGUGAACAGUGUCGUGAACAGUAACGUAUACAGUACCGUACACGUGAAUAGUACCGUACAUGUGAAUAGUGCCAUUUUUCCUUUUAUGCUCCUCCUAAUGUUUUCGACCGUCCUGAGUUCAAAAGUGAUGUCCGUUUUGCCGUCUGAUCUCUCCUUUAUUGUGAAAUGGCUAUACUGCCCCUAAAAUACAUAAAAUACUUAAUUAAAAUAACACACACGUAAUUACAUCACAAGAAGGUUAAAUACAUAAAAGUAAGGGUUGUUAGUAAGACUUGAAAUGUAAAAUGACGGUUUUCUCCUUUAUAAAUAUGCAUUUUCUAACACUCAACACAAAGCUGCAGCAAUUAAAAUCAUUCUAACUUUAGCAGUGAACAAUAAUUAGAUGCUGAGACAGGUUGACAUAAACAAUGCAUUCUUAAAUGGUGACUUGAUAGAAACAAUGUACAUGCCACAACCUAAAAUUUUUGAAGAUAAACGAAGGCCAAAUUCUAUACACAAACUAAAAAAAGCCCUAUAUAUGUUGAGACAAGCCCUCAGAGCAUGUUUGACAAACUAAAGAGAGCGUUGUACUCUUGGGGAUUCAAUAACUCCAAGUGUGAUACAUCACUGUUUUUCAGAAGAAACAAGACUGAAGUAAUCAUUAUGCUUGUUUAUGUAGAUGACAUAAUAGUUACUGGAAAUAACAGAAAGGGUAUUGAAGAGGUAAUAGGCAAGUUAAAAUGAAGCAUUUGCCUUGAAGGACCUUGGAAAUUUGAACUACUUUCUUGGGAUAUAGGUUAUAAGAAGUCAGAACUCCAUUCUGCUCUCUCAAGCUAAAUAUGAUCAAGAUUUGUUAAGUGAAAAUAAGAUGGAAGACUGUAAGAGAAUAAAGUCUCCAUUCAGUACAACAGAAAAAUUAAAAAAAGGUGAAGACGCCAGACUUGACAACCCUUCAUUUUAUAGAACUGUUAUAGGCCACUUACAAUAUGUUGUCCUCACAAGGCCAGAACUUGCCUAUUCUGUCAAUAAGCUCAGUCAAUAUAUAUCUGACACGAGGCAAUUUCAUUGGAUAGCCUACAAAAGAGUGUUAAGGCAUCUCAAGAAUACUGUUUACAUGUGUUUAAAAUUCAGAAAAUCAAAACACCUUGAUCUAGAGGCCUACACAGACGCUGAUUGGGCAAGUGAUCCAAAUGAGAGAAGAUCAAUAAAUGGCUAUUGUGUGUUUUUAGGAGAUAUUAAUUCUCUGCUCAGUGAAUUGAAGAUUGAAAUGCAAAGAAUUCCAAUGAUUGUAAGUGACAGCCCAAGUGCAGCUACAAUAGCCAUAAACCUUGUAUAUCACUCAAAAACAAAACAUUUUGAGAUAGACCUUCAUUUCAUUAGAGAGAAGGUCAAUAAAUGAGAGCUGAAGAUAAGCUUUGUCGCAAGCAAGGAUCAAAUUGCAGACAUACUAACCAAACCAUUGCCUUAUUACAAGUUCAAUUAGUUUAGAAGCAAACUUAAGGUCUUUGACAAGAUCUUAAGUUUGAGAGAGGGUGUUGAGAAUGAAAACUGGGAAGAGUCAAAGGUUGAUCCUGAGGCCACGCUGGCAUACCACCUGAGCUAUUAUGUCUAGCAGCCAGCUGAUGUAGAUGAUGAGUUGCAUUUAAUGAGCUGGCAAAACUAUUAUACUAAAGAAUAUCAACAUGUGAACUCUAAAAGAUGGAAAUUCUAGACGCCAUUCAAUGAUUGGCCAGUAUAGCUAAAGUUGUGGAUCAAAAUUUGUUUAUUUCCAUUCACUGCCCCUUAAGCAAGCUGCCAUCCUUUUCAUUCAUGUAUAUAUAAGUGAACACUCUGUAUAUUUCAUUCACUCAAGUUAUAAUUCUAAUGAAAAUGUUUGGUUUUAGCUCUGCUUGAUUACAUGCUUAGGCAAUUCUUACGAAUUUAAGUGUCCUAACUGUCGAAUGUUAGUGAAUCUUUCAAACCUUCCGACUUUAAGAAAAAUUAAUUAUCACAUUUAUCUUAUUCAAAUAAAUUUUAUGACGUUGUUGAGGUUGCUCUAAUAUAUAUAUAUAUACAUAUAAAAUCCUCAUUCAUGCCCAAAUCUUAAAGAUAUUAAACACUGAAAAUUCACAACUUUUAUUUCAUGAUAUUACUAGUUUCGGUUCAAAGGAACAAAGGCUAUCUAAAGACCGUUUUAUUUAUUACAUAAGCAUCAAGGAGGCCGGUCCAUAAUUCCAUUAACUAUCUAAGAGUUAUAAUGCACGGGCAUUCGAGACUCGCAUUUAGCUGCUCCUUCAGCCGGGAAUAUAACAACAGGAAACACAGGCUCAUAAUCCGCCUUGAGAACCAAACGUCGAGCACUGUCUUCAAAAGAAACCCCAACAUUCUGGCAGAGAAAUAGGCAGGAAGCACAAACUGAAGGGCAAUAAACAAUCCUGUAUGUGGCUGGAAAAGAGUAACCACACGUAAACACAAAAUUUGAUAAAAUCUUUAACAGGAUUAUAAUAAGCUCAUGUGCGUUAAUUAAUUGUCUUUAUGAGCACGUAUCAGUAUCUUAUUUGAUUUUAACUAUGAGUUAGUCUCAGAAGCUUCAAUACUUAAACUCAUGGACAAUUGGAGACCAGCUUGCACUGCCAGGAGGUGUAAGGGAAAUUAUCCGACGUAAGCAAAGAACAUUUACAAGUAAUUACGUGACUAAUAAUAUAAGUUUGAGACAGCCUCAUCAACCUCAUAAGCUUUUCAGCAUGAGAUAGGCGGUUUCUGGUUUAUUUACCUGGAUCGCUUGUCCCAAUUCUCUCAAAUUUGAACCAGUUUAGCAAAGUUUUAGCUCCAGGGUCUCCUUCAUUUCCACCAGUUGUUAUAAACCAUUUUCCUCUCUCUUCGUCAUAGUUGUCAACCUUCCAUACUAGUGAAUCAGAGCAGGAAUCGACUAUCGAGAAUUUCACAUUCAGAUCCACGGCUUCAUAGAUAAAACGACUGCUGUUAUACGCUUUGAAUUUUAAAGGCUUUCCUGUACGUGGUGCGGAUGUUACUUGGGCAACAUCAAGUGGGCAGGAAUCGCCUCUGUGCCGCAAGGUGGUUAAACCACGGCCGUUGCCACUUUCCAAAACAUAGUAUUCUUGGUCUGCUCGGACAUCGUCGCCAUUGAUAUCAUGCAAACGGCUUCCCACAAGAGGCUUUGCGGCAAAGGCAAGAAGAAGGAAGGAGAUUGCCAUCACAAAAGGAGUCUUCAUUUUGUUAUCUUUCGGAGAGCUAUUUUGAGUGAGUUACUUGAAUUGUUUUAACAUACAAGAGUUCAAAUUUAUAGAGCUUUGGAGCUCAGAUGACGAGGUCUAUUGUUGCAUGUGAAAAAAAGGGUGCAUGAUUUAAGUCAUUUUCAACUUCAUUAAUUCAUUUUCUUUUUAAUUUUUCUGCAUUUUGUAUGAUUAUCGUUUCAAUGCAUAUUACUUUUUUUUUUGUACAAAUUUUUUUCCUUUUAGGUGCCUUAGCAUGGAAAACUUGUUUUUUUUUUUUUUAAAAAAAGGUCAAUAUCUGUUUAGCCCCUAUAUUUUAGACUAAACGAAUAAGAUUUUAUUAAUGUUUAAUAAUUAUCUUAACAAAAUCUUAUUUAUUAAGAGAAUACAUAGUUUCUUUUUUUACUACACUUUGCUUAAUUCUUUCUCUAAAUUCUAUUGUGUGCGCGUAUGGAUAUAUUGGUAUGUAAAAGUUUACCUACUACUCGCUCGACCUUUGUCUGAGUGGUGAGCUUUAUGAGAGCAGUGGUUCAUGUGCUUUCAUGAAGAUUCUAUAUUAUCUCUUCUAAUUUAAUAUUUAGUAGACUCAACAUCUAAGUUGUCCCUAUAGAUGUUUUUUGAAAAUAUUAUUAGAUUUCUGAUUAUAUGACACAUAUCAUUAUUAAAAAAUAAAAUAAAAAAUUGCCUACCAACCUUAUUGACUUGGCCAAUAGAGAAUUUACAUUGGACCAAGGUAGUUUUUCCUAUCAAUAAAUUAUUAUUGAUAAAUCAAUCAACUAAUGAUUAAUUAUACAUAGUACAAGGAUAAUAUUAUAAAGCUAUGCAAUUUUUCCAUUUUCUAAAUAUACAUCUUUGCUAGGACGUCCUAUUCACAUAGAUAACUUUCCAAACCAUUUUUCUGACACAUUUCUUUCUCCUAAGGGUGUUCAGAAUCCAAUCCGAUUUGCUCAAUCUAUUUGAUUAGCAGAAAUCAAAUCCUUAAAAAUCUUAUUCGUGCAUUGGUGGAUUUGAUUGGAUUGAAAAUUUAAAAUUCCGCAGUUGGUGAAUUAUAUAUGGAUUUACUUCUGUAAAUCUGCAAAAAUUCAUGAAUCUACAAAAAAAAUAUUUAUUUAAUAAAAAAUAAACUCAUAAAUAUGGCAUUAUACUUAUUAAUAAACUAAUAAGUUAAAAUAUAGUUACAUUAACACCAUAUUAUAUCUUAUCCGAUAAUAAUAUAAAAUAAAAUAAUUAAAUUAAAAAAAUAACUUUCUAAGUAGUUAAUUUUCAUGUACUAAUCUAAACAAAUGAGAAUUUUUUUUUUGAUGUGUUAUAUUUUGAAACUUUGAAUUUAUUUUUUAGCUUUAUUUAAACAACUAAUUUUUUUAAUUCUUAUUUAAUUUUGAAUUUGAUUGGUAGUAAAAUUAUUUUUAUAUUAUUUUUUUUUGUUUAGUUAGUUUGUGGAUAGGACAUAAUUAAAAUUUUUUAGCCCACAAACCAAUCCGUAAAAAUGGUGGAUUGAAUAUAAAUUGGGUCAAAUCCGCAUCCGAUUUGUAGACAUAUGGAUCGGAUUUGAAUUGAAUUUCAUCAAUCUGUGGAUUGGAUUGGAUUAAAAAUUUAUAAUCCAUAAAAUCAUAGAUCGAAUAUGGAUUGAUAUCCAAUUCAUAAAAUUCAAUCCGUGAACACCCCUACUUUCUCCUUUUGUCAAUUGAAUAGUCUGAAUCACAUUAUUUUUUGAGAGACUCUACAACUACACGAAAGGCCAUGGUACUUCUAAAAUGCUCGAGUGUAGAAGUAGUUAUUUGCAUGAUAAUAACAAUUAUUGAUAUAGACAUGACUGGUAAUGCGAACAUUUUAUUAGCACACCGGCCAACCAGGUUUUUUUUUUCCUUUUUAAUUUAGUUAAUGAAUCUUGGAAUAGGAAAAAAAAUCCGAUGUUUUGAUGAAUUUUAUUGGUGCAAGUGGCAGCACACUGUAUUUAAGAUUAAAAUUUUUUUCAUCUUAUAGACAAGACAUUUUUGUCUUAUUUUUUGUUAGUUAUUGUAAAACUUUUAAAGGUUUCAAAAGGUCCAGAGUUCUGGUUACACUCACAAAGACGGGGAGAGACUUCUAACAUUAUAGAUAGGAAAUUUUGAAAAAUUAAGAAAAUGCUUUAAAUCCAAUCUAAAGCCUAAUAUACCAGCGGUAAAACAGUCAAAUUACAUGCAAAAGAGAAAAGUAUGGAUGCCUUGGGUGAGAAAUGCUAUACUAAUAUAGCUGGGAUGUACACAUAGUUUAUGUCUCAAUGGAUGUCAUACUUGGCGUGUCAUUCAUUGAUAGAUAGAGUAAGAUUAUUACACUUACAACAAUAGAAAAAUAAAAUUAACUAACACCUAACACAUUAUAAGAAAUGAUUGGUCACACAUCAUGCAAAUUGAUAUAUGCAAACUAUGUAAGUACGUAUCUGUACGUAUGACAUACUUGUUUUAUAGACUAUAAGACUUUAAUGGAGUAUCGGACANNNNNNNNNNNNNNNNNNNNNNNNNNNNNNNNNNNNNNNNNNNNNNNNNNNNNNNNNNNNNNNNNNNNNNNNNNNNNNNNNNNNNNNNNNNNNNNNNNNNGUUCUCACUAGACUCUCAAGCACUCUCCUUGUUAUUCUCUCACAAAUUGAAUGCUAAAAUGGAAAUGGGAGCUCCCCCUUUUUAUAGCCAAAAUUGGCUAUUAAAAUAUUAUUUUAUUUUUAAACCACCAUUGAUUGUUCUUCAUUCUUCUUCCUUUUGUCAAAGUCGUAUCCUCCAUUUUCCUUCAAACUUUGCUGCCAAAUUCUUCUUCAAACAAAGUUGUUGCUGACCAUCUAGAUGGCCACUUUAUACCAUCUAGAUGGCCGCUUUGUUUGACAAAAACUACUAUCCAUAUUUAUAUGAAGAUUACAGCCAACUAAUAAAUUCUUUUAUUUUUAGCUAAGUUAUGAAACCUACUUUAAAAAGCUCCACUUGAAAGAUUAUAAACCAAUCUCCGGGUUUCUUUCUAUAUGCCAAGUGCUAUGGUAAGUGAAACACAAUAUCUUUCAAUAACUAUUGAAAACCUAUUUAAAAAUUAAACUGUUUCACGUUCAAGUAAAAGUUUUCACAACCGCAUCUCAACAGAUGGUCAGAUGAUCUAUGCAAUUUAAUAUUUGUAAUCGUUGAUAAUUCGUUGUCUUAUCUUGCAGCAAAAUUUCUGAAUAUUUUUCCGAUUUAUUGUACUUUGGGUUUGAGUAAUAGGCUGCGUUGUGCUCCUACGACUCACACGGUAUUUCGGCAUGGCCCAUGGGCUUCUUGUGUUAAGUAAAUACUGAUGGUGUUGCCAAGGGAAAUCCGGGGCCAUAUUCUUAAUUAGGGUGCAAUCGUUGGAUUAGUGGUUAUUUUUUUAUUUUUUUUUUAUUUUUUUGGCUGUUUGCUAUGCUAUUGGGUUUUCCCUCUUCCUUUUAUGGUAGAGUUGUAAGCCGUUGUUCUGGCUUUAGGGUGGCGUUUUCAAGGGGAUGGCCGCAUAUUUGGCUAUGAAGUGGUUCUGCUGCUGCUGUUGCUUCUUUCAGCAUUCCAAUUAUCUUCAUCGAUGGGAUCUUAUGUAUGUUGGCAGAAUUGUGUUCGUCGUCUUAUGCCUGAGACAUUAAAAUGAACGUAUAUUACAUUUUAUUAAAGUUCUGCACUUAUCUAUUAAGAAAGAAAUUCAAGAAAAAUAAUCAGUCAAAAAUCUUGUGUGCUUUAACCCCACAUGUUCAUUCUUAAUGAAAUUUUUAUUUUAAUUCUUGUAUGCUUUCCGACAUUUUCAUUAAUCCUAACCUAUUCUUAAAACUCCAUCUCCAUCUGUAAAUUCACAUGACCUUAUAAUCAUUCCAAACUUGUCUAUAAUAUUACCAUUAGAAUUCUUUUCUAAUUUAAAUUUUCUUAAAUUUUUAAAGAUUUUAUGCCAUACACCGUUAUUGAAUGAUAGAUUAUGGGUAGAAUUUAAGUUACCAUUUGGCACAUGGUAGAUUGUAAUAAAGCCGCAUCGGUAGUCAGGAAUUCUUUUCACGCUGUACUGAAAGUAAAGACCAAUAUUUAUAUGAUUUUUGUGAAUCCUCUGGCUACAAAGACAAUUAUCGAAGGUACAAAUCAUGAUUUGACCAAUUGACAAUUUGAACACAAUUCAGUGAAAAAUAUUGCUACAAAGAAAAAUAAGAAUGAGGACGAAUUCAGUUUAGGUAAAAAGAAAGACAAAGAAAAAUAAGGAUGAGAAUGGAUCCAGUUUUGGUAUAAAGAAAAGACAAAAGAAAAAUAAGAAUGAGGACGAAUUCAGUUUAGGUAAAAAGAAAGACAAAGAAAAAUAAGGAUGAGAAUGGAUCCAGUUUAGGUAUAAAGAAAAGACAAAAGAAAAAUAAGAAUGAGGACGAAUUCAGUUUAGGUAUAAAGAAAAGACCAAAAAAAAAAAAAAAAUUAGGAUGGGUUCACUUUAGAUACAGAGAAAUAAGUAUGAAAAGUGGGUUCCAUUAAGUAUAAAGAAAAGACAAAUGAUUGUGGAUGUGUAUUUUCAAAAUUGAUAAAGAGUAAUAUUAUGCAUAUAAGUUAGGAUAUAAAAUUUGUAAGGGAUGUAGCAUCUGAAUUAUCGUUCAAUUAUUAGUAUGGAUAAUUAACACAUCAAAGAUUUAAUUAUUACUUCAUAUUUUUCUAACGUUGUAUCAAAACUUUAGAAGCAUAACAUUAUAAGAUCGAUAAAACUAAAUUUUGUGAAGUUAUAUAUAUACACACAUACAUAUAUUAAAGUAAUGAUAUGCAUACAAAGUAUUGAUACAUAGUGUUAAGAAUUUAGAUAUGUUUUAAAAAAGUGUAGGCAAAUUAAAACCUAGAAAAUUAAUUUCAACUAAAAUUAAUUAUUUUGAAAUCACUGUUCAUAUAUUACUAUUCACAAUAAUAUUGUUCAUGAGUUAUUGUUCACAUAUUCACGUGAUACUGUUCACAAGUUAUGGUCCACUGAUUCUACUCAUCACCCUAAAUCUAUAAAUUAUGCUAGAAGUUUUAAACUAUAAAAAGUAAAACAUUUAGAGAUUUUGACAUGGUUCGAAUCAUAAUCCUACGUGCAUGAAGCCACACCUGGAUAUUAAGCAAUUUGCUAAGUAAUGAUAAGAUUAUAACCUUUUGAAAUCUUACACAAUUUCAAACUUUCUUUUACUUGCCGCCUCCUUAUUGAAUCUAACUUAGUUGAGUUUGCUUAGCGAGUACCACUCAUCUUCAAUUACGUUUGCUGCUUUCUUGAGAUCCUUGCAACAUACUAAACUAUCCAUUCAUCCCGAAGAGAACAAAGUAAUCAUCAAAUGUAUAAUCAAGGAGUGUAUAUAUUGAAGAUAUGAAAAUUAAAACUUUACAGAGAUAUGAAACAUCAUAUGGGGCCAAGAUAUGAAUUCUUCAUGCAUUUGCAUGUCGGUUACUUCUCUAGGAUGAAAUAUCAUAUGUCUUCAAUAGUCUUUAAUGUGUAAACUGCUUCACUUUCUAUAGGUUUAGUAUUUCAUGCAAAAUAUUCUUUAAUAUUACACAAUCUAAUCUAAUAAGUACCUAAGACUAGAUAAAUUAUUAAUAGAAGGAAUUAAUGAGAUAAUUUUGAAACAUUGAUGAAUGAAUGACAUGUCAAACAUAGUAGGAAAUAGAAAUGUUAUUCCUAAUUUUGUAAGCAUAUUAUUACCCAUUUCUUUUAUUUAUUUAAUCAAUCAUUAACUUCAUAGCUGACUAUAACUCCAAAAUUAACUAACAUUAAUCAGAUGUGCUUAACGCUUUGUUGCCAACUACUUUUUGUUUUUCUCUUUUUGUUUCUUUUCAUUUUUUCCUAUUACUUCCAUCACAAACGCCAGAAUUUUUUUUUAAAAAAAAAAUUGACCAUACGAGACGAACUUUAUUAAAGUAAAAAUCAAGAUUAACACCUAGGGGACAUAUUAAGGACUUACCCUCUCAUAAUAAACAUAAAACUAAAACCAAAAAAAAAAAAAACUAAAUGCAAUGCACGAUUACCGUAGUAAAUGUUGGGGAAAAAUACAGUUUUUUUUAAAUUUUUAUAAAACCUUUUAAGAUCAUUCUCAUAUAAUAUAUAAGAAUUUGUAAUCUAGAAAUCGUACUUUGAAAAUCCGAUUUAGCUUUUUCUGUUGAAGUGAUUUAGGCUCCCAGAUCACGAUCCGUCACCACCACGCCUGUUAGAUCACGAUCCGUCGCCGCCACGCUUGUUAGAUCACGAACUAUCACCAAUGAUCUUCUAGGUUAUGACUCAGGUUUAAUCUGCACUUGACGUGUGGACGCUUUUAUCACUACCAAAGCAAUUAGCACGAGAAAAUUUUUCUCUCAACAAUAGAAAGAAAAAUCUUUUUCUUUGAUCUGUAUAAAGUGGCUGUUAUCCCUUUCUUUAGAGAAAAUAAGCCUUUUUAUAUCUCUUUUUAGUGAAAACCCUAGGCUCCAAAUAAUGAAAAUCAAAACUCACGUUACUUGUUUUUUCUAUAGAGGACCCACCUUGUAAAAUAACAUAAGGCCCCUUACACACAAGCUAAUUAAAUGGAGCCUCGCACUAAAUGAUAUAUUUAGGCUUUUGACCCAAAUAACUAGUUAUCUUGCUUAUUAAUCCAAUAGUGGUGCAGUCAAUUAAAUGAGCUAACCCGGGGAUCAUUUGGGAACAUACAAUAGUGGCUAUAAUAAUUAGGCCUGUAAUUAAAAUAGCCUAAUUAUUUAAUUUCAAAUCUACUCCACUAAAAGAUUGGAAUUGACCUCCAUAAUUGUAUACUCGAAUAAUAAUUCGUCCCAAGCCACAUUGAUUUCUUUACUGCAAAAUCCUUUGUACCACAUCAUUAAUUAAAUCGAUAUCUCAACUGUCCAAUUAAUUUAAUUACAUCUUGUUCCUUGAUACUUACUGGUUUUCUCUAAUGAUCAUUUUCAAUAUGCUAAAUAUGUUGACACACUUUGACCAGAAAAUUCUAUGAUCAAGUGCCGAAAACUCAUCAAGAGAUGUGUUGUACAAAUUCUAUAUUAUUAAUCCAUAACUCCAAUACUCAUAAUUGCUCCCACCAAGAUACCGGGUAAUCUUGCCACAAUUUUGUGUCGUGCCCAUUGGUAACUCAAAUGGAAUAACAAUUACAAUCAUGAAAUCAUAACUAACUCAAGAUUAAGAUUACAGUAAAAUCAAUGCCUAUGAGAUUUAAUAAGUCUGACAGUCAUUUCAAGGUUAAUUAAAUCUCAUAUGUGAUCCUGUUCAAUAUAGUCGUACUACAUCAAUAAAUUCAUACAUGAUUAAGACAAAUCAUUCAAUGAAUUCAUUACAGUUUAUACCUAAAUAAAGUGCACAACUUUAUUUAUCAAUUGCGAACUAAAUUUAUUUAAUCAUAAGAUAACUUAUAUUUAUGUCUUCUGUGAAUCCACAUGGUGAUCACAUAAACACAUAUAAUAUGAUUAAAUGGACUUUGAUCAAAAUAUUAAUGCAAUUAAGAUAUUUGAAUAAAAUAUCUUAUUAAUUUUAUUAAUAAAAAAAAUGUUUAUUACAAUUAAAUAAACACAUAUGCUUUUAAAGAGCAUAUUUUUCCAACAGUAAAAACAUUGAAAAUUAGAUCUAAGAGAAUUAGACAAAAAUCUAUCAUCUCUAAUGAAGAAAUGAGAUGUAAAUAUAAAGCACACAAAACAAAAUAUUGUCACAAUAUUAAAAGUUUUGGCGAAUUAUACACACACACACAAACAUAGAGAGAGAGAGAGAGACAUAAAUCUUCUCAGGCGAGGAUGCCUAAAUGCAGAUGUUUUAUGAAUUUGUAAAAACACCAUAUGGUGUUAUAUUGUUUCUAUCAAUUAGUUAUUAUACAUAUGGUCUAACAACAUAUUCAAUUGAAAUCUGCAUUUAAGCAUCUGUUUUGAGUGCUGGAGAAUGCAUAUUCAUAAAGAGUAAAAAUUGUCAUUUAGCGCUCCAAAAUUCACUAACAUUUUUCCUUUUAUAUAUUUAAGUCAUUUAAACUUUGAUUGUGUGUUUUGUUAUAAUUUGAGUAUUUUAUGUAUUUCAAGGUUGUUUGAUCAUUUCACAAUUAACAAGAAGUCAUAUAGCAAAACGGAUAGCGUUUUUGAGCUCAAAACAACUGAAAGCCUUAAGAAGGGUAUAAAGGGUAUAAUCAUAGUUUUGGGAUUUUUGGUGGGGUUCAACUAACGUGACAUUGACCAAUGAUGUGAUAGCAUCCUAUUGGACCAAAAUAUACUGAUGUAGUUUUGACCAAUGGGUUGGUGUUGACUGAUGAUAUGACAUUGACAAAUAAUGUGACAUUGACUGUAACACGACAGUAACUAAUAAUGUGGCAGUAUCCUAUUGGACCAAAAUAUGUUAAUGUGACAUUGGCCGAUGAUGUGGCAGCAUAUUAUUGGACAUGAUGAUAUGUUCUUGUGCAAUCUUAAGCGUCCGAAUUAUUUUAAUCCAAUGACUAUGAAUUACUUUUUGCAUUUAUAAAUAGAGGCUCCCUCUGAUUUGACAGCUCUUAACGCAACCUUGAGCUUCAUUUUUUGUAAUUCUCUCUCAUUCUUAUGUUUUCUAUGUAUUUAAUAAAAUUAUCAUGUUAUCUCGUAGCUAAUUUAAUUUUAAGCUUGGGUUGAAGAGGAAGUGUCAACAUAAUCCAUGGGUUUAAAUUUGGUAGGUUUAUUUUCUUUUCCUCUCUGAUUUUGUGGUUGUUUGAACUCAUUGUCAAUUGACAGUGUAUCUUGUCUAUAUUUUGUACGAUAUACUUGCUCUCUAGUGAAAGAUCAUUUCUGUCUAGUACAAUGAGCACUUUACACUAUAAUCAUUAAAAAGAGACUCCCUUCUAGUAUUUAUGGGUCAUCUUGACUUAGUGUUGACAAAGAGUGUAUCUAAGUUAUUUAGUGAACGGUCUUGCGACGUCAUCGAUAAAAGGAUUAUUAUUGUCUAGCACAAUGUGCACUUGAAUCUAUACUUACCAGAAGAUCAUUACCAUCUGGCACUGAGUGCUUGAUAACAUAUUUAUUAGAGUGAGGCUUUAUAAGGAGUUGAAAUAACCCUCAUAAAUUAAUAGGAAUUAAAAAGUAAUAUUAAGCCCAUAAUGAAGUGUUGAGUGUGAAUCUAGAGACUCAAAUGUUUUAUUUUAAUUAUUUUCAUUUUUAAUGUACUCACGCCAUUUUUAUUUUAAAUCUUAGUAUCGCCCAAAAAUCAUCUCCAGUCAAUUCACAUAUACACUUAGAAAAUUAAUCUUAUCCAUAAUUAAAUCUACAUUCUCGUAGGAUCGACACUCGUCAUCAUAAAUGUAUACUACAAUAGAUUCAUGCUCUUACGAGUAUAAUAAAAUUUGCACAACAAUCUACACCUGGGAAUUUAUAUAAUAUUUAAAUUUGUGGAAAGGAAACGAGCCUAGCAACAAAGCUAAGGCAUCUAAGGCUUUACAAAGUGAGGAAAUACCGCCCCUAAACAGUCACCACGAAGCCAAUCAUGGAGACCAACAAGAGGAUCCCGUAGAACAUGUAGACCUAGAGGCAAAAUGAGGACAAAGUUCGGAAGAUAAUCUAACGCAAAGACAUGGCACACCGAGACAUUCUAAUUACAAGAGAGAAAUUCCAAAAUGCCAUUGUAACGGCCAUUAGAUCGCUAACGGAGUUUAACAGCACACAUGCCGUCAACCUCGACCUGGAGUGUCUUACCCCUAAUUCCAUGCUAAACUAGCCCCUGAGAAUGACCCCAGAGCUCAGCUAUAGUAAUCAAGCACACGCUAAUAUUCAUGCCAAAACCGAUAAUCCAACUCCCAUUAUAAUCUCCGAUAGGACUGCCAGCAGAAGACAAUCCAGAUUGCUUUCUAGCUCCAUUUAUAUUGAGCUUGAAAUAAGGCCUUGAUGGAGGAGCCAAGCCAAAUAAUUUCUCCACUCUUAUCACUGUGUUCGCAACAAACAUUUCAUUAAGGCUUUGAAUUUCCUCUGCUCUGGUCGUGAUAACUUUGGCCACACUGAUCACGCUAAUAGAGGAUCCUUCGCACACCAGUUUUUUAUGCCAGCACCAUAAUCUCCAGUUCAAAAGUGCAAGCCUAAUCACAAGUUUUGUUCCACUGAUCAUUGUGCUUUAGAAUUUGAAUGCACCACUGAUUGAGAGAUAGCCUGAAGGAAUCCUCAUAGUCCAGACCCGCCAAACUGCGAAACAGUCUCCUAACACAUGCAACACCUCCUCAACAUAGCCAUUGCAACGACUGCAUUCAAUAUUAGUAGUGAUGUGUCUCCUGUGUAACUCAACAUUGCCCUUCACUUUGCCUUGAACAACAAGCCGCAGAGAGACUUGAAUACGUUGAGGUCCGGUCCAUUUCCAAAUAGCAACCCAAAAAGAAUCCUUAACCAUGUGGUGACUUCUAUAGAGGUACUGGUAAGCUGACUUGGCUGUGAGUUCACUAGAACUAGAGUAAGCCUAGUAUAAAUGGUCAAAAUCACCAGAACGGUCAGGUGGUUUAAUAGCACCCAGCUUAAAUAGAACAUGAAUAGGGAGUAAGUAAGCAAAGAGAGCACAAUUCCAUGAGCCAUCAGGGUGAACAAACUUAGCAACACAAGCAUUCGCUGAGGACUCAGGAGCUAGAGCCAAGGAGAGAUAAAAAAGUAGGACAUCUUCCAGAACCCCAAGAUCGUACCAAAAAUGAACCCGCUGUCCAUUACCAACAAUCCACCGCAAACCAUCCAAGAUUUUCUGCCGAACCACCCUAAGGGCUUUCCAAAGGUAAGAUCCAUAUCUCGUGGGGAGAGUGGGGUUAAUAGACUUAGAAUCAAAAUUACAUUUGGAACAUAGUGUUAGUGAUAUGCCCUAAAGGCUAGUCGAAUGGUGUUUGCUUUUAGGGAAUUAUUGUAUUUGAUUAGUGGUAGUGUCGUUAAGGUGCACCAAAUUUAAACCUUACUACUAGUAUAAAUAAUUAGUACAGAACGAGUAAGGAUCGAUCCCACAGAGACUAUGCUAGUUAUAUUUAUUAUCAACUCUAAGGCAAGACUUAAAAUAAAAUAAUAAUAGAAACAAUUAAUAUAAAUUAAUCUAACUAAAGAAAAUGCCAAUUAUAAAUAAAAGGGGAGUUUUUGAAUUUUUAACUAAAUAGCAAGAAAUAAAGAAAUUAAACUAUGAAAACAAAAUUUAAUAAAAACUCUAAUUAAAUGGAAAAUAAAUAAUAAUGAUGAAAACUUUGGUUAAAGGAUCAUUCACGACCACCAAACAUGCACAUAAUAUAUCAAUUCUAUCAUCAAUUUCUAUUGAAGCUAUCAACCGUAGACAACAACAAGCUCUGUUAGUCUCAAUCUUUCCUUAGUGUGUCGUUAGGCAAAACAAGCUCUUCACCUAAUCUCUAACCAUUAAAUAAUUUAAAACAGGCUCUUUAAAUUUAAGAUAAUGGAAGCGUUAAGUAGAGAAAGAUAUUAGGUUGAUCUAGGCAAUAAAUGCACAAGCUCGAAUUAUUUAACCAAGGUUAUGUUCUCCAAUUGAAAUCAUUGAUUCCAACCUACUACUUAUGAUUAAAAUCUCAAGACAAUUAUGGAUCAAGAAUUUUAAUCUAGCAAUAGAAUUUAUUCAAGUCCUAUCUAAUUGGCCACUCAAACAAGACGAGAAUAAAAUCAUAAACAUUAAUUAUAGAAGAACAUAAACAAUCUUAAUUAAAUAAAUUGAAUGAUAGAAUUUAAAUUUAAUUGCAUAACAUGUUUAGGAUUUUGAAUUCACCCUCAAGCAAAUACAAAAUCUAACCUAAUAUAAUUAAAUUGGGAAUAAGAGAAUUGAUAAAACCAAUCAUGAAGAUUAAUUCAAGCGGCUGCCUUUUCUUCAAUUCCUUUCAGCUGCUGAUUUUUUUCUUCUCCUUUGCGGCUGCAAAUUGUUCAGUUUCUCUUGCUGCCCAUUCUCCUCAAUUCUGCCACAAGUCUAGCUUUUAUUGUGUGCCGUAAAUCCUCACAUGGAAAGGAUUAAAAACAAAAGCCAAGCCGCCACUUUUCUUUGGCAAUUCACGUGCAAGGCCAUUUCCCAUUUUUUCACUUUGCUUUCCAAAAUUCAAUGCCAUGCACGUGAAUUGUUCAAUUAAUAAGCCAAUAACAAUUUGGCCAAAGCCCAUCACAAGAAUGCAUUUGCCUUAUUAAUUAAAUUAUUUCCAAUGUUAAUUCUUCUCAUCUUCACAUGAACUUCAAUUAGCCCUUGGCUGCUUUGAUUUUCUUCCUUUUUAACCACCAUUACUUUCCUUAAAUUGCCAAUUAAUUUCUUCUUUAAGCUCUCCUUACUUGAAUAUUCUGAUUUAAUUCCUCUUUAUUCCCAAAAUGCACCUAAAAUAACAAAAUAAAAAAAACUAAGAUAAAAAUUAACACAAUAAAAAUAUAAUUUACUAAAUUAAAAAUUAACUAAAAUAACUAAAAUAUUUAAGACCAAAACAAGAAAAAGAUGGAGAAAUUAAUAGCAAAAUAUAUGAAAAAUAUGCACUUAUCAAUUAGCAUUUUGAUAUUUAUAAAAUGGCAAAGUUAUCAACAUUCAUAAAUUAAUUUAAUGAAUAUAGUUCAAGAAGUAAAAUAGUUAAGGACCACAUUCUCGAGUUUGUUGAAAAUAUGAAACGUGUAUCUUUUAUACUAUACUUUUAAAAUAGUUCAUAGUGGUGGAUUUAUGAUUGGACAUCAUAAAUUCCUAUAAAUACUAGUAUGUGUUAUGACUCCUUGUGGUAUGUGAUACUAAAAUGGAUGGUGAGUUUCAUAUCAUUGACAUGAGAUGUCAAGUUAAACACACAGGUUCUUGUUACGAGAACGAGUUUACUGAAUUUGACCAAAUAUAAUAAGCCAUGGUUUUGAGUGUUAAUGGUUUAUUAUACAUUGUGAUAGACACUAUGUUUAGUAAUGGUCUUUAGACCUGAGGCAUCACAUAUGUCUUGUACAUAAACAUCUCUGAUAUGUGAAAGCAUAAGAAUUGAUUCCUAAUCAAGGAAGAGAUCUAACAAUAGCUGUCAUGGUUGGCUAUGUAUGGAGACAAGUGUAUGACCAAUAUAGAACUCAUCACUUUGUAAUAUACAAAAAGGAAGUCACUGUGAGACAAUAUGAAUUUGCAUGAGAAAUCCUUGGCCAAGGUGAAAUAUGUUUGAAGGAGUUCAAAUUAUAUUUUCAUGCUAAGUUCAUUUAGAUUUAUUUUGAGAUAAAGUAUAAAUGCUUAACACACUAAACCAUAAGCCGUACUUUUCUCUGGACAUGGAUGAUGAAGAGAUCAAGAUAUAGAGAUACAAUGGAAUAGGUUCUAUAGAUCCAACAAUUUUUGUUAUUUGGGUGGAUGUGAAAUAUUGCUAGGUGUCAUUCAUGACUUGUAAAAACCUUAAGAUCAUUAUUGGUAAAGCAUAUUAGUAAUGCACUUAAGGUCAUUAGAAAAGUUCUAAUUGAUAACUAAAGAGUUUAGCAUCAUUUAAUAAAUAAAAAGUUAUCAUUAAAAUACUUCUACUAUCUUAUAAAAAAGAACCUAAAAGGUCACACACCUAAUAGAAAUAAAAAAUGAGUUACUAGAAAAUGAGAAAUUAAAUUUCCUAAUUUUAGGAAAAUCGAUAUUUAUAUUAUAAUUCAUUAAGAAUGAACAUAUAUAAAUAUAUUUUAAAUAUUAUUUAAGAUAGAAAUUUAGAUGUGCCAUAAAUAUUUUAAGGAACAAAAUAAAUUUCAUAAAUCCUCACUUAUACAUUAUGUAUAAGAUCGAGCACGUAAAAUGAUCAUAUUGGACUUGUUUUGAUCCAUAAAUUAUUAUCGACUUCUAGACCAUUUUUGGAUUUAAAAUUUUAGACUUUUAUUGGACCUAUUAUGGAUUAGGAAAAUGUACAUGAACAUGUCCUAUAAGAAGCCCUCUAUUAACCAUUUAAUUUGAUCAAAAUGGGCUUAAUUAAUUAAAGUCAAAAUUAAUUAAUUUAUCUAUUUAUUUAUUCAAAGUUAAUUUGAUUAAAUAAAUUAUUAAAGUGAUAAUAUCACAUUCAAUAAAUAAUGACUUAAUGGGUGGGUCUAGCUUAUGAUAAUGUUUGGUGCCAUUGUUGAAAAGAUAAUGGUGGCUUUAUUUAGUGGAAUGAAUCAUCAUGAGCUAGUAUUCAUGUUUCUUAAUUAUCUCUCUCAUUUCUAAAAGAACUUUGGUGAUUCAAAAUCCUAUGAACUCCUAGAACAUUUCUAAGUGUGUACAGAUUAGAGGCAUCACAAUUGAGGUGCUUUAAGGAUUUCAAAUCAUAGCAAAACAGAAGCUGUUCGUGCAGUGGUCUAUUUCCUAGACAGUGUUCGUACCUUGCUGUUUUCUAUCAUUUUCUCCUGCCUCACAAAGUCGUUUAUGAAAUUACAAGUGAGGUAAACAAACUUCAAUCUUUUCUCUUGAUUUUUGUUUUUGAAUGAAGUCGAUCUGAGGUUUUUAGAGCUUCUGCCAAAAAUUGCGUUUUCAGGAACCUUGUGGACAAAUGUUGUCCUUCAUACAGAACUUGAACCCAAAAGCUAUUAGGAGAAGAAAUAAUACCCCAAGAAAGUUUCAUCAACAGAGCACCUUUCAUAACCCCCAGAUUCUUCAGUCCACGGCCCCCACAAAUCUUCGGAAGGCAAAGACGAGGCCAAUCCAUCAUAUGAAUUUUCUUGGCAUAAGCCGCUCCACUAUAAAUAAACAUACAAAUUAACUAUCAAAGUUUGUUUAUGUGAACAAGAGACGGAGAAAACGACUUAAAGAAUGAAAGCCUCGAAAAACCCCCCACUGUUCAUUGAAAUACACCAUUUUUGCCCUACUGUUUUGGAAUGCACCAAAACGCCAACAUCCCGCCCCCCAAAAUCAUUAGUAAUAUUCUGUCAACCUAUUUACUCUACCUUUACCUUUUUGGCCCUUGUGUAAUUCAUGAAGCAAAAUGCUAGUGCAGGCAGCUCGAGUUCAACUCCAAAGUUGAAAGAACAUUAAAAUGAUAAUAUAUUUAUACAUUUAUACUUUAACGAUAUAAAAUUCAUGCUACCAAAAAACCGAAAAAACAAAACGUUAGGGGUUUAACGGAUACAUGCAACUCAUGUCAAAAUGUCUUCACGGCUUGUUUAAAGAAACAUAAAAGAUUGAUAUGCGCAUGAAAAUUAAACAAUCACCAGCACUGUGUGUCAACAGAGUAUAGCCAUAUUAGUUAUAAAUACGUACUCUAAAAACAGAGAAAGCAUCCAGAGUGACAUGAUUCACUUAAAAUCAUGUGAACGAAUUCUAAAUUUUGGGAAGCAGUUUUUACCAAAUUGAAUCUUACGAUUGAAUGUAUGAGAUUAUUUCUAAUGAGAUUUAGUCUCACGACAAACCUUGAAACUUUAGCUAUAAAUAGUUGUUCAAGGGUGAUUCACAGAUCUAUCGAAGUAUGGAUAGGCACUUGAUUGAAAUUCCAUAAUUAAUUCCUUCAACCUUCCAAUUCAGUUUGUUCUAAGGGUGCGUUUUUUCAUGAAAUGAGAAUGGGGUGGAAUAGGAAUGGACUGAGAAUAAGAAUGGGCUAGAAUGAGAAUGUGAUUUUAAUGUUUACUUGGCAAAAAUAAAUAGGAAUGAGAAUGUGUUAGAAUGCCAUUGAUAUGUUUACUUGGCAAAAUAAAUGGGAAUGAGAAUCAAUUUACCAAAAUACUCAUAAUAUUAAUAAUUAAUAAAAAUAAUUAAUUUAUCAUUAUUAACAAUAUUAUCAUUAUUGUUGUUGUUAUUAUUAUUAUUAUUAUAUUUUAUUAACUUUAUUAUUUUAGUUAUUAUUAAUUACUGUUAAUAUUAUUUUUACUAAUAUUAUCAUUAUUAACAUUUAUUAUUAUUAUUAUUAAAUUUUAUUUAACUUUAUUAUUUUAGUUACUAUUAAUUAUUGUUAUUAUUAUUAAUGACAUUUAAAAUAAUAAAAUUAAUUGUGAUUUGAAUGAGGGUAAUUUAGAAAAUAUGAAAAAAUUAGAGGGAUACAAAAGUAAACAUAUAUUCCAUUUCUAUUCCCUCAUUUUCAUUUCCAACCCCCCCAUGGGAAUGAGAUUCACAUUCCUUAUUCCCAAAUUGUGUGAGACCCACACAUUUCAUUCUCAUUCCCCAAUUACAUUUUGCCAAGUAAACAUGGAUUUCAUUCCCAUUCCCCAUUCCAUGAAAUAAACACACUAUAAAUAGAAGUAAUUUCAGAGUCGGAGUGCUUGUCAUACCAGGCCACGACUCAAGUUCACCAACUAGAUAUAAGAAAUGAUCCUAUUCGAUAUAUUUUGAAUUUUUCCCCUCGUAAAUUUACAAUUUUUAAAUCGCCUCCUUACUUCUGGAAACCUCACAUUAUCCUCUAAAAAUAGUCAACUUUAAUAAUUGAUCGUCGUUGACUUAUUAAAGUGACUAUCCCUUUUUUAAUAUUUUUGAUAAAUAACGACUUUAAAACCAAAAAAUACUACUUAAAUGAAUAAAAUAAUAAAACAAAAAUGACUUGAGGUCUUUCAAAUUAAAAGAAAAAAAAAACUAUUUUCUUCCCAAUUUAAUCUCCACGAAUUAGAACCACACUAAACCCUAAUUGAAAAAAUCCAUUAUUUUUCCCAUGGUUUCAAUUGGUUGGCACGGCUGUGCGCGGCCUAGGAUUUGGUUGCCUUGGCCACAUGCGGCCCUAGAUUUGGUUGGCUUAGCCAUGUGCGGCGUUGUGUUUGGUUUCCAUGGCUGCACUUGGCCAAAGGUUUGGUUACCUUGGCCGAGUGUGGCCAUGGGUUUGGUUGCCUUGGCUGCUCACGACCAUGGGUGGGGGUGGCCAUGAGUUUCGUACUCGAUGCCUAUUUUUCAGAGUAUUCAAAAUUGAAAUAUUGACUUCAAAACCAAUUAGGUUACCAUAAAAUUUUCUUAAAUUUUAAUUUUACUUUAGUUGUCAUAUAUGGGUAUUUAAAAUUAUUUAUUAAUGAAAAUUUUGGAAGGGAGAAUUUUGCAUUUAUAUGUAAAAGAAAGUGAGUUUUACUAGAUGAGGAUGAAUGAAUAACAAGAAAGUGAGUGUUAUUAGAUGAAGAUGAAUAAAUAGUAGCAAAUGAAUUUUGAGAAUUUUGACUAUUUGAAUUUGAGUUUAAAUUUACAUUAAAGUACAUUUUUGCCCUCCAAAAUAUAGUUAAAGGGUAAUGAUCAUUUCAUCUAAUAAUAAAUAUAUAAAAUAGAAAGGUUUGACUUCAGUAAGCUAGUUGACUGUUUCAAAUUUUAUAACUACUAUUUUACCUUUUAACCAUUAAAAUUAAUUGAGAGAUAAUAGAUUUUAGUGGGUAAUUUGAGGUUUUCAAAAGUAAGGAGAUGAUUUAAAAAUAGUGAAUUCACAAGGGAUAAUCCAAAAUUUACACCUCAAGUUCUCAAUUCCAAAUAAGUUGCUUAUUUUAUAAUUUUUGGCAAAAAUAAUGUUUGAGAAAUUUUUUAUACCUACUACUCAUAGUUUUCUUUAUUUUCUAUAAUACCUUUCAAAAGUAGGUAAGGGUUUCUUUUUAUAAGUAGCUUAUAAAAUAAGUUACCAUAUUUUAUUACAGUUCAUAUUAUAACCUCAUUAUUUUAAUGAAAUGACAACUAUGUGUUUCGUAAACUCUAAUAUAUAAAUUAAUGGAUAUCAUGUUUUUGCUAAACUAUUCUACAUUUUCUUCACAAUCAAAAUUGUAUAUGAAUGUAAUACAUAUUUUUAUAUUUUACAUUUGUUUUCUCUCAUAAGAGUCAAUAAGACUUGUAUAUGAAUUGAUGCAGCAAAAGUUUAAUGUUCAAAAUAUUCUGUUAGUUCUAGAAAAUAACGGAACAAAAGAACAAUUAAAUUCACGUUGAUUCAAAAGAAUACCGCGAAUUUAGGGGUUAAGACUCGUUGAUUCCUUAGAAUACCGAGAAUUAAAUACUCAAAUACUCACAAAGAGAUUUGAAAUUUGAAAAUAUUAUUGAAAUCGAAUCUCUGCUUGUAAAAGUUACAAAAGCCAGUUAUUUAUACUAACUAAGAUUUAUCCUAAUUUGAUUUGAAAACCUAUUUUAAUAAGACUUAUAUCUAAAUUAGGAAUAUUACUCAAAUAAGCAAUGCACAAGUAAUAAGACUCUAAAUAAGAAACCAAAUUAAACUAGAAUACAGAUUAAUCUUUAAAUUACAAAGUUGAUGCUAAUGAAUAACCUUGAACUUUUCCAACCUUGCUGACUUUAUCCAUCAAAUCUGUCCAACAACUUUUCUAAGAAUGACUUGUCGUAACAUCCUUCCAAGCUCUCAGAAAAACCAAUAACAAAAGAAUGCUUCUUAAAAUCUUCUACUUGUUGAAAAAUCUUAUGAUACCUCUCCCUAUUUAAAUCGAAUGAAUAAUAUGAGAUUGUAUCAAUUACUACCUCAUCUUGUUCCAUAAGAUCAAUAUAGUCAUCAAAUUUUGGCAAUUGAUCCAAAUCGAUGUAUGUAUGUGGAGUAUUGUUGUGGACAUGAAUGGCCAAUUCAUAUUCUCCUUGGAAGGAAGAAUAUUGUCAACUGAAACAAGGUCACCAUCUUCCUCAUUUUCCUCGUAACAUGUAUCAUCAGGAACAAGUUCGUCAAAUCCAUAUCUAUGCUUUAUGUGUAAAGAUUUUAUAUUUCGAAGUUUCUCUAAAUCUUGAGCAAUUGAAUGCAAAAUCCUCAACAUCUUAAUUAAAACAUCUUUCAAGACAAAAUCUUCGGGGCGAUAUUGUGGUUUCACGGUUCAAUUUUUUCUUUUUUUAUUUUCUCUCUUUUUCUCCUUUUUUUGGUGUUUGUUUAGGGAUUUUUUUGCUAAGAUUAGAAAAUAAAAGGGCAAUAAUGGCAUAAAUGAAAUAACUGGGUCAAAACUAUGAAUAAGCAAAAGAUAGGAUUAUCGACAACGAUGAUAAAAAAUUUGGACAAGGAUGACUAGGAAAAAAAGAAAAGAAAUAGAAGCAGGAAUAUCAGCCGCAUCAGCUGCCAUUCAAGGCGGCUGGCAUUGAUUUUUCCAUCACCAAUCAGCCCAAAACAUUCGGAUCAUAACGCAUCGGCCAUCAAACCUCAAGCAUCUACCACCGCAAUCGGUCAUAUAUCCCCGGAAAAUCACCAAAACAGCCGCUGUUUGCUGCCAUUGUUCACUAGUUUUUGCCGCGUUUUGGUCGUCAUCAUCACAACCAAUCGACUCCUCUCUAUUAGCUAAACCUGUCUCACCUAUCCUUAUCCCCAAUUGACGAAUCUAUCAUCAGAAUCAAAACCGACACAAAGUCACUGCUUUUAUCUCUAAUUUUUGGCUAAAUCACCACUUUUUUUUUUUUUACAAACAACCACCACCAUCAUACUGGCUUAAAGGAAAAAAAAAAGGUAAAGGUAUGGAGGAUAGUUUAGAACUAGGCUUUUAGCUCUAUUACCGAGCUGAUGCAGCGGAAGUUUAAUGUUCAAAAUAUUAUGUUAAUUCUAAAGAAUACCAGAAUAAAAAAAAACAAUUAAAUUCAAGUUGAUUAAAAGGAAUACUGCGAAUUUAGGGAUUAAGACUCGUUGAUUCUGCAGAAUACCGAGAAUGAAUUGAGCAUAUACUCACAAAUAGAUUUAAAAAUUGAAAAUAUUAUUGAAAUCGAAUCUCUACUUGUAAAAGUUACAAAAGACUCUUAUUUACACUAACUAAGAUUUAUCCUAAUUUGAUUAGAAAAUCUAUUUUAAUAAAACUUAUAUCUAAAUUAGGAAUAUUACUCAAAUAAGCAAUGCAUAAGUAAUAAGACUCCAAAUAGAGAAACCAAAUUAAACUAGAAUACAAAUUAAUUAAAAUAUUCCUAAAUAUUACAAAUUUAAAUCUACUUAGGAUUUCUUCAAUCUCUUGCUCUACAUCAUGAAUGUAACACAUAUUAUUUUUUAUUAUUUGGAUGUAUGUAUUGGUACAAAUUUUUAUUAUAUUUUAUGUAAUAAAUAUAAAAUUUAUUAUAUUUCAUUUAAUUUGAUUUUUUCAGUUUUUGUAAUUUUGCAUGUUUUUAAAAGAGAAAAAUGCAUGUCUAAAUAAUUUUAGUAAACUUACUCUAAACAAUUAGAAGACAAUUUAAAUUUGCAUUAUUUUGGUCAUUAUAUGAUUAAAAAAACACUACCAAGUGCAUGUACUCUCCUUUUCCAAUUCAUAACAACCUCAACAAUACAAUUUACCAAAUACCAACUAUCUUUUUAAUUAGCAACUUAUUUCAUUCCCAUGGAAGAAGUAGCUUAUUUUAUUAGCUGCCACAACUCAAACCAAAAGUUGGAAUAUAAUUUGAACCUAAAAAUGAGAAACUAAAAUUAUUAUAAUUAAUCUAUUCUAAUUUAAAAACAAAGCUCUAGCAUUUAUAACUUUAUAAGAUCUCUAAUAGCGCCUAGCAAUUGGGACUUUUCUUUUUUUUUUAAAAAAUGAAAUUAUCACUUUCGCUAUACCUAUUUAAGUGAUCACUUUUGGGACAUUUUUCCUAACUUGCCAUGGAUAAUGAAAGAAACAUCGAUUACAAUGUGACGCAAUGCACACCAAUACUCUCUUGAAUAAAAAUUAACAAAAUGAAAUAUUACAAAAAGAUAUCCACGCAAACACGAUAACAAACAAAAACAACACUCCCAAUAUAUCGUCGAAUUCAACAAUAUCCACAGCUUCCCCCAAAUAUUACAAGUUUCAAGAUUAAAUACUGCAAGGUUAAUACUCCCACAGGGCUUUUGAUAAUUACAUAGAUGGUAUUGAUCAUUCUCUCACUGGAAUCACUACUGCGAAAAUGACUUUUACUGACACUUUGCAAAAAGUGUCGGUAGUUAUGUACACAUGCACUAUUUUCCACUUUUGGUAAAUAGAUAUCAUGUUAUUGAUACGAAUGUGUCAGUAAAUUAAACAUAAAAAAUCGUUGACACUAAAGUAUUAGAGGUUAAAAAAAAAUUCAUUAAAAUUUGUUUUAGUUCCAACUUAAACCUAAGACCUCAAGGGUCUAAAGCUUUAACAUUUGGAGCAUAGAUCAUCAACCCCCGUUGAAUCUGUUGGUUGAAAAUCAAUUUUUUAAUUUUUUAUAAAACUUUUUAGGAUCGAUCUCAUAUAAUAAAUAAGAAUUCAUAAUAUGGAAAAUUAACCUUAACAAUCCGAGAAGAUGAACAAUUGACAUUGAUCUAGGCUCCCAUAUCACGAUCCGUCACCACCACGUUGGUUAGAUCACGACCCGUCACCACCACUUUGGUUAGAUCACGACCCGUCACCACCACGUUGGUUAGACCACGACCCAUCACCACCACUUCGGUUAGAUCACGACCCGUCAUCACCACUUUGGUUAGAUCUACACUUGACAUGUGGGCGCCUUUAUCACUACCAAAAGCAACUAGCAAGAGAAAAUAUUCCUCUCAAAAUUAGAGAGAAAAAAAUCUUUUUUUUCUGAUCUGUAUAAUGUGGCUUGUCUCUUCUUUUUGAAGAAAACAAGUCAUUUUAUAUCUCUAUUUAGUGGAAACCCUAAGCUCCAUAUUUAUUAAUUUUUUAAUUCUAUUAAAUCACAUUUAAUUUAAAUUAAAAACCAAUAAAACCAAUAAGUGGCGUUACUUAUUCUUGUGUUAUAGGGUCCCACCUUGUAAAAUAACACAAGGCCCCUUACACACAAGCAUAUUAAAUGGAGCUUCCUACUAAAUAACACUACUAGAAAAAUGGUCUUUACUGACAUUAGAAUAAUGUCAGCAAUUACUUUUAGUGACACUUGUUAAUUGUAUCAGUAAUCUGGGAGUAAGAAAAAUAAUGACACUUGUAAUUGGUGUUAGUAAUUAUUGUUACUAUAGUAUCACUAAUAUUAUGAUGCUAUAGUAUUAGUAAUUAUUGAUAUAAUAUUAGUGUCUAUGAUUACUAUUACCAUGGUAUCACUAUUUAAUUUAUUUAGAAAAAUAAAAAUUUAAAUUGUCUCAUUACUAAUUGAUUUGUUGGUAAAAUUAAAAGACACCACAAAUCUAAAAAAAAAAAAACACCUCGAUUCAUAUUGCAAAAUCUUUCAAUUCAUAUUUAAAUAUUGGUAGUAUAUAUAUUAUUACAAUUGUAUCGAAUACAAAUUCAAACAAGUAUUAAAGAAACAUAUAAAUUCAUAAUAUCUCAAAUAUAGGAGCCCUGAUUCAUUUUCGGUGCCAUGGAGCUAGACCAAUGAACUAUUAAGCUUUCUUCAAAGGAUGGCUGCUUCCAAGCCCACCUCUUGGUUUUGAAAGACACACAAGUAGACAUUCAAUUUGAGAAAAAUACAAGUAUUUAGUUGGCAACAAAAUUUUCCUCAAUGCCUCUACACCUUGAACUUCAUUGUUUUCCCACCUAUAAGUGUAACAUAUAGAAUUAAUUAGUAUGCCAGACAAAUUAAGUCUUGGACAUUCACAAUAAAAAAUAUACUCAUACAUUACAUGAUUAUCGUAUGCUGUAAAUAACUUGGCAACAUAUGCGGCCCACUCAUCAAGAAGUUACGAAAGAUCAUCCAUAGUGUGUACUCAUCACAUCAAACUUCAAAUCCAAUUACUAACAAGUCAAUAUAACUAAAACAAUAAUCUGUAACCAACCACUCAACAUUUUCUAGAAAUUACGAAAAGCAAGAACAUGGAAAUAAACAGAACCAACACAUAGCACACCUAAUAGUAAUUACCAAAGAUCCCUAACAAGCUCAGAAUUGAUAUUAAUCCUUUUCAUCUUAAGUAUUCUUAGGGUAUCACUGAUGAAUUAAAUAAGUAUUCUUAAGAAAAAAAUGUAUAAUACCAAACUCUUGCGGUACUUUCCAAUUUCCUAUCAAAUCUUUGAGACACAAUUAUUACAAUCUGGGGUCAAAAUACAACACCAGCUUUUUAGAAACUUCACUUCUGCAAAAAGAAACUAAACAUAUUCAAUUAUUAAGGUACAGGAAUAAAAAAUGGCUUAAGGUCAUUGAGAUGAAGAAACCAAAAGGAAAGAUUGAAGAAAGAUCACUGGAUCAAUUACAAAGAUCUCUCAAUCAUUCACUUAGACACGGUGCGCUAUCAAUUAUUUAAAAAAUGGUGGAGCUUAUUUUUGCUAAGGUGAACAUUCUUUAUGUUUGUGGCUCAAAAUAGCUACAAAGGUAUAAUUAUAUUCUCAUUUUAUGGGUAGAAAGUGAAGUCUAUUAAUAGAAAUUCCAAAUCCAAAAUACAAGUACAGAAUAUAAGACAAUAAAACAUAUAUGCUAUAUUUUAAUAAACCAUCAAGAAAUGAUUGAAUUAAGCAUUACCUCAAUGGGUUCAGCUACUCCCCAUGGGAGACGAGAAAAAAAUGCAAGUUUCAUAAAAAUCGGCAUGUGCUAGCUAGGAAGGAUUUCUUUUGACUUCAUCCACAGUUUGCUGAAGAAUUUUGCUGCACAUUUAUAGAACAAAAAAAAGUAAUAAGAUUAAAAUUUUAAAACCUAUUUGAAAUUUAACCCCCAAGAAAAAAGUAUAGAGACUAGAUACAUGAACUUCUUACAUGUGCAUGAAUACUCCUAAGCUUCAUCGCUAAAUGAUAAAUAUAUUUUUUUAAUGAAUUAAAGUUUGGGUUACCAAGCAUGUAAUUAAUCUAACAUAGGUGUUAACGCCCUGUAGACAUAAUGCAAGAUUAAACUUUUCAAGUUUAAAUAAAAGAUACAAAUUGCAAAACAAAGCCAUGUUUUGUUUGUUUAAAGUCACUUAAAUACAUGUACAUGUUCAGCAAUCCAACAAAACAUGCCAUAAACAUUUUUCAUUUUUCAUGUCAUUUCAUUUUUUUAACUGAUUCUGUAGGUUGUAAUAUCCAAUUUGACGCAAUAAAUUAGUCUGUUUAAUACACACCCCUUGUCUUUGUACUCCUCUCUUUUGGUUUCUUAUACUUGGGACAUUUAACACAUAACAAUUGAUACCUACAUAAAACAAUCUAGGAAAUUGAUGCAAGCAAAUGAAUUAAUUGGACAACUUACUGCUUUCAUGGAUGAAAUAAUGCAAUCCUUUCCAAGAGGGCUCACAGCGCUGGAUGGCAACCUGCCAAAUAGCAACUCAAGUAGAAGUCAUCGUCUUUUCGUAACUUCUACAAAAAUAGUACAAAUAUAUUACAUAUUGGAGAAUGCCAACAAGCCAAAUAGUAAAUCAAGGAAACCAAGACUAUGGAGAAUUCCAGAUUACUUCAAAUUUUUCCUUGUCCUCUCUUGUAAAAGCAUUUUUUGUAAAUCAAAUUCGGGACAUGGUUUUCAGUUAAUGGAAUUUGGGAACUUAACUCCACAGGAAGUUGCAUGUGAUGCUGGAUUAAAUAUGAAAUUUUUUUAUUGUUGGAUUAAAUCUUUGAAAAAGUGAAGUGCAUGUGAUUUUAAUAUGUGCUACGUGGUUUCUUUUGUAUAAAAAUGAUAAGUGUGAAGUGGAUGCACCCAAAUCUUUGUGCGUGUACCCCAGAUAAAAAAAAAAAAUAGAUUCUGCAAAUUACAGAGAAUUUGCAGGUUCUGGUGAGUUACACUAGGCCAUCUAUACUAUAUAUUGCCCCAUCCAACAAAAAAUAUUUUAUUUGGCCUAAACAAAGUAAAUUACGGACAUAUAAUAAAAGUAUAUCCAAUAAACUAACACAAGAGGACAUAAAAAUCUGAAAUAGAUUAUUUCAAUCUUUUUCCAAUUAUAUUCCACACGUUUUGCCAUUUAUCAAUCUUUCUUAAAGAAAUAAAAAGAAUUAAUAAAGCAUUGUUAAAGCAUAUCAAUGAACAUGAUCAAAUAAACUAAAUUUUCUAUGAAACUCAUAUUAUUAUUAUUAUUAUUAUUAUUAUUUAUACAUACAGUUCUAAAAGAGAAGCAUCGUAAAAUUUGUAAAAUAAAUCUUACUUUCUUUUAACUUUUUUCCCCUUUGUUUAGAAAUCAAACUUUCUUGGGACCAAAAUUUUACUUUAUUAUUUUUUGGGAGCCAAGUCAAAAAGGUAGGUUAGAGAGCAGAGUGUGUGAGUGUGAGAGAGAGAUUUAUUUAAAGGUAAAUCAACAGACAACUUGUGAUUAAGCUUUCAUUUCAUUUUUAAUUGUUCUUUAAUUGUUACUACUCUUGAUUUUGCAUUUCGUAAGCUACACAUAGAUUCAUUCAUUCAUUCAUUCAAUGUUAGAUAUAGAUAUAUACAAGGUUGUUAUGACGCGAUACCCUAUCUGUUUGAAAAAAUUACUCAACGAACCAGUGAAUACCCAUAAAUAUAAUUGGUGACUGAAGAUACACUUUAAGACUUGAAGAAGCAAGAUUUGAAAUCUAAAAUUGUUGUUUUAACCUUUUAAGACUUGAAGAAGCAAGACUUGAUGAUACUAAAAACUCAAAGAAGCAAGACUUGAAAAAGCAGACCUGGACACUGAAAUACUAACUAGGCAACCCAAGAGGGGGGUGAAUUGGGAUUUUAAAAAUUAUUCAAUUAUAAAAUAAAACUCAAUGCAAAUCCAAAACUAAUUUAAAGAAAUAACAAAUAAAUCAAUCACAAUAUAAAAGAGUAAGGGAAGAGAAAACAAACACAAUGAGUUUUACGUGGUUCGGCAAUCCUCGCCUACGUCCACGCCUCCAAGCUCAUUGGGCUUGAGGAUUUCACUAAGCUAGCCUCCCAAGGCUUCAAAUGCUUACAAUCGACUCCCAAGGUGUCAAUGGACCUUUACAACAAGAGAUUAUCCCCAAUUUCUUAACCCAAGUUUAUCCCAACACUUACAACCUCUCAAGGAUAAAUAUUACAAAUGAAUUUUCUCUCACACAAUGUGUUGAUUACAAAUGAAUGCUCAAUGUGUGAAUCAAAGAAACAAAAACAAGUUCAAAGCUCAAUAAUAGUUUUAUGCUCAAUAGCAAGCUCAAUGAUAACUCUUGGAUCUGUCUUUGUUUGAAUUAGAUUGAGCUUAUUUAUAGUUGGAACUGAAAACUAGCCGUUAUUGACUUUCUGCUCACUGUUGGAUCAUCGUUAACUAGAUGUCAGAUCACCGUUUGACUGGUCAAUAUGACCGUUGGGCUGGAUUUUCAAAUUGUCAGAUCGCCGUUAUCUAGAUGUCGGAUCGCCGUUAGUGUCCAGAGGCUACUCUUCAAUUCUGCUCAAUGUCGGCGAGCCGUUAUCAAGAUGUCGGAUCGCCGUUUUGUACAAUAGCUGCUACAGUGAACUAUUUUAUAAAAUGAUGAUUUGACUCUAAAAUUUUAUAUAAUUGUAUUAUGGCCCAAAAUGUUAUAAAUUUUACAAAUAGGUCCAAUUUCAGAAUUUCUAAAUAAUGCUUACCAUUCCCAAAACUUUUUGAAAUUAUGAUAUGGAGCAAAAUGCUAUAAAUACUUUUCAAAUAAAUCCUUCUCCAAAAUUUCAAGCAAUACUUGUUGAUUUCAAAGUUUUCAAAACUCUUUCAAUUAAACCAUAAACUUGAAAAAUAACUAAUUUCAUAAAAUCAUUUUUUCAUUAAAUAUAAAACCUUUAAAAUGUGAAAAUAAUGAUUUAUUUAAAAUGUAUAAAAAAUAAUUUGAUCUUAAAAGAUUAAUCAUUCUUAAUCUUGUUUGUUGUCAUAAAAAACAACAUUAUGGAAAUAUAUAUGUUAACAACCUCCCCCUUUUUGAUGAUGACAAACGUUUCAUGUAUUUAAAAAAUGAUUGCACAAAUUGCUCCCCCUAAAUGCAAGCUUCUCUUACAAUUUUAGUUAAAUUAACAAAUUUAAAUACAUGCAUUCUUCUCCCCCUCAUCAUCAAAAAGAAAACUUAGUGGAAAAGAAGAACAGUGGAAACGUUGUUACCCAUAUUGUUUGAGUAGAAAUUUCGAUAGAAUCUCCCCCUAACAAUAAGCAUCACUUCAAAUACAAGUUUAGUAAUAUCACACCGUGUAAUCAAAUCAUCAUCAUAUCUCAAAAUCAUCACCAUAAUCACAUAUCAACCAUCAAAACAAUACCCAAAGUGCAUAUUAUUCUCCUCUUUUUGAUAACAUCAAAAUGAUAUAUUAUUUUGUCUCCCCCUUUGAACAACAAAAAAGUUCAAAAUGCAUUUUAUCCAAAAUCAUAUUAUAUGCUCCCCCUAAAUAUAUGGCAAAUUUAAAAUUUUAAACGAAAUGAUUUUAUCUAAAAACAUAUCAUAUUUAUCUCCCCCUUCAUCGUAAAAAAGAAAAGAUAGAUAGAUGCAAUCGAAACAAGAUCAUAAAAAAUAAUUGAAUGAAGAUAUUACCCACUUAGUGUGAGCAAAGAUUUCGGCAAAGUCUCCCCUUAAAAAUGAACAAAUUCUCAAAUACACAACAUGGUUAAAAAGAUAUAAGCUUCAACAAUUAUAACAAACCAACAACUUUACCAAUUCAUCAAGCAACAAACAUAUAAUCAUCAAUCAUCAAAUCAUCAAGAAAUCAAAUCAUCCCAAGUUCAUGCCGAAUUUUUGAAAAUUACUCUUCGCAAAGAGGUUUUGAUUUGUUUACCAAAUUGGCAUACAUAUUAUCAACUAUACAAGCUCCAUAAUUACUAAUCACAUUAAAAAUUAAACUCAUUUAGGAUCUAAUGUGACAUUUCAAUAUAACUUAAAAUAAAUCUCAUAUGCUUAAAAUUCUCGAAGUAUAUGUAAUUUUUUUUUUAAUAUCAUUUACAACAAGUAAUGCAUAUUCAACAAUACAUUAAUAAAGUAUAAAAAUGCAUCCAUUUACCAAUCAUAGAUUGCAUAAGAUCAAACUUCAUUAAAUACAAUGUAAUCAUCAAAGCACAUUCUUUAUUAUCAAAACUUAAGUAAAGCAUAAGUUCAUAAUGGAAAUAUAUAGAUCAUCAAAAUCAACAUAGCUAUUAGGAAAAGCCAUAAUUAUAAGUUAAAGAACAAGUGAUCAAAUCCAUUAUUACAAAUGCUUACAUAUAUUUCUAAAUGAUGAUCUAGUAAUUACAUCUUGUGAUGGAUCUCCUAAAAUUACAUCCUUAGGGUGAGAGGAAACAUACCUCCACUCUUUGGGGAGUGUUUAAGAAGUACUUUCAUUUUGCUCCGCAUUUGUUUCUUCAUGUUGCUCCUCUUGAUUUUCAAGUGGUGUGUUCUUUUGGCUAUCCUAAAAAUAAUCUUCUUGUAACUUUUCAUCUACAUUAUCAUCAACCACAACUUUCUCCAUAGAGGAAGAAUUAGAUUCAUCAAAUAUAACAUGUAUAAAUUCUUCCACAAACAAAUAUUUUUUUUUUUUUUUUUUGCUAUACACUCUAUAAGUUUUGCUUGUGUUUGAAUAGCCAAGAAAAAUGCCAACAUCAAAUUUUGGAUCAAAAUUGCCAAGAUUAUCUUUUGUGUUCAAAAUAUAACAUUUGCAUCCAAAAUGUUGGGUUUUCUAUAUUUCCAAAGCUCAUAGAGAGUAUUAUUGAGAUGAUAUCUAAUCACUGUGGUCUUAACCAUUUUUUAAUAGACUUAUUCUUUCUCUCUACAACUCCAUUUUGUUGUGGAGUCCUAGGUGAUGAAAAUUUAUGCUCAAUGGCAAAAUCAUUACAAAAAAUCUCAAAUGCAUGAUUUUCGAAUUAUCCACCAUGAUCACUUCUAAUACAAGAAAUAACAUAUAACUCAUCUAUCAUGCAUAUACAUCACACAAUCAUGAAAUAUGUAAGUAUUCAAAGAUUGAGAAUUAAAGCAUAUCACUUAUUUAUCAUGCUUAGGCAUUACAUAAUCAUUAAAAUAAAAAAAAUCCAUCAUGAUGAGUUGACAAGCUAUCAUCAUAUAUAUAUAUAACCCUGCAUCAUGAUAAAGCAUUCAAUGUUAUACACAAUGAUAAUUUAAUCAUGUAAACAAACAAGCAUACUUUCGCAAUUCAUUCAACAAAAUUAACAUGGCAAGAAUUGUUACCAAAACAAUUAAAUCAUCUUGCCUCAUAUUUUUCUCCUAGAUCAUACUCAAGUGAUUAUCCUCACAAGCUUUCAUCAAGGAAUUUCUCCACUAUUCCUUGAUUGUGGUACCUACAAAGAAAAUAUUCACCUUGUGCCCUUUGGUACCCAAAUACUAUUGGGUCCUUGAGUGUUAGCAAUGGUUCCUUUUGGAACCCAAACACAUUUUACUCCAUAAUAUACUUUUCUUUUAAUAGGACAAUCAAACUUCAUGUGACCGUUUUGAUUACAAUAAUGACAUACAACUUGAUUGUUAAUAGAUGUACUCUUCACAAAGUAGUUCUUAUAAUACUUUUGUUUCAAAUUUGGCUUAUAACCAAGUCCUCCUUUAUCAAACACACAUUUUUGUGAAUUAAUCAAGUUAUCCAACAUCUUUUGCCCAUUUGUAAAUUUUAAGAUAAUCUCAUUUAAUUCAUUGCUCUUCUUCUUAAGCACUUUAUUUUCUUUUAUUAAUUCAUCAACAUGGAUUCUCAUGCUCAAAUGAANNNNNNNNNNNNNNNNNNNNNNNNNNNNNNNNNNNNNNNNNNNNNNNNNNNNNNNNNNNNNNNNNNNNNNNNNNNNNNNNNNNNNNNNNNNNNNNNNNNNNNNNNNNNNNNNNNNNNNNNNNNNNNNNNNNNNNNNNNNNNNNNNNNNNNNNNNNNNNNNNNNNNNNNNNNNNNNNNNNNNNNNNNNNNNNNNNNNNNNNNNNNNNNNNNNNNNNNNNNNNNNNNNNNNNNNNNNNNNNNNNNNNNNNNNNNNNNNNNNNNNNNNNNNNNNNNNNNNNNNNNNNNNNNNNNNNNNNNNNNNNNNNNNNNNNNNNNNNNNNNNNNNNNNNNNNNNNNNNNNNNNNNNNNNNNNNNNNNNNNNNNNNNNNNNNNNNNNNNNNNNNNNNNNNNNNNNNNNNNNNNNNNNNNNNNNNNNNNNNNNNNNNNNNNNNNNNNNNNNNNNNNNNNNNNNNNNNNNNNNNNNNNNNNNNNNNNNNNNNNNNNNNNNNNNNNNNNNNNNNNNNNNNNNNNNNNNNNNNNNNNNNNNNNNNNNNNNNNNNNNNNNNNNNNNNNNNNNNNNNNNNNNNNNNNNNNNNNNNNNNNNNNNNNNNNNNNNNNNNNNNNNNNNNNNNNNNNNNNNNNNNNNNNNNNNNNNNNNNNNNNNNNNNNNNNNNNNNNNNNNNNNNNNNNNNNNNNNNNNNNNNNNNNNNNNNNNNNNNNNNNNNNNNNNNNNNNNNNNNNNNNNNNNNNNNNNNNNNNNNNNNNNNNNNNNNNNNNNNNNNNNNNNNNNNNNNNNNNNNNNNNNNNNNNNNNNNNNNNNNNNNNNNNNNNNNNNNNNNNNNNNNNNNNNNNNNNNNNNNNNNNNNNNNNNNNNNNNNNNNNNNNNNNNNNNNNNNNNNNNNNNNNNNNNNNNNNNNNNNNNNNNNNNNNNNNNNNNNNNNNNNNNNNNNNNNNNNNNNNNNNNNNNNNNNNNNNNNNNNNNNNNNNNNNNNNNNNNNNNNNNNNNNNNNNNNNNNNNNNNNNNNNNNNNNNNNNNNNNNNNNNNNNNNNNNNNNNNNNNNNNNNNNNNNNNNNNNNNNNNNNNNNNNNNNNNNNNNNNNNNNNNNNNNNNNNNNNNNNNNNNNNNNNNNNNNNNNNNNNNNNNNNNNNNNNNNNNNNNNNNNNNNNNNNNNNNNNNNNNNNNNNNNNNNNNNNNNNNNNNNNNNNNNNNNNNNNNNNNNNNNNNNNNNNNNNNNNNNNNNNNNNNNNNNNNNNNNNNNNNNNNNNNNNNNNNNNNNNNNNNNNNNNNNNNNNNNNNNNNNNNNNNNNNNNNNNNNNNNNNNNNNNNNNNNNNNNNNNNNNNNNNNNNNNNNNNNNNNNNNNNNNNNNNNNNNNNNNNNNNNNNNNNNNNNNNNNNNNNNNNNNNNNNNNNNNNNNNNNNNNNNNNNNNNNNNNNNNNNNNNNNNNNNNNNNNNNNNNNNNNNNNNNNNNNNNNNNNNNNNNNNNNNNNNNNNNNNNNNNNNNNNNNNNNNNNNNNNNNUUAAAUAUGAUCUAUCAUGUACAUUCAUAUCUAUUCAUCUUGAUUUUUCAUUAUGAAACAUGCAUUUUUGCAGGGCAUCUUUUUCAUUUUUCAAGUCACUACAUGUGAUCUAAAUGCUUGUGCGAAGUGCUACAUUUCUCAUUUUAUAAUGCAAUUUUAUCAUGCAAUGUUUUAUUCUCUAGUUCUAGGUAUAUAAUCUUUGCACUUAGAGAUUCAUUAUCAUUUGUGAGCUCUACCAUUUUCUUUUUAAUAUGCUUUAAAGAUCACAUAAUCCCAACAGAAUCAAGGUCAGAAUGAUAUUUUAAAAUAUUUAAAAAUGAAAAUAUAAACAACAGAACAAAACAUACACUUAAGCAAUUUUCCCAUCUCUCCCAACUCUACCGGCUAUCGCUAUCUUGCCCUUAUCUUCCUUUUUCUGUUUUGUUUUUCUCUUCUCAUCUCUUGUAUUUUCCCAUUGUCCAUUUAUAAACUAAAUUCAAUUAAUUCAAAUAAAUAAUGAAAAGCUAAAACUCUGUUUCAUUUUUCCAUUUUCCUCAAUUUGAAAAAAUGAUACCAGUAGAAUUUAAAAAUAAACUUUUAUUACUAUCUGACAAAGCUCACCACUCAAAAAGGUUACAAAGGGAUACAGAGUUUCACCACCCAAUAAUAUCCUACAAGAGAUAUAGGGCUUCUUAACUCAUCACUCGAAGGAAUCCACCCAAGAGAUACAGAGUUUAAAGAACGAACUCUAAAAAGAGAACUCCUGUAGGCUAUAUUCUCAAAUCACUCACUACUCUCUAAAAGUUACAACCUAAUACAUUUAUAUAGAUAACUUGGAACAUCCCUCCAAGCUUAGGAUAAGAUUUCUAUUAUCUAGAAUUCAAAUCAAACCUGAAUUAAAAGUCUUAGCUGUCAUGAGGUGGAAGAGAACAAAACAAAUCUUAAUUUGACUACUAGGUCGGUUUGAUAAGCAAAUGUGAGUAGUCAACACUCAUUUAAUCACAUCUUGAUGUAGGAAAAUCCAAAUCGAACACCGUAAUAUUUAUUAAACUCCUGACUUAAAGAGCUUUCCAGAGAUAUGAAGCUUGUUGGAUAGACCUUGAUGCAUUGAAGCCAGUAAAUUUAGAACUUGCGGCCUUGUGUAGAAUUCCGACAAAUGUGACCUUUGCUGACUAAAUCUUGAAUUUCUUUAAGACGAGAAAACGAAAUUUGAUUCCGUAAAAUUAUUUAGAAACUAGACAAAAUUAUCUUUUCAACCAUAUAUAUUAUACAUAAUUUAUCUAUUUCUAGAAUGGUACAGUUUAUUCGAAGAAGUGGACUGUUAAUUUUGACCAUUGCUUCCCACUUUGACUAUCCUUUCCAAAUGUCCACAUUCAUCUUCAUUGUUAACCUCUAAACAUGAUAAGCACUCCUGUGUCAAAAAAGAACCAAAACACUAAUUGGUUGUUAUAGAAACCUCUAGUGCCCCUACUGGGCAAGCAAGUAAAAAUGAUCGAGAAGGGUUGAAGUGGCACCAUCAAUUGCGUAUUCAAGUAAUCCCAUUGUUGCUCACAAGCUAAGUCGAGAGAAAGAACUAUAGAGAAGGUUGUCAGCUGGUAGUGGCUUAAUUUUUUAUUUAUUCUUGUCAAUUUAAUUAAUGGGUUUGUUUUAAUUUAGCUUAAUAUUUUUUCAGUUUUAAUUUUUUAGAGUGUUUCAUAUGUUGAGAAAUUGAACAGUAGUGCGAUCCUGGUGGGUUUUGUUUUCCAUAUCUUUUUUCUUUUAUUUAAUUGUAAUUUGAAUUUUUUCUUAUUUUUGUGUAUUUUCACUCACCUGAAGUCCAAAAGUACUAGCAUUUUAAAUCAUGCCUUACUGAAACUCGAAAAACGCACCGCUGCGACUAUGUAAUCUUUCAUCAUUAUCCAGUGAAUGGUUUUUCUACCACAUUUGAGGUCAAUUUAGUUGAUUGUUAUUUAAAAUUAAGAAAGUGCAUUUUUUCAGUUUCUAAAAUAAACUGUCAGCCCGCAUUUACUAAAUUUGAUUAAUAAAAUAGUUGAUUUUGAAUGCAUUGAAAUAUGAAUUUUCAUUUUAGUUUUUGUCUUUUUGAUGAGGAGAUGAUUGUUUGGGUAUUCUAUUGGCUAAAUGACUGGAUAUCUAGUCUGUUUCAAAUGCAGAGAGACAAAUUAUAUUAUAGAAUCCAACCUGUUUAUUUAUUUUGUUUUUGGUUGGAAGAUUUGUAAUAGAGCUAAUGACUAUGAUAUGAAUUAAGUAAGUUUGUGCUUAUCUGAAUGUUUUGAGAUUGUAUAAAGCUCAUGAUUUUUCUUCAAUUCAAGAGGGAAAUUAUUGUUUUAAAGUUGUUUGGCUUGUUGUAUUUGAAGUUAAAAAGUGAACUAUACAAUCUUAAAAAAUGGUUUGCAAAUAAAGCUGUCCACUAUCUAGUAAGUUUUUAGACAUUAGUGUAUAUGUUCAGCUUGGCUAUGGUUGACAUGUUAUGAUAAGAAAGCUAAAUUCGCCACCAGAGUACGAAUGUCAUGCCAGUAAAUGAGAAAUAAUGACAAGCUGCAGAGCAUGACCUAUGGGGAAGCUUUUUUCAAAACUGAGUUCAGCUAAUUCCUUGUAUAUGUGCUUUUGUAGUAGGCAUCAAACGCAGCCGAAGCCUAAAGGUACAGUCGGUGGUAAUCAAGCUGAGUUGGUGCCUUACAAUGUAGCCAGCCCAUAGAGGUACUAGACUAUUAGAUAUUGCUACUAGUUUAAGGCUGUAUGUGGUGAUCCUUCACUUUGAUCGUUAGUACGACGUACUAUUAGAAUGAAGCCAGGGGAAAAAAAUUAACCUAAGCGUUAAGUUAUAUACAUAACCUGUCAUUAUAUCUCGUUUUAGUUUCAAACUUGUUAUUAUUAUUCUUUUCUUCAAAUACCUACUUUGCCAAUAAUAAUGGUCCCAUGCUAGGAAGCAUUACUUUUCUUUUCAUUCCAAAUUCAAGAAUACAACUGAUAAGAUUGAUUGGUCUUUGUGCCUCUCUUAUUACUUUUUUGUAUUCCCUUGUUCUUUUGAUACAAUUUGAUCUUUCUACGGCCAAAUUUCAUUAUAUAGGCAAAUUUGCAGAAGCAAAUUUAUAUCCAGUACAUCCAACUAUAGUUUAUAGAAAAACUAAUCCAAUCCAAUCCACUAAUUUAUAAAUUGUAUGCAUAUUGGGUUUAUGUGGAGUGGGCAAAUUGAAUGAAUUUAAUUGAAUUCUGAGUAUCCCAAAAGUUAGACAUAUAUAAUGUUUUCAAAUAGUUUUUGUAUAUGUUAGUUUAGUCCUCAUGUUGUUAGAAUGAGGAGUCCCUCAGCUGAGAAUUUAUUUUAUAUACACACACACAAAUACAAUUCAUUUAUUAAUCUUGUUAGGAACUUUAAGACUGAAAAAAUAUUUCCCGGGCUUUCAAAUGAGGUUUUAUCACUUUAAUUAUUUAGAGUGUAAAAAUUAUUUCCAAAGGAUACUGAUAACAUUACAUUACUACAACUACUAGGGAAUUCUUUUCUUAGGAGCACAACUGUUAAUUUUUUUCCAAAUAAAAUAGAAGGAUUGUUUUAAUUUUCCUUAUCUAUUUGAAUUUAAUUUUGAUGAAGUAAUUUUUCAGUUUUAAUUAUUUAUUCAUAUUCUUUUAUUUCCGUACGAAUUAACUUUGAAACAUGUCUGAUUGCAAGUAAUAUAUCUUAACUAGCGAAAGACAUCUAAGGAUGGUAUAAGAUGAUAUUUUAACUCUACUCACAACGAUGGGGCGAUUAAUAUAACACUUUAAUCUAAACUUUAAUCUAAAAACACUUAAAUAAUGCACGUUAAGUUAUAUAAACCUGUCAAGUUAUAUAAAAGAAUUGAGACUCAUGGAUAUUUUUCGGGCUUACAGUUGCGCAAAAACAUAGGCAUGUGAAAGAGUGUUGUCUAGAAUAUCUUUUUUGUAAUAUUUUAUAGUGGCGCACGUGCUACAUUAUUGAAUUAGUAAUAAUUUAAGAUUUACAUAAUAAAAUAAAUAAUAGGUUAAAAUCCUAUUAGUCAAAUGGAAAAACCUAACUUAGGGUUUGUUUGCUUUAUAAGAGUUGUAAAAUUUUCCAUCAAUCUUUACUUUAGUUUUGUCUCUUCAUUCCUCUCAUAGCAUCGUUAUUAACAAGGGAGCGCCUAAGUUACGAUCAAUGUACCUUACGUUUUUUGUUUUAUUCUUCUUGGUAAAUUUCAUUUGAGUCCCUUGAUGUUUCUUUAUUUUCUAUAAUUGAGGGAGUAUUUGUCUCCUUCCAUCUCUUCUACACCUAUUUUUUAUCCUUUCCAGAGUUGUAUUUAUUUCUUUUAAUAACAACAAAUGAUUAUCAAACUCAUAUAGAUCUAUGAAUUCAGAAUAUAUUUCUGGUCCUAAAUUUAUUAAACCUAUUCUUUCUUGCUCUAAUAAAUCUAUUUUUUGGUUUAUUAAAUUUAUAUAUGUACUUACUAUAUUUUCCCAUCCUAAAUGCAUAUGUUCUGUACUGUUUAUUAAUUCCUGUAUUGUAUUAACUGCUUGGUUCAUAAUGUUUCAGUUUUAUACCAAUAUAUUAAAAAUUGUAUAAAUUUAUCAAUAAAUUUCAUUUUCUUUUCUAUCAAUAUUUUCUCUCCUGUGGUAUCUAUGUUUCNNNNNNNNNNNNNNNNNNNNNNNNNNNNNNNNNNNNNNNNNNNNNNNNNNNNNNNNNNNNNNNNNNNNNNNNNNNNNNNNNNNNNNNNNNNNNNNNNNNNAAAAAUCAUAAUAAUUAAUAUAUAGUUCCUAAAAUAUAUGCAGGAUUAUUAGUCAUAUCAUAAAAUAAUUCAAUCUGUAUAAAGUAUAUAUAUUAUUUAUAUACUAAAAUAGUAUCUAAUUUCCCUCUAAGUAUCUAUUUUACAGAAUAGUCUGAUUACAGGUACGUGGCUUGUUAUCCCAAAGUGCAGAGGAUACUAACGCCCAAUAGGGAUCGUCUAUCCAAUUUACGUCAUGGGUUGCUUGCCAAUAUACCCUUACAAUCAGUUUAUUUGUUUUAUUUUAAAUUCAUAUAUUUCAAGUUUCUUUCGUUAUCUGAAUUUUCUACGUAAUUUAUGUAUGAUGGUCCCGAUUUUCUCAAAACUUUCAUGUUUCUAUAUAUGCUAAAGCUAUGUCAAUUUCCCUUGCUCUAUUGUUAACAUAAUUAUAUUAUGCUUUUAAAUUAUCUAUUUUCGAUAUGGUUUUAUAAUUUUUUCUUUUUUAUUUCUUUUGGUAAAUUAAGAGUAUAUACUGCUUGUAGAUCUUCUGUUCUAACUAGCUCUUCUUUACUAAAAAGAUAUGAACUUUGUUUAAAAGAUAUGAACUUUGUUAAAAAGUCUAUUAUCAUCAUAUAAUCAUUAUAUGUAAUCCUAGUAGUAGAGUUUAUCAUAUAUUCUUUAGAAUUCCCAAGUAAAAUAUCGUUAUUCAUGUUUAAAUUAGCUCUUCCUCCAUCAAUCUCCUCAUCAUCAAUCAUCAACAAACUUCCACUAAUAGAUAAGGUUUGAGAAUUAUUACCUGAGUUGUUCUUAUUUCUUUGCCUUCCGAUCCUCUUCCAGUGACCUGCAGCCUGGUUGUCCUUAUUCCCUCAACGGCCUCCUUGCCUCAACGGGAUCAGCGGACCUGAGCGGCCUUACUGUAUGGAUUUUGAUCGUUAUGCUUGGAAACUUUGAACAAAUUUAGGUUUCUCUUUCCUUUCUUUGGUGUUGUUUUGUUUAUGAUUUCUGAUGGUUUGAUUAUGGAUUCUGAGCUGAAGAGUUGUUUAGUUCUUCAUUUUUUGAGAGAGUUUUUUGGAAAAGAUUUUGUAAUCGAAGCUCUGAGAGCCUUUCUUCUUUUUUCUUUUAUUUAUAAAGAAAAAGAUUACAUUCUUGCCCUCUUAUGUUUGGGCCUUUUACAUUAUUGCCUAGGUUUUGAUUACAUUCUUGCCCUCUUAUGUUUGGGCCUUUUACAUUAUUGCCUACAUUUUAUUACAUUACUGUCCUUCUAUAAUUGGGCUUCUUACGUCACUGCUGACGUUACAUAUCACUUAUUUUUAACUUUAGCAUCUUUCUUUUUGCUGUCUGCCAUUUUCCUUAUCUUUGUCGGGCAUCUUUGUUUAUGCUGUCUGCUUUAUCUUGUCAGGCAUCUUCUUUAUGUUGUCUGCCACUUCCAUGAGUUGAUAUGCUUGAUCUAUAGUUUUACUGCUACUGGGGAAACACAUAGUGCUUAUUUCAUUGAUGAAAUCUAAUAACAGGUUCGAUGGUGUAUGACUGUCUUCAGAGGUUAUGAGAAUAUAGUUCUGGAAUUUGAUGAUGGUUCUGAAAUUUCUUUUGUAUAGAUCCUUGGCUAUGCUCCAUAUGGCUUUUAUUCCUCUGGCUCUUCGUGUUCUGAUCCAAGGUUCAUUUAUGUGUGGAACAUUUGUGUAGUCUGUCCCAACUUCGACCUUGAAAUUCUUAGUGAGAUGACCUAUAGAGAUCAUAUAAAAGGCUUGAUAUUCUACGUUCUGAUAGUAUUCUGGACUUAUGGUGUAGAAUUUUAGGUAUAUGGGUCUUUUUUGGGCGAACCUUGAUACUUCUUUUAUUAAUAAGUCAUCAAGGCUGGCUAUUUCCUGAAGAUUUAUAUCUGGAUAUACUAUAUCUAAAUACCCGUAUUUUGCUAUCUUUCCAACAAGGAGUGGGUCUGCUCCUUUUGUAGCAAUCAUUCUUGGAUACAUAUUUUUUCCUGGUGCUUUGAAAAUUGUAUUCUUGUGGGAACAAGUGGAGUACACCCAUGUCUGCCAAUUGUUUAUAUUCUUCUUCUUUUGGAUUCAGGGGUUUCUCCUCUUCUUCUGUAUAAGGGUUGUUUAUUUCUAUGAACUUUUUUGGAGGAUCUGAUUUUGGAGACUGGACUUCUAUAGAUACGACUUUAUUUGGAACUGGGUCAGAGAUUGGUUUAUCUUCUCUGAAGGGUCCACUACUGCUUCCGAUAUUUAUUGGGUUAAUGUUUAUUGGGCUCGUGUUUAUAGAGAGAGCUUUUGUUAGGUCGUCUAUGUAUGACUCUAACAAAUUUACUCCUUUUUCAUGAGCCUCAGAAGCUUCUUUUAAAUAGUUUAUUGCAUCAAUUAUGUCAGAUGCUUCUGUUUUGAGCCUUUGUACCUCAGCUUCUAUUUUCCCGAUGAUUCUAUUAACUUCGGGAUUCAUUCUCCAAAUUCUAUGUUCCUGCUUAGGAAAUCUGCAAGGAAAUUGUUAAUUCCUUUUAUAUGGACAAUUUUGAAAUUAUAAUAUGACAGAUAAACUUGCCAUCUAUGCAAUCUUCUAUACUGGGGUUCAUUUGGUAAAAUCCUAUUAAUAAGAGCGUUUACCUGAGAAUUAUCAGUUUCUACAAUAAAUUGUUUUUGGAGUAAAAAUAAUGAGAAUUUUUUAAUCCCUUUGUAUAUUGCAAGGAGUUCUUUUUCAUGUACAGGAUAAUUAACCUGAGCUCUAAUCUGUUCUGCUCUUUUCCUGUAUCGACAAAUUUCAUUUAUAUCUGUUUUAAGUAUUGCUCCCCAAUAUAAGUCAGACGCAUCUGUUUAUAUUACUAAUCUAUCUCUUUCAUCUGGUAGUCUUAAAGUCUGAAGGUUUUUUACAUUCUUCUUUUAAAUUUUUUACGUUUCUGUAUAUUUCCUCAUUCCAUCCUCUAGUAUUAUUUUUUCUUAAUAAUUUUUGGAGUAAAUUUCCCUUUUUUGAAAAGUCUUUUAAUAAUCCCUUCUGCCUAAUUUAAACAUCCCAAGAAUUUUUGGAAUUUGUUGUUUAUUUUCUAAUUUAUNNNNNNNNNNNNNNNNNNNNNNNNNNNNNNNNNNNNNNNNNNNNNNNNNNNNNNNNNNNNNNNNNNNNNNNNNNNNNNNNNNNNNNNNNNNNNNNNNNNNNNNNNNNNNNNNNNNNNNNNNNNNNNNNNNNNNNNNNNNNNNNNNNNNNNNNNNNNNNNNNNNNNNNNNNNNNNNNNNNNNNNNNNNNNNNNNNNNNNNNNNNNNNNNNNNNNNNNNNNNNNNNNNNNNNNNNNNNNNNNNNNNNNNNNNNNNNNNNNNNNNNNNNNNNNNNNNNNNNNNNNNNNNNNNNNNNNNNNNNNNNNNNNNNNNNNNNNNNNNNNNNNNNNNNNNNNNNNNNNNNNNNNNNNNNNNNNNNNNNNNNNNNNNNNNNNNNNCAAAAUCCUGUAAUAAGAGCGUUACCUGAGAAUUAUCAGUUUCUACAAUAAAUUAUUUUUGGAGUAAAAAUAAUGAGAAUUUUUUAAUCCCUUUGUAUAUUUAUUUAGUUCUUUGUAGUUUAUUACCAUUCUUGCUUUUCCUCUAAUCUGUUCUGCUCUUUUCCUAACCCAUAAAAACUGGACUAUUAUGCGGGCUAUUACUACUUCUAAUAAGUUUUAAAUUUAAUAAUUCUUUUAUUUGAAUUUUAAAUUCUUCUCUAUCUUCUUUGUAUACAUCAUAGGUUUAAGUCUUAUAAUCCUAUUUUCAAUUAAUUCUAUCUUUGCUCUAGGAUGAUCUGGUUUCCAUAAUGCUAAAGGAUUCUCGUUAUAAACUUGCUCAAGCUAUGAUUUUAUUGUUUCUAAUUGUAUAUUAUAACUUUGUCCUUUUUGUAUUAAAUAAUGUUUUUCAUAAAUAUACUUAUCACCACGCUGGGCUGGCUGAACUCUGUAGGGUUUGAAUUCGCGAGGGAUGCGGAGAAUAUGAUUACAAGGGGUUUUUAAAGUGAUCAUAUAGGGUGUUUGUUGGUAAUAUUGGAACUGUUGUAUGAAGUCAUUUCCUAAAAGGAUAUCACAAUCCAUAUUAUUAUAUUGGAAUAUGUGAUUAAUACGUACUAUUUUACUUCCUAGUAAGAUUUCAAAAUUUAGAAUAGAUUGAUUUACAUGUUGUUUAUCUCCUGUAAUACCAAUAAUUUUCAAUUUUCCAUUUGAUUCCCAUUUAUUAGAUAAAAAGGAUUUCAUAAUAGUUAUUUCAUUACCAGUAUCUAUUAAAGCACAAGUAUCUAUAUAUUUUUCUGUUAUAUUUAUUUGUAUAUAUACAGACAUAGGGUACUUUAUAUAAGCUUGUUUUAACAUGUGUAACAAAUUAUUGUUUGGCCUUGGAUUAAGAAAGUUAUCUUAUUAGGUUCAAUUUUGUAAUAUUCUAAAUCAUUUAAAAAACUAUUACCUAGUACUAUAUGUUUUUCUGGGUCUGUAGUCAUGAAUGAAUCUAUAUAGCAGGCUACUAUUAUUCUUAGUCCUUCUAUUAUUAUGGGGACUUUAACUUCUUGUUUACAAAUAUGUUUAUUCCCAUUGAAGUCAGUAUACUCAUAUGGAACUUCCUUUUCUUUUACUAAGAGUCCUUUAUUUUUUGUGUGAUUCAUAUAAUUAUGGUUUGUGCCAGUGUCUAAUAGUAUAGGUACUUUUGUUGUAUAAUCUAUUCCAUUAAAGUAUUGUCCAAGUAUUUUUACCACAUUAUUUGUUGGUACUGAUUUAAUUAUUUGCUUAUCAGUGUUUAAUCUUCUAGAAAAACUUCCUCUUAUUAAGGUUCUUCCAGCAAAGCUUAUAGGAAUAAUGUAGUUUUCAUUACUAUUGUUUAAAAAUUGUUUUUUAUCAUCGAUAUUUAAUUCAUAAUUUAUAGGGAUUUUGUAAUCUUGGAUUACUGGUUCUAUAAAUGUUGCAAUAUCUUCACAAUCUUUAUUUAUCUCGAUGUAAGGUUUAUUACCAUAUAUUUCUCCGUAAUUUGAAUUACAGAAACUAUAUAAAGCUGUGUAAUGUAUUGUUAUUAUUCUAUUACCUUCUUUCAUUAAAUCUUUCUUUAAUAACUUAAAAUGUAAGCUUAAUGUUUCGUCUAUGUUUUUAUCUUUAAUGUGUACACAAUAUCUAGGGUGACAAGUAAAUAAUAAUUUAGUAUAACAUAAAUUUCCUUCUAUUGUUCCAAGAUGUCCUAUAUUAGGAUCUAUAAAUCUUUGAUCAUGCAAUGAUAAAACUAUUGGGCUAUCUAUUCCUUCUUUAAAAAGUGAUUUUAUUAAGAUUUGUAUCUCAGCAAGAUAUACAUAUUGAAUUUUUUCUUUAGUUGACUCAUUUUUUAUUUUUCUCAGUGCUAAAUCUAUGGAUCUUUUAUUUAUUAAACUAAAUCUAAUGUUUCCUUCAGCUUGUGUAAUUGUCACUGCUUUUUCUUGUUCAUAAUAUUCAUGUAAUAUUAUUCGUUUUCUUUUAAACAUAUCUCUAAAUCUAUGGAUUAUUCCAUAUUCUGGUUUUUCCAUAUUUAAUUUUAAAAGUUUAUUGUAUUUUUCUUUGUUAAAAGUAGCAACAAGGCUGUAUCCACUUUUGUUUUCUUCUUUUUCUAUUUCUUCUAUCUCUUCUAUUUUUUCAUUAUCUAAUAACUCUUCCUUAUUCUGAUUCAUUUUCAAAUUCUUCAGCCAUAUAAACUUCCUCUCCUAUAUAGUCAGAUAAAUUAUUUAUUUCUUCUAAGUCACUUUCUAUAUUUUCAAAAUCUUCUUUUAAGAGUUUAACUUUUUUCUUUCUUGUACAAUCUGUACUUAUAUGUCCUAUUUCUCCACAAUUCCAACAUUUACAUUUGGACUUAUCUAAUAUUUUUCUCUGGUUUUUAUAUUUUCUUUUAUAAUAUUUUCUUCCUAAUUUUUUAUAUUUUUUCUUAAAAUUAUUAUAUUUUUUAUAUCUCUUUUCUUUAUUAUAAGAUUUUCUGCGUCUUUUAUGAGGUACAUAACAUCCCCAUUGGGUAGGCAUUUCUGUCUUUUCACAACAUAUUUUUGUUAUAUUUUUACUCUUUUUAUUAAACUUCUUUGGAUACAAUCUUGUAUUUAAAAACCUGGUCCUAGAUCCUAAUGUAUCUGGGAUUCUGCUAUCACUUUUAUUAGUAUGUUUUUCAUAUUCAUUUAUGAAAUAUCCAUUCCAUGGAUAAGGUAAUUUAGAAUAAUACAAAUUUUUAUAAAUGUUCUGGUCUUCAUGACUCAUGAAUUGUGUAUAAUAAUAUUUACUAAAUUCACAUGUAUAUUCUUUUACAAAACACAUAUUACAGAUUGUCAGGUUUAUUAAUUUCAUUCUAGCAUUUAAUUUAUCAUAUUUUGCUUCAUUUUCUGUAUUUUGUAACCAAUCUUCUCCUAAGAAUUCACUAGCAAUGUAUUCGAUUAUUCUUUCUAUACCUAAUCCUUUAUCUUUUCUUAAUGCUAUUUUGGUUGAGUCUUUUAUUAAUUUUUGUGUAUCGUCACUUAAUCCUUUCCACCAAUUAAAUACAUUUCCUGUAAAACUUGCUAUUAGAAUAUCUGUUAAUAUAUUUAUUUUUUCUUCUUCAGUAUCUACAUUCCAAUCAUCUUUGGAUCCAUUGAAUAUAAAAAAUAAUUUCAUUUGCAUUCCCCAUUCUACUAAAGCAUUUCGGGGGUCUAUUUUACAAUCUAAGUCUAAAAAUGUACCUGCAUUGCUUAUUGGCAUCAAAUGGUCAUUAUUAGGUUGGUAAUCUUUUUUCCAAGGGGUAUUUUUGACGAGCGGAUAAUAUUCAUAAAAAGGUCUAUUUUUCUUUUUAUUUGUUUCAUAUCUAUGGCUAGGUUCUCCAAUAUCAGGUUUUAAUUCUGGACCUCCAGCAACAUUCAUCUUUAUUUGGUAUUCUUUUUCAAAUUCUUCUAAAUCACUAAGGUUAAUAUCACUAAAUUUUUCUGUUAAUUCUUCUAAUGUAUUUUCCAUUAUUCUGUAUCACUAGGUGUGUUUUCUUUUAUCUCUAAUUUUUCUUUUCCCUUUUCUUCUCUUUUUAAUUCUGCUUUUAACUUUUCUGAUUCCUCUAAUAUUUUUGGAUACUGGGUUUUUAUAAACCAAUCAUCAUAACUUCCUGAUUGAGGUUUUGUCAUAUGCUUUUCAAUGCUUGUCCCUAUUAUUCCUGAUUUUAUUAUUUCAAGUUUCUCAACUUUUUUAUUUUUCUUUCGGCUUAUCUGAAUUGUUGAUAAUUCUAUUUUUAUCUUUUCUAUUUCUUGUUUAAUUUCUCUCAUUUCUUCUUUAAGAUUUAAAAGUAUUUCUUUUAAUUCGAUUAAUGUAGUUUCCAUAAAAUGUAGGGGUGCUAACAGAUAUUUUUACUUUUGAGUGUAUGUUACAUCCAACGUAACAUAGUGUUAGCCUAUUAACAAUUAUACUAAUUUUGCUAAAAGUUAAGAUUUACAACCAAAACAUAACUGUUUUUGGAUGCGUAAAGUAUAAAAUCUGCCUCGAAAAUUCUUCUUGGAAACGCAUACAUUACCUAAAUGUUAUGCCAUCAAUCAUACCUAAGUUUUGAAAAUGAAUGUUGCGCUAUGAAUGUAAACUUGACGCCAUUUCGUUUAAAUAACCUCUUGAAGCACUUCUGAAAGCUUCUUGAAAUCCCUUUCCUAAUAGUACCCAUUAAAUAAUCAAAAUAAAUUAAACAUUUUAUUUUUGCCCAUUUUUAUUCCUUAGAUACCCGAUUCCAUCUUCUUCACUAAUAAAGUCUCACAGUUUCGUUGUGAAAGUGUGCAAUACCAGAACAUGAUCAUCCCUCUUUGUGAUCUUAUUUAUUAAAAAAAUUAAAGUUCGAAAAACUGGCAUUGUUAUAUAUAGUUUUUAAUCUAUAUUUUCCAUAAAUUAAACCCAUAUGACUUCUUUCUUUAAAAAUAUUAUUUUAUGAAAUCAUGAUGAGUAAUUAGGUGUUCUUCAGUCUUGCCAAAAAAAAAAAAAAAUUCAGAUGUAAAGAGAUGGUUAUUGCUCUCUUAUGUACUUUUAAUCAUGACUAAAGUGGUAAAUAUGAAGGACUGUUUUUGUAAGAUGUUUUCAGGGGUUUUGAGGGUGUCAAUAGUGCCACUCUUUAAGAUAAAAAUUACGUUAGUUAAGAAUGAAUCUUGGUGUGGAUAUAAGCUUGUGGCAAUACUUAGCUCUUGUAUAUCAACAAAAGUCCUUAGCUGUUGAAGAAACCUACGCUACUUAAUCACACUUUACAUUUCAUCAAACUCCAUUUUUCGAUUUUAUUUCAAGUGACAAUUUUUACCACUAAUAAAAUUACUCAAGUGAAAAGCGAAACAAGUUGAUAAUGGCAGUUAAACUGUGUUAUGAAUUUAUUCUACAAAUCAAUUGAAUCACAAAUAAAUUGCGGUACUUACUUUACGUUUUUGAUAUUUGAUCAGCAUUUGUACUUUAUAAUACCUCUGUAUCUACAGGCUUGCACGUGACGCUGGUAAAUGGAGAAAAUAUCUCACCUGAGCUGAAAUUUAGAGGAAAACGUGCCUAAUUGUAAAAUAAAUAAAUAAAAGAGCCAGAAUAAAAUGAAAGAUUGUACUCAACAAGACAAAUGCACCUCGAUAUUUGAGUAACUAGGGGUGCUUUGGGGCAGCUGCGCUGUCCCACCCUAUAUUAUAUAUAGGGUAUAUUCCUCUUGAAUUUAGGGUGGGGAGCAGCUGCGCUGCAACAAACCGAUGCUAGAGCAAAUAAAAUGAUGGCGAAAGAGGUUAGAGAAACUUGUUGCCGAUGAUAUUAAGCUAAAAUCUUCAUACAUUAAGGGAAAAACUUUCCAUUAUGUGUGCGUCCGCGCAGUUACCUUUUUUUGGCAAGAAAAAAGGAUGAAAUAACUCUUUUUUUUUUGUGAGGUUAUUUUAAUCCUUUUAGAUCAAGGCUCUAGGUUGAAUAAGGUUAUGUUAUUAUUCUUAUAAGCAUUUCAACUUUCCUUGAGCCUUCUAAAGUUUUGAUGGGUUCUAAACCUUACUGAGCCUUGCAAAGGGAAACAUUGAUACCGACUCAUCUCUUCAGCUUUUUAUUGACUUGAAAUAUAAAUUAUUUAAUCCAAGUUGAAUGAGUUGUAACAUGAGUUCUUAAAUAAUCUCGAUCAAUCUAUUUGACAUGAGCUGUCCUCAUUUCUCAUGGCAGGACUUAUAGAAAUAAUUAAAUUAUUCUUUUAACACCUAUUUUAUUUUUGACUUCUCCCUAUUUGCUACAGUGGUGCCUGCAAUUGUUUGGCGGCAAACUCUCAUCUGUUUAGUUUAGUGCAUGAAUAAGAACAUAAUAUCGAAAGCAUCAAUAUUUAUUUUAUAAAUACACGAUUGUCGAGAUCGUUUUCAUGUAUAUUAUCUUACUAUGGAAAACUUUUUUAUGAAAAAUUAAAUUUUGAUAAAUACUUAUUGAGACCAAUUAUAGUGGAGAUGCUCGACGUCGGACACUCCUUCAUAACUAGACGAUAAAAAAUUUUACUACUAUGUCUUUGAUUUUAUGGUUAUAAAGGAGCGUUUUACGAUGGACCAUCUCCAUCAUAGCCAUUGCGAUAUUUAUUUAGUCUGUAUAUUUUAGACUAAACUAGCAAAAUUUUAUUAAUGUUUUAUAAAUUAUCUUAAUAAAAUCUUAUUUAUUAACACACGUUAGCAUGCGCACACGCACACACACUAAUGCGUGCGCUCACAGGCACGCGCACACACACAGGGCGGAUAAGUAGCCCUUAAAAGUAAUUUUAGUUUACACUCAUUAAUAUUCAUUAAAUUUGAGAUGAAUUAAUGGACCAGAUUUAUUAAAAUAAAAUAUUUAAAAAUUUUUAAUAUCUUCUCUAUUUGUGGUCCCCACUUUAAAUCUUUCUACUGAAUAUUUUCUCUCGUGCUCUUUCUCUCUCUCCCCUUUUCUCCCUUUGUCGUGCUCUCUCCCCCCUCUCUCUUCUCUUCUCUUUUUUUUUUUAAUCACCGACUUUUUUUCCCCAGUCACAAAACAUUUCACUCUCUCCAAAUUCAUCUCAAAAUUCUCUUCUUAGUUUUGAAAACAAAAGAAAAAGCUCCACCUAUGUCAUUGUAACAUAUGCACUUUAAUUUUCCUAAUUAAGUCUAUUAUUUAAUAUUUCCUUUCGGUAUUAAUUUUAAAUUUGUCAUGACAUAAAAUUGAGACAAUCCGAACACGAUUCAAUGGCCGUGUAGUUCGAUUUUAUUUCAACACAGGUCCGGCAUUAAAUUAAUUAGUAGUAAUUUAAAAAAAAAGAAAAAAAGAAGGCUAGUUUCUAUAAAGGGUAAAAGCUCAUUUAGUCCCUGUAUUUUAAGAUUAGCGUCAAUUUAAUCCCUGUAUUUUUUAAAAUACCUCGAAACAUCUCUGUCGUUAAAGUAUUGAUACCCCUACCGUUACUUUUUAUUUUUUUUGGUUUACUUUUACAAUACUACCCUUUUAUAAUAAUUUUUUUUGAAUAUUAAUAAAAAAAUAAUUAAAUUAUCAAUUUAACCCUAAAAAUAAAAAAAUUAUAUUAAUUUUUUUGCAAGCAUCAUUUGCACACUUGGUAGUUUGUAUAUAAUUUUUGACAAUUUAAUUUUUGACAGUUAAAAAUUAAUCUUAAUUUUUUUUUAUUUUUUAAGAUUAAAUUAGUAAUUUAAUUAUUUUCUUUUUAUUAAUGCCAAAUAAAAAAAUUAUUAUAAAAAAGUAAUAUUAUAGAAGUAAGUUAAAAAAAUAAAAAAUAACGAUAAAUGUAUUAAUACUUAAUAACUGAGAUGUUUUGAUAUAUUUUAAAAAAUAUAGGAACUAAAUAAACACUAAUAUUAAAAUACAUUAAUUAAAUAAACUUUCACCCUUCUAUAAAUGGAAAGGGGGAGCUGGUUUCCCAAAAAAAGGAAAGAGAUAGGGCACGCCAGAGAGGAGGAGAGAGAAGUUGACCCGGAUCGGACCCGCGUCCUUGACCCGGCUCCAGCUGCCGAUUUCGGCCACCUCACCGGCCGAGUUUGGUACCGAUCUGAAGCUUGUGAGAUGCCGGUCACAUCCUCGCCGUCCUCACCGUUGAAAGCCGAUUGCAACGCCGCCGCUUGAAGCUCAAAACGUCACGGCUCAACCCGUUUUUGUCGCCCUCGAUCCCGUGGGAUUUUUAGCCACACCACCGCCUGGAUCUUGUUCCUCAACUCACACUCAUCACUUUCUGACCGACCACGAUCAUCGGGGACGCUGUCUUGGCCGCGAACGACCACCGGGAAUCAGCCGUCAUCGCCGCGCGUAGGAGGUCACCGCCGGCACCGUUGGACUCACCGAGGUCUGAACUAUCAGGCCUGAGCUUCCCGUUGUCGUUGACUGAAAUUCGGUCACCGUGGACCGGCAGGGGCAAUUCGGUAAUUUCAUAAAAAUUUGGGGUAAAUUUGUAAUUUAUGAAAAUGGUGGAUAAUUUGGUAAUUUUUUAUUAGGACAAAGAGGUAAUUUGAGAUUUUGAGGGUAAUUCAGUAAUUUAAGUUAUUAAGGGCAUUUUGGUAAUUUCGUACUUCGAGGGUAAUUUUGUAAAUUCAAAACUUGUGAUUAAUUUUGUGAUCCGAAUUGAGGACAAUUUGGUAAUUUAAGAUAUUGAGGAUGAUUCGAUAAAUUAUGAUUUCGAUGGUAAUUCGGUAAAUUUCGGUGUCAGGAGCAUUUUGGUAAUUUUUGAACCUAAGGGUAAUUGUGAAAUUUUAUGUAUCCAGGAGUUUGGUUUUGAGCUUUAUUUUGUACUGUUAGUCGUAUUUCAUUAUACGGAUAAUAAUUAUAUCGUUUAUUUAAUUAGGAAGACUCGCGAGCGAGAAUCAACUCGCAGACGUUGGUUAUCCGAGUCUGAACAUCGUCACUGUGAGUGGAAUAUACAAAACUUAUUUUCAUUGUAUAUUCUAAUUUUACCAUACAGUACAAUAUGUUUUGAUGAUAAGUAUUUGAUGCUUGAACUUAAUGAUUUUCUAAAAAAUUGACUUUUAUUCUACGUGCUGAUAUUUAUUAUUAUUGAAAAUGAGUUUGAUUAAUGAUUUUAUUAUCAUUCUUUUGAGUAAAUGCAUGAUAUUAGAAUUGAGUGGAUUUGAGAUAUGUUAAAUAAAAAGAAAAUGAGAUUUCAAAUGUGAUUAUAUGAUUAUGUGCAUGUGUAUAAAAAGUUGUUUGGAAAAUAAUUGGACAUUACCCUUCCCCUUCAGAUGCAGAGAUACAGAUAAUAUGAGAUGAAUAGAGUGAUGUAGAUGAUAUGAGAUGAGAAGCCUUUGGGGCCCGUCUGAACACACAUAGAGGCUUUGGGCCGUGUGUUUGGGCACUUUUGCCUCUUGGAGGCUUAUGCAUGCAGUAUGAUGAUUACAGAAAUACAGAUGUUGAGAUACAUGAGGUAUGAGAUGACAUUUUCCCCUCUAUCUGUUGUAGCUUCGGGGCAUGAUGGUUCCCUGAUUGCCUGUCCGUCGAGGUCCGGAUAUGAUGAGAUUAUUCCUCUAAGUACUUGUUUGGUAAUAGUUUUUGGUAUUCAAUAUUUGAUAUAAUAAGUAUUACGAUUUCAUUGAUUUUAUGCAAGAUUUAUGUAAUAUUGUUAUUUUCAGGUGCAUGAAUUGGAAAUUAAAAUAAGUUGGUGUAAGGUCUCUUAGGAUAUUUUGAUUAAAUUAAAUUGGGAAAAAGAUUAAAUUAUUUUAAAUAAAUUUAUUUUUUCAAAAAUUACUAUCCCCUAACAGAGUUCACUGAGUUUUAUACUCACCUUGUUUUUAUUAUUUUCCCCCCCCCCCCCCCUUCCCCAAGACAUUUGCAGGUUAUAUCAGUCGACCCAACAACGAUAGUUAGAUUUGAAAUUAUGGCUACGUGAUGGUGUUAGGAAUCAUAGAUGUUUUGUUGGGACAUUUUGAAUUAUAUAAUUUAUUACUUAUUUGUGAUUAAGGAUAAAUUAUUGUAUUCUUGACAUUACAUAUUUGAAGGAUACUGGUAUUUAAAUUUAGGAAGUUGGUUGUGGAGGUUGAUUAAAUAUUGUUUUAUUUUUUGAUGUGUUAAUUAUAUAAAGUACAAGUUUGGGGAUGUAAUAAUUAUAUAGGAGACUCUAUUAAAGUUUUGAUAGAAUUCUUAGAUAUUAGAGCUAUUAUUAAUUCGCUUAGGCGAGAUUAGAUAGACUCAUCCUAAAGAUUUAGGGCGGGUCGUUUCAAUCAUAUUCAUUGAAUUCAUAGCAAUGUGACCAAAUCUUCAGGACUUCAACUAAUCUAAUUUUCAUUUGCUUUUCUACAUAAUAAUAAAUUCAAGGAUUUAUUUUAUUGUUGUAGCCCCCAUUACUAUUUUUUUAUGUAUGACAAAGAGGAAGAGUAAAGAGAGAGAAAGAGAGCACAAGAAGUAGAGAAAUGAAAAGAGAGUGACAGAGUACGAUAAAAGAAGCGAUAAAAUAUUGGAGAGAAAGAUUUAGAGUGAGAUCCACAUGGAGAGAAAAAUAUUAAAAUUUUUAAAUAUUUAAUUUUAAUAAAUCUCAUUGAUUUAUCUCAAAACUAAAUAUACUUUUAGGAUGCUACUGAUCGGCCUCUCUCUUCCUCUCUUUCUAUACAGACACACACAUAUAAAACUUUACCUACUAACUACUCAACCUUUGUCCAAAUGGUGGGCUUUAAGGGUGCAGUGGUUUGAGUUCUUUCAUGAAAAUUCAAUAUUUUCUCUUUUAAUUUAAUUUUUUAGAGACUCAACAUUUUCUUUCCAAAUAUGCAUCUCUUCCAAUGAACUUUAAAUUGAGUAGAUAUCUUUUCAAUAUUUAUUGGGGCAGAAAUCUAGAUUUUAUUGUAAUAGACUUGAUCUAAAGUGGUUCCUAUAGAUGUCAACCGCAAAUAUUAUUAGAUUUCCGAUUGUUUAACGCAUAUCAAUUAUUAAAAACUAAAAUAAAAAGCUUACCUACCAACAUUAUUGACGUGGCAAAUAGACAAUUACAUUGGACCAAGGUAGGUUGUCCUAUCAAUAAAUCAUCAUUGAUAAAUCAAUCAAUCAAUCACUUAUUAGUUAUAAAUUGUUCAAGGAUAAUAUUAUAAAAUUAUGUAAUUUUUUCUUUUAUGAAAUGAAUCCUCCUAUGUUAUAUAUACGUAACUUAUAAUUUUUUCAUAUAAAUAGUGGGUGGUGUAGAUCUACUCACUAUUCAUAUAAGAAAGUUAUAAGUUACAUGUAUAUAACUUAACAUUAAUCUUAUAAAAUAUAUAUUUUUGAAGGGACGUCCUACUCACAUUGAUCACUUUCGAAACUUUUUUUUUAUGUGGCAAUAUAUUAUUUUUAUUUCUUUCUCCUUUUUCUAAUCAGAUAGUCUGAAUCAUAUUAUUUAUUUAUUGGAGACUAUUCGGCUACACGAAAGUCUAUGUUACUUCUAAAAUACUCGAGUGUAAAUCUGAUUAUUUGCAUGAUGUUGGAAUUGGUAGAUGGGCUAGACUGGCCUAAUAUAAAGAACACCUAAAAGCUUCUUUUAGAUAGAGUUCUCUAUGAUUGUUGUAAGUCUAGUUAGAGUGAAAGUUGUGAAGUCUUUUGGUAGAGUUUAAUUACUCUCAUUUGCUUCUUUCUAUAUAAAACACGCAUAUUGUACCUAAAAUUCAAGUGUGCGCGAGACGUGAAAAAUAUAUAGAAGAAUUAAAAAAUACAGAGAGUAAAAAUGAGAGAAAAAUGCAAUGGGAUCUGGCAGUGUGAUCUAAGUGGACUUUCUUUAAUUAUGAUUGUCCUCUGACCAAAAGCAUACAGUGGCAAGAGAAUUUUUCAUGGGAUUGUCCUCUGUUUGUAUAGUAAUAACGCCUCGUUUUGAUCUGCUUCCAUAUUUAGGGAUCAAAAAGUAUGCUUUUGAAUCUCCCAUUAGAUGCAUAUUGAAAUAUACACGAAAGUCAUGAAAAAUGGUCACCCUACAACUUUUGUUAAAACUUCAUAAAUAUUUUUGCGAUGCCACAAUCAACUGAAUUUUUCAGAAUCAUUGAUAGAUUUUUUUUCUAAUGAUUUCUUUGCCCAUGUCUUAUAGCAAAUCAUGCAUUUUUUUUUGUUUGCUGUACCAUGAUAUAAUUACCGGACAGUUAUCAACAACAACACUUAAUCCUAUUUCUAUAAAGAAGCUACUCGCAUUAAGAGAACAUAUUACUUUAUCUUUUCGCUCUCCUUCUAAGAAACAUGCAAUAUCUAUUUCCAUCUUCUUUAUUGCACUUUCCUAUUCCUCUAUUAUUCUUCCAGUGAGAAAGAGACCCAAAACAUUUAGAGCCAGUGGAACCCCGUGAGCAUAUUUUAUUGCCUUGCGUGUCAGCUCUCCACAUCUUGCAUCGACCCAUCGUGUAAAAAGCAUAAAAGCAUCAGAAUGUACUAAUUCCUUCAUAUGAUUUAUUUUAUCAACUCCACAAUUUGUAAGGACUUGUCUAAUUCUUCUUGUUAUUAUUAUUCGACUACCUGAAGCAAACUAAUCAAGAUGUCUAAUAAAAAAUUCUAUUUGUCUUGGAUGACUCCAAUCAUUAGAAAUAAUUGCAACCUUCAUGCGAGAAACUGUUUUGCCUUGAAAAUUGAGGCUGAUAUUUGGAAUGUUGCUCAUAUUUUUGUUGGGAAAAGAACCCACACAAGCAACUGUAAAUUAAGCAAAAACUAACUCUUCCUCUCUUUGUGUAAUUAAAAUAGGAUGUGUACCACAAAUGAACAAAUACAAUUUAAAGCGAUAAAUCAACCAUAAAAGAUAAAUAUUCUUAUGUAGAAAACUCGAAUAGGGAAAAACUAUGGGACUGUAAUCCAAUAUAAUCUUCUACUAUAUAAUAGUGGCAUUACAACACAAAUUCUUUUCUAGAUAACACUAGAGGUUAACAACAUCAAGAAAUAUUAGUAAACUCCAAAUAUGAAUGUGUUUUAAACUAUAUUUGUGACUUUUCUAUAAUUCCUUGGAGUAAAAGGCACCGGCGAACUUUAUAGUUUUAAAUACUAGUAUCUAGAAUCCAAAAGGUAAAAGAUAAACCACUUAGCAUAUAUCUUGUCUUAUCCAAAAGAAUCGUGUUUUUCCAUUUAAUUACACUAUUAUAUCAUAGUGUUUAUUAUAGGUGGGAGUUUAUCCCACUUGACAACCAAGUGGAGCUUGAAUUCUCCAGAAAGAUAUUCUUUGCUUCGAUCAGGUUGAAGUUCUUUUAUGUCUUGUCUAAUUGCUCCUCUAUCUUAUCCAUGUACCUUUUUGAAUUUCAAAAGCGAUGGAAUCAUGGUGCAUUUAGAAAAACAUAAAUGAAAUGAAUAUCCAUCAACAAGAUUGAUAGAAGACUCAUAACCUCUUAUAACAUGUAAACUAAUUAGUUCACAUACAUGUGUACGCACUAAGUCAUACAAUACAAUGUUAUGCUUUUAGCUCAAAAAGAUCAUUCUCUUCAUAUUACUUUUCUAAAUAAAAUUUCUAGAGUGACAAUGAUCAAUUUUAAUAGGCCAACAAGCUUAUCAUUAAUUAUUUUCUUAAUAGCUUAUUAUAGUUUAUAUGACUUAAGAAUAAAUAUCAAAGGUGAUAUUUGUUAGAAGAAACCUUUUUUUCCUAGAUAAAUGUAUGUACUCUUUAUCAUUAUAUCUUGCUUUGAAUAGAUCAUUGAACUUAUAUGAUAUAAAUUGUCUUUGUAAAUAACCGAAACAAGUAAUAAAAAGAGAAUAAAAAAAUAACAGUGUACUCUUAUUUAUUAAAACAAGCCAAAUGAAAUUAAAUUCCUUUAAUGUUUGGAACAAUAAAGACAAAUAUCAAAGCUAAAGUCUCGUAAAAUUGACCUACCCUUUCAACUAAUAUAAACUAGCAUGUUUUCAAUGACAGUUUGAAGCUUUAUUCACUUAACCUCUUGGAUUCCUGAAAACCAAAUAAAUGAAUUACAAAUAAGAUUAGUUAUCUUAGAAUUCACUGUUGUAUAAAUCAAUAGAAAUUUGAACUAAUUAGGAAGCUUAAAGAUUUCCUAUACCUGAUUUUAAUAAUCUUAGGACAAUCUUUCUUUUAGUGACUCUUUUGUCCACAUUUGUAACACUUAUCUUUUAGCUUGCCAUCUCUUUUAGCAGAUAGUUUCUCUUCCCAACUCUCUCUUGCAUAUUCUUGUCUUUCGACUUAGGCCUUGAAGAGAAUCCUUUUUCAGGAAGUUUCUUGCUAUGAUAAAAUUCUUCUAUAGCAUGUAGUUCAUGCACUAAUUCAAUUAAGGUAAUAUCUUUAUUGUUUAAGAUAUAACUUACCUUAAACUCUUUGAAUGUAUCAAGCAAAUUCAAUCACCAUGUUAAUCUUUGUUUUAUCAUCGAUUUGAACAUCAUGAGCCUCUACUUCAUUCAAAUAGUCCAUCAUUUUGAGGACAUAAUCACAAACUUUUGUGCCCACUUCAUUGCGGUAUCCGUAGUACGUUUUAACGCUGCUUUUCUGGCAAAAUGAGUAUUUUGCCCACUAGCUAAUAUUUUAUUGGUUGUUUCGAUGAUAUGAAGUUUCUUUUGUAGUUUGACGAAAAUUUAAGCCAAUAUUUAGUGCUUAGCCAUUUUGUUAGUUUCGCACCAUUUCUCAUAAGGCUCCCUCUGAUUUUUAUAAUCGUAUAAUAUUGGUUUUGGAGGGCAUGACUGGGUCACCAUAUAUUUGCAGCCUUUAAUAGUGAGAAUAUUAAAUAGAUUGCGUUUCCAAUCUACGUAAUUUUCGCCAAUGAGUUCAUUUUUAAUAAGGAUAAUUAAUAAUGGGUUGACGGAAGACAUCUUCUGAAAAAAAAUAAAAUAGACAUGCACAAACACUUUGAAACAAAUAAUGCUCAUAAUAAAUAAUCUAAAAUGCAAAAAGCCAUAAAUGCAUUUUAUUUUAUUGUAACGAUAAUCUAGUACUGCUUUGGCAAGCUAUUCGUUGGGGAAGUCAUGUCUACAUUUACUAGACCCAAUUAACCAUUACAUUAAUUACUUUCAUUUUGAAACAUGAUAAAAUUAUUGUUAUCUUUUGGGGCCCAAACUUGUUAACAAAGCUUCACUGGGAAGGCUAAUAACAAUUUUUUAUUGAGCAUAUAACCAUUGUUUCAAUCUACUUAUCAUUAAUAAAAUGCAGCCACCGUUAGGGUGAUCAACAGAUUAAAAAAUAUAUCGAUCUUAUCUUUAAAAUAGUUCAUCAAAUAAAAUGUUUAAGAAUAUAUAUACACCCUCCAUAGGGAGCAACACCAUAUCAUGACGUCAAUGUAUAUAUAUAUAGUUUUAUUAUUGAACUAACAAUGGAGCCUGUAGGAAAAAUUAUCUUGAAUUUUCCCUCUCCCACUAAAUACAUGAUUAAGAUAAAUUAUUCAAUGAAUUUACUACAGUCUAAGUAAAAAUAGAUUGCUCAAAACUAUUUAUCAACCACGAACUUAAUUUAUUUAAUCAUGAAAGAACUUGUAUUUAUAUCUUCUGUGAAUCCAUAUGAUGGUCACAUAAAAUACAUAUAACAUGCUUAAAUAGACCUUAUUCAAAAUAUUUAUGAAAUUAAGAAGUUUGAAAAAUAUCUCAAAUAUUUUGUUAAUAAGAAAAUAAAUAAAUCAAUAUGCUUUAAAGAGUACAUUAUGUGUGUUGAUUAAAAUGUUGGAGUUUUUUUAUUAAUAAACAAUUUCUCAAAAGCUGUAUAAUCUUUCUAAAUGUGUUCAUGAAAUAUGGAUAAUCAUUAACUUUAAUCGGAAAAUCAUUCCCUGUGAAAUUUGCCUAAAAUUGUGAUUCUGGAAGUAAACGGUGAAUCGUUAAUUUUGAAAUGGUUAAUCGAUAAUUUCUAGAAAGGAAUAAAUCCUUAAGCUUGAACCGGUUAUCAAAAAUGGAUAAGGCAAAUGAGUUUUGCAGGUUUCUAGAAUUAAACGGCAAACCGUUAACGGCAAAUGGCUAAUCGUUAAUUUCUAGAAUGUAAUUCUAUACUAACCUUCAACGGUUUAGCAAGAAUGGAUAGCAGAAAUUUAUUUUGCAGGUCUUUAGAAAUUAACGGCAAACCGAUAAUGGCAAACCGUCAACUGUUUAUUUAAAAUUUAGCUCAACAGUCACUUGGACCAAUCAAACGGUUAACCGAUAAGAGUUAACGGUGAUCCGAUUUCGGACAAAAAAUCAACAACGAUUAUUUUUCUGCAACAACUAUAAAUAAGUUCAAUCAAAUCCAAAUAAGGGUUGAUCACAACGUUAUCAUUGAGCUUAUAAUCGAGAAUACAACAUUCAUUGAGCUUUAAAUUCAUUCUUGUUUCAUUGAUUCACACAUUGAGCAUUUAUUUGUAAUUUUAUAUAUUGUGUGAGAGAAAAACAAAUUUGUACUCUUUGUUUUGAGUGAUUGUAAGUGUUGGGAUACACUUAGGUUAAAGGAUUAGGGAUAAUCGCUCAGAGUAAAGGUUGAUUAACAUCUUUGAGUCAAUUGUAAGUGUUCUUAAAGCCAUAGAAAGCUUGACUAGCAGAAUCCUCAAGCUCGGUGUGCUUGGAGGCGUGGGCCGAACCACGUAAAAAUCUUUGUAUUUGAAUCACUCUUCCCUUAUCUUUUUAUAUUUUGGUUGAUUUACUUAUUGUUGCUUUAAAUUCUUUUAAGAUUUGUAUUAAGUUUUGUUUAAACUUUGCAAAAUUUUUAGAAACCCAAUUUACCCCCCUCUUGGGUUGCUUAGAUAGUAUUUCAUUUGGUAUUAGUGCGAGGUUCUCUUAUUAAGACUUAAUCAGCUAGAGUAAAAGAUCCAUGGCAACCCAAAAUGACUCUCUACCUUUAGGGAAGGACAAUCCAUAACUAGACCACCAUUCUUUGAUGGUAAUGAAUGCCCAUAUUGAAAACCUAGGAUGAGAAUUUAUUUGCAAGCCUCAGAUUAUGAAAUUUGGGAAGUUGUUUGUAAUGGUCCAUUUAUGCCUUUGACUAAAAAUGAAGAAGGAGAUGAUAUUCCAAAACCUUCAAAUCAAUGGAGUGAAUUGAAAAGAAAAAAAAUGUCUUUAAACUCCAAGGCAAUGAAUGCUCUGCUAUGUGCUCUUGAUAAGAAAGAAUUUCAUAGAGUAUCUAGUUGUGAGAGUGCUCCAGAAAUAUGGAAUAAACUUGAUGUUGUCUUUGAAGGGACAAAUCAAGUUAAAGAGUAAAAAAUCAGUAGGUACACUCGUCAAUAUGAAUUAUUUCAAAUGGAACAAAAUAAAAGUGUAUACGUGAUUUACGGACAUAGUGAACACCUUAUAAGUCCUAGGAAAGACUUUUUCGAAUAGUGAGGAUGAUACUCUUGAUGCAUUUAAAGUAUUUUGUAGGAAAAUUCAAAAUGAAAAAGGGUAUGGUAUUGCAUGCAAUAGGAGUGAUCAUGGAGAAUAGUUUGAAAACCAUGCAUUUGAAAUCUUUUGCAAUAAUCUACGCAUUGUGCAUCAAUUUUCAUCACCUAGAACUCCACAAAAAAAUAGAGUUGUUGAGAGAAACAAUAGAUCGAUUCAAGAAAUGGCUAGGACCAUGAUAAAUGAAAAUUCUUUGUCUAAGUAUUUUUGGGCCGAGGCCGUCAACGCCGCUUGUUAUGUUUUAAAUCGUGUAUUGAUUAGACCUCAUUUCAAUAAAACUCCAUAUGGGCUUUGAAAAGAUAAAAAACCCAACAUUGGUUAUUAAUUUGCAAGCGUUAUUAUAAGACUGGCCAUGUAAGUUAACUGCAUAAGAAAAGGAAAAAAUGGAGCUAAAGGAAAAUGAAACUACAAUUAGAAAGAUAUACUUGUCUUGAGAUGUAGAACCCUUUUUUAAAACAACUAUUAAAAAUUACCAACUAAGUAAGCAACCAAUUUAAAUUUAGGCUGUAAUUGUAAUUUUUGUUCCAAGUUCAUUCAGUUCAUAAUGACCAAAAGUCCAUGUUCAUUUAGUACACAGUGUCCAAAAGUCUAAGGAAGUAAGUCACAGUUCAAUGAUCCAAGCUCAAAUUCAGUUCAAGGACAGUUUUGCAAGAACUUUUAGGGCAAAAUGAAGUUUUCUCACAAGUUUAAUGGUAAAACUAUGAUUGUAGGAGAAGAAAGGGAGCUAACUAAAAUUUUACAAAAGUAAAACAAAACAACAAAGAUAGGAAUGAACGGCUAAAAUAAAGGAAAAUUGACACAAAAUUUAGGAAGUUUUAGGCAACGACACUAAAAAUGCGACACGACUCAAAAGUAUUAAUUACUUUUAAAUAUAACAAUGUCUAAUUAUAAUAUAAUUCGGUGAGUUUGGGGUCAGACCGUAGAGAAUUUAUAAAUCUAGUAGUCAAUUAUUAAAAAAAAUAAAUUGUAGAAAAAGAAAUUAAUGGAGACCAAUCUAGAAAAAUGCUAAGGUUAUAGGAUCCGCUCUUGAUUUUUAAAUUAUGGUCGUAUUACUCUCUCAUAUAUUAUAUUUUGCACUUCUUUUGCCAAUUAAUUAUUAUGCCAUUUAAUUCUCAAUUAACCAUUUGUAUGGAUAAAUAUGGGAUCGAGUGUCUAAUGUGACACAACUAUAUUAAAGUAUCGACACUAUUUUAAAAUUCCAUAUAGAUCCAAGGACAUCUAGAUGUACAAAUUAAUAUGACAUAAAGUAGCUGGUAAAAAAUAAAAUUAUAAACAUAAAACAAAUAAAAUGAACUUAAAACUCACUUGAGAGAAUAAUUAAUUGCAUGAUUUGAAUCCUUCACCUUCACCUUUCAUCUUAGUUUAGAAAAUUUAGCCAAUCAUAUUUAAAAUGGAAGCACCUAUUUUAUCUAAUAAACUUAAGAAGUAUAACACAAGAAAAAUGAAAAAAAGAAAAGGAAAGAAAAGGGAUUUUUUCCCCCUAAAUUCACUCUUGAUUUACAACGAAAUAGCUCGCCCCUAAAUUCCCCCACACAAUUCUCUCAUUUCCUUCAUUCCCCUGAAAUCUAGCACAUCCUCAAGUGUUGGUCUUUACAUGAUAUUUUAGGGGAGUUUAAAUUACAACCUUACAAUGUGAUUUAUUAAUACAAUCCAAGCAUCUUAAAUUGCAAUCAUCACGGAUCUCUGGAUUGAACAUAAUUAGUAGCUAAAACUGAAGUCAAACUCUAUUCCUCGUUUUGCUCAUUUAUCAAGGUGGGUUGAACAACUAAACUCGGUAUGUUAAACCUAGUCUAAUAGGGUGCACGUAACCUCGAACACACGGUAUGACCUCAAUCAUUCAGAAAUAACAUUGGAUCAAAGAGCUAGAACUCUUCCACAGGCUUUUGAUCCUAUAGCAUCUAAUAUUCCACUUUUGCUUUUUUGAUCCAAACAUCAUAAUCUUAGGGAUUUUCAUAUGAAACACAAAAAUCAUACUUAAAACAAAUAACAAUAAGUGAUUCAUAAAAUAGGUUAGGGAUGUGUAAAUGGGAUGAAAUUUUCAGUGUAAUUGACACUGUAAUUGAACAAUAAUAAUUUUAUCCUUUUUAAAUGUACACUUUCUAGUGUUAAUCAAUGCUCGCUGUUGUGCAAAUUUUAAUGUACUCGCAAGCGCACGAAUCUAUUGUAGUAUACAUCAAUGGUGAUGAGUGUCGAUCCCACGAGGAGGUGGAUUUUAAUUAUAUGUAGAAUUAAUUUUGUAAAUGGGUGGUUGAAAUUGUGGUGGAAGUGAUUUAAAUUAUCCUAAUUGGAAUUGAGAUGGCGAUAAUAAAUUCUAAAAUUGGAAUUGCAAUGGCGAGAAUAAAUUGAAGCGAAAUCUAUUGAAAUGACGUACUUGGGUAUCUGGAUCCGUAUCAACAUGCAUCAUGGGCUAAAUUAUCCGUAUUAAUGCCAAUUAAAUCAUGAAGGGGGAAUCCACACCUCAUGAACCACGCUCUAAUCAAUAUGGUGCUAAGGACUUAUCGUGCCAAAUGAUAAUAACCUUAUACUAGAGGGCCGGUGAAACCAAGGUGGUACUAGACAAGAUUAGUAUUAUUUAUCGACGAGAAGUCAAAACAUCCACAAAAACUAGAGGGGAAGAGAAAAUAAAUUUACCAAAUAAAGCCCAUGACACAUGUUGAGACUUCACCUUCAACCCAAGCUUGAAAGAAAAUUAACCACUCAUAAUUGAACUAGGGGCAAAAUAGGAAUUUAUUAAAAUACAUAGAAAAUACAAGAUGGAGAAGGAAUUACAGAAAAUGAAUCCCAAAAAUGGAUUCAGAGAUAUCAAAUUAGGGGGGAGAGGCCCCCUUUUUAUAGAUACAUGGAGUAAAUCAUGGCCAUCGGAUUAAAAACAGUUUGGCGCUCAGGAUUGCGCCACGUCAUCAGUCAACAGUACGCGGUUUGACCACGCGGAUGAACAGUAACAUGGUUUGACCCGGAUGAACAGUAACGCGGUUUGGUUGAAAAUAAUCCUGUGUGAUGCAUGUACCAUACGCGAGAUUUUUCGUCCACUGAUAUGUUGCCAUGUCACCAUCAACAGUACAUAAGAAUUUUUGCCCAACAGGAUCGUGACACCUCAUCAGUCAAUGCCACAUCAUCGGUCAAUGCCACGUCAUUGUCCGUCUAUGUGAACAAUGUCGUGAACAGUAACCUAUAUAGUACCGUACACGUGAAUAGUACCGCAUAUGUGAACAGUGCUAUUUUUCCUUUUAUGCUCCUCCUAAAGUUUUCGACCGUCCUGAGUUCAAAAGUGAUGUUCGUUUUGCCAUCUGAUCUCUCUUUUAUUGUGAAAUGACUAUGAUGCUCCUAAAAUACAUAAAAUACUUAAUUAAAAUAAAACAAACGGAAUUAAAUCAAAAGAAGGUUAAAUUCAUAAAAGUAAAGGUGUUAGUAAGACUUGAAAUGUAAAAUGACAGUUUUCUCCUUUAUAAAUAUGCAUUUUCUAACACUCAAAACACCCCCCAACCAGCUUAUUGCUAGUCCCUAGCAAAUGAAGCGAAAAUAAAAUUCAAAUUCAAAUUCAAAAUGAUUUUUUUUUUAAUUUAGAAACACCCAUGUUUAUUCAAUCAGAUUAAUGAUAGCAAUCAAAUAAAAGUAUAAGCAUUAUCUCUAGUCUAAAGCAACAUCACACUCACAUCAACCAUCCACAUGAAUUAGCCCAGUAGACUUUGUUAUAUCUACAUUCAAGAAUGACAUGUCAAACCCCAAAAUCUCACUGGAAGUAGUGACACUCUCACAAAUAAAUUAAACCCACUAAAAAUAGUCAUUCCAAUGAAUGGUAAUUGAGAGAGAAAAUAAUAAAGAAGUGAUAUCACAUGCUCUCACCAAGAUGAAAUAAAUAUGCCAUCAGCUUAGAAAUAAUACGAUCUCAAGUCAAACAAAAAUGCUAGUCAACCCACUUUAUUUAUCUUUUUUUUUUAUUAUGCAUCACUACAUCUUUUUAGCCCAUAUAACUAGCUUCUACUUCAAACUAUAGUUCCCUAAAAUCAAGAAGGACUUUUAUUAGGAUGAAAUAUAGGCUAGGGACAUGGUUAACAAAGAAGGGAAAUAAGGAAAACAAAGUAUAUGUUUGAGAAAAAUGCAGAAGAAUUUUUUUUUUUUGAAGUUGCAAGGUGCAUUUCACUUAUUAUUGUUAUUUUUUUCUCUUUUUUUUUGAAACUUUUUUUUCUUUUGCUUGGUACAACGUCACUGAACAAAAUAAUUAUUUACAUUUUUCUCAAACAUAAAUAGGUGAUGGAACUUAUAAGAUAUUGGGUAAUACUCCAAAUCGGAGUGGUUCAAGAUGAUAAGUUGACAAAGAAAAGGUUUUUUUUUUUUUUAAAGGCUCAAAAGGGUUAACUAUGGAUAUUUAAUAAAAGGGAUGGCUAGAAAGACUCAAACGGAUCAAAGAUGACCUUUCCAUUGUCUUUUAGGGCUCUAAAUAAUCAUCCAUAUCUACUAGUUAGAUGGGCCUCUUAAUGUAGCAACACACAUUUUUUUUUCUUCUUUUUUUUUAUUUUACAAUUUUUUUUUUAGGGAUAACUCAAAAGAAAUCUAGAGAUCGUAUAUAAAAUAAUAAACUGCUAAGCUGUAUAAAGAAUGAGCAAAUGGUUACUCUCCAAGAAAAAUGAUAGGCUUAAAAACUCACUUGGUACUUAUUAUGACAUGUUCAUUCCUUCAAGCAACUCAUAUUUGUCUCCGACAUCAACAUGUAAAGUAGCAAACAUAAUGUAACAUCACUUAAGACCAAAGAUAAUACAGAUACGAAAAUUUGAAAUUAAUCAUGUCAUCCAAUAUUAAAACAAAUCACACAAUUUUUUUUUUAAACAACAUUCUACCCCCCAACCUAUUCUAAGCAUGAAAGGAAAAUAUGCAUGCAGAAAUGUGAAAAUGAUGCAUAAAAAUAAAUUAGAAAAGUUAUACGUAAAAUGAUAGAAAACGAAAAUGAUUUUUUUUUUAAAGAAAAUGCGUUUCUAGAGGAACUAUACUCCAUAUUCAGCCAUCUUCGACUCAAAAGUUGGAAAAUGUAUAUUUAUAGAGGAGAAAUUAAAAAGAAGAAGAAAAAUAAACAUCAAAACUUAAUAAAGAAAAAUAAUUUUUUUUUUAAACAAUGAAGAUGCGUUUCUAGAGUCACUACCCUCCAUAUUCAGCCAUCUUCAACACAAAAAGUUAGCAAUAGUUAGUUUCUACAACAAAAAAUUAGUAAAAACUUAACCAAAAUUUCACAAUUGUUGACUAUUCCCUCCCCCCAACCAGAACGAAACAUUGUCCUCAAUGUUUGAAAGGAAAGAAGUAGAGUUUAGAAGACAUCACCUGGGUGGUGCAACAUAAAAGAAAAUAUUUACAAGCGGAGAGUUAAAUCUAAUUUGUACUUUUUACUGCGGCUACUGUUACCUUCAUUAUUUGGGCGCUCCAACACAAAGGUGCAGGGGUCUGGCUCCGGUUUAUAAGCUUAUAACAGAUCAAGUAGCUCAUUAGCAGUGUGAGCACAAAUAAAAAGUUUUUUUACAAUAGAAGAAAUGAAAUAAAUUUUUAUUGCAUGGUUAAGAAAUGCGAUAAAGCCAUCAUAAAAGUUAUUGACAUUUAACAAACCGAUGGGUUUCUGGUGGAUGUGCAAAUGGGCCCAAGAUGCUAGUGUGAUAAGUGCCUCUAGUGUUGCAAGAUCUCCUGGAAAGAAAAUAAAAGCAUCAGCAUGAUUAAGCAUUUCAGUUACUCUUUCUUGCAUACCUGAGACGACUAGCUCUUCUCCAGUUGAUGAGUCAGACGAACUGCCCAAUGGUUUUAAGACUCUGGGGAUGAUGCCUAACACUUGACUUUCUCUGAUAAAAGCUGCUUCUGAGACCAUUUUUGAUAACUCUCGGUUACCUCCUCCAUACACCAAGUGUAAUUUUCUCUCUGCUAUACUUCGACCAAGAUUGAUGGCUGCCUCAAUGAACUCUUUAUGUUUGCCAUAUGUAAAUCCAGAAAGCACACAAAUGUUCUUGAAUUGUUUAUUGGGAGUAGCUGCCAUUGUGAUACUUCUCAAAAACAAUUUGUGAGUGCUUGACAAAAAAGAAAUCACAUUUAAGAAUCUUGGUGACAGUGGAUCACAGUUGUGUAUGAGGUAACAUGUCAGUGUCAAAUAACGCGUAAAGCACGUGGCUCGCUAGUCAAAAAGGAAACAGUAAAAGGGAAAAAGCAAACAGUAAUAAGGAAAAAGCAAACAGUAAUAAAAUUAUUAAAGAUAAUAAUGCACACAAUAAAACAAUAGUAAAAUAAAAUAACAGUAAAGUGAAAGGAUAUUUACAGGUAGUUGCGACUGUGGCUCACAUCUUCCUCUGGUUUUACAUCCAGAAACGGCUUGAACGCCCUCUAUGGGUUGAGGAUAGGCUUCCCAUCCAAUUUUCUUAUAAACUGGCAAACAGGGUCGUUUAUAGUCAGAUUCCCGAGACUAUAUCGUGCAUGCUCUUUCUGGAAUAAUGGCCAUAACUGGAGAAUCGCUCCUUGCACAUAUCCACUGGGAUGCGUUUCAAGAGACAAAAGGAUAUCAUCCAAUGACUCCUUAUUCAAGCCAUCCCUAAUGAAUUGAAUCUUAUCUUCCCUGUUAUCAGACACCAUUACUAAAGAACAUGAGUUUUUAUUGCAACUCAUUCUGGCGCACUUAUGACAAGCAACAGAAAUUCUUCGAGCUCGUCGUUUUCUUGCAUAAUUUCCUUUACCACAACCAGGCAUAUAUGCAAUAAAUUUUGGAGGUAACUCACCUGCCAAUCGUACUUUCGCCUCAAUUAACCAAUGAAUAUCAGCAGGUAUGUUAUUCCUCAUGAGCAAUCGUAUGCGUUCGGACCGAGCUUUAUAGAUCGUAAGGAGGGCAUUCUGAGGAAGUGAAGGGAAUCGCUUGUGAAGCUUCGCUAGAAUCUCGUUUCUGUCCAUACUUUUGCCUCAGAAUAUCAGUUAUUAUGGGAAACUGAAGUAACCGACUUGAUUGUCACGGAGUACCGUUAUCUGCCACUUCACCAGGGUAACAAACUAAAGCACACAAACAGAAAAACAAAUUAAAACACACAAAGAAAAUUAAAAUCUUCCUCUUAUUGAAUUUACCUCAAGCUCCAACUGGAUGUCGUAAACACUUCUCUCAAUGUCUCUGAAUUGGCUUUCUAAACCCUCAACAUAGGCUACUAACUCUGGUGGUUGUAGAGCCCAAAUGCGAUGUGUUUUACAAAAUUGAAUCUGCCUUUUGAGAUGAGUUUUGACACGUUGAAGUGGUUUAAGAAUGUUCAGGAGGAACGGUCUAAGUAAGGUACUCAUGAUUAAAAAUGAUAAGAGAAAACUUAAUAGUUAAACAAACACACUUAUGCAAAAAUAAUUUCAAUUAGCAAAAGAAUAAUAUAAAGAAAGAAAAAAAAUCAAUCAUCGAAAAAAAAUCAAUUCAAAUCUGGUGGGUCACUCAAAUUUAUUUCGGUGUUUUCUCCAUGUGGUUGGUAUUCUAGAUAUGGCUUUAGUCUUUGACCAUUAACUUUAAACGUGACACCGUUCUUUGGGUCCUUAAUUUCAAUUGCCCCAUGUGGAAAAACAAUAUGUACAAUAAAUGGGCCAGACCAACGAGAGCGUAAUUUACCUGGGAAUAGGAGGUGCAAGCGAGAAUUGAAUAAAAGCACUUUCUGACCUAGAGUGAAAGAUUUUCUCAUAAUUUGCUUGUCAUGAAAGACUUUCAUUUGUUGCUUGUAAAUCUUGGCAUUUUCGUAUGCGUCAUUGCGAAUUUCUUCAAGUUCUCCCAGUUGUAAUCUUCUUUCUGAGCUGGCUUGCUGCAUGUCAAAAUUGAAUUUCUUGAUGGCCCAAUACGCACGAUGCUCGAGUUCCACAAGUAGGUGGCAAGCUUUUCCAUACACUAGCCUAUAGGGUGACAUCCCAAUUGGGGUCUUGAAAGCCGUUCUGUAUGCCCAUAAUGCAUCAUAAAGUCUUAAUGACCAAUCUUUCCUGUCUGGCCUCACCGUUUUUUCUAAUAUGUGCUUUAUUUCUCAAUUGGAUAUAUCAACUUGGCCACUGGUUUGCGGAUGAUACGGAGUCGCCACUUUGUAUGUGAUUGAAUACUUUGUCAAAAGAGCUUUGAAUGCUUUGUUACAAAAGUGGGCACCACCAUCACUGAUUAUUGCUCGAGGGAAUCCAAAGCGUGAGACAAUGUUGCUUUUCAAAAAUGCUAUCACCACCUUGUGAUCAUUGGUUCUACAUGGAAUUGCUUCUACCCAUUUCGAUACAUAGUCAACAGUAACCGAUAUAUAUUGAUGGCCAAAAGAAUGGAGAAAGGGUCCUAUGAAGUCGAUACCCCAUACAUAAAAAAUCUCAAUCACUAAAAUUAGAUUUAGUGGCAUCAUGUUCCUUCGUGUAAUGCUCCCCAUUCGUUGACACCUAUCACAUGAAGAACAAAAAGUGUAAGCAUCUCAAAAUAUAGUUGGCCAAUAAAAAGCACAUUGUAAAACUUUAGUUGCUGUUUUCUUAGCACUGAAAUGGCCUCCACAAGCUUGUUUAUGGCAGAAUAAAAGAAUAUUCUGAAUUUCAUUUUCUGGGACACAUCGUCUAACAAUUUGAUCCGCACAAUACUUGAACAAAUACUGGUCAUCCCAAAAGAAAUUAUUUAUCUCUGCAAAGAAUUUAGCCUUAUCUUGCUUGGUCCAAUGCUCUGGAAGUUUACCUGUAACAAGAUAAUUAACUAUAUCAGCAUACCAAGGUAAUACUUCCACACUCAUUAAUUGUUCAUCUGGAAAUGACUCAUUCAAUAUUAAUGGCUCUGUAAUUGUGUCAAAAUGGAGACGAGAGAGGUGGUCCGCCACAAUAUUUUCUAUCCCUUUCUUAUCUUUGAAUUCCAAGUCAAAUUCCUGCAAAAGUAACACCCAACGAAUUAGUCUAGCUUUUGCAUCUUUCUUUGUGAGAAGAUAUUUAAGAGCAGCAUGAUCUGUGAAUAUAAUUAUUUUACAACCAAUGAGAUAAGAUCGAAAUUUCUCUAAUGCAAACACUACUGCUAGCAUUUCUUUUUCAGUAGUUGAAUAAUUCAACUGUGCAUCAUUCAAUGUCAUACUAGCAUAGUAAAUAACGUGGGGAAUUCGAUCAACUUUUUGUCCUAAUACUGCUCCUACUGCAUAAUCAGAUGCAUCACACAUGAGCUCAAAUGGUAAGCUCCAAUUUGGGGGCUGAAUGAUGGGUGAUGAUGUCAACAACUGUUUUAACUUUUCAAAUGCCACAAGACAUGAAUCAUUAAAGACAAAAGGGACAUCCUUAGCAAGUAAAUUGCAUAAGGGUCUAGAAACUUUGCUAAAAUCUUUAAUGAAACGUCUAUAGAAACCAGCAUGCCCAAGGAAAGAUCUUACUUCUCUGACUGUUUUGGGUGGAGGAAGAUUAGAAAUGAGAUCCACUUUGGCUUUUUCAACCUCAGUACCUUUGCUCGAAAUGAUGUGACCGAGAACAAUACCUUGUUUUACCAUAAAAUGACAUUUCUCCCAAUUUAAGACCAAGUUCUUCUCGAUACAUCUCUACAGAACUAGUGUUAGAUGAUGUAAACAUUGAUAAAACGAAUCACCAAAGACAGAAAAGUCAUCCAUAAAGACUUCAAGGAAUCGUUCAACCAUAUCAGAAAAAAUGCUCAACAUGCAUCGUUGAAAUGUAGCAGGUGCAUUACAUAAUCCAAAUGGCAUUCUCCUAUAUGCAAAUGUGCCAAAAGGGCAAGUGAAAGUAGUUUUCUCCUAAUCUUUUGGUGCUAUGGGAAUCUGAUUAUAUCCUGAGUAGCCAUCUAGAAAGCAAUAAAAUUCAUGGCCUGCUAAUCUAUCAAACAUUUGAUCAAUAAAUGGUAAAGGAAAAUAGUCUUUACGUGUGACAGAAUUCAACUUUCUAUAAUCAAUGCAUACACGCCAUCCUGUAGUUACUCUAGUGGGUAUCAAUUCAUUAUCAGCAUUCGUAACUACUGUGACUCCUGAAUUUUUGGGGACAACUUGCACAGGAUUGACCCAUGAACUAUCAGAAAUUGGAUAAAUGAUACCUGUUGAGUGUUAGAAAAUGCAUAUUUAUAAAGGAGAAAACCGUCAUUUUACAUUUCAAGUCUUACUAACAACCCUUACUUUUAUGUAUUUAACCUUCUUGUGAUUUAAUUACAUGUGUUUUAUUUUAAUUAAGUAUUUUAUGUAUUUUAGGGGCAUUAUAGUCAUUUCACAAUAAAAGAGAGAUCAGACGGCAAAACGGACAUCACUUUUGAACUCAGGACGGUCAAAAACCUUAGGAGGAGCAUAAAAGGAAAAAUAGCACUAUUCAUAUGUACGGCACUGUUCACGUGUACGGCACUAACUACGUUACUGUUCACAACACUGUUCACAUAGACGGAUCGAUGACGUGGCAUUGACCGAUGAUGUGGCAUUGACUGAUGAGGUGUCACGAUCCUGUUGGGCUAAAAUUCUUAUGUACUGUUGAUGGUGACGUGGCAGCAUAUCAAUGGAUGAAAAAUCUCGCGUACGGUACAUGCAUCACACAGGAUUAUUUUCAACCAAACCGCGUUACUGUUCAUCCGAGUCAAACCGUGUUAUUGUUCAUCCGCGUGGUCAAACCGUGGACUGUUGAUUGAUGAUGUGGCGCAAUCUUGAGCGUCCAAACUGUUUUUAAUCCGAUGGCCAUGAUUUACUCCAUGUAUCUAUAAAAAGGGGGCCUCCCCUCCUUAAUUUGAUAUCUCUGAAUCCAUUUUUGGGAUCCAUUUUCUGUAAUUCCUUCUCCAUCUUGUAUUUUCUUCGUAUUUUAAUAAAUUCUCAUUUUGCCCCUAGUUCAACUAUGAGUGGCUAAUUUUCUUUCAAGUUUGGGUUGAAGGUGAAGUCUCAACAUGUGUCAUGAGCUUAAUUUGGUAAAUUUAUUUUCUCUUCUCCUCUAGUUUUUGUGGAUGAUUUGACUUUUCGUCGACAAAUAAUAAUAGUCUUGUCUAGAUACCGCCUUGGUUACACCGGCUCUCUAGUAUAAGGUUAUUAUUAUUUGGCACGAUAAGCCCUUAGCACCAUAUUGAUUAGAGCGUGGUUCAUGAGGUGUGGAUUCCCCCCUCAUGAUUUAAUUGGCAUUAAUACGGAUUAUUUAGCCCAUGAUGCAUGUUGAUACGGAUCCAGAUACCCAAGUACGUCAUUUCAAUAGAAUUAUCUUCAAUUUAUUCUCGCCAUUACAAGUCCAAUUUUAGAAUUUAUUAUCGCCAUUUCAAUUUCAAUUUUAGGAUAAUUUAAAUCACUUCCACCACAAUUCCAACCACCCAUUUACAAAAUUAAUUCUACAUAUAAUUAAAAUCCACCUCCUCGUGGGAUCGACACUCGUCACCAUUGAUCUAUACUACAAUAGAUUCGUGCGCUUGCGAGUUCAUUAAAAUUUGCACAACAAGUUUUUGGCGCCGUUGCCGGGGAGGUAAGUAAUUUUAAUUCAUAGAAUUAAUUUUUGUGAAUAAUUUCUUUUAAUUGUUUUCUUGUAAUAUUUUUUAAUUAAAAAAAAAGUGAAUCUACAUUUAAAGGUUAGUAUUUCUUUCCUUUUUCUCAUCUUUAAAAUUCUGUAAUUUAAUUUUCAAUUUAUUUUUCUUUGUAAUUUUUUUUGUUUAUCUUAUUAAUUUAUUUUUAGUUAAUUUAUAUCACGUAUUUAUUUUUGUGUAUUUUUAUAGAAAGGUUGUAAUAGCGCAAUAAGGUUAGUAUCGUAAUUUCUCCCUCUUCUUUAUUUUUAUUUGUUUUGUUCUCAUCUUUAUUUUUAUUUUAUUUGGUUUGCAUGCAUGGUCGUAGGUCAUUAUUUCCUAAUCUUGAACAUAUAGACUUUGAAUUAGAAAAAACACUUCGCACACACAAACAAGUAAAAAAUAAAAUGGAUUUGCAACCACAGGAGAGGCCAUUUAAGGAUUAUUUCAGUCCUUUAGCAAAUUUGAGCACAUCAUGUAUAAGAUACCCAAAUGUAGCUGCUAGGAGUUUUGAAUUAAAACCCAGUGUGCUAAAUUGUCUACCAACAUUUUAUGGCCUAGAAAAUGAGGAUCCAUAUAAUCAUCUGAAUAAUUUUCAUGCAAUUUGUCAAACUUUUAAAUAUGAAAAUUUUUCAGACGAUGAUGUUAAACUCAGAUUAUUCCCAUUUUCUUUAAAGGAUAGAGCUCAUUCAUGGUUAAAUACUUUACCUGCUAAUAUCAUUUCAUCAUGGGAACAAAUGGUAACAAAAUUUUUGAAUAAAUAUUUCCCAGUGCAUAAAACCAACGCUAUUCGCAGGGAAAUCUCGGAGUUUACCCAGAGAGAGGACGAGUAGUUUUUUGAAACAUGGGAGCGAUUCAAUGGGCUACUCUUGAAGUGUCCACAUCAUGGGUACGAAAAAUGGCACCAAUGUCAAUACUUUUUGGAGGGAUUAUUGCCGAAUAUGCAAGAAUGGCUAAUGGCAACAAGUGGAGGAGAGCUAAUGUCAAAAAGUGCAUCAGAGAUUUGGGAAUUCUUCCAGCGACAAGCGGAUAAUUCCCAACAACGGAGUCGAUCACUCAGGAAUACAAGAAGAAUUAAGGGAGUAAAUGAGGUUCACAUUGGCGAGUCAAGUUCAGAAAUUAAAGAAGUCAAAGCGAUAAUUGAAGGUCUCUCUCGACAAAUAGCAUCGUUAUCGACUGCUAAAUCAACAGAGCCACAUGACCAUGACUCAUACUCAGAUCAAGCCAAUGCCAUAGGUGUAAUGAGAAAACCAUCGAAUUACAACCCAUACUCCAACACAUAUAACCCUGGAUGGAGAGACCACCCCAAUUUUUCAUGGUCUCAAGGAUUCCAACAGAAUGGACCAGCAGCUCCAGCUCCACCAAUGCAACCAAUUCCGCAAAUUCCUCAAGCCUCUCAGCCCCCAUUUAGACCAUACAAUCAGAACCAGAACUACUCUCAACCCAGACCAUGGGAGUAUUCAUUCCAGAAUCUCAAGAAUCUUACUCACUCUACGAUUGAGCAACAGAACCGCACCAUUAAUGGACUACGAAAUGAGUUGAGAGCGGGCUUUAACUCACAAGCCCAAUAAGUUUCAAGCCUCGAGAAGAUGGUGGGACAACUUACUUCUUCAGUUCAAACCUUGGCAAUGACCGUUGAGAAAGGUAAGUUUCCAAGUCAACCAAUGCCUAACCCUAAAGGAGUGCAUGAAGCAAGUACCAGUUCACCAUAGCAGCAUGGAGAAGUCAAAGCAGUAAUGACCUUGCGAAAAGGAAAAGAAGUCGACAAUAAAGUGGAGAUGCCGGUGACAAAAGAAAAUCAAAUUGUACCUGUGAAUGUUGAGGAAUCAUCACCGGAGGAGAAAGAAGAAACCAACCCAUGAGAAUACAUUUCGAAAGCUCCAUUUCCUCAAAGGUUAGCGAAAGGAAAAAAGGGAAAAUCCACAGGUGAGAUUCUUGAAAUCUUCAAACAGGUAAGUGUUAACAUCCCUUUACUUGAUGCUAUUAAGCAAGUUCCAUCUUAUGCCAAGUUUCUUAAAGACCUUUGUACUAAAAAGAGAAAUAUGCAUGUUCAAAAGAAGGCAUUUUUAACAAAAAAAGUUAGUUCUAUACUCCAACAUAAAAUUCCUUUAAAAUGCAAAGACCCAGGCUCCCCCACUAUCUCAUGUAGCAUAGGGAACCACACAAUUGAGAAUGCUUUAUUGGAUUUAGGAGCUAGUGUAAAUCUGUUACCUUAUUCAGUGUUUGUGAAACUUGGACUUGGAGAAUUACACCCAACUCCAGUGGUGUUACAGCUUGCAGAUCAGUCCACGAAAAUACCUCGUGGUAUUGUGGAGGACGUGCUUAUUCAGGUAGACACAUUUUAUUUUCCUGUUGAUUUCAUUGUAAUUGACACUCAACCAAUACAGGAUUCAAGGAAGCACAUCCCCAUUAUUCUAGGCCGACCUUUCUUGGCAACUGCGGAUGCUCACAUUCAAUGCAGGACUGAAAAUAUGCAAUUGUCUUUCGGCAACAUGACUAUGGAGUUGAACAUCUUCAACAUUGCCAAACAAUCUCACAGUGCAGAUGAUGGAAUUGUUGAUAUGGAUUUAAUUGAAACAAUAGUUGAUGACACUUUUCUUUCAAACCUUAGUGAUGAUCCUUUACAAACAUGUUUAACUCACUUUGGUUUUGAUUUUGACACUAAUAAAUGGAAGUCAAAAGUUGAACAACUAGCACCAUCAGAGAAUAAACUCAUCCCAUCAUCAGAAUCACCACCGAAACUCGAGCUCAAACCAUUACCCAACACUUUGGAAUAUGCGUUUUUGGAAGAAGAAAGUACUAUACAGGUAAUCAUCUCAUCAUCCCUAAAUGACGAACAAAAAGGUAAGUUGUUGGAUGUUUUAAAAGAGCACAAAGGAGCAUUAGGAUGGACCAUAGCAGACAUAAAAGGUAUAAAUCCAGUAGACUGCAUGCAUUACAUUCACCUUGAUGAAAAUGCUAAAACUACUAGGGAGAUGCAACGUCGGUUAAAUCCUAACAUGAAAAAAGUUGUUAGAACAGAAGUCCUUAAGCUAUUAGACGCAGGUAUCAUUUACCCCAUUUCUGAUAGUUCAUGGGUCAGUCCUGUACAAGUUGUCCCCAAAAAGUCAGGAGUCACAAUAGUUACCAAUGCUGAUAAUGAAUUGAUACCCACUAGAGUAACUACAGGAUGGCGUGUUUGCAUUGAUUAUAGAAAGUUGAAUUCUGUCACACGUAAAGACCAUUUUCCUUUACCAUUUAUUGAUCAAAUGCUUGAUAGAUUAGCAGGCCAUGAAUUUUAUUGCUUUCUAGAUGGCUACUUAGGAUAUAAUCAGAUUCCCAUAGCACCAAAAGAUCAGGAGAAAACUACUUUCACUUGCCCUUUUGGCACAUUUGCAUAUAGGAGAAUGUCAUUUGGAUUAUGUAAUGCACCUGCUACAUUUCAACGAUGCAUGUUGAGCAUUUUUUCUGAUAUAGUGGAACGAUUCCUUGAAGUCUUUAUGGAUGAUUUUUCUGUCUUUGGUGACUCGUUUGAUCAAUGUUUACAUCAUUUAACACUAGUUCUGCAGAGAUGUAUCGAGAAGAACUUGGUCUUAAAUUGGGAGAAAUGUCAUUUUAUGGUAAAACAAGGUAUUGUUCUCGGUCACAUCAUUUCGAGCAAAGGUACUGAGGUUGAAAAAGCCAAAGUAGAUCUCAUUUCUAAUCUUUCUCCACCCAAAACAGUCAGAGAAGUAAGAUCUUUCCUUGGGCAUGCUGGUUUCUAUAGACGUUUCAUUAAAGAUUUUAGCAAAGUUUCUAGACCCUUAUGCAAUCUACUUGCUAAGGAUGUACCUUUUAUCUUUAAUGAUUCAUGUCUUGUGGCUUUUGAAAAAUUAAAGCAGUUGUUGACAUCAUCACUCAUCAUUCAGGCCCCAAACUGGAGCUUACCAUUUGAGCUAAUGUGUGAUGCAUCUGAUUAUGCAGUAGGAGCAGUAUUAGGACAAAGAGUUGAUCGAAUUCCCCACGUUAUUUACUAUGCUAGUAUGACAUUAAAUGAUACACAGUUGAACUAUUCAACUACUGAAAAAGAAAUGCUAGCAGUAGUGUUUGCAUUGGAAAAAUUUCGAUCCUAUCUCAUUGGUUGUAAAAUAAUUAUAUUCACAGAUCAUGCUGUUCUUAAAUAUCUUCUCACAAAGAAAGAUGCAAAAGCUAGACUAAUUCGUUGGGUGUUACUUUUGCAGGAAUUUGACUUGGAAUUCAAAGAUAAGAAAGGGACAGAAAAUGUUGUGGCGGACCACCUCUCUCGUCUCCAUUUUGACACAAUUACAGAGCCAUUAAUAUUGAAUGAGUCAUUUCCAGAUGAACAAUUAAUGAGUGUGGAAGUAUUACCUUGGUAUGCUGAUAUAGUUAAUUAUCUUGUUACAGGUAAAUUUCCAGAGCAUUGGACCAAGCAAGACAAGGCUAAAUUCUUUGCAGAGAUAAAGAAUUUCUUUUGGGAUGACCCGUAUUUGUUCAAGUAUUGUGCUGAUCAAAUUGUUAGACGAUGUGUCCCAGAAAAUGAAAUUCAGAAUAUUCUUUCAUUCUGCCAUGAACAAGCUUGUGGAGGCCAUUUCAGUGCUAAGAAAACAGCAACUAAAGUUUUACAAUGUGGUUUUUAUUGGCCAACUAUAUUUCGAGAUGCUUACACUUUUUGUUCUUCAUGUGAUAGGUGUCAACGAAUGGGGAGCAUUACGCAAAGGAAUAUGAUGCCACUAAAUUCAAUUUUAGUGGUUGAGAUUUUUGAUGUAUGGGGUAUCGACUUUAUGAGACCAUUUCCCUCUUCUUUUGGCCACCAAUACAUAUUGGUUGCUGUUGACUACGUAUCAAAAUGGGUAGAAGCAAUUCCAUGCAGAACCAAUGAUCACAAGGUGGUGAUAGGAUUUUUGAAAAGCAACAUUGUUUCACGCUUUGGAUUUCCUCGAGCAAUAAUCAGUGAUGGUGGUACCCACUUUUGUAACAAAGCAUUCAAAGCUCUUUUGACAAAGUAUUCAAUCACACACAAAGUGGCGACUCCGUAUCAUCCGCAAACCAGUGGCCAAGUUGAGAUCUCCAAUCGAGAAAUAAAACACAUAUUAGAAAAGACGGUGAGGCCGGACAGAAAAGAUUGGUCAUUAAGACUUGAUGAUGCAUUAUGGGCAUAUAGAACGGCUUUCAAGACCCCGAUUGGGAUGUCACCCUACAGGCUAGUAUAUGGAAAAGCUUGCCACCUACCUGUGGAACUCGAGCAUUGUGCAUAUUGGGCCAUCAAGAAAUACAAUUUUGACAUGCAGCAAGCCAGCUCAGAAAAAAGAUUACAGCUGGCAGAACUUGAAGAAAUUCGCAAUGAUGCAUACGAAAAUGCCAAGAUUUACAAGCAACGAAUGAAAGUCUUCCAUGAUAAGCAAAUUAUGAGAAAAUCAUUCACUCCAGGUCAGAAAGUGCUUUUAUUCAAUUCUCGCUUGCACCUAUUCCCAAGUAAGUUACGCUCUCGUUGGUCUGGCCCAUUUAUUGUACAUACUGUUUUUCCACAUGGGGCAAUUGAAAUUAAGGACCCAAAGAACGGUGUCACGUUUAAAGUUAAUGGUCAAAGAUUAAAGGCAUAUCUAGAGUACCAACCACAUGGAGAAGACACCGAAAUAAAUUUGAGUGACCCACCAAAUUUGAAUUGAUUUUUUUUCUUUUCGUUGAUUUGAUUUUUCUUUCUUUCUUUUUAUUAUUAUUCUCUUGCUAAUUGAAAUUGUUUUUGCAUAAGUGUGUUUAUUUUACCAUUAAGUUUUCUUUUAUCGUUUUUAAUCAUGAGUACCUUACUUAGACCGUUCCUCCUGAACAUUCUUAAACCACUUCAACGUGUCAAAACUCAUCUCAAAAGGCAGAUUCAAUUUUGUAAAACACAUCGCAUUUGGGCUCUACAACCACCAGAGUUAGUAGCCUAUGUUGAGGGUUUAGAAAGCCAACUCAGAGACAUUGAGAGAAGUGUUUACAACAUCCAGUUGGAGCUUGAGGUAAAUUCAAUCAGAGGAAGAUUUUAAUUUUCUUUGUGUGUUUUGAUUUGUUUUUCUGUUUGUGUGCUUUAGUUUGUUACCCCGGUGAAGUGGCGGAUAACGGUACUCCGUGAUAAUCAAGUCGGUUACUUCAGUUUCCCAUAAUAACUGAUAUUCUGAGGCGAAGGUAUGGACAGAAACGAGAUUCUAGCGAAGCUUCACAAGCGAUUCCCUUCACUUCCUCAGAAUGCCCUCCUUACGAUCUAUAAAGCUCGGUCUGAACGCAUGCGAUUAUUCAUGAGGAAUAACAUACCUGCUGAAAUCCGUUGGUUAAUCGAGGCUAACGUACGAUCGGCAGGUGAGUUACCUCUAAAAUUUAUUGCAUACAUACCUGGUUGUGGUAAAGGAAAUUAUGCAAGAAAACGACGAGCUCGAAGAAUUUCUGUUGCUUGUCAUAAGUGUGCCAGAGUGAGUUGCAAUAAAAACCCAUGUUCUUUAGGAAUGAUGUCUGAUAACAGGGAAGAUAAGAUUCAAUUCAUUAGGGAUGGCUUGAAUAAGGAGUCAUUGGAUGAUAUCCUUUUGUCUCUUGAAACGCAUCCCAGUGGAUAUGUGCAAGGAGCGAUUCUUCAGUUAUGGCCAUUAUUCCAGAAAGAGCAUGCACGAUAUAGUCUCGGGAAUCUGACUAUAAAUGACCAUGUUUGCCAGUUUAUAAGAAAACUGGAUAGGAAGCCUAUCCUUGACCCAUAGAGGGCGUUCAAGCCGUUUCUGGACAUAAAACAAGAGGAAGAUGUAAGCUACAGUCGCAACUACCUGUAAAUAUCCUUUUACUUUAUUGUUAUUUUAUUUCACUAUUGUCUUAUUGUUUGCAUUAUUGUCUUUAAUAAUUUUAUUACUGUUUGCUUUUUCCUUUUUACUGUUUUCUUUUUGACUUGCGAGCCACGUGCUUUACGCGUUAUUUGACACUGACAUAUUACCUCAUACAAAACCAUGACCCACUAUCACCGAGACUCUUAAAUGUGAUUUUUUUUUUGUCAAGCACUCACAAAUUAUUUUUGAGAAGUAUCACAAUGUCAGCUACUCCCAAUAGACAAUUCAAGAACAUUUGUGUGCUUUCUGGAUUUACAUAUGACAAACAUAAAGAGUUCGUUGAGGCAGCCAUAGAUCUUGGUCGAAGCAUAGCAGCGAGAAAAUUACACUUGGUGUAUGGAGGAGGUAAUCGAGGGUUAUCAAAAAUGGUCUCAGAAGCAGCUUUUAUCAGAGGAAGUCAGGUGUUAGGCAUCAUCCCAAGAGUCUUAAAACCAUUGGGUAGUUCGUCUGACUCAUCAACUGGAGAAGAGUUAGUCGUCUCAGGUAUGCAAGAAAGAAUAACUGAAAUGCUUAAUCAUUCUGAUGCUUUUAUUUUCCUUCCAGGAGAUCUUGCAACACUAGAGGCACUUAUCACGCUAGCAUUUUGGGCCCAUCUGCACAUCCACUAAAAACCCAUCGGUUUGUUAAAUGUCAAUAACUUUUAUGAUGGCUUUAUCGCAUUUCUUAACCAUGCAAUAAAAAACUAUUUCAUUCCUUCUAAUGUGAAAAAACUUUUUAUUUGUGCUCACACUGCUAAUGAGCUACUUGAUAUGUUACAAGCUUAUAAACCGGAGCCAGACCCCUGGACCUUUGUGUUGGAGCGCCCAAAUAAUGAUGGUAACAGUAGCCGCAGUAAGAAGUACAAAUUAGAUUUAAUUCUCCGCUUGUAAAUAUUGUUUUCUGUGUUGCACCAACCAGGUGAUGUCUUCUAAACUCUACUUCUUUCCUUUCAAACAUUGAGGACAAUGUUUCGUUCUGGUUGGGGGGAGGGAAUAGUCGACAAUUGUGGAAUUUUGGUUAAGUUUUUACUAAUUUUUGUUGUAGAAACUAACUGUUGCUAACUUUUUGUGUCGAAGAUGGCUGAAUAUGGAGUAUAGUGACUCUAGAAACGCAUCUUCAUCGUAAAAAAAAAAAUUAAAAAACUAAAAAAAACAUUCAGAUAUUUUCUUUUUCUUUAUUAUGUUUUUAUGUUUAUUUUUCUUCUUUUUAAUUUCUCCUCUAUAAAUAUACAUUUUCCAACUUGUGAGUCGAAGAUGGCUGAAUAUGGAGUGUAGUUCCUCUAGAAACGCAUCUUCUUUAAAAAAAUAUAUAUUUUCGUUUUCUAUCAUUUUACGUUUAACUUUUCUAAUUAGUUUUUAUGCAUCAUUUUCACAUUUCUGCAUGCAUAUUUUCCUUUCAUGUUUAGAAUAGGUUGGGGGUUAGAAUGUUGUUUAAAAAAAAAAAAAAAUUUGUGUGAUUUGUUUUAACAUUGGAUGACAUGAUUAAUUUCAAAUUUUAGUAUUUGUAUUAUCUUUGGUCUUAAGUGAUGUUACAUUAUGUUUGCUACUCUACAUGUUGAUGUCGGAGACAAAUAUGAAUUGCUUGAAGGAAUGAACAAGUCAUAAUAAGUACCAAGUGAGUUUUUGAGCCUAUUAUUUUUCUUGGAGAGUACCCCUUUUGCCCAUUCUUUAUACAGCUUAACAGUUUAUUAUUGUAUACACGAUCUCUAGAUUUCUUUUGAGUUAACCCUUAAAAAAAAAUUGUAAAAUUAAAAAAAAAAGAAAAAAAAAAGAGAAAAAAAUGUGUGUUGCUACAUUUGGAGGCCCAUCUAACUAGUAGAUAUGGAAGAUUAUUUAGAGCCCUAAAAGACGAUGGAAAUGCCAUCUUUGAUCCGUUUGAGCCUUUCUAGCCAUCCCUUUUAUCAAAUAUCCAUAGUUAACCCUUUUGAGCCUUAAAAAAAAAAAACCUUUCUUUGUCAAACUUAUCCUCUUGACCCACUCCGAUUUGGAGUAUUACCCGAUAUCUUAUAAGUUCCAUCACCUAUUUAUGUUUGAGAAAAUGUAAAUAAUUAUGUUGUUCAGUAAAGUUAUGCCAAAUAAAAGCAAAAAAAAAAAAAACAAAAGUUGUUGUUUCAAAAGGAAAAAAAAUAAUAAUAGGUGAAAUCCACCUUGCAACUUAAAAAAAAAAAACAAAUCUCUGCAUUUUUCUUAAACAUAAACUUUGUUUUCCCUAUUUUCCUUCUUUGUUAGCCAUGUCCCUAGCCUACAUUACGUCCUAAUAAAAGUCCUUCUUGAUUUUAGGGAACUAUAGUUUGAAGUAGAAGCUAGUUAUAUGGGCUAAAAAGAUAUAGUGGUGCAGAACAAAAAAUAAAUAAAUAAAUAAAAGAUAAAAAAGAUAAAUAAAUUGGGUUGACUAACAUUUUUAUUUGACUUGAGAUCGUAUUAUUUCUAAGCUGAGGGCAUAUUUAUUUCAUCUUGGUGAGAGCAUGUGAUAUCACUUCUUUAUUAUUUUCUCUCUCAAUUACCAUUCAUUGGAGUGACUAUUUUUAGUGGGUUUAAUUUAUUUGUGAGAGUGUCACCACUUCCAGUGAGAUUUUGGGGUUUGACAUGUCAUUCUUGAAAGCAAAUAUAACAAAGUCUAUUUUGUGUAAAUUUUAAUGUACUCGCAAGCGCACGAAUCUAUUGUAGUAUAGACUAAUGGUGACGAGUGUCGAUCCCAUGAGGAGGUGGAUUUUAAUUAUAUGUAGAAUUAAUUUUGUAAAUGGGUGGUUGGAAUUGUGGUGGAAGUGAUUUAAAUUAUCCUAAAAUUGGAAUUGAAAUGGCGAUAAUAAAUUCUAAAAUUGGACUUGCAAUGGCGAGAAUAAAUUGAAGAUAAUUCUAUUGAAAUGACGUACUUGGGUAUUCGGAUCCGCAUCAACAUGCAUCAUGGGCUAAAUAAUCCAUAUUAAUGCCAAUUAAAUCAUGAGGGGGGAAUCUACACCUCAUGAACCACGCUCUAAUCAAUAUGGUGCAAAGGGCUUAUCGUGCCAAAUAAUAAUAACCUUGUACUAGAGGGCCGGUGAAACCAAGGCGGUACUAGACAAGAUUAGUAUUAUUUGUCGACGAGAAGUCAAAACAUCCACAAAAACUAGAGGGGAAGAGAAAAUAAAUUUACCAAAUUAAGCCCAUGACACAUGUUGAGACUUCACCUUCAACCCAAGCUUGAAAGAAAAUUAGUUACUCAUUAUUGAACUAAGGGCAAAAUGGAAAUUUAUUAAAAUACGAAGAAAAUACAAGAUGGAGAAGGAAUUACAGAAAAUGGAUCCCAAAAAUGGAUUUAGAGAUAUCCAAUUAGGGGGGAGAGGCCCCCUUUUUAUAGAUACAUGGAGUAAAUCAUGGCCAUCGGAUUAAAAACAGUUUGGACGCUCAGGAUUGCGCCACGUCAUCAGUCAACAGUCCACGGUUUGACCACGCGGAUGAACAGUAACACGGUUUGACCCGAAUGAACAGUAACGCGGUUUGGUUGAAAAUAAUCAUGUGUGAUGCAUGCACCGUACGCGAAAUUUUUCGUCCACUGAUAUGCUGCCACGUCACCAUCAACAGUACAUAAGAAUUUUAGUCCAACAGGAUCGUGACACCUCAUCAGUCAAUGCCACAUCAUCGGUCAAUGCCACGUCAUCAUCCGUCUACGUGAAUAGUGUCGUGAACAGUAACGUAUACAGUACCGUACACGUGAAUAGUACCGUACAUGUGAAUAGUGCCAUUUUUCCUUUUAUGCUCCUCCUAAGGUUUUUGACCGUCCUGAGUUCAAAAGUGAUGUCUGUUUUGCCGUCUGAUUUCUCCUUUAUUAUGAAAUGACUAUAAUGCCCCUAAAAUACAUAAAAUACUUAAUUAAAAUAAAACAAAUGUAAUUAAAUCACAAGAAGGUUAAAUACAUAAAAGUAAGGGUUGUUAGUAAGACUUGAAAUGUAAAAUGACGGUUUUCUCCUUUAUAAAUAGGCAUUUUCUAACACUCAACACACCCCCCAACCAGCUUAUUGCUAGUCCCUAGCAAAUAAAGCGAAAACAAAAUUCAAAUUCAAAAUGAUUUUUUUUUUUUUUAGAAACACUCGUGUUUAUUCAAUCAGAUUAAUGAUAACAAUUAAAUAAAAGUAUAAGCAUUAUCUCCAGUCUAAAGCAACAUCACACCCACAUCAACCAUCCACAUGAAUUAGCCCAGUAGACUUUGUUAUAGCUACUUUCAAGAAUGACAUGUCAAACCCCAAAAUCUCACUGGAAGUAGUGACACUCUCACAAAUAAAUUAAACCCAAUAAAAUAGUCACUCCAAUGAAUGGCAAUUGAGAGAGAAAAUAAUAAAGAAGUGAUAUCACAUGCUCUCACCAAGAUGAAAUAAAUAUGCCCUCAGCUUAGAAAUAAUACGAUCUCAAGUCAAAUAAAAUGUAAGUCAACCCAUUUUAUUUAUCUUUUUUUUUAAUUAUGCAUCACUACAUCUUUUUAGCCCAUAUAACUAGCUUCUACUUCAAACUAUAGUUCCCUAAAAUCAAGAAGGACUUUUAUUAGGACGUAACGUAGGCUAGGGACAUGGCUAACAAAGAAGGGAAAUAAGGAAAACAAAGUGUAUGUUUGAGAAAAAUUCAGAGAAUUUUUUUUUUUGAAGUUGCAAGGUGGAUUUCACCUAUUAUUUUUAUUUUUAUUCUUUUGAAACAACAACUUUUGUUUUUUUUUCUCUUUUUUUUGGCAUAACUUCACUGAAUAAAAUAAUUAUUUAUAUUUUUCUCAAACAUAAAUAAGUGAUGAAACUUAUAAGAUAUCGGGUAAUACUCUAAAUCGGAGUGGGUCAAGAUGAUAAGUUGACAAAGAAAAGGUUUUUUUUUUUUUUUAAAGGCUCAAAAGGGGUAACUAUGGAUAUUUAAUAAAAGGGAUGGCUAGAAAGGCUCAAACGGAUCAAAGAUGGCCUUUCCGUCGUCUUUUAGGGCUCUAAAUAAUUAUCCAUGUCUACUAGUUAGAUGGGCCUCCUAAUGUAGCAACACAUUUUUUUUUCUCUCUUUUUUUUUAUUUUACAAUUUUUUUUUUUAGGGUUAACUCAAACGAAAUUUAGAGAUCGUGUAUAACAUAAUAAACUGCUAAGCUGUAUAGAGAAUGGGCAAAAUGGUUACUCUCCAAGAAAGUGAUAGGCUCAACAACUCACUUGGCAUUUAUUUAUGACAUGUUCAUUCCUUCAAGCAACUCAUAUUUGUCUCCGACAUCAACAUGUAAAGUAGCAAACAUAGCGUAACAUCACUUAAGACCAAAGAUAAUACAAAUACUAAAAUUUGAAAUUAAUCAUGUCAUCCAAUGUUAAAACAAAUCACAUAAUGUUUUUUUAAACAACAUUCUACCCCCCAACCUAUUCUAAACAUGAAAGGAAAAUAUGUAUGCAGAGAUAUGAAAAUGAUGCAUAAAAACUAAUUAGAAAAGUUACACUUAAAAUGAUAGAAAACGAAAAUGGUUUUUUUUUUUUAACUUAGAAGAUGCGUUUCUAGAGGCACUACUCUCCAUAUUCAGCCAUUUUUGACUCAAAAGUUGGAAAAUGUAUAUUUAUAGAGGAGAAAAUAAAAAGAAGAAGAAAAAUGAACAUCAAAACUUGAUAAAGAAAAAGAAUUUUUUUUUUCGAACAAUGAAGAUGCGUUUCUAGAGUAACUACACUCCAUAUUCAGCCAUCUUCAACAUAAAAAGUUAGCAACAGUUAGUUUCUACAACAAAAAAUUAGUAAAAACUUAACCAAGAUUCCACAAUUGUCGACUAUUCCCUCCCCCCAACCAGAACGAAACAUUGUCCUCAAUGUUGUAAAGGAAAGAAGUAGAGUUUAGAAGACAUCACCUGGGUGGUGCAACACAUAAGAAAAUAUUUACAAGCGGAGAGUUAAAUCUAAUUUGUACUUCUUACUGCGGCUACUGUUACCAUCAUUAUUUGGUCGUUCCAACACAAAGGUCCAGGGGUCUGGCUCCGGUUUAUAAGCUUGUAAUAUAUCAAGUAGCUCAGUAGCAGUGUGAGCACAAAUAAAGAGUUUUUUCACAUUAGAAGGAAUGAAAUAGUUUUUUAUUGCAUGGUUAAGAAAUGAGAUAAAGCCAUCAUAAAAGUUAUUGACAUUUAACAAACCGAUGGGUUUCUGGUGAAUGUGUAGAUGGGCCCAAGAUGCUAGUGUCAUAAGUGCCUCUAGUGUUGCAAGAUCUCCUGGAAGGAAAAUAAAAGCAUCAACAUAAUUAAGCAUUUCAGUUAUUCUUUCUUGCAUACCUGAGACGACUAACUCUUCUCCAGUUGAUGAGUCAGACGAACUGCCCAAUGGUUUUAGGACUCUUAGGAUGAUGCCUAACACUUGACUUCCUCUGAUAAAAGCUGCUUCUGAGACCAUUUUUGAUAACCCUCGAUUACCUCCUCCAUACACCAAGUGUAAUUUUCUCGCUGCUAUGCUUCGACCAAGAUCUAUGACUGCCUCAACGAACUCUUUAUGUUUGCCAUAGGUAAAUCCAGAAAGCACACAAAUGUUCUUGAAUUGUCUAUUUGGAGUAGCUGCCAUUGUGAUACUUCUCGAAAAAUAAUUUGUGAGUGCUUGAAAAAAAAUCACAUUUAAGAGUCUUGGUGACAGUGGGUCACAGUUGUGUAUGAGGUAACAUGUCAGUGUCAAAUAACACGUAAAGCACGUGGCUCGCGAGUCAAAAAGGAAACAGUAAAAAGAAAAAAGUAAACAGUAAUAAGAAAACAGCAAACAGUAAUAAAAUUAUUAAGGACAAUAAUACACACAAUAAAACAAUAGUGAAAUAAAAUAAUAGUAAAGUGAAAGGAUAUUUACAGGUAGUUGCGACUGUGGCUCACAUCUUCCUCUGGUUUUACGUCCAGAAACAGCUUGAACGCCCUCUAUGGGUCGAGGAUAGGCUUCCCAUCCAGUUUUCUUAUAAACUGGCAAACAGGGUCGUUUAUAGUCAGAUUCCCGAGACUAUAUCGUGCAUGCUCUUUCUGGAAUAAUGGCCAUAACUGGAGAAUCGCUCCUUGCACAUAUCCACUGGGAUGCGUUUCAAAAGACAGAAGGAUAUCAUCCAAUGACUCCUUAUUCAAGCCAUCCCUAAUGAAUUGAAUCUUAUCUUCCCUGUUAUCAGACACCAUUCCUAAAGAACAUGGGUUUUUAUUGCAACUCAUUCUGGCACACUUAUGACAAGCAACAGAAAUUCUUCGAGCUCGUCGUUUUCUUGCAUAAUUUCCUUUACCACAACCAGGCAUGUAUGCAAUAAAUUUUGGAGGUAACUCACCUGCCAAUCGUACUUUCGCCUCAAUUAACCAACGAAUAUCAGCAGGUAUAUUAUUCCUCAUGAGCAAUCUCAUGCGUUCGGACCGAGCUUUAUAGAUCGUAAGGAGGGCAUUCUGAGGAAGUGAAGGGAAUCGCUUGUGAAGCUUCGCUAGAGUCUCGUUUCUGUCCAUACUUUCGCCUCAGAAUAUCAGUUAUUAUGGGAAACUGAAGUAACCGACUUGAUUGUCACGGAGUACCGUUAUCCGCCACUUCACCGGGGUAACAAACUAAAGCACACAAAUAGAAAAACAAAUUAAAACACACAAAGAAAAUUAAAAUCGUCCUCUUAUUGAAUUUACCUCAAGCUCCAACUGGAUGUCGUAAACUCUUCUCUCAAUGUCUCUGAGUUGGCGUUCUAAACCCUCAACAUAGGCUACUAACUCUGGUGGUUGUAGAGCCCAAAUGCGUUGUGUUUUACAAAAUUGAAUCUGCCUUUUGAGAUGAGUUUUGACACGUUGAAGUGGUUUAAGAAUGUUCAGGAGGAAUGGUCUAAGUAUGAGACUCAUGAUUAAAAAUGAUAAGAGAAAACUUAAUAGUUAAACAAACACACUUAUGCAAAAAUAAUUUCAAUUAGCAAAAGAAUAAAAUAAAGAAAGAAAGAAAAAAAAAUCAAAUCACUGGAAAAAAAAAUCAAUUCAAAUUUGGUGGGUCACUCAAAUUUAUUUCGAUGUCUUCUCCAUGUAGUUGGUAUUCUAGAUAUGGCUUUAAUCUUUGACCAUUAACUUUAAACGUGACACCGUUCUUUGGGUCCUUAAUUUCAAUUGCCCCAUGUGGAAAAACAUUAUGAACAAUAAAUGGGCCAGACCAACGAGAGCGUAACUUACCUGGGAAUAGGUGCAAGCGAGAAUUGAAUAAAAGCACUUUCUGACCUGGAGUGAACGAUUUUCUCAUAAUUUGCUUAUCAUGGAAGACUUUCAUUCGUUGCUUGUAAAUCUUGGCAUUUUCGUAUGCAUCAUUGCGAAUUUCUUCAAGUUCUGCCAGCUGUAAUCUUCUUUCUAAGCUGGCUUGCUGCAUGUCAAAAUUGAAUUUCUUGAUGGCCCAAUAUGCACGAUGCUCGAGUUCCACAGGUAGGUGGUAAGCUUUUCCAUACACUAGCCUGUAGGGUGACAUCCCAAUCGGGGUCUUGAAAGCCGUUCUAUAUGCCCAUAAGGCAUCAUCAAGUCUUAAUGACCAAUCUUUUCAGUCCGGCCUCACCGUUUUUUCUAAUAUGUGCUUUAUUUCUUGAUUGGAUAUCUCAACUUGGCCACUGGUUUGCGGAUGAUACGGAGUCGCCACUUUGUGUGUGAUUGAAUACUUUGUCAAAAGAGCUUUGAAUGCUUUGUUACAAAAGUGGGCACCAUCAUCACUGAUUAUUGCUCGAGGGAAUCCAAAGCGCGAGACAAUGUUGCUUUUCAAAAAUCCUAUCACCACCUUGUGAUCAUUGGUCCUACAUGGAAUUGCUUCUACCCAUUUUGAUACGUAGUCAACAGCAACCAAUAUGUAUUGAUGGCCAAAAGAAGGGCGAAAGGGUCCCAUGAAGUCGAUACCCCAUACGUCAAAAAUCUCAACCACUAAAAUUGGAUUUAGUGGCAUCAUGUUCCUUCGUGUAAUGCUUCCCAUUCGUUGACACCUAUCACAUGAAGAACAGAAAGUGUAAGCGUCUUGAAAUAUAGAUGGCCAAUAGAAACCACAUUGUAAAACUUUAGUCGCUGUUUUCUUAGCACUGAAAUGGCCUCCACAAGCUUGUUCAUGGCAGAAUGAAAGGAUAUUCUGAAUUUCACUUUCUGGGACACAUCGUCUAACAAUUUGGUCUGCACAAUACUUGAACAAAUACGAGUCAUCCCAAAAGAAAUUCUUUAUCUCUGCAAAGAAUUUAGCCUUAUCUUGCUUGGUCCAAUGCUCUGGAAGUUUACCUGUAACAAGAUAAUUAACUAUAUCAGCAUACCAAGGCAAUACUUCCACAUUCAUUAAUUGUUCAUCUGGAAAUGACUCAUUCAAUGGUAAUGAUUCUGUAAUUGUGUCAAAAUGGAGACGAGAGAGGUGGUCCGCCACAACAUUUUCUGUCCCUUUUUUAUCUUUGAAUUCCAAGUCAAAUUCCUGCAAAAGUAACACCCAACGAAUUAGUCUGGCUUUUGCAUCUUUCUUUGUGAGAAGAUAUUUAAGAGUAGCAUGAUCCGUGAAUAUAAUUAUUUUACAACCAAUGAGAUAUGAUCGAAAUUUUUCCAAUGCAAACACUACUGCUAGCAUUUCUUUUUCAGUAGUUGAAUAGUUCAACUGUGCAUCAUUUAAUGUCAUACUAGCAUAGUAAAUAACGUGGGGAAUUCGAUCAACUCUUUGUCCUAAUACUGCUCCUACUGCAUAAUCAGAUGCAUCACACAUUAGCUCAAAUGGUAAGCUCCAGUUUGGGCCCUGAAUGAUGGGUGAUGAUGUCAACAACUGUUUUAAUUUUUCAAACGCCAUAAGGCAUGAAUCAUUAAAGAUAAAAGGUACAUCCUUAGCAAGUAAAUUGCAUAAGGGUCUAGAAACUUUGCUAAAAUCUUUAAUGAAACGUCUAUAGAAACCAGCAUGCCCAAGGAAAGAUCUUACUUCUCUGACUGUUAUGGGUGGAGGAAGAUUAGAAAUGAGAUCCACCUUGGCUUUGUCAACCUCAAUACCUUUGCUCGAAAUGAUGUGACCGAGAACAAUACCUUGUUUUACCAUAAAAUGGCAUUUCUCCCAAUUUAAGAUCAAGUUCUUCUCGAUACAUCUCUGCAGAACUAGUGUUAGAUGAUGUAAACAUUGAUCAAACGAGUUACCAAAGACAGAAAAGUCAUCCAUAAAGACUUCAAGGAAUCGUUCAACCAUAUCAGAAAAAAUGCUCAACAUGCAUCGUUGAAAUGUAGCAGGUGCAUUACAUAAUCCAAAUGGCAUUCUCCUAUAUGCAAAUGUGCCAAAAGGGCAAGUGAAAGUAGUUUUCUCUUGAUCUUUUGGUGCUAUGGGAAUCUGAUUAUAUCCUGCGUAGCCAUCUAGAAAGCAAUAAAAUUCAUGGCCUGCUAAUCUAUCAAGCAUUUGAUCAAUAAAUGGUAAAGGAAAAUGGUCUUUACAUGUGACAGAAUUCAAUUUUCUAUAAUCAAUGUAUACACGCCAUCCUGUAGUUACCCUAGUUGGUAUUAAUUCAUUAUCAGCAUUGGUAACUACUGUGACUCCUGACUUUUUGGGGACGACUUGUACAGGACUGACCCAUGAACUAUCAGAAAUUGGGUAAAUGAUACCAGCAUCUAAUAGCUUAAGGACUUCAAUUCUAACAACUUCUUUCAUAUUAGGAUUUAACCGACGUUGCAUUUCCCUAGUAGAUUUAGCAUUUUCAUCGAGGUGAAUAUAAUGCAUGCAGUCUACUGGAUUUAUACCUUUUAUAUCUGCUAUGGUCCAUCCUAAUGCUCCUUUGUGCUCUUUUAAAACAUCCAACAACUUACCUUUUUGUUCGUCAUUUAGGGAUGAUGAGAUGAUUACCGGCAGAGUACUUUCUUCUCCCAAAAACGCAUAUUCCAAAGUGUUGGGCAAUGGUUUGAGCUCGAGUUUCGGUGGUGAUUCUGAUGAUGGAAUAAGUUGCUUCUCUGAUGGUGCUAGUUGCUCAACUCUUGACUUCCAUUUAUUAGUGUCCAUGGAUGGUGUUGAGUCAAGUAAAGCGUUGACCUUAUCGACCGAUCUAUCAAUAUCAAAAUCCAAACCAAAGUGAGUUAAACAUGUUUGUAAAGGAUCAUCACUAAGGUUUGAAAGAAAAGUAUUAUCAACUAAUGCUUCAAUUAAAUCCACAUCAACAAUUUCAUCAUCUGCAUUGUGAGGUUGUUUGGCAAUGUUGAAGAUGUUCAGCUCCAUAGUCAUGUUGCCGAAAGACAACUGCAUAUUUCCAGUCCUGCAUUGAAUGUGAGCAUCCGCAGUUGCCAAGAAAGGUCGGCCUAGGAUAAUGGGAAUGUGCUUCCUUGAAUCCUGUAUAGGUUGAGUGUCAAUUACAAUGAAAUCAACAGGAAAAUAAAACUUGUCUACCUGAAUAAGCACGUCCUCCACAAUACCACGAGGUAUUUUUGUGGACCGAUCUGCAAGCUGUAACACCACUGGAGUUGGGUGUAAUUCUCCAAGUCCAAGUUUCACAAAUACAGAAUAAGGUCAAAUUUACACUAGCUCCUAAAUCCAACAAAGCAUUCUCAAUUGUGUGGUUCCCUAUACUACACGAGAUAGUGGGGGAGCCUGGGUCUUUGCAUUUUAAAGGAAUUUUAUGUUGGAGUAUAGAACUAACGUUUUCUGUUAAAAAUGCCUUCUUUUGAACAUGCAUAUUUCUCUUUUUAGUACAAAGGUCUUUAAGAAACUUGGCAUAAGAUGGAACUUGUUUAAUAGCAUCAAGCAAAGGGAUGUUAACACUUACCUGUUUGAAGAUUUCGAGAAUCUCACCUGUGGAUUUUCCCUUUUUGCCUUUUGCUAACCUCUGAGGAAAUGGAGCUUUAGGAACAUAUUCUCGUGGGUUGGUUUCUUCUUUUUCCUCCGGUGGUGAGUCCUCAACAUUCACAGGUACAAUUUGAUUUUCUUUUGUCACCGGCAUCUCCACUUUGUUGCCGACUUCCUUUAGUUUUCGCAAGGUCAUUACUGCUUUGACCUCUCCAUGUUGCUGUGGUGAACUGGUACUUGCUUCAUGUACUCCUUUAGGAUUAGGCACUGGUUGACUUGGAAACUUGCCUUUCUCAACAGUCAUUGCCAAGGUCUGAACUGAAGAAGUAAGUUGUCCCACCAUCUUCUCGAGGCUUGAAACUGAUUGGGCUUGUGAAUUGAAGCCUGCUCUCAACUCAUUUCGUAGUCCAUCAAUGGUGCGAUUCUGUUGCUCAAUCGUGGAGUGAGUAAGAUUUUUGAAAUUCUGGAAUGCAUCCUCCCAUGGUCUAGGUUGAGAGUAGUUCUGGUUCUGAUUGUAUGGUCUAAAUGGGGGCUGAGAGGCUUGAGGAUUUUGUGGAAUUGGUUGCAUUUGUGGAGCUGCUGGUCCGUUCUAUUGGAAUCCUUGAGACCAUGAAAAAUUGGGGUGGUCUCUCCAUCCAGGGUUAUAUGUGUUGGAGUAUGGGUUGUAAUUCGAUGGUUUUCUCAUUACACCUAUGGCAUUGGCUUGAUCUGAGUAUGAGUCAUGGUCAUGUGGCUCUGUUGAUUUAGCAGUCGAUAACGAUGCUAUUUGUCGAGAGAGACCUUCAAUUAUCGCUUGGACUUCUUUAAUUUCUGAACUUGACUCGCCAAUGUGAACCUCAUUUACUCCCUUAAUUCUUCUAGUAUUCCUGAGUGAUCGACUCCGUUGUUGGGAAUUAUCCGCUUGUCGCUGGAAGAAUUCCCAAAUCUCUGAUGCACUUUUUAACAUUAGUUCUCCUCCACUUGUUGCCAUUAGCCAUUCUUGCACAUUCGACAAUAAUCCCUCCAAAAAGUAUUGGCAUUGAUGCCAUUUCUCGUACCCAUGAUGUGGACACUUCAAGAGUAGCCCAUUGAAUCGCUCCCAUGUCUCAAAAAACUGCUCGUCCUCUCUCUGAGUAAACUCUGAGAUUUCCCUGCGAAUAGCAUUAGUUUUAUGCACUGGGAAAUAUAUAUUCAAAAAUUUAGUUACCAUUUGUUCCCAUGAUGAAAUGCUAUUAGCAGGCAACGUAUUUAACCAUGAACGAGCUCUAUCCUUUAAAGAAAAUGGGAAUAGUCUAAGUUUAACAUCAUCAUCUGAAAAAUUCUCAUAUUUGAAUGUUUGACAAAUGGCAUGAAAAUCAUUCAAAUGAUUAUAUGGAUCCUCAUUUUCUAGGCCAUAAAAUGUAGGGAGACAAUUUAACACACUAGGUUUUAAUUCAAAACUCCUAGCAGCUACAUUUGGGUAUCUUAUGCAUGAUGUACUCAAAUUAGCUAAAGGACUAAAAUAAUCCUUAAAUGGCCUCUCCUGUGGUGCUUGUAAAUCCAUUCCAAACUUGUUUGUGUGUGCGAAGUGUUUUUUCUAAUUCAAAGUCUAUAGGUUCAAGAUUAGGAAAUAAUGACCUACGACCAUACAUGCAAAACAAAUAAAAUAAAAAUAAAGAUGAGAACAAAACAUAUAAAAAUAAAGAAGAGAGAGAAAUUACGAUACUAACCUUAUUACGCUAUUAAAACCUUUCUACAAAAAUACACAAAAACAAAUACGUGAAAUUAAAUUAACUAAAAAUAAAUUAAUAAGAUAAACAAAAAAAAAUUUCAAUUGAAAAUUAAAUUACAGAAUUUUAAAGAAGAGAAAAAGAAAAGAAAUACUAACCUUUAAAUGUAAAUUCACUUUUUUUUUCUUUUUUUUUUUUUAAUAAAAAAAUAUAAGAAAACAAAUAAAAGAAAUUAUUCACAAAUUAAUUCUAUGAAUUAAAAUUACUUACCUCCCCGGCAACAGCGCCAAAAACUUGUUAUGCAAAUUUUAAUGAACUCGCAAGCGCACGAAUCUAUUGUAGCAUAGAUCAAUGGUGACGAGUGUCGAUCCCACGAGGAGGUGGAUUUUAAUUAUAUGUAGAAUUAAUUUUGUAAAUGGGUGGUUGAAAUUGUGGUGGAAGUGAUUUAAAUUAUUCUAAAAUUGGAAUUGAGAUGGCGAUAAUAAAUUCUAAAAUUGGAAUUGCAAUAGCGAGAAUAAAUUGAAGCGAAAUCUAUUGAAAUGAUGUACUUGGGUAUCUGGAUCCGUAUUAACAUGCAUCAUUGGCUAAAUAAUCCGUAUUAAUGCCAAUUAAAUCAUGAGGGGGUAAUCCACACCUCAUGAACCACGCUCUAAUCAAUAUGGUGCUAAGGGCUUAUUGUGCCAAAUAAUAAUAACCUUAUACUAGAGGGCCGGAGAAACCAAGGCGGUACUAGACAAGAUUAGUAUUAUUUGUCGACGAAAAGUCAAAACAUCCACAAAAACUAGAGGGGAAGCGAAAAUAAAUUUACUAAAUAAAGCCCAUGACACAUGUUGAGACUUCACCUUCAACCCAAGCUUGAAAGAAAAUUAGCCACUCAUAAUUGAACUAGGGGAAAAAUAGGAAUUUAUUAAAAUACAUAGAAAAUACAAGAUGGAGAAGGAAUUGCAGAAAAUGGAUCCCAAAAAUGGACUCAGAGAUAUCAAAUUAGGGGGGAGAGGCCCCCUUUUUAUAGAUACAUGGAGUAAAUCAUGGCCAUCGGAUUAAAAACAGUUUGGACGCUCAGGAUUGUGCCACGUCAUCAGUCAACAGUACGCGGUUUGACCAUGCGGAUGAACAGUAACACGGUUUGACCCGGAUGAACAGUAACGCGGUUUGGUUGAAAAUAAUCCUGUGUGAUGCAUGUACUGUACGCGAGAUUUUUCGUCCACUGAUAUGCUGCCACGUCACCAUCAACAGUACAUAAGAAUUUUAGCCCAACAGGAUCGUGACACCUCAUCAGUCAAUGCCACAUCAUUGGUCAAUGCCACGUCAUCGUCCGUCUAUGUGAACAGUGUCGUGAACAGUAACGUAUACAGUACCGUACACGUGAAUAGUACCAUACAUGUGAACAGUACUAUUUUUUCUUUUAUGCUCCUCCUAAGGUUUUCGACCGUCCUGAGUUCAAAAGUGAUGUCCGUUUUUCCAUCUGAUCUCUCGUUUAUUGUGAAAUGACUAUGAUAUUCCUAAAAUACAUAAAAUACUUAAUUAAAAUAAAACAAACGGAAUUAAAUCAAAAGAAGGUUAAAUUCAUAAAAGUAAAGGUGUUAGUAAGACUUGAAAUGUAAAAUGACGGUUUUCUCCUUUAUAAAUAUGCAUUUUCUAACACUCAACACUCGCCUCACAUUGACCUUGAAUACAUCACCUCAACCAUAAGGUAACUAAUGAGUAGGAUUUUUUUGCAAGGAGAUGUUUAAACUGAGCCAUUUAAAAAGGAGACAUAGCCAAAACUCCUUCCAUAUUUUCUCUGAGAAAUUAGGGAUUGAGCACCAUCUCAAAACCAUCAUUCCGUAGUCUAUGGGCAAGAGGAUUCUAACCCCUAUAAAACUCGCAACCAGUCCAAAACAUAAGGGAUUUGUCCCUUUUUCUCACUCUUUACACUACUUUAUCUCACAGACUUUUCUUCUUUAUUUACUUUUUUUGUUAAGCAGAGAGAGUUCUUAAUUUUUUUUAAUUCAUCUUUAUAAACAACCUGACACUAUAUUCUUUUUUCUAUCAAACCCAUAACUGACUUGAGCGUUGAAAGGUUAACACUAGAAAAACUUCUAGCUUCCCAUACCGCUUUUUAUGGUUGCAGCUGCUCGUGAAGCUUUAACUUGUAGUCUUUGAUUUACACUCAGAGGUCUAGACAUUGGUGAAUCAUCUCUCCAUAUAAAUGAAUUCAAAUGACUGGCAUUGAUAUUUAGUUGAUAGCUCGUAAAUUGACUUGACUAGAUCUUGGUGUCAACAAGCAUAAUUAUCCAUAAAAAAUUUAUGUGAUUAUUUUUCAAAGCAAUGGAGUUUUCACGAAUGUUUCACCAAACCACAAAUGCCACUGUCCUUCCUCAUUUUUCAUAAUUCACAAGAUUAUUUUUAAUUCAUUAGCAAUGUCCAAGAGGGAGUGAAACGUUUGUUAUUUACAAAUUAUUAUAGCAGGGAAAUGUGUGCCAUUAAUUAGCUUGCCUGCUACAUCAUCACCACAUCCUGAAUCAAAGAAUUACAAAAUUUUCAAAAGAAUAAGGCAUGCCGGUCUAGAAAAAAGUCACUUCUGAAAAAACUUAAGAGAUUUCGCGAUCGCUUUAAUGAAUUUUUUUCAAAUGCUCAUGAGGAAAUAGAUUUUGUAUGAUAAGUGUGCCAUUAGCUACAUUAUGACACUUGUUCGAUAGCAGAAAAAAUGCAACAAUAAAGUACCCCAUUUUUUUAAUGCAGUAAUGACAUUUUGGAAAAGACUUAGAUCUAUUGGAAAUAGAUGUAGACAGUUCAAACCUUGGAAUUAACAGCUUAAUUAGUUUUUGAAAAUAUUGUUCACCAUUAUUGUUCACUAGAACUGUGAGCAAUUACUGUUUACAGUUACUGUUCAUCUGCUUAAAAAAUAUUAAAUUUUCAAAACACAAUAAAUUAUAGAAAUUAAAUGACACGGAGAUUUUUACGCUGUUAAGAUUAAUCAAUCCUGCACCCACGUGGACUUACCUAGAUGGAAAGCAAUUCACUAGGUUGAGAUGUUACAAUCUAUGGAUUUACCAAAUAUAAGAUUCUCACUUAUAAUUUAUCAUCAUAUAGCUUACUCAACCUUAGACUGAAUCUGUUUCAAUUAAAUAAUGGUUACCCCUCUUGAUCCACGAUCCUCAAGGCACUUUUUUGUGUACACGCUUGAUGCUCAUUAUGAUGCUAUCAUGGUCAUACAUACACUUUCAAUAGAGAUAAAAAGAAAUAGUCAUAUUACAAGACUUUGAAUGAAGAAGAUAAGAAAAUAAAUGAGUAACACAUUAUGCGACAAAUCUAGAUUCUCUAGGGAUGAGGCCAAAUUUUGCUUUUCUUCUUUAUGCUAUGUGUUGUGCUUCUUCAAUUCUGAAAUACGUCUAUUUAUAUAGACACUAGGGUUUCACAAAAAUUGCAAGUCUUAAAAGACUUGGAUUCUUUCCAAAUAAGAGUUUCUUUCCUCUUAUAAUUCCCAUGAAUCUGAAUAGGAACAAACAUGAUAUUCUGACCUUACUUGUGUCCCAAGAAAUAUCUAGAGCAUUUAAUAAACUUCCUGUUUAAACUAACUUCUUGCUCUAAAUAAAUCUUAUGUGCUAAUUAUGGAAUCCUAUCAUUAAUAGACUUGCUAAAUUAGGCAUCUAAUGAAACUAGGAAACAACUAUUCCUAAUAAAUUGGAAUAUCACUUAAUUAUGGAAUUAAUAAAUUAAUCGCUAUUACAAGAUAUGCAAUAAAAUAAAAUUUGAAUUUAACAACACUGCCAUAAGAUGCCAACUCAAUAAAAGAUGGACAUAACAUUGCCAAUAAACUUUAUUUAGCGAGCAAAUGGAUUCUUGUGGAAAAAGUAAUCCAACACAAGUCUUCCAUGAAACUUGGCGCUGAAAUGUAAAUCUGAAGCAAGCAUAAACAACAACAAAGUGCUAACAAAAAUAAUUGGCAAUUAGCAUGUUAGUUCAUCAAACAUUUAAAAAUUGAAAAUAUAUUACAAAGAGGGAUGAGAAGAAGAAUUUGAGGGGAAAGAAGAGAAGAAAAGGUGUGGAGAGGUGUGUUUUCCCUCUCUAUUUAUACUAAUAUAUGAUUAAUCCACACCAUACAAAUAAAUAAAACUAAUUACAUCUUAGCCAUAUAUUUGUCCCAUUAACAAAACAUAAACCUAACUCAAUCCACUCAAGCAUAUCCAACACAUUUCACUAAAUAUUACCCCACCUAAUAUAGUAAAAGCUUAUAAUUUUACAAUUAUCACAUUUACUGUAGUAAAAACUUAUAAAUUUACAAAAAAAAAAUUCAAAUCCUCCGUGACAGUAACCUAAUUUCUCUUACUUCUGGAAUUCAAAUUUGACAUCCGUACAUUUGUUUGGAACCCCAAAUUGCGUGAAAUUAUUAUUUUUACCUAAUAAACACACAAAAAUACACAAAAUCAUAUAUUUAGAAAAAUAAUUAGAAAUUCAUAAUAUGUUACAUAAUUAUAAAUAUAAAUUAUAAUAUAAGCACAAAAUAAUAUUUUUACCCCUUACUAAACAUACAAUUUUGAACACUAAUCAAUCAAUAUUAGUUAAAAUAAGUUAAGACAAGUUAUUUUUCUUAACUCUUAGUGAUGGUUCCUUUUUGAUUAAUCCUAUAGGUCGAUGGUUGCUUGGAGCUUCGAAACUUUCUCCUUCACAUUCUCUGGAUUUUCCUUAGAGGUAUCUUUUACAGAGCAUUAUUUUUCUUUUAAAGAAGAUUCACUAGAUUGACCUUCUUCAAUGACUUUAUCUGCGACAACCUUUAAAGAAGGUUUAUUAGAUUGUAACAUCAAUAACCACAUUUACAAAUUCAAUAAUGCUUUGAGUUCUUAUAUCAUAAACACAGAAUACUCUGUUAUUAUUGGAAUAACUAAGAAAAACAGCUCCAUCACUUUCUGAAUCAAAUUUACCAAGAUAUUCACAAUCAUUCAAUAUAAAGCACAUACUCCCAAAAAAUAUGAAAGUAAACUAAAUUAGGUUUUUUAUCCCUCCAUAUCUCAUAAGGAGUUUUCGUAGUACUUGGACGAAGAUAAACAUGAUUAAUACUGUACCAAGCAGUGUUAAGUGCUUCAGCCCAUAAUCUCUUUGAAAGCUUCUUUGAGUUUAACAUAUCUUAAGCCAUUUCCUGUAAGGUCUUAUAUUUCCUUUCUACAAUACCAUUUUGUUUUUGAGUAAUAGGUGAAGAAAACUCAUGUGAAAUUCGAUGUAAAUUUCAAAUUUCUUCAAAACUAGAGUUUUCAAAUUCUCUUCCAGGAUGAUUCUUAAUUAUGACAAUAUUGCAAUUUUGUUCAUUUUUAAUAUUUUCACAUAGUUUUCUGAACACAUCAUAUGUAUCUAAUUUCUCUCUAAUAAAGUAGACUUAUGUGUACGUAGAAAAGUCAUAUACACACAAAUACAUAGCUCUAAAAUUUCAACUUGCAUUGGUCCCAUUGUUAACAUGUAUUUGUCUAUAGUAUUGAUUUUGAUGGUAACAAACUUUAUAUGUUUUUUAUUAAAGAUGUUGGAGUUUUUAUUAAUAAACAAUUUCUUAAAAGCCAUAUAAUAUUUCUAAAUAUUUUCAUGAAAUCUGGGUAUUUGUUAACUUUAAUUGAAAAAUCAUUUCCUGCAAAAUUCUGUUAAAAUUAUGAUUUUGGAAUUAAACGGUGAACAGUUAAUAUCAAAACAGUUAACCGAUGAUUUUCAGAGAGUCAUAAAUCCUUAACUUUGAACCGUUUAACAAAAAUGGAUAAGCUCAUUUUGUUUUGCAUGUUACUGGGAAUGACCGACGAACCAUUAACUGCAAACAACUAACCGACCUUGAAUCGUUUAGCAAGAACGGAUAGCCAAAAUUUGUUUUGCAGGUCUUUGGAAAUUAACGACGAACCGAUAAUGGCAAAUGGUUAACUGAUUAUUUAAAAUUCAACUCAACGAUCACUUGGACCAGUCAAAACAGUUAACUGAAAACAUUUAAUGGCGAUCCGAUUUCUAGCAGAAAGUCAAUAACGGCUAUUUUUCAGCUCAACAAUAAAUAAGCUCAAUCAAAUUCAAACAAGAAUUGAUAAAAGAGUUAUCAUUGAGCUUGUAAUUGCGAAUACAACGUUCAUUAAGCCUUAAAUUUGUUCUUGUUUCAUUUAUUCACGCAUUGAGUAUUCAUUUGUAAUCAUAUAUAUUGUGUAAGAGAAAAACACAUUUGUAAUAUUUGUUUUGAGUGAUUGUAAGUGUUGGGAUACACUUGGGUUAAGAGAUUGGAGAUAAUUUCUUGGUGUAAAGGUUGAUUGACACCUGUGAAGUCAAUUGUAAUUGUUCUUAAAGCCUUCAAGGCUUUAAGAACAAUUACAAUUGACUUCACAAGUGUCAAUUUAAUUAGUGGAAUCCUCAGGGCUGGUGAGUUUGGAGGCGUGGACAUAGGCAAGGUUGGCCGAACCAUGUAAAUAUCGCUGUGUUUGAAUCUCUCUUCCCUUAUCUCUUUACAUUUUGGUUGAUUUAUUUAUUAUUGUUUUAAAUUUAUUUAAUAUUUGCAUUAAAGUUUUAUUCAAGCAUUGUAUAUUUUUAGAAACCAAAUUCACCCCCCUCUUGGUUGCUUAGAUAGUAUUUCAUUUGGUAUUAGAGCAAAGUUCUCUUAUUAGGACUUAACCGUCUAGAGUAAAAGAUCAAUGGUAACCCAAAAUGACUUUACCUUUAGGGAAGGACAAUACACAACUAGGCCACCAUUCUUUGAUGGUAAUGAUUACCCAUAUUGGAAAACUAGAAUGAGAAUUUAUUUGCAAGCUUUAGAUUAUGAAAUUUGGGAAGUUGUUUGUGAUGGUCCAUUCAUGCCUAUGAUUAAAAAUGAAGCAGGAGAUGAUAUUCCAAAACCUUCAAGUCAGUAGAGUGAGUUAGAAAAGAAAAAUAUAUCUUUAAACUCCAAGGCAAUGAAUGCUUUGUUUUGUACUCUUGAUAAGACUAAAUUUCAUAGAGUGUCUAGUUGUGAGAGUGCUCAAGAAAUAUGGAACAAAAUUAAAGUUGUCUAUGAAGGGAAAAAAUAAAGUUAAAGAGUCUAAGAUUAUUAGAUACACUAGACAAUAUGAAUUGUUCCAAAUGGAACAAAAUAAAAGUAUUUAUUCCAUGUAUACUAGGUUUACAAAUAUCAUGAACACAUUAGGAGCCCUAGAAAAAACCUUUUCAAACAGCGAAAAAGUUAAGAAGAUCAUUAGAUUUUUGCAAAUGGAAUGAAGACCUAAAAGAACCACCAUAAUGAAAGCUAAAGAUUUAAUCACUUUGCCUAUUGAUGAUCUAAUUGGUUCUCUUAUUUCAUAUGAGGAAGAUUUAGCAGCAUAAAAAGGUAAUGAGGAAAAGAAAAAGAAGAGCAUCACACUCAAGGCAUCAAAACAUGAGAGUGAUGAGGAAAGUGAGCUUGAUGAUGAAGACAUGGCUUUGAUGGCUAGUAGGUUUAGAAAAUUUUUCAAGAAAACCAAUAAGCGGAAAAGAUUCCGAAACUACAAGAACCAAAAGGAGAAGAAAGACCCAAUCACCUUUUAUGAAUGUAAGAAGCUUGGACACAUACGAUCAGAAUGUCCUCUUCUAAAUAAGCUCAAGAAAAAAGCAACGGUAGCCACAUGAGAUGACAACGAUGAGGUAACAAGUAAUGAUGAAGAGCCACAAGAAAUGUCAAAUCUCCCUCUCAUGGCAAUUGGGGAAGAAUCGUUUAACGAAUUCAAUGAGGUAAAUGAUCAUACCUAUGAUGAAUUAUAUGAUGUUUUUAAGGAAUUGCAUGAUGAUUAGAUGAAAAAUGGUAAAAAAGGUGCAUGUCUUAAAAAGAAAGUUGCAGAGCUCACAAAUGAAAAUGAAUCUCUAAGUGCAAAGAUUGCAUGCUUAGAAUUAGAGAAUAAAACUUUGUAUGAUAAAGUUGUAUUAUCAAAUGAGAAACCAAGCACUUCACAUGAGCAUCUAGAGUCACGUAUAGAUGAUUUGAAAUAGGAAAAUGAAAUACUCAAGAAAAAGAACAUUUAACUUAGUGAUGUUGUCUUAAAAUUUACAAAUGGGCAAAAGGUAUUGGAAAACUUACUUAAUUCACAAAAAUUUGUGUUUAAAACAAAAGUUUUAUAAUAAUUAUUUUGGAAGAGCACCUCUACUAAUAAUCAAGUUGUAUGCCACUGAUAACUCUAGGAAAUAAGAGUUAUUACAUCAAUUCUAGACUUAAAUCAAGAUCACUUAGAGAACAAAUAAGGUAUUUUUAUUACAUUUUGGUUACAUUUUGCAUAAACAUUCAUUUUAGUUGAGUUUUAAUAAGUUUUGCUUGAAUCAAAGUAAUUUGUGCUAAAAACAGAUGCAUAAUUGUAGGUUCUCGGAAAGUCUUAAUUCAUGAGGGGAUGUUGAGACAUUAGAUGAGCAAGAGGAGGAAAGAAGACGGCCACAAAAGAAGAAAAGCACAAUCAAGAAUAAUGCAGUGUUGUUGCGGAUGUUAGAGCAACCCGUGCUGUAACAAUCUGGAAGCAAUGCGGGAGAAAACUUAGGCGCGAGUCAGCAUAUGUUUCCUAAUUUAACGCAUGAACGCUCAUGGGCUUUUGUUUACCCUAAUUUGCAAUAUAAAAGGGAGGCAACACCACAUAGAAAGGCGGUAAGAGAAUUAUCAUUAGAAUAAUUACAAGGAAAGAAGAAGAAGAUCAUAAUUGAAGAGUGUUGUUUCGGAAACAUUAGAGAAUCGUGUAGAAUUAUUUGGAUUUAUCUUUCACUGUGCUCAACUUAUAUUUAUCUUCUUCCUUUAAUUGUUUUGAUGUAUUCCGAGAUUAAUAUAUUUAUGUUUAUUUUUCUCAUUCGGAAUAUGAACUAAAUUUACUUGUAGUUGAGUGACAAAUAAUCCAAUGGGUUCUUGACUGUUCUUAUAUGUUGUUAUGGGAUUGCUGUAGCAUUGUACUCUAGUAGUUUUUAUGAAUAUAACUGUUAUUUCGGUUGACCACCCAUUUAAUAGCUUCAGUUAAGAUAGAGCAGCAAAAUGGCAUGUCUUAGCGGAUAGUAUUAGAGUACUACUUGAUCUUAAGUCGAGUUUCCUGGAUUAAGUUAUCUUGAAUCCCAUAAGGGCAAUACUUGAAGUUAAGAUUUGUGACACACUAGACAUAGGUGUUGACCUUGUAAGGUGGAGAGAUUAAAGGUUAUAAUGUCGUACCAUAAAUAUAUUAGCAACUGGUCAUUGUUAAUAGAUUUAAAGGUACGAGACUUCCAACAUGCGAUAGCUGAGGAUGCAGAUUUAUUAUGUCUAGUGCUGCAGCACUUAUUGUAACAACUGGUACUAACUUGAUAAACAACAGUCACCCAAUUAGGAGAGUUUGAUCAUUCAACUGCUAUAAUCUCAAUUGAAUCUUUGACACAUUUAACCUAGUUUAUUUUAUUACAAUAUUGUUUUAUUUAAAUCUCUUGCGAUCAUUAAUUACGAUAGGAAUUACUUGACAAUUGUUUGUUUCGGUCUUAAGUUGAUUUGUACUAUUGUGAUUGCUUUAGCAUUUCAGGUAGCAUCAAUCCUUGUGGAGACGAUUUUGAAUACUCAUCACUUUAUUACUUAUUGUGUAUACUUGCACAUUGGCAUUGGUAGUAAUUGCUUAUAAAAAUCAUACAACGGCCACCAUUGUAAUCAAAAUGGUCACAUGAAGUAUAGAUUUCUAGUUAAAAGAAAUGCAUAUUAUCGCGUAAAAUGUGUUUGGGUUCCAGAAUGAACCAUUGCUAACACUCAAGGACCCAAAAAGGUUUGGAUACCUAAGACUUGAGAUUUCUUUUGCAAAGGUUGAAGAAGAAGAAAAAUAAAUGGCAAUUGGACAGUGGUUGUUCAAGGCAUAUGACCAAAACCAAACUUGGGUUUCAAGCUUCACCAAAAUUGAAAAUGGUGGAAAUUUUUCCUUUGGAGACAAUUCAAAGGGAAAGAUCCUUAGAAUUGGUAUUAUUGAUAAAGUAUCUUCAACUCUCAUUGAAAAUAUAUGUUUGGUUGAAAAUUUGAAACGCAAUUUGAUUAGUAUUCGUUAAUUGUGUGGCAAAGGUUAUAAAAUUAUUUUUGAUAAAACUAAAUGUGUUAUUGAGAAUGCAUGUGAUAACAAAAUUUUGUUUAUUGGAAAUAGAUGUGGUAAUGUUUAUACCAUUGAUAUAGAUUGUGCACCUGCCCAUGAUAAAUGUUUUUUCGCAUUGCAUGAUGAUUGUUGGUUACGGCAUAAAAGAUUAGGACAUAUAAGCAUGGAUUUCAUUUCAAAAAUUUUGAAAAAUGAUGUGGUUAAAGGUCUUCUAAAAAUCGGAUUUUAAAAAUAUAGAAUUUGUAAAGCAUGCCAAUUUGGUACACAAAUCAAAACCUCUUUAAAAUUAAAAAUCAUACUUCCACUUCGAAACCUCUCCAACUACUUCACAUAAACUUAUUUUGACCUUCAAGGUAUGCUAGCUUAAGUGGCAAGUAUUAUGCUUUUGUAAUUGUUGAUGAUUUUUCAAGAUACACAUAGGUAUUGUUCUUAGCUAAUAAGGAUGAUGCUCUUGAUGCUUUUAAAGUGUUUUGUAACAAAAUUCAAAAUGAAAAAGGGUAUGGUAUUGCAUGCAUUAGAAGUGAUCGUGGAGGAGAGUUUGAAAAUCAUGCAUUUGAAACAUUUUACAAUAAUUUAGGCAUUUUACAUCAAUUUUUAUCACCUAGAACUCCACAACAAAAUGGAGUUGUUGAGAGAAAGAAUAGGUCUAUUCAAGAAAUGGCUAGGACCAUGUUGAAUGAAAAUUCUUUGCCUAAGUAUUUUUGGGCCGAGAUCGUCAACCCUGCUUGUUAUGUUUUAAAUCAUGUGUUAAUUAUACCUCAUCUAAAUAAAACUCUCUAUGAGCUUUAGAAAUAUAGAAAACCCAACAUUGAUUAUUUUAAUGUUUUUGGAUGCAAAUGUUUUAUGUUGAAUACAAAAGAUAACCUUGAAAAUUUUGAUUCAAAAUAUGAUGUUGACAUCUUUCUUGGGUAUUCAAACUCAAGCAAAGCUUAUAGAUUUUAUAAAAAAAAAGAACUUUAGUUUUGGAAGAAUCAAUGCAUGUUACGUUUAAUGAAUUUAACCCCUCCUCUAUAGAGAAAGUUGUUGUUAAUGAUAACGCAGAUGAAGAACUACAAGAAGAGUCAUCAACCAAAAGGAUGCAACACUAGGAAAUCAAGAAGAGCAACAUGAAGAAACAAAUGAAGAGCAAAAUUAAGGUGCUUCUCAAUCAUUCCCCAAGGAGUGGAGGUAUUUUUCUUUUCAUCCUAAAGACUUAAUUGUAGGAAAUCCCUUACGAGGCGUAACAACUAGAUCAUCAUUCAGGAAUACAUGUGAGGCAUGCUAUAUUCAUAGCUCAAAUUGAACCAAAAUCCUUUACGGAUGCGGAAAAUGAUGAAUCUUGGAUUAUGGCAAUGCAAGAGGAGUUAAAUCAAUUUGAGAGAAACAAUGUGUGGGAAUUAGUUCCCAAAACCGGAACAUCAAUCCAUUAUAGGCACUAAAUGGGUAUUUAGAAACAAAAUGAAUGAAUUUGGUGUGGUGUUAAGAAAUAAAGCUAAAUUAGCGGCUGAAGGUUACAACCAAGAAGAGAGAAUUGAUUUUGAUGAAACAUUUGUGCCUGUAGCUAGAUUAGAAUCCAUUAGGAUGCUCUUAGCAUUUGCAUGCCAUGAAGAUUUUAUUUUAUAUCAAAUGGAUGUUAAAAGUUCAUUUUUAAAUGGUUAUAUCAUGGAAGAAGUUUAUGUGCAACAACCCCCUGGUCUUGAAAAUGAAAAAUUUCCAAAUCAUGUUUAUAAGUUGUCAAAAGCAUUGUAUAGAUUAAAACAAACACCUAGAGCUUGGUAUGAUAGGCUUAAAAUUUUCUUGUUAGAUAAUGAUUUUUCAAUGGGAAAAGCAGAUACCACUCUUUUCAUUAAGAACAAGAAUCAAGAUAUUCUCAUUGUUCAAAUUUAUGUUGAUGCUAUUAUAUUUGGAUCUACUAAUGAGUUUUUGUGCAAGGAAUUUUCAUCUUGUAAGAGUAAGGAAUUUGAAAUGGGCAUGAUGGGAGAAUUAAAGUACUUUCUUGAAUUUCAAAUAAAAUAAGCCGAAGAAGGAAUCUUCAUCCAUCAAGCCAAAUAUGUAAGAGAUUUACUAAAGAGAUUCGGACUUAAAGAUGGAAAGAUAAAAAGUACUCUAAUGAGCUCAACCAUCAAGCUUGACAAGGAAGAAAGUUGAUGUCAGAACAUAUCGAGGUGUGAUCGGAUUCUUACUUUACUUGAUUGCUAGUAGGCCUGAUAUUAUGUUUAGUGUGUGCUUAUGUGCAAAAUUUCAAUCAUGCCCUAAAGAAUCUCAUUUGCUUGCCCUAAAAAGCAUUUUUCAUUAUUUGAGUGGAACUAUAGAUCUUAGCCUUUGGUAUCUUAGGGGAACACAUAUAAAUUUAACAUGUUAUUUGGAUGCCAAUUUUACUAGAUAUAAGGUUGAUAGGAAAAGCACUAGUGGAACAUGUCGCUUGUUAGGUCACUCUCUAGUCUCUUAGUUUAGCAAGAAAUGAAAUUCGGUUGCACUAUCAACUACCAAGGCUGAGUAUAUUGUAGCCCAAAGUUGUUGUGCUCAAGUUUUAUGGAUGAAACAAACACUUAGAGACUAUGGCAUUUACCUUGAUAAAAUACCUAUCAUGUGUGACAAUACCAGUGCCAUUAAUCUUUCAAAGAAUCCUAUAAAACACUUAAGAACGAAGCAUAUAGAGAUUAGACAUUAUUUCUUGAGAGAUCAUGUUUAAAAAGGAGAUAUUGCAUUAAAACUUUUACAACCGAGAAAUAACUUGCCGAUAUUUUCACAAAACCCCUUAAUGAAGAACAAUUUACUAAAAUUAGGCACGAGCUUGGAAUCAUUAAAAUUGCACAAUAGCAUAGCUUUAUAUGAUAUCAAGUCUAUUUCACUUUCUUGAUGUGAUUGCUUAUUGGUUGUAUGAAUUAUGUGCAUUCCUAAAUCAUGCAUUAAACUAGCACUUAAGAUAUUACAGAUCAAUGAAAUGAUCUUGGAAUAAAUUGAUUGCUAGCCAAAAGUUAAAACAAAUGUGUGAAAUCAUAGUAAAAAUAAACGGCUAACCGUUUGGUGAUAAACAAUUUACCGUUUAAAUCUAGAAACUAGGAUAUGGUAUAUGAAAAUUAUCGGCAAAUCACUCGCUAAAAACGGUGCGCCGACUAAAAAUAGAGAGCUAUCUUUUAUUAGUCCUUCACCGUUAAUGUCAACCGGAUCACCGUUUUCCAUUAAGAGGUCUCUAGAAUUUAUCGGCUCGCCGAUUAUAGAAAAUGUCUCGCCGUAUUCGUACAAUAUAAAAAAUUCCUAGUUUUGCUUCUUCACUUCAACUUAGCCUUUCACCGUUUUCUCCAUAACCGCGAUACCCAAGCUCUUUCUCUCUCUCCAAUACUUUAUUUUUCUUGCACUUUCCUACCAAAUUACUUCGAUAGAAACAUUUCUAAACAUCUUUAAGCUACUUUUACUAAUUCAAAACAACAAAUCAAGCCCUAAAUUAAAAUGCUAAAGGAAGCCAAUCGGUUUUCUUCGUUUUUUGCUGGACUUUUGUCAUCGUUUGGCCAAAUUGAGCCUCCUAAUCACAUCCUCAACUCUCCAUUAUCCCUUUAAUCGAUUCCAUUUCCUUUAUUUUUCAUCUUUUUCAAAAAUGUCCAAUAUCCUCAAGUGUGUCCAUGGUUGAAUUAACAAGGUGUGCUCGGAAGAGAAAAGGUGUUCCCGGUAGGAAUCCAAUACCAACACGGGAAACCUCCGAAUUCGAAAGGAUCCAUUUCUCCACAGCUUUGAUGACUAAAUGCUUCAAAGACUGCUUUAUGGGAAGAAAGGUAAUUGAUUCUUAUUAUGUGGAUUUUGAGGAUUUUAAGGAGUUGGUGGUAUGUGGAAGAAGUGUUAGAAACAUGCUAUUGCCUUCAGAGUCGGCUUUAGAUUUUGAUGAUCGAGUAUAUCCUAAUCUAAUCCGUGUUUUUUACUCGAACAUAGCAAUUUCCGCAACUAGAUUAGAUAGGAUGGUUACUCAUGUCGGGGGUGUUCUUAUAGAAUUCGAUAUUGAGGACUUAAACAAUAUCCUAGGUAUUCCAAAUGUUCACAAUAUUUAUACUUUUAGAAAGGAAUUCUCAUUUGUUGAUUUUGUUCAUCCUUAUGGUGUUUGGAAUAUUUGUAGGCAUCGAGACCUAACAAAUGAUAUUUGUGCUCUUCCAUUCCAAUCACAACUGUUACCUUUACAAGUUAGGAUCCUCCAUACCAUAUUACAACAUAUUGUUACUCCUAGGAAGUGUCAUUCGGAUGAAGUGACGAGGAUGGAUGUCGGAUUAUUGGAUAGUCUUCUUGAGGGGCGACCUAUUAAUCUUGGGUAUGUUAUUUUGAGGCAUAUGUUAAGUACUCCUGUAGUGAACCACCGCUUGCUUUCAUAUGGCAGUAUCAUUUCUAAGAUAUUGUGACAUUUUUCAAGUGCCUCUUCCAGAUACAGUCUAUAAAGAGACUAAAAGGAUUGGUCCGGAAGCUAUGACAAGCAUUGAUUUUUCUCGGAAGAAAGGAGAAUGGAUCAAGACCUCUAAUUCUAAGAACCAAGACACCCUUGUUGCUUUGGAAGAUGAUUGCAUGCUUAACGAUGUUUAUCCUUCUGAUCAACUACCAGAUUCAAGGGUAAAAUUAUCUUUUCACUUAGAUUCUAUUGAAUAUUAUAAUAGUGUUAACAUUUUGGUGGACGGUAAUACAAUUUACAAACUUAGGGUGAAAAAUCAAAUAAAUUCAAAUUUUUGUAUUAUUUUUUAUAGCAAGGUAAACUUAGUCUAUAUAGUAAAUAAUUUUCCUUUAUUUAUUUAUGUUUGGGCCCAAUUUUUAGCCCAAAUGGACUACAAUAUUAAUGAAUUUGUGUUCAAAAGGGAUUGGAGUAGGGAUGCGAAUUGAUCCAUCCAAGUUGGAUUUCCAUAUAUCCAAUUUAAUUGGAUUAGAUAAUAUCUAUCCGAUGUAUUUUAGAUAUGGAUAUGAUUUUUUUUUUUAAACAUCCAAUUAGAUAUUGGAUAGAUAUGAAUAUUAGAUGUGAAUCCAUUUAUCUGAUUGGGCUAAAAAAUAAUAUUUUAUAAAAUUAAAAUGAAGUGAAGAAUUAUAUUUGACAUAAUAUUCAUUUACCCGAAUGUCAUACCCUUUUCUAUUUUUUUUUUAGCAAAUCCUAGGUUAUCUCUUUUUACUUCACACGUCAGCUACUAGUUGCUCGCGAGCCAUUGAUCACACCGGUUGUUGCUUAUUCACGGGACAUUGAUAUUAGUUUAUUCCCGACUUUGCUAUCUCCUCUUCAGCGUUACAGCUUCUUCUUUUUCUUAUUUAACAUAUCUUUCUUUUUAUCUUUCUCUCAGUGCAUUAAUAACUACAUGUGUACAUAGCUUUUAUUUUAUGUCUGUGUUUUGAUAUCAAUUGAUGGUCCAAAUGUUGCUUGAACUGUGGAAGUUUUCUUCUUUGCUUGAGUUAAAUGAAUCAUUUGAAAUAUACCAAUAAUUUGGUGUUCGCAUGUUAAUUUAUGGAUAAUUCGACAUAAUUCACAUGUAGAAAUUAUUUUUGAAAUUUAUGGGCUAAAUAAAUUUUAUGGACUAAAAAUUCAUUUCAAACACCUGCCAUUUCUUGUAAACUAAUACUUACUUGGUAAAAAUGGUUAUUGUUUAAAUUACUUUUAUUUGUGAGUGUAUAAUUUGAUGAAUAGUGGAUUUGAAAUAUUUCAUAAACAACAUUUUGGUCAAUAUUUGUGAGUGCAUGUUCAUGCUAACACAUGUAGUAGAAUUUAGUAUGGAUUGUUGAUUUUUAAUCCCACAUCGUAGUAGAUUUCAUCCUAAUAUAUUAGAGCCCUUAGUUUGUACUCAGAAUUAGAUAUGAGCUCAAAUGAAAGAUAUCAAACUCAUCUGAGUUCCACACUUUGUUUGAUAACAUUUGUUUACAUUCUAUUUCAAAACUAUUUUUUUAAGCAAAACAAAAAAAGAAAAAUGAAAUUCCUAAAGAUAAGCUAAUAACAGAGAAGAAAUAAAUAGAGAAAUGACUAAUAAUGAUGAUGAAUAGGAGACAUAGCCAUUAGAAGAAUAAUUUACAAAGAAGGCUUAUUAGAAGAAUUUUUUUUUUGUUUUUUAGUUUAAAAUUAAUUUGUAAUUUCAAAUGAUAGUUUUUUUUGUGAAUUUGUAGUUAUGAUAUUUUUUAUUUGGAUUUGUUAUUUCUAAUUUAGUAUUAAAAUCUGAGAUUGAUUUAACUAUUUUAUAUUAUUAUUAUUUUAGUUCAUAUUUUUUGCUUUCUUUUCAUAUGAUAAAAACUAAAUAUUCAUGGGUAUUCAUAUCUAUAUCCAUAUCAAAUUUUAAAAAUUAGAUAUGAAUAUGGACAUAUCCAUCAUACCUUAUUAUGAAUUUACAUUUGGAUGGAUACUUGCCAUCGAUAGAUUGGAGUAGCUUGAUCAAAUGGAGCUCGACGAACUGGAUAUUGGUAGGAUGGUGUGUGUAUGUGUGUGUUGGGGGGGGGGGGGGGGGGGUGUAUUUAUGUAUGCAUGUGCGUAUGUAUAUGAGAAUUGGCAAUCAGCAAGAAAAUACUUUAUUAUAUGCUUAACAAAAGUGAUGGGCGCGUUUGAUAUCUCGAAAACAACAUCACCAUCCAUUAAUAACACUCCUCUUACAUUUUUGAACGCCGUCUUUUAAAGGAGGUAAAAUGGGUUAAUGGGUUGAAUUUGUGUCAAAUCCUAAAUAACUUAUUGUUAAGUUUUGGAAUUUAAAUUCAAUCUAUUUAUUAAACAAAUAAUAAUAUAAAUUAUUUUUUGAUUUGAUUCCUUUAUCUUUAAGUAACAAAUGAAUCGAAUCGAUUUUUGAUUGGUUUAAUUUGUUCAUUUAUAAUCAUACUUUAUUUUUGUCUUUUUCAUCAGUUAAUUACAAAACUAGUGUUACCGUUUGAUGAUUUUUGUAUUAUAUUUAAAAUUAUAAAUUUGACUAAGAAUCUUAAUUAACAAAUAUUAAUUUUUGAAUAUGAAUUCCUUAGGAAGCAAAGAAUCAGAAUUUUAUUUCAAAAUAAAAUGCUAAACUCCGAAAUAAUCAAAAUGCUAAACUCGGAAAUAAUCUACUCUCCUAUAUCAAUCGUCCUUAGUGCCCGGGAUUUUUCUCUAGGACUAGCUAAGUUUUUGACAUAAUAUUUCUUAUUUUACCAUUUUCUCUCGGAAUAUGAUAUAAUAAUAAACAAUCACUCACCAUCAAUGAUUUGUAGAUGAAGAAGAUAGUGUUGGGAAAAUAUGCUCUUUAAAAGCAUAUGUGUUUAUUUAAUUGUAAUAAAUAUUUUUUCUGAUUAAUAAAAUUAAUGAGGUAUUUUAUUCAAAUAUCUUAAUUGCAUUAAUAUUUAUAUUAAAUUCCAUUUAAUCAUAUUAUAUGUAUUUAUGUGAUCACUGUUAGCCUAAAGGGCUAUAAAUAAUAUAAUUUUGAUGAUAACAAACAUAUGUAUUGAGUGAUUUAAUAAAUAUUGUAUUUCACAUUUUUACUAGUUUUUUAAGGAUAAUAUUUAUGCAAGUGAAUCAAGUGAAAUCAAGAUUGAAGACACUCAACGGACAACGGUGACAUCAAGAAUAUAGUUUAGAGCUCAACGAACAAAUUAGUGCGAUAAAUUCUUGUAAAGCCGGUAUGAUUUAAUUGAUGCAUGAUUUAGUAUUUGAGAAGCUCAAGAGAUUAAUUUAAUUAAAUACCUUUCAUAAGCUAAAAGGUUUUAUUUUUAUAAAGCAAAGUAUUUUGUGGAAUUGAGUAAUUUGGACUUAAAUGCUAAGUUUUGAAAUCUUUGAUUUUAAUAAGUAUUAUUAUUAAAUUUCGGAGUUUGAUCUUUUUACAAACAUUUGAAAUGUUUUGGGCCAAACUAUAAUUUAUGAAUAUUUUGGACUAAAGUGAAAGGUUUUGAGAACUUUGAAAAAUAUGGGUAUUAUGUUGAAAAGGACCUUUAUGCGAAACAAUAAAAUCUUUGGGGCUAUAUCAUAAUUUUGAAAAGUUUGGAAAAGAUAACUAUAUUUCGGAAGUUCUGAAAUUGGACCUAUUUGUAAAGUUUUCUGACGUUUUGGGCUAUAGUAUAAUUAUAAAUAAUUUUGGGCCAAAGUGUAAUUUAAGUGAACAGUAUUACUGUAGUAAAAUUCAAAAAUAAUGGUAAUAUCACUAUUCCUGAGCGGCGAGCCGGAUAAACAAGCAGCUAGCCACUUGGACGCUGGAAUUUGCCUAUAACGGCUAGUUUUUGGGCUUUCACUAUAAAAACUCAACUCAAACUUCAUUUUAAGAACUAACACAAGGAAAAACAAUAUCAUAUAACAUAUAUUGAGCUUCCAUUUCAUAAAUCAUCGUUUGUUGAAUCAUCAUUGAGCUAUAAUUUGUUUAUCCACUCUUAGAGAGAGUUUUUGUUGCAAUUUUUAUUUCUCAUCAAAUUGUGAGUUUACAAGUGUGGGAAACACUUGGGGUGAAAAGAUUGGGGAUAUAAUCUCUUGUUGUAAAGGUUCAUUGACACCUUGGAAGUCAAUUGUAAACAUUUGAAGCCUUGGGAGGCUUGGAUAGUGAAAUCCUCGAGCUCGGUUGGCUUGGAGGCGUGGACAUAGGCGGGGAUAGCCGAACCACGUAAAAAUCCUUGUGUUCGUUUUCUCUUCCCUUACUCUUUUAAUAUUGUGCUUGAAUGAAUUUAUUGUUUUGAUUUGAUUAAGGCAAUAGAUUAAAUUGUUGUGCGAAUUGUAUUGCAUAAAUUUUUUAUAUCCCAAUUCACCCCCCCUCUUGGGUUGCAUAACUUGUAUUUCAAUCACCAUGUGGAUUCGCAGAAGACAUAAAUACAAGUUAUCUUAUGAUUAAAUAAAUUUAGUUCACAGUUGAUAAAUAAAGUUGGACACUUUAUUUAGGUAUAGACUGUAAUGAAUUCAUUGAAUGAUUUGUCUUAAUCCUGUAUGAAUUUAUUGAUGUAGUACGACUACAUUGAACAUGAUCACAUAUGAGAUUUAAUUAACCAUGAAAUGACUGUCAGAUUUAUUAAAUCUCAUAGGCAUUGAUUUCACUGUAAUCUUAAUCUUGAGUUAGUUAUGAUUUCAUGAUUGUAAUUGUUAUUCCAUUUGAGUUACCAAUGGGGAUGACACAAAAUUGUGGCAAGAUUACCUGGUAUCUUGGUGGGAGCAAUUAUGAGUAUUGAAGUUAUGGAUUAACAAUAUAGAAUUUGUACAACACAUCUCUUGAUGGGUUUUUGGCAUUUGAUCAUAGAAUUCUCUGGUCAGAGUGUGCCAACAUAUUUAGUAUGUUGAAAAUGAUCAUUAAAGAAAACCAGUAAGUAUCAAGGAAUAAGAUGUUAUUAAAUUGAUUGGACAGUUGAGAUAUCAAUUUAAUUAACGAUAUGGUACAAACGAUUUUGCAGUAAAGAAAUCAAUGUGGCUUGGGACGAAUUAUUAUUCGAGCAUACAAUUAUGGAGGUCAAUUCCAAUCUUUUAGUGCAGUAGAUUUGGAAUUAAAUAAUUAGGCUAGUUUAAUUACAGGGCUGAUUGUUAUAGCCACUAUUGUAUGUUCCCAAAUGAUUCUCGGGUUAGCUCAUUUAAUUGAUUGCAACACUACUGGACUAAUAAGUAAGAUAACUAGCUAUUUGGGUCAAAAGCCUAAAUAUAUCUUUUAGUGGGAGGCUCCAUUUAAUUAGCUUGUAUAUAAGGGGCCUUAUGUUAUUUUACAAGGUAGGUCCCCUAUAGAAAAAGCAAGUAACGUAAGUUUUAUUUUUUGAUUAUUUGGAGCCUAGGGUUUUCACUAAAGGAAGAUAUAAAAUGCUUAUUUUCUCUAAAGAAAAAGAGGGCAGCCACUUUAUACAGAUCAGAGAAAAAGAUUUUUCUAUCUAUUGUUGAGAGAAAAAUUUUCUCGUGCUAGUUGCUUUGGUAGUGAUAAAGGUGCCCACACAUCAAGUGCAGAUCGAACCUAAGUCAUAACCUGGAAGAUCAUUGGUAACAGUUCGUGAUCUAACAAGCGUGGUGGUGAUGGAUCGUGAUCAAAUAAGAGUGGUGGUGACGGAUCGUGAUCUAGGAGCCUAAAUUACUCCAGCGGAAAAAGCCAAAUCAGAUUUUUAAGGUACGAUUUCUGGAUUACGUAUUCCUAUAUAUUAUAUAAGAGCGGUCCUAAAAAUGUUUUAUAAUAUUUUAAAAACCUGAUUUUUCCCCAACAGAUACAGCAAAUGCAACACAUGAAAUACAUUUGGUGCAAAAAUGUGGGCUCUAAUCAGAAAAUGAUUAACCAAAAUACCAACACGAAGAAAAGUUUUUAUUGUUCGUAAACAUGCAACAUCAAUGCAACUUUUAUUAUUACGACUUUAUUCAUUUAUUAAAGCAUGCGUAUAACUUUAAAACGAAACAAAUUUUAAUUCAACUUAUUUAAUUUAUUUUAAUUUCAAUUUAUAUGAUUUACUUAAUUUAUAAUAAAUUUAAAAAAAAGUGUAUUCGAAAAUAAAAUAAAGUAAUAUUAUUAAAGAAUGGUGCCUAGUGGUUAUUACUUAUUAUAAAAUAAUACGGAAAUAAAUAAUAUAUAUGUUUAUUUUAGUAGGGAGAAAACUAACAAUCUCUUUUUUUAUAGAAAAUUUAUCCUUAUAUCAUCAAUGUAUGGUUUAUUCAUUACAGUCCCAUGGUUGGCUUCUUUAAUUCUACAUAUUUUAUGCUAUAAUCGAGUCAAGUUCAUAGAUUGUUAUGAACUAUCAAUUCUUUGUACAAAUGAUUUAAUUUUUUCUUACUGGAAUUGAACUAUCACAAUGAUUUAAUCUCCUUCGUAAUUUAAAAUGAAAAUGUUGACACCAAUCAGGAAAAUGAUGAACCAAAAUAGCAACUUGAAGAAAAAAAGUAUCUAUAUAUAUAUAAAGUUGGGACUUGAGGAGGUGAUGUGGCAUUACUAUUUCUCGUCUUUGUAUAUUUUCUAUUAUCUAAUAAAUAGAAAAAUUUUCUUUUAAAUUUGACUUUUCAUCUUCUCAUAAUUAAUUUGAUUGUUAUUACAUAAUAACAAUUAUGUAAAUAUUUUAAUAAGACAUAUUCUUUAUAAUGAACAUCCAAGGGGGAGUGUUAUGAAUUUAUUAAAAUAAAUAUAGAUGUUCAUAACAUAUAUCUCUUAGUCUCCCCACUAUCUCUCGUUAGCAACCUUUAGCUUCCCUAUAACUCCCACUAUCUCACAAGUGUAAAUUAAGAAAAAAGGAUAAUACUAAAUUUUUUUUUCAAAGCUGCGUGAAGCGCGGUUCUAUUUUCUAGUUUAUUAUUCAUAGACAUGCAAAAUUGAUGCAACGUUUAUUAUUACAACUUAAUUUAUUCUUUUAUUAAAGCAUGAGUACAAGCUUAAAAGAAAACAAACUUUAUUUUUAACUGGAAGCAUUUGCGGAGCUCUCAGCAGCUCGAUCUUCAAACCUUUUUAAACACAACUUUGAACGGAAUAUCACUCAAAGCCAGACGCCGCACCCCACCAUUAAUAAAAAUGCCAACAUCUCUGCACAAACCUCUGCAGAAAUUACAAACCGAAGGACAGUAGACAAGCUUGUAAUCACCAAAAAACUUCUCAAUCUUAAACCAAUUUCUCAUGGUUCUGGGGCCGGGAUUGCCUUCAACUCCCCCAGUUGUCACAAGCCACUGCCCAAAUGCCGCAUCAAAAUUGUCAAGCUUCCACACUGUGGACUGCGCACAACUUGUUGCAGCGUCCAAUUUGAUGUUUAUGUCAGUGGACUCACGAACAACGCCUUUUUUAGGGUUAACGGGCGAAAAUGUUACCGGCAAACCAUUUUUAAAUGAAUGCUGCUCUUGAACAACAUCUAGGGGACAUGUCUUAUUGUUGCCUCUGCCAGCAAGUGUAAGCCCGCCGCCUCUGCCCUUUGUAACGGGCAAGAUGUAGUACUUACUGCCAGCUCGGAGCUGCUUACCGGCGAUGUCCAGCACCGGAUCAGGUUGAGCAUUGCCUUUGACAGGCAAUGGCGUUGCAGUGAAGGCAAAGAGUAGGAUCAGCGAGGGUAAGACUAACGUACUUCUCAUUGUUAUAUCGUUAUAGUUUUUGUUCUUAUCUUUUGUUGUUGUGUGUAAAUAUCCCUUAUGAGACCAAAUUUAUAGAAUUAGGCUAGUAUACCUAAUUGACGGACAGCAUGUUCGUUGGAUUUGACUGUCCGAUUCGAGAAGCCGAUGGCCGCCCAUAAGACAUAAGCGAAUUAUCAGAUUCUGCUUUGUGUCCUGUAACCCACCCCCCCCCCCCCCCCCCCCAACAGAACAGCCUGAUUAGAAGAUUUAAUACAAAUUUCAAGCUAUGGAAAGCGUAAUUUGAUGAGAAAGUCAAAGUUUUAGUUUAAAGUUAGAAGUCAAUACCCUUAUCUUUUCUCUUAGACUAAAUUUAACGGAAUUUAGAUCUGAUUCCUGUGUCUUUGUUGAUGGUUUCGUCAUUUUGUUUUGCAUGGUCUAUAUGUUUAUUCUUAAAAGAACAAGUUUUUUUAGCUAAAGUUGGCCUGGUCAAGUGACGAGUUUAUUGAAAAAUUAAAGUAGCAAAGAAAUGAUAAAGCAUACGUCUAGGGAGGCAUAACAUGUGCCAUGUCUUUUAUAUAAAAAUCGCACCAAGAAUUUGAAAAAAAAAAAAAGAUGUAAAAAGACAUACAAGAGAUUAUCAAAACAUGUUACUAGCAGAUCUAUUGGCUAUGUUCAUAUGGAGAUGUCUUUUAGUAUUAUAUUAUGUGAAAUUAACAGCCGUACACCCUAAGUUUACUUGGUUAUAGAAAAUAUUACAAAUUUUUUAAUUUGUUUAACUUUUCAUCUUAAGUUUUCAAAAUAAAUUAAUAGUUUAAAUUUUAAAAAAAUGUGAUAAUCAAUAUUCAAUUAAAUACACUUAAAACUCUAAUAUUUUCCUUAAAUAAAAAAAAUUAUAGUUUGUCUUUUCAGUUUAUCUUCACAAAUUUACACAAUCUAACCUAAUUCGUGGACACGCAAUCAAUUUAGCCAAUUCAUUUUCUUAAGUAAAAAAAGCUAAAUUAAAUUUUAGUAUUUAUGAAAGUCAAAAAUUCAAUUGAAUUGAAGGGUAGAAUUUCCAUUUCACUUAAAUUCUGUUAAGUAUUCUAGCAGUGUGAACUUUUUACUGGAUGAUUGAUAUAAAUUACAAGCUUAGAGUAGAAAAUCAAAUAAAUUUAAACUUUUGUAAUAUAUUUCAUAAGAUGUAAACUUAGGGCGUGCGGCUUAUAAUUUUUUCUAAAUUUUAAUCCUUAACAAGGUUCCAACUAAAGCGACUAUCAAAUCCCCUUACGAGCUUUAGACGAGAAAAAAGUCUAUUCUAAAACAUUUGCAUGUUUGGGAUGUCUAGCUGAGGUAAGGGCUUACAGGCUUAAUGAGAAACAGUUGAGUUGUUAUUUUUAUUGGAUACUCUGAAAGAUCCAGGGGGUACAAGUUUUAUGAUUCCACGACUAAGUUGGUUUUUGAGUUGGAAAAUGCUCAAUUCUUUAAGGAUGUCGAGUUUGCAAGUGUGAUAUGGCUAGGGACUUUGUAUUUGAAUAGGGAUAUGUUGAUAUUUCUUUAGGUGUUAUUGGCAUUGAUCAGGGUCUCAUGCCCCUAUACGAGAAGUUGCUCUAGAAGAACAAACUCUACCAUCUCAAGAACCUACUCUAUUAAGGAGAUCCACUAGAGAAAUGAGGUAAACAUUGGAGUGAUGGAAGAUAAUCCGAUCAAUUACUAUCAAGACAUAGAAAUUAAGUUCUAACUCUUAGAAGUGGAUUGAUGGCGUGAAUGAGGAGAUGAAGUUUGUGAAGGAUAAUGACGUAUGAGAUCUUAUCUCAUUACCAAAAGGUAUGAAACCUAUUGGUUGCAAAUACAUAUUUAAGACCAAGAGAGAUUCGAAAGGCAAUGUAGAGCAGUACAAGGCGCGUCUUUUCAGAAAGGGCUUUACACAUAACGAAGGUAUCGGCUAUAAAGAAACUUUCUCUCCAAUUUCUUUGAAAGACUCUUUCAGGAUUCAAUCUUAUAACUUAAAUGGAUGUGAAGAUAGUGUUUCUCCAUGGUGACAUUUAUAAGAAUAUCUAUAUGGUGCAAGCAGAAAUUUUGUGUCAAGAAACCCAAAGAAUAUGAUUUGUAAAUUUAAGAAACCAUUUAUGAACUCAAGCAAGCAUCUCAACAAUGAUAUUUCAAGUUUCAUUAAGUGAACAUCUCAUUCAAUUUUGAGAUGAAUUUAAUCAAUGAUUGCAUAAAUAAUAAGUUCUAGGUGAGUAAGUAUAUUUUUCUAGUUUUAUACAUCGAUGACAUUUUGCUUGUCAGCAAUAAUAUAGGCUUAUCUCACGACAUUAAAAGAUUUCUAGCUAAAAAUUUUAAGACGAAAGAUCUUGGUGAGCCUCUUUCGUAUUAGCCAUACAGAUACACUUGGAUCGUUCGUAAUGUAUUCUUGGAUUAUCACAAAAGAGUUAUAUCAAAACGAUACUCAAGAGAUAUGGCAUGCAAGAUUGCAAACCAAGUGAUACCCAUGUGGCUAAGGGAACAGGUUUUGUCUCAAUCAGUGCUUUAAGAAUAAUUUUGAGGUGAAAGAAAUGCAGAAGAUUCCUUAUGUAUCAGUUGUAAGAAGUCUAAUAUGUAUUCAAGUUUGUACGUGACUGGAUAUUGCAUAAUUUACUAGGAUGUUUAGGAGAUACCUAAGUAAUCUAAGAGUAGACUAUUGGAAAGCGGUGAAAUAGGUCUUGCGGUACUUACAAAAAACAAAAGGCUACAUGCUCAAAUAUUAGAUUGGAGGCUAGAUUAGAUUGAGAUCAUCAGGUAUAUUGACUCUAAUUUUGCUAGAUGCCAAGAUAGUAUGAAGUCCACAUCGGACUACAUCUAUCUACUAGUUGGGGUUGUUGUCUCUUGGAAGAAUGGUAAACAGUCUCUUGCAGCCUCUUCAACAAUGGCAACAGAGUUCAUAGUAUGUUAUGUAGCAUCUAAUCAUAGAAUGUGGCUGCAAAAUUUUGUUAUGGGACUAUGAAUAGUAAAUGGUAUUGAUAAAUCACUCAAGUUAUCUUGUGGCAAUAAGUCAAUAAUGCCUUAUUCCAACAAUAACAAGAGCUUGACGAAGUCAAAGUAUAUAGACAUCAUGUUCAUAGUUGUUAAAGAAAGAAUUCAGAAUGUGCAGUUGUGUAUAGAGUAUGUGAGCACAAACUCUAUGAUUGCGGAUCCACUUAUUAAGGUAUUGCCACCCAAGAUGCUUCAUGAGCACACUAUUCGUAUGGGUGUCAUGUUAUUAGAGAAUAUUUAGUUUAGUUGGAGAUUGUGAUUUUAGAUUCUUAUCUAAUAUAGACAUUUUUCAAUUAUUUCAGUUUAUGGAUAUUUUAGGUUAUUUUCUAUAGAAAUAAAGUUUUGGUUUAUUCACACUCUAAUUUUAAUAUGCUUUGAUCUCACUAAGGAUUAAGGUAAACCAGUUGAAAAUAAGCAUGUUAAGUCCACAUUGCAUGAAAUUCUAUGCUACACAUCCACAUUAUAAUCCAUGUCUUUUAGUUCUAGGCAUAGUGACUAUUUAUGAAACGAGUUAUAAUAGUUGUAACGAAUGUCGCCUUUGAUCCUAUAUUGGUAUAAUUGAUAGACCUUAUUGAUUAUAGAUACAUUUUGAUAAUAAUAGUAACGUUGAGCUCAUACAAUUAUUUUUACAAAGCUUAAUUAUAAGGUUACAUAUAUAGCCCAAAUGAGAGAUUGUCGAAUUUUUUAAUCUAGCAUUGUUAGAUCCUUAAUCUAAUGUUGGGAUUAUACAUGAAUAAUUAUGUAUUGCGGACUGUUAUAUAUGGUUAAACCCAAUUAAAAGUGAUCUAUUAAGGUCUACAGUAAUAUGGGCUUUAAUGUAUCUGAUAAGGUGAGACCUUUAAUGUGUAGAGACUUAAGGGUAAUUUUUAUUUUUACGACUGGUUGAAAUAGGAAUACCUGAAGAUAAUAGAAAAAGUUAUCUAUAUAAAUGGUCAUGGUCCCUAGGUCACAUGUAUCAUUUUAUUUUUUCUGACAUCCUAUCAUCAGAGAGAGAGUGCAAAAAAAAUUAAAAAAUUUUCUAGGAGAACGUAUUGAAUUGGAAGGCAAACCACAACCAUAGAGAGUAAUUUAGUAUUAUAGAUUCAGGUUCACUUUUCCUUAUUUUGUUAUUGAUUCUUAGUUAUAUAAAAUGAAUGGUCUUAGAUUAUAGGUGAUAGUUUUCACCAAAAGAUUUCUUGUUCUAACAUUUAAACAACAAAAAAAAAAGCCUUGAGUAGUUGAAGAAAAAUUAAAAAAAGAAAACCUAUUUAAUUAUAAUAUAAUCCAAAGGUUUGUUGAGCAUAACUAAAAAGUUUGAGCUUGAUAGCGAGUCAUGGUCAAUGAAUAAGGAUGGUUGUAUAGUAAUUAAAACUUCUAACAAAAAAAAAGAAGAAAGAAAGAAAGAAAAGAAAAAGUUAUAAUAAUAUUUAUUUUUAUGAUCGUACGGUCAUCAGUAGUGUUCUAUCAUGGAACAGUUCGAAUAAAGCUUGACCUAAUUAAAAACUUUUUUCUCUUCCACCGUCACCUAUCUAAUAAUUUCCACACUAAUUUGGAUUCCGAGCAAUAUAAUUUAUAAAUUCCCACCAAACUAAAAGUCUACCAUUUUAAAUUAUAUAAUAUCAAUUGCAACCAAAUAUUUAAUUUUAUAUAACAUAUAUUAUUUAUGGAUGGACAAUAUUAUGAUAGACAAUUGUCAUAUGAAAAUAACAAAUCGAUUACACAUAAUACAUCAUAAAAUCUAUGACAUAUAUAAAUUAUCAUCAGAAAUUUUUUGACACAUGUUUUAGUGACCGACACAUGACUAUCAUCUAAUAAGGUGUAUAAUGGUAAAAAAGUAGUUAUUUUAUUUUAUUUUUAUUUUUUUGUGAUCCUAGUUAGUUUUUUGUUUUCUAAAGAGCUCUUAGUUUAAAAUUAAUAAAUUUUUGGAAAAAGGACAAUUGUGCUCCCCAAAGUUUAGGGAAUGGUCAUGAGAACCUUUAAGUUUUUAAUAAAGUACAUCAAAAUCGUAUUUUGACCAUAAUUCUAUUUGGCUCUAUGAACUUGCAAGUUUAUUCUAAUACUUUGUGAUAAAACAAGAUAUAAUAUUAAAAUAAAUGUAAAAAUGCCUAAUAUUAUUAGCCUACUAGACAAAUUAAGUUACUUAUAUUAUAUUUGUAUUUAUUAAAAAAUUGAAGUCAAAUUUUAAUUAUUGUACUUAAAAGGUAUUAGUGUCUAUUUAUUAAAAAUUUACGAUAUCUAUAUGAUAAUUUUUCUAAACUUUAGGAGUAUAGCUGUCAAUUUUGUUGGAAGACCUUUCAAAUUAUUAUUUAAUAUAUUUAUUUUCCUUCAAAAGCUCGUUACACAAUGGAAAUUUUAAUAUUUUAGAUGUAAAAGUAAAUUUUCUUCAAAAAAAUUAAUGGUUCAAGAUUAACAAAAUUUUUAAGUAUAAAAAUCAUUUUCACAUAAAAAGUUUUCUUAGUUUACUAUAAAAUAUCUUGAUUGAAAAUAAUAAAAUAUAAAUUAAAUUUUAAAACAUUUUUUCAUUCAAAACAAUCAAAAUGCAUUAAUUUAUCCAGGUCGUGGGACCAAUGACAACAAAAGUAAGAUAUCCAACGGUGGUGUCAAAUUUCUGACUAAGAUGGGGUUGAGGUAGUGUGAUGUUGAAGCAUAACUUCUGUAUAAAAUCAUUGGCUAGUUCGUGUUUUGGGCCGGUGAGGUACACGAUUUGACGAGUGUGAAAAAGACGCUCGGCUCAGUCACUCUUUACGAUAACAAAAUGUUGGAAAGCAGAGAGCGUGGUAAACAUGUUUGAAUGACAUUGAACUAACGCAGCAGUGAAAAUGAGAAACACAGCGGGUAGUGUAGCAUGGGGUCCACAGGACAUGACGUCAUUACUUAAUCACGGAAGCGUACGACAUAUGGAGAUACUGGUGACUAUCGGAAUGUUCCAUCCAUUUAUAGCCAUGCGAUCUUCUCAUUAUCUAAUUUGAACGGCUGAUGUCUGUGGUGGAGGAUCCUCUCAACAUUCACGUGGAGCCAAAACUAUCAAGAUCCGUACAUUUGAUGAUUUGAUCUUUGAGCUUUUAAUUGCCUAAGAUAUUUUGCUAAGUUACAACAAAUGUAAUCUAUAAUUCUUGUAAAUAUGUAAAAAUUUGUGCCAUGUCAGUGGGUCACCAGUGUCAUGUUAGAAAGGCUGUAGAUUACAUUGAUUGUAAUUUAGUAAGAUCAUUCAUUUAUAAUAUUAAAAAAAAUUACAGAUUCUUUCAUGAAAUAUUUACAUUCAAAUUUAAAUAUGUCAUAACACUUACCCUUUUAAAUUUGAAAGUACAAUACUUAUUACUUUUUUUUUUUAAUCAUAUGCUACAUUUAACUGCUUAAUCUAAUAGAAAAUCAGAAAUUGAUAUAUUGUAUUAAAUUUUAAUAAAAAAAAUCUAUAUUACUUCUAAUUAAUUUAACUUAUUUUACAAGUCAAAAAUAUCUAAUAAAUUGAAAUUUUCUUUGUAUGUGCGAUAUGACAAUAUUGUAGCUGAUAAAUUUAGUUAAUUACUUAAUUAUUUUAUUUAGAAUUUCGGCAUAACCAUAAGCUAUUGUAUAUUAGAUUUUCUUAUAAAAUUUUCAUUUGAGUCCAUUUUCACCACAUCAUGAAUUAUAAAUUAAUUUUACUUCUUAUAUAAUACAAUAUAUUCUCCGAUUGAUCAUACAAAAAAAAAGUUCCACCAAACCUUCAAGUACCAUAUUCCUAAUUUAUUUACAUUUUUCAAUUUUGAAGCCAAGAAAAUAUGAAAAUAGAAAAGAAUUAAAAAUCUAGGUAAUUAACUUAGGUUAUUAAGGAUAAUAUUGUCAUCAAACGUACAAAAUAUUUCAUUUUCAUGAUUUUUUCUAUAGUGUGUAAAAUAACUUAAGUUAAUUAAGUGAAACUUGGAAUUCUUAUUAUAAUUUAACAAAACAUAUCAACUAUUGUUUAUCUAAGGGAGUUCAGUUUGGUAUUAUAAAAUUCAAAGGACGUAAGGGAUUUUGUUUGUUUGUUUGUUUGAAGUUUGAAUUUUAAUUAUUUUAAGACAUUUACAGUUUUUAUUUUAUUUAUUUUCUAUCACUCAUGUCUGAUUAUAAAAUGUUUAGGUUUAAAUGGAAAAAAUUAAAUAUUUUGAUUUUUAUUUAAACGGUAAAGUAUCUGAAUGAAACUUUAAUAUUCUCUCUCAUUAAUACCAUUAACACCCCUAUUAAAUAAAUUUACUUCCUCCUAUAUAAAUUAUCCUUUUAUUAUAUUUUUACUUAUCCCCUUUUUUUAUAUACGUGCAUUAAAUUAUUAUUAUUAUUUUUAAAUAAGAACAUUAAACAUAAUAGAACUUUAUGUGAGUGUGUUUUAUACUAGGUCCAUCUUUUACUAUGUUUAUAAUAGAUUUUGAAUUUUAUUUAAUAAGUUAAGUUUAAUUCAAAUGAUUAAACAAUUCUUGAUUGACUUAUAUAAUUAACAAGAAAAAAACAUCAAUAUAGUGAACUAAAAAUAACAUUAUAAUAGUAUAUAUUAUUGUUAAAACAAUACACAUGUUAGAUAUAUAUUUUAUUUUCCAUGCUUUAUUAAGCUAAACAUUAUCAAAUGUUUUUGUACUAAUAUGUUUAUUUAUAAAUUCUCAUGUGUUUCACUAGUUAAACCAAUAAAUACAAGUAUUGGUAAUAUUUAUGAGGUUAUAUAUGGUGAAAUUUAAUAUUUUAGAUGUUUUCUUUUAAAAAACAAACACCUUAACACUUAUCUUCUAUUAUAAAAAAAUGAAAAACAAGCAUGUUAUUCAGAUAUAUAAAUUUAGAUCUAUUCAAACUUCAGCUAAAUUCAGACCCAUUCAAAUUUUAGACAAAAAAAAUGCUACCUAAAAAUAAAAUGCUACGUAAGUGUCAUAAACCAUUUAAGUUAUGUAUAAGUUUUUCUUACCUAUAUUUGAGGAUGAAUUUGUAAUUUUUCCAUAAAAUUUAUGGGUGAUUCCACAUUUUCUUCAAGGCAUCAAUAAUGUAACAAAUAUAUACCAUUAGAUUUAACAAACGAUGUAAAAAUUUUUAUUAGUGAAAAGCUAAAAUUAUUUUCAAAUGUUAUAACUAUUUCUUAACCAUUUAAAAAAUUAUGUAAAACUUAAAAAAAUAAAAAAGGAGAGUUAUUAUCGAUCAAAAUCUCUCUCUCUCUCUCUCUCUCUCUCUCUCUCUCUAUCUUAUUGGAUUCUUGCCCUGGGGUGUUUAUCUCUUACAUUUAAAGUCAUGAGUUAAUGUGAAUAGGGAUUUGUAUGACUAUUUGAUUAAGGUUGAAGCUGAUGGAAGGUAGGAUGAUACUCCUGAAAUGCUAGUUAUGCAACCCAAAAUGGAAAUGAAUUGAGAUUUUGAAACUUAUGCAAAACAAUUCGCAUAACAAUUUAAUCUAUUGCCUUAGUCAAAUAAAAAAUAAUAAAUUCAAUAAAGCACAAUAAUAAAAAGAGUAAGGGACGAGAGAGCAAACACAAUAAUUUUAUGUGGUUCGGCAAUCAUCGCCUACGUCUACGUCUCCAAGCCAACCAAACUCGAGAAUUUCACUAUCCAAGCCUUCUAAGGUUUCAAGUUCUUUACAAUUGACUUCCUAGGUGUCAAUGAAUCUUUACAACUAAGAGAUUAUUGCCCAAUUUUUUUCACCCAAGUGUUUCUCACACUUAUACACUCACAAAUUUAAUGAGAAAAUAAAAAUUACAACAAAAAAACUCUCUUUAAGAGUGGAUGUACAAUUGAUAGCUCAAUGAAGAUUUAAUCUAUGAUGAUUUUCGAAUUUGGAAGCUCAAAAUAUGUUGUUUAAACUUGUUGGUGCUUGCAAGAGUCUUAAAAUUGAAGUUGGAAUUGAGUUUUUAUAGUUAAAACCCACAAAUUAGCCGUUUUAGUAAAAUUCCAGCAAGCAAGCGACUAACUGCUUAUUUUAGCUGUCUCCUCACUUUAGAACAGUAAAGUUACCGUUAAAUUUGAAUUUUAGUACAUUAAUACUGUUAACAAAAUUAUAUUUUUUCCCAAACGUUUCUAUAAUUAUACUAUACCCAAAAUGCCAUAAAACUUUAUAAAUAGGUCCAAUUUCAGAUUUCUAAAUAAUACUUGUCAAUAACAAAAAUUUCUAAAAUUAUGAUAUGACCCAAUAUAUAAUAAUAUUUUUUAAAGAAGUCCUUUUCAAAAUUUAACAAAAUACUUAUAGAGUUCAAAGUUCUCAAAACCUUUUCAAUUUAGUCCAAAAUUUGGAAAUAUGAAAAUUUCAUCAGGGGGCUAGCCGCUAGACCUCAGGCGGUUAGCCACUAACUCUCUGUCUAUUUUUAAGAUUUACACUCAAGUCCUCAACUUUCAUAAAUUAUAGUAUGGCCCAACAUGUUUCAAAUGUUUACAAAUAAAUCCAAAUUCAAAAUUCAAAAUAAUACUUAUUAAAAUCAAAGAUUGCAUAACUUUUUUAUUUUAGUCCGCAUCUUGAAAAAUAUCUAACUUCAUAAAAUACUUAGUUUAUACUUGUAAAAUAUUUGAUUUAUGAAAAUUAAUGAUUUAUUAAACAAAAUCUUGAACUUCUCAAAUGUUAAACCAUUCAUAUAUUAAAUCAUACAGUCUUUACAAGAAUUGUUGCAAUAAUGAGUCUGUGGAGCUCUAAACUUUAUUCUUGAUUGUGUCGUUGUCUGUUGAAUGUCUUGAACUUGAUUUUACUUGAUUCACUUGCAUAAACAUUAUCCUUCAAGAAUCAGUGAAAAUGUGAAAUAUAUUAUUUUUCAAAUCUCUUAAGACACAUAUUUGUUAUCAUCAAAAUUACAUUGUGUAGCCCUUUAGGCUGACAAUUCCUAAGAGCAAAGUUGUAAUCAAAGAUAGUAGUGAACUUCCUUUAUAAUUUCUAAGAACUAUUGUCUCAUCUAAAUGAGUGAAUUAGGUCUUAAAGUACACGUUAUUGGUGAUAUUCCUAGUGUCAAGUUCUUGAUUGUAAAGCUUUCUAGUGUUUCCCUCUUGGCUGUCUUUAAAGAGAAAAAGGAGGAACCAAGGUUUUAAGAGAGAAUUGUUCAUGCGGAUUUUGUAAACAUUUUCUGGUAUUAACUAGUAAAUUUGUUGUUGGGGUCAAUGGCGGUGACACAUUUGGAUUAUUAGGGGCUGAAGCCCCUAGUUAAAUUUUUUAAAAUUUUAAUUAAUAAUAACAAUUAUUUAAUUUUAAUUUGAUUUAUAAAAUUUUAAUUAAUAAUAACAAUUAUUUAAUUUUAAUUUGAUUUACCUUAAAAAGUACUUAUCAAGUUAUAAAAAUAACUGGAAUAUCACAUAUUUGUUCUUACACGUUAUUUUGAAUAUGAAAAAAGGUUAAUCCUACAAACCUCAUUGCUUUUGUGUGUCGAAUUAUUUCAUGCAGUUUUAGACAUACAGCUUCAAAAAUUAAGCAAUCAUUUUAAUGAAAUGAAGAUUUACUUGCUUCUAUUUUUGGUAGAGUAGAAGGGGCAUUUUUUAGCUAUAAAUUUUUAUUAAAAAUCAACUGAAAAUCAUAUAGAAGAUCAAUAGUUGAGUGAUGGUCUUGUUGUCUACAAAGAAAUAGAUAUAUUUUGUAGCUGUUGAAUUUCAGAGUCUUGACAAGUGAAAUCUUCAAAUCUUUGAUCUUUGAUCGAGAUCAAAGUAAAACAUAGAAUCAAGAACAAACCAGACAUUGAGAACAAAAACGAAGAACAUAAUUGCACGAUACAAUAUUUUCAAGGCAUAUGUUUAAUAAUAUUUAUACUAUUAAAUCAAAUGGCUUAAUAAUUUUUUUAGACUUAUAAUGAGGUCCAAGAUUCUAAAUAUUUAUCUUAUAUGAAAAUUUUACAUCAACAUAGCCAUUUUUUUUUUAACUAAAGGAGAUUCUAAAAUUAAGAUCCAUACUAACUAAUAACUAAUGAGUUGUUGUCCAUAGGGUCGCGGUGGAAUGACUUUCAGUUUCUUGAUUUUACUAAUCACUGUGAGAUUGAGGGCCAGUUUGGGAUUGCGGUUGAAAUUUAAUAAGCUGCUUAUUUCAUAAUUUUUGAUAAAAAUAGUGUUUAAUAAAUUUUGUAAAAUCAGCUUAUUUCAUAAUUUUUUCCAUUUUGUCAGCAGUUUUUAAAAGUAGAUAAAAGGUUGCUUUUCAUAAGAAGUUUAUUUAAUAAUCUACUACACCUUUUUAAAAUUCCUAUUAUAGCCCUAAAGUUUAAUAAAAAGACAAUUGUAUAUUACUUAUUAAUAAACUCUAAUAUAUAAAUAAUCAGAUAUCAUAUUACCGUCACAAUUUAGUUACCGCCAUAACUACGUACAUUCUCUCCAGUUUUGAUCCCGUAAGUUCAUAUUCUAAUUUCAUAACUAUGGCUUUUAAAUUUUAAUUUAUAUAUAUUUAUAUUUUUAAUCUAAGAGCAUCACAAUACUAAUGGCUCUGGAUCCCAAGAAAUGGAAAAUAUUUUAUGUAAUAGUUGUGAAGUUCUUUAGAUUUUUUUAAAUUGAGUUUUUAAUGUAAUUUUAUAUAUUUAAGAAAAAAAGAUUUGUCUAAAUAAUUUAUUAAACAUACUCUAAAAAUAACAAGCAAUUAAAAUCUUAUGUCUAUUUUGGUCAUUAUAUAAGAAAACAACACUUUCGUAAUAAAACUUACCAAACGCAUGUACUUUACUUUUCAAACUCACAGUAAUCGUAACAACAUAAUUUACCAAACAUUAAGCUACUUUUUUAAUCAGCAGCUUAUUUUAACUACACAAUACAAGCAACUUAUUUCAUCAGGCUCCGCAAUCCUAAACUGGCCCUAAAUCUUAAAAAGUAGAGGAUUAAUAAAAAGUAUAUUUACACUUUGCAACCCCUAAAUUUAAUAGAUUUAAUAAAUAAAUAAUUAGCAAGUUGUUGGAAAUUUUGGGCACUUUCCAACAAAUUUUUAUAUGCGGAUUUUAAGACGUGUCCUAAUUAGACCAAUUUUAAUUGGUAGAAUCUUUCAGAAUUUACGUUAUUUAAUCUAGGGUAUAACUAGUCAUCGGGCUAUUGCUCAUGUUUGUAAACAAUUUUAUGUCACCAUCAUUAUUUGAUAGGUGUAAUGUAUUGGUUGAAUCCUUCAUUAGUGUCAUAAUAUUACACUACUAACUAAAUGAUGACACGUAAUACAAUCUAUUACUUUAAAUAUAAACUAUGUAUAUAUUCCAAUUGUGGAUAUCUGUAGCAUAACUUUUACUCAUUUGUAAACCUGAUAUAGAUCUUGGCUAUAUUUAAAAUAAAUUUUCUGAGCAGUGCUAUUUAGAUUCUUGACUUUUAUGUUAAUAGAUAAUAGAGAGGGUAUAAGUUACAUAAGAGAAAAGCCAUUCAAGGUAGGCAUUUAUUUGGAUCGUUUGCGUGGAAAAUAAAACUGAUGAAGAUGUCCUUGUAAUAAGUUUCUUGUUUUAUUUCUCUUAGUAUAAUUUUAUUAAAUAAUUCUUAAUAAUAAAUAAAUGUAAUCACGAGUAAUUUUGUAUAUUAUUAAGACUUUAAGAUCAUGGAAUUUCAAUUAAUUUUGAACAUUUUAUACAUAACACACACUUUAUAUGAAGCAAACUGAAACUAAGUUUAGGUAAUAGUCGUUUGAACUUAUUGUAAAAUCAUUUAGGAUGAUACAAGAUGUAUAACUAGAUAUUCAAAAUCAAACCGUCAACGUUUUCAUAUUUAUCAAAUUUACGAUGUUUCUUCUGAAUAGAUUUCUCAGCCAUCAGUCGUUGCUGCUUCUGCAGUUGACUAUUUUCAAGGGUUAUUGACAGUUGGCAUUAGUCAGUUUCAGCAGUCAUACGUUGAUUUUAUUCCGUCUUUGGUGACUGUAGGGGAUGAUGUGAAUUUAUGUAGAAAGCCAAAUAUAGAUGAGGUUAGGCAGGUGGUUUUCUCUAUUUGAUUUUGUUCCGUCUCUGGUGACGGUAGGGGAUGAUGUGAAUCUAUGUAGAAAGCCAGAUAUGGAUGAGGUUAGGCAGGUGGUUUUCUCUAUUAAUCUUGACAGGAGUAAUGAUACAGCCAUAAACUCUUGUACAAACUUAUUUUGUACAAACUGACGUGGCAUUAAUUCAUUGGUUGAAUGAAAAUAUAAAUUAAUAAAAACAAAUCAUGUGGGCCAAGUAAUAUUUAAUUCAACCAAUCUUAUCAUGCCACAUCAGUUUGUACAAAAUAAGUUUGUACAAGAGUUUGUGGCUGUAUCAUUACUCUCUUGACAGUGCUUCGGGUCCUGAUGGGUUCUGUAGUAAAUUUUAUCAAUACUAUUGGGAUAUUAUUAGCAAUGAUUUAUUGGAGGUUGUCCUUGAUUUCCUCAAAGGUUCAGCUAUGCCUAAGGGUUUCCAGAGUACAUUAUUGACUCAUUUUCCUAAGAAGUCGUUCCCAACAUCUUGGAUAAAUUUUAGACCGAUCAUUUUAUGUAAUGUCAAUAACAAGGUUCUAACCAAACUGCUUGCGUUGAGAUUUCCCCCUUUGUUGCCUCGUCUUAUUUCUCCUUCUACACAAUAAUGUGCUUUUGGUUGAGGAGUUGGUCUAUGAUCUCAACCACCGUACUCGGGGAAAUAAUGUGGUGCUGAAACUUGACAUGGCAAAGGCUUAUGAUCGGAUGUCAUGGUCUUUUAUUAUUCAGAUGUUGCGGUGUUUUCGGUUUUCGGAGUGGUGGGUUUCUUUGAUUCAACGAGCCAUCUUUGGUCGUUAGUUCUCAGUGUUGGUGAAUGGAGUUGGCCAUGAUUUUUUCCAGUUUAAAGGAGGUCUCAGGCAGGGAGAUCCUCUCUCCUCACAUUUAUUUAUCAUUGCUGCUGAGUUUCUAUCUCGAGGUUUGGACUGUAUAUACGCUCAUUAUCCUUCUGUGCGAUAUUGUUCUACCAUACCUAUUGUUGUCUCUUAUUUAAGAUAUGCAGAUGAUAUUGUUAUUUUUUUAAAUGGGAAUCAAUCGAGUCUUCAGUGGCAAUUAAUUAAUCAAGCCAAAAGUAAUUUUUUCAUUAGAACUUCGGCUUCUACUUUACGAUAGGCUAUUGUCCAUUCAGUCAUUGGCUUUAAACGAUGUCAGCUUCCAUUCACUUAUCUUGGGUGUUCGGUCUUUACAGGGCAUCUUAAGAUUUCUCAUUUUGAUGAUAUGUCCGAAAAAUUAGGGAUAAGAUCUCAAGAUGAACCAAUAGGUUGCCUUCUUUUGGUGGGUAGCUAGUGCUUAUUCGACAUGUGUUGUCUUCUGUGUCGUUAUAACUGCUUCAUGUUCUUUGCCCACCUACGGUUGUAGUACAACGUUUAGAGAGGUUCUUCAACCGAUUCAUAUAGGGCGAUUCUGAGUCAAGACAUCAGAUUCAUUAGUGUAAACAAGUCAGGUUCAGGUUCGUCAUUCCACCUCUCCUCUUUAGAGAUGAUUAUGUUCAAUUUGGUCAGUUGUGGGGAGUGUAGUUUUAGGUAUGAUUGCUGGCUAGACUCUUGCCUUUUGGCCUCCUACAAUCCUGCAAUGGCUUAUGGGGUGCUGGUUUCUUUUUAUUGGCGGGGUACAAUAUGGGAUUAGGUUAAGCUCCAAGAUGUGUUACCUUCUUCGAUCGUUGCACAAAUUCUAUUAGUUCCUAUCUCUAGUAAAGAACUUGAUAUAAUUCGGUGGGCUUAGACCAUGAUGGCCUAUUUCAUUUGCGGAUAGCGUGGGAGCUUGUGCGUUGUUCUAGACAGAGCGAUGAUGUUUUUUUCGCUUAUCUAGCAGCGACAUAUCCCUUCUAGAGUUUUUUUUUUCUAUUAGCUGUUGCAUGAUUUUUUGGCUACUAAUGAUGCCUUAUGUUUGAGAGGAAUUUGUAUGGUCUCCUAGUGUAUUUGUGAUAGGGCUGAGACUUUUCGGCAUUUGUCCCUUGAUUGCCCACGGGUUAGGCUGAUAUGGGUUCAUUUUUGGCAAAAUUUAGGUGUGCGAGAUGUGGUUUUUUUAACGCCGUAUGCUUUGCUUUGUUAUUAGAGAUGGUGUGCACUAACUCGAAGUCAUAUUUGCAUCCUUCUUCCAUACUUUAUUUUGUGGCAAAUUUGGAAGGCUUGCAAUGCUUUCAGGUUUGAUUCGCAGACCUUCUCUGUGGAUGCAAUUAUCCACUAGGUGGGAUUGGACCUUAGGCUUGCUAGCUCCGCAUUUAGAUUUAAGCCCUCCCAACUACGGGAAGUUUUGGGUUCUUGGAUUACAAAGGGUUUGCGUAUCAUAAUUCCCCUUAAGAGACCAAUUCAUUUAGUUUAUUGGAUACGACCACCUCCUGGGGUUGCAAAAUUAACAGUGGAUGGUUGCUCUAAGGGCAACCCCGGAAUAGCUGUAGCAGGUGGUAUUCUUCGUGAUCAUCAGGGUGACGUAUUGGCUGCUUUCGGAUAUUUUCUUAGUUGCCAACCAAUUCUUUAUGUUGAGCUUAUGGCUAUUUGCGAGCGGUUGGAUCUCGCUACUCAACUUGGGUACUCUACACUUGAGGUAGAAUCGGACUCAGCCAUUGUUAUUUCUUGGAUUCACUCCCAGGGUCCUGUUCGAUGGGAUUAUAUUUACUUGCUACAUCGAAUGUGUGCUUUGAUAUCUUCCUCUCACAUUUUGAUUAGACAUGUGCUUUGGGGGGCUACAUCUAUUGCUGAUUUUCUGGCCAAUUGGGCUUACUCUCACCGACUUAGUCAACAUUUCUUUUGCACUCAUGAUCUACCUACGGGCUUAUCUGGCAUUAGUCAUUUAAAUGCGCAAACUAUUCCUCAUGUCAGACGAUAGGAUUGUUGGUUUAUUGUUUCAAUUGAUGGUGUAUUCUUUUCUUUUAUUUUUAUGUAUUUACAUCUGCUUUAGGAGGUUUUAGGUUAUGUUAUCCUCUUUAUGUAAUUACUUCUAUAUUGAUUUAUAUGACAGGUAAGGUUCAUGCUUAACCCCACCUCUUUGGUAGUUAUUAAUUUAAAAAAAGAAAAGAGAGUAAGAAUUUGAUAUAACCUAAAAUUUAUCUCAAUUUGUGUUUGUAGCAAAGAAAAUUCCCUAAAGUUUUAAUAAACUGCUAACUUUAUAAGCAUGUUAGGUUGCUAGGAGACAAUCAAACUUGAGCUUAUUUUAUUUAAAUAAACAAAAAAAUAUAUACACUUCCAUUAACUACCUCUUCUUUAUUUGUUUUGAAGUAGACAAGUGUAAUGUUAUAUUGCAUGAACACCAAAUACACAUUUGACGGUUUUGGCUAUGAAAUUGGUGAAAGAGCCUAACUAAUUGAGGGACUUAUUGAGGUUUUUUUUUUCAAAAAUUAAAGAAAUAUUAAUAGAAAAGGGGUUUGAUAAGGAUAAUGGAGCUAAUAGCAUUACUCAGUUACGUAUUGCAAUGAAAGAUCAAUCUCUUUCUCUUCCUCCAUUGGAGAACUAAUAAGAACACACACACAAGGUGAUUUUAAUGAUCUUUUAAAACCUUUGUCCGUAAGCAAGUAUGAAGUUGCCAUCAUAGUGAUGGUUGAUACAGAAAAUGUUCAUGUGAUUCCUUUAUAUGCAACCUUUUUUUUUGUUUGUUUUCUUUUUAGAAUUCAAGUAACUUGAAGUUCGGUUUCAAUUCUCACUUAGGCCUUCGCCCUAGUGGCAAGAGCCUUCUUUAAAGUCUCUGUAUGGACCAAUUCAUUAACUGUAUCUUAUCCACUGUGAUAGGGUAGAGAUCUCAUCUCUUAAUAGGCAUUGAUUUUUCUAUUAACUGGAAUUAAAUUUAAUCGAAAUUUUACUAGGUAAUUCACAUUUACAAGUGUUGAGACCAAUAAAGAAGAUCAAAAGUAUCUACGAAAGUGAGAAUGUGAACAAGCCUGAGCAAAACCACAUUGGAGUAGUGACUGUGGAUGAUUUUCAAUUUUGGUUCAUGGGGUUUUUGCGUUGUGAAAAAGCUUAUAGAAAACUUCAGAAGGCCAUUUCGAAGCCAACAAAUUAAAUUAUUAGGAUAUAUUUUGAAGACAAUAAGCUCAGCUAGCAAGCUUUGACAAUCAUUUUAAAAUAGCGUACUUCAUAUCAUGUGCUUUAGUUCUAUGUAUAUGAGUGAAGGUCAUUAUAUAUCAUAUAUAACUCCUGCAAGUAAAGAAAUUGCAUUUUGGUUCUGAUGCAAUUGCAAUUAACAAUUUAUUUAUUUUUUUACAUAAAUGCGUAAAGCUUUAUUAAAGAAAAACAGGAGAAAGGUACAAAAAUCACAAGAAUUAAAGUUAAGAAAAACGAUAAUGGUGUAAUCUCUACUCAUCCUUUUUAGGAGGCGUAUCAUGAACUGAGGAGGAUCAUUCCACCACGUCAGAUUCACACAAUUUAAGUCUAUAUUAGUCAAAGUAUCAGCCACAAGAUUGCCUUCUCUAUAAAUGUGGGAACAAUGGAACUGCAUGUUGUUGAUUAUAUCUAGCGUGAAGAGACCAUGAGGGAUUAUAAAUUUAUAAUUGUUAUUAAGAAUAAAAGCUUUAGCUAUUGUGGAGUCACUCAAUUAGAACUUCCUUUACCACUUUUUUUUUCCAAAACAUCAUCGAUUGAACCACACCAAUUUUUUCAGGUUUUCCUUGAUCUUUUCUUGUGGUAGAUUUAUGAUAGGUAGAUUAUUAUUGUCCACAUCCAAUAAGAUGGAAAGAUCUAAGACAAGUUUAUCAACUGGGAUUCCAUACAAGCGUGAAUGUAUUCAAUCUAUAUGAUCUAAGACCAAUUAGCGAUCGAUGAGAAUUAGGAAAUGAAAUUGGUCCUAACUUUUUUUGGACAGAUUGGGAAGUAUCUUGGGAUCCCAAACCUUUCUACUAUUUUUUCCUACUAUUUUUCUUUAAAUUUGUAACUGAAACAUAAAAAAGAAAAAAAAAAUACUACCAGAAUGGUUUUUAAAUAAUUUUAUUUAAUUAGUUUAGCUCGAAUUUUGAGAAAUCAUAUAUUAAAAAUUUGAUUUAAAUUUUACCCAUCCCUCUACGAUUAAAAAAAAGGGAAAAAAGACUAAAAUCUCUAAUCACUAAAACCUGAUCUAAACAUGACCAGGUCCACGUCCAUGCUAGUAGAGAUGUUAAAAAAUUUCGUGUCCAGUCGAGAUUUGCAAAGAUUUGGAAGAUCUGGAUCGGGAAAAAUCCGAUCUGUGCAUUAAAAAAUGAAAGUCUUGAUAUUAAAAUUGAAAAUCUAUACGGAUUCUGGUGUAGAUCUGGAUGCAAGUGCAUCUAAAAAACUAGAUAUCCGGAUCUGCAUUAUUUUUUUAAUUUAUUUAUUUAUUAAAUUAAAAAAUAUUUUUAAGUGAAAAAAUCAAACCCAUGUGGAUUUUACGGUGGUUUCUUUGUUUGUGUCUUUGUGAUGGUUUUGAAUGGAAUCUAUGUGGAUUUGGUGUUUUCAUUUAUGGAUUUGUAUUGGUGUUAAACUUGGAUUUAUAUUAUUUUUUAUAUUUGAUUUAUGUUGCAGUAUUUUUAUAUGUAAAUUUAUGGUGUAUUUUUAUUUGUGGAUCCAUGGUGUUGUCGUAUGUUAUUUUAUGUGUUGAAUUAUUUUUUGUUGAAUUAUAAUUGGAUUUUAUUUGAUUUUUUUAGUAAAUUCGUUAAAUUUUAAAUUAUAGUUGAAUUUAUUAUGUGGAUCUAGAUGUCUGAAAAAUCCGUCCGCAAUUCGAAUCAAUAUUACCAACAUUUGGAUCCACCUUUUUUUAUGGAUCUAGAUGCAAAUCUUAAAAUAUCAAUUCAAAUUCAAACGCACCUAUAUCUGGAUUCGAAUUUUGCCAUCCCUUACAACCCGACACCAUCAGCCGUUUGACUUUGAAUGUUGUACGUAAUUCAUUUUUUUAAUUAAUUAAAUACAAUCAAAUGUAUCUCCAGCCAUAUGGAUGGUAAAAGAACAAUUACAAAUUGUAAUAAAUAUGCAGCCUCUAAGGACCCAGUGAAUUUAAAGCAUAAAAUUUUUAUUACUAAUUAAAUGUCGUGAUGGUUAGAAAAGUACUCUGCCGACACCGGUGGAUCAAUACCAUCAAGCAAUUCAAGUCUCCAAGUUUCUUCCUUCCGUAGAGCUUCUUUCCUUAUAGUAGAGAAAAGAAUCUGAUAGAAAUAUUCAUUGAAUGUCUUUUGGGAUGUCAGUUGAAUUUUUAAAUUAAAUAUUUAUAAAUAUGUUGACGAAAAUGUUCUUAUAGAUGUUGAAUAAAUUGUUAAUUAAAAUAUUUUAAAUACUUGGGAUAUGGGACUGAGUAUUAGAAAUGGUUUGGGAUUAAUUAAUCCUAAUUUUAGUUUUGAAUGUACAACCGAGACAAGAUUUGGUCCAUAUUGAUGGAAAUAAAAAAAUUAGUUACACAAUUAUUUGUCUCUAUCUUAAUUAUUGAUUUGGAAAAGAUAGAUUGUCAAAUAAAUAAAGAUUGAUUGACUCAAUCUUUACUAAUCAAUCAUUAUUCCUAAAUUAUUUUAUUUUAAUUGGUUAAUUUCCUUUUUAUGUCUCAAAUACUUGCAAAAAUUGAUUUGCAAGAGUGCUUCGUUCAGUGAAAUUUGUUUUAUAACUUUUUCUGGAGAUUGAUUGAAAAUUAGUGGUGUGGAAGUAACUAAGAACUCUUGCUUGUUCUUAAUUCGAUUUCCAUGUUAAAACGAAAAUUGAUUUCUAGUGUUUGGUAGAUUGAUCAUAGGCUGAUUAGUUAGUCUUUAGAUCACAUGGCUGGGAAGGCUUGAGUAACGAUAUAUAGCUCCACUCCCACGAUAAGUUAAUUAUUAUUUUAACUUGGCUUCUGAAUUAUAACAAAGAUCUUAUCCUCUACACAACCUAAACAGGAAAAUGAUAAGCUAACCAAAAUAACAACAUGAUGAAGACAACUCUAAACUGUUAUUCAUGAACAAGCAUGCAAACAUUAAUUAAUUCUUAUUGUUACAACUUUUAUUCAUUUAGCAAAGCAUCAUUCUAUAGACGUUCAGAUGCGCAUAAGGUAAAAACAUAACAAGCUUUAUUUUUAUCCUCAAGCUUUUGUUCAGCAGCUCCAUCUUCAAGCCUUUAGAAAAAUAACAUUGAAUGGGACAUCACUCAGAGCCAGAUGCUGCACCCCAUCAUUCAUAAAAAUGCCAACAUUGCUGCAUAAAACUUUGCAAAACUUACAAACCAAAGGACAGAAAACAAGCUUGUAAUCACCAUAAAACUUCUCAAUCCUGAACCAAUUUCUCGUAGUUUGUAAGCCAGGAUUUCCUUCAACUCCCUUAAUUAUCACAAACCACUACCCCAAUGCUGCAUCAAAAUUGUCAAGCUUCCAUAUUGUGGAUAGCACACUAGUUUUUACAACUUCAAAUUUGAUGUUUAAAUCAAUGGACUAACAAAUAACGCCCUUUUUAGGGUUUACAGGUGAAAAUGUCGUUGGCAAACCAUAUUUUAGUAUAUUUUGCUCUUGAACAAUAUGUAGCAGAAAUGUUUUAUUGUUACUAUUGGAAAUUUGAGGGUGCAGUAGACACACAGUUAAAGUGAAAUUGAUAAAUAAUGAUCACACAGGGACACAAAAAUUUACGUGAUUCGGCUUUUAGCCUACCUCCAUGGGCGAAAACAGGAGAAAAUAUUUUACUAGUGAAAAGGAGUUACAAGUAUUGUAAUAUUUUGUCUCACAACCCAAAACCCCAAUACACUCAAACUCUCAAAACACUAGAACUAGAGCUCAAAGCUCUCAACACUCUCAACUUACAUCUCUUGGCACUCUCACUUGAAUUAGAGAAAAUGGGAUGAAUGAAGAGGGCAAAUGAGGCCUCUAUUUAUAGGCCAAGCCAUGCCAAAAAAUCAACAAUGGUGGGUAUUAAAAUAAUUUAAAUUUCCACCCAACUUUUCCACUUUAGUGCCAAAGUCAAAAGUUGAUCCCUCCCACUUACCUUUGUUUCCUACUUACUCAACAACUUUAUGCCAAGAGUCAAAAGGUUGCAUGCUAGUCACAUGCAAUUGUUUGCCACAUGUAUGCACAUGUUCAACAAUUCUCCCACUUGGAGACUUGAUUGAGAACCAAUAAUGUCUCCACACCAUCCUUUCUUCUUCGUCAUUAUCAUGUUGCUUACGUCUCUGCUAGCCCACAAGAGAAUCUACUCCAUACAAACUUGUUAGCAUUGAUUGGCUAGGUUAAAACGUCUACUAGGUUCUCCUUGGUAUGGAUUUUCUGUAAAUCCACACCUCCGUCCUCCACUACUUCUCGAACAAAGUGGUAUUGUACCCUUAUGUGCUUUGUCUUGGAAUGAAAUGCUGCAUUCCUUGUCUGUGCCCGAGCUCCUCCAAUAACCUCUGUAUUCAAAUAACUUCCUUGCCAACUUGUGUAGCUACCAUAUAUUCUGCUUCUAUGUAGAUAAAGCCACAACAGUCUAAAGUUUUGAAAUCUAGCUUACAGCUCCUCCUGCAAGUGUAAACACAUAACCAGUAAUGGAUUUCAUUUUUUAAGGUCUCCUGCAAAAUCUGAAUCCACGUAGCCCUUGACAGUAAACUCUAAUCCUCCAUAACAUAAUGCAACAUUCGAGGAUCCUCUGAGGUAUCUCAGAAUCCUCUUCACAGUUUUCCAAUGCUCUUCACUAGGAUUCACCAUAUACCUACUCACCAUUCUCUCUGCUUAUGCAAUAUCUGUUCUUGUGCAUAUUAUAGCAAACAUCAAACUUCCCACUACUGAUGCAUACGGUACGUGAAACAUCUAUUUCCUCUCGGCUUCAUUGCGAGGACACAUACUUGAGGAUAAUUUGAAAUUAAUAAGAAGUGGGAUAGAAAUUGGUUUACAAUCUUACAUGUUGAAGCGCCGUAAGAUUUUCUUCAAGUAAUUCUUCUAAGAAAGCCAAAUCUUCUUGUUAUUUCUGUCUCGGUGAAUUUGUAUCCUUAGAAUAUUGUUUGCUGGUCCCAAGUCCUUCAUUUCAAACUCUCUAGCUAAUUGUGCCUUUAAUUCUUGGACUCGAUCUUUGUUGGGGCUUACUACCAACAUGUCAUCCACAUAUAACAGCAAAAUGAUAAAAUAAUUAUCCUCAAACCUCUUGUAGUAUGCAUAAUGGUCUGAACUACGUCUGUUGUAUCCAAAGCUCAUGAUGAAGGAAUCAAAUCUCUUAUACCAACACCUCGGCGCCUGUUUAAGACCAUAGAGAAAUUUGUUCAAUCUGCAGACUAAGUUCUCCUUACAUGUUUCAGCAAAACCUUUUGGUUGGAGCAUAUAAAUCUCUUCUUCAAAUUCUCCACAAAGAAAUACAGUUUUCACAUCUAACUGCUCUAGAUAUGGGUCAAAUGUAGCACACAUUAUCAGGACUAUUCUCACUAUUGUAAGUCGAACUACUGGAGAAAAUAUCUCGUUCAAAAAUGCCUUCAUUCUGAGCAUAUCCUUUUAUCAUCAAUCUUACACGAUACCUUUUUACUUGAUCAUUGCCAUUACGCUUGAUCUUAUAGAUCCAUUUGUUACCAAUGACUUUUUUCCCAUAUGGUAGUGGUACAAGUUCCUAUGUUUUGUUCUAUUACAAAGAUUCAUUCCUGCAUUGCUGUCAUCCAUAAAGCAACAUUUGAGCUGUUUAAAGUUUCAUGGAAAUUUGAUGGUCUUCAUCCUCUAUUAGAUGAUAAUAUGUAACAUUGAUCUCUGUAACAUACUCUGAGUGCCACACCGGUGGUCGUCUCUCUCGAGUUAACUGAUGAACUUUUGUAGCUUCGAACUCGACUAGUUCUUGUGCUUCAUGCUCUGGUGCUGCUUCAAAAGAAUCUGAAUCUUCUUUUUUCAGAUUAUUUUCCAUAUAUACCGGUAUAGUCUCAGACAUUUCUUUUAUAGUGCUAUCAUCCCUAUCUUUUCUUUGUAUUUGAUCUUCUACAAAAAUAACAUCCUUACUGAUGACAAUCUUGUGGAUAGUGGAAUCCCACAGACGAUACCCCUUUACUCCAUCAACAUACCCUAAGAAGAUACAUCUCCUGAAUUUUGGAUCCAAUUUUGUUCUUUCUUAGGCAUUGUACAACAAGUACACAGGACAUCCAAAUGUGUGCAAACGAGAGUAAUUAGCUGGCUUCCCAAUCCACAUCAACAUCGGUGUCUUCAACCCAAUUGCUGUGGAUGGCGAUUGAUUCACCACAUAACAGGUGGUUCUGGCUACUUCUACCCAAAAUGAGUUUGGUAUAUCAGUAGUCCUCAACAUGGCUUUUAUCUUUUCUAUAAGAGUUCUGUUCAUCCGCUCUACCACUCCAUUCUGUUGAAGAGUGUUUGCCACUAUGAACUAUCCUUGAAUACCUUCUUGCUUAUAAAAUGCAAGAAAUUCACCGUUUGUAUACUCUUCACCAUUAUGUAUCCUCAACCACUUAAUCGUUUUCCCGGAUUUAAGUUUUACUCGUGCUUUAUACUCCUUGAAUACUGGAAAUAUAUAUAACUUUUUUUUAUUUGAUACACCCAACAUCUCCUAAAAUAAUCAUCAAUGAAAGUUAUCAUAUACUUUGCACCUCCUAGGGACUUAUUCGGCGAUUCCCAAACAUCAGAAUGAACCAAGUCUAGAAUGCACUUAUUUCUAGCGUCAGAUCUAUUGAACUUCAAUCUAUGUGGCUUACUUGUAAAACAAUCCUCGCAAAAUGAUAAGCUCACCGAUUUGAGCCCUGGAAGCAACUUCCGUUCAGAGAGAAUUUUCAAACUUUGUUCCGACAUGUGGCCAAGUUUGAGAUGCCAUAUCAUCAUCGAUUCUUCUCUAUUUGACACGACACACGUAUAAGCUUCCUCUAGUGUUUCACCUUUAAGCAUGAAUAAAUUGGCACUGAUCUUUUUUGUUUUCAUCAAUACAAGCGCACCUCUAACAAUCUUAAUGAUCACAUUUUCCACAUGAGUCUUGCAGCCAAGACUAUCUAUUUGUCCUAAAGACAAUAGAUUUUUCUUCAGGCCUUUAACAUGUCGUACCUUCUAAGUAGUGCGAACUAUACCAUUAAAUAUUUUUAUUUUGACAGUACCAAUACCAAUGAUCUCCAAGGCAUGAUCAUCACUCAUAUAUACAGAUCUUCCUAAAAUAGGUUCAUAUUUAUGGAACCAUUCUCUCCGAUAGUUCAUGUGCUAAGUAGCUUCUGAGUCUAUAAACCAGAUGUCAGAUAGUUGUUUUCUGCCUUCUCCAACCAUUGCUGCCUCACUGUAUAAAACAUCACUAUCAUCUGAGGUACUUGCUAUACACCCAUGAACAUUUGAUGACUCAGGAUCUUUAUAUUCUCCUCUCUUUUGGUUACUCUAAAAAUCUUUCUUAGCAUACCCCAUUUUGCCACAUUUGUAGCAUCUGAUCUUCUUCUUAAUUCUUGACUUUGAUAUACCAUGAUUGUAACUCCCACUGGUACCACGUUAUGCUAAUCUCCCUCUCAUCAUUAUUAGUGCUUCCGCUUGCUGCGAACUUGUUUGCAUGUCUUCUUUAUUCUUGUGCCUACUCUCUUCUUCUAAUAUAGAGGCUGUAACAUCAUCAAAGACUAUGUACUAUGUGAAGAUAUUAUUCAUUAGGUUGAUAAUGAGUUGAUCAUAUGAGCCGAGAAGACUUUGAAGUAGAAGCUGCACAAGUUCGGUUUCCUCUAUUUUAUGCCUCAACGUUAUAAGUUGUGAAAAUAGAUUUUUCAAAGUUUUGAUAUGGUCGGUUACAACUGUGGUCUCCCCCAUUCGAAGAGUAUAGAGUCUCCUUUCUAAGAAGAUCUUAUUUUGUAGCCACUUGAUCUCGUACAGAUUUGUGAGAAUAUCUCAAAUACCCUUCGCCGUCUUUUCUUCUACCACACUGGAUAGUACCCCAUGUGCAAGUGCCAGGUGUAGAUCAACAACUGUUAUCUAUCUCAUUUCACUUAUCAUUAGUGAUUUCUGCAGGCCUUUCUCCAAUUGCUUCUAAACAAUUAUUUUUCCUUAAAAUUGCUCGUAUCUUUAUUUUUCACAACGAGAAGUUCUCAAACUUUGCUGCCAUUUUGCUAAUAUCAUACAUAAGUUAGUGUACCUCCUUGAAUAGUUAUGAGUGAUCCCGUUCACUUCCAAGGCAUGUUUUUGUUUUGGUGGUGAUAAACUUGAGUUACAUAUGUACACAAAUAUGGCAAGAGAUGUUGAUUCUAGAAAAUUCCUAUCAAAAUAUUUGCUCACUUUUGUAGGAAAAACAAUUUGAUACCAAUCUAAGCUUCAGUAGUGUGUUUAUUUGUCUACUACUGAAGCAAAGUAAAUUGUAAUCACUAAAAGUUGCAAAAAAACCUUAUGAAUGAAAAUUUUCCUCCAAGAGUUAGGUGUGAAACAAGACAACUAUAUUGUGUACUGCGACAGUCAUAGUGCCAUUCACUUGGAAAAGAAAUUGACAUAUCAUUUGAAAUCUAAGUAUAUUGAUGUGAGAUAUCAUUGGAUACAAGACGUGCUUAAGAAGAAAUAGAUGCAGCUUGAGAAGAUUCAUACAAUAGAGAAUGAAUUAGAUAUGAUGACAAAGUAAUUGCCUAAAGAGAAGCUAAAACAUUGUAUGUAGAAAGUGGGCUUGGUUGUGUCCCCUAUAUGAUCUGAAAGAGAGAUUUAUUGGGUCCAUCUCAUUUGAGUGGCCCACGCCCAAAGGUUUAUUAGUUUAGGUAGGUAAGAUAUUAAAAGAAACUUGAAGGGGGCAAAAUGAAAUUUUACAUUAAAAAAAUAAGGUUUUGAAAGCGUGGUUAUAUAAGCAGGAAUAAGUGGAGGCGGCAACAACUUUUGUGCAUGGGAAAAAGACGAGAGGGAAAGAGAUAAAUAUAUAUAAAUAUGUUAACAAAAAUGUUCUUAUACAUAUUGAAUAAAUUGGUAAGUAAAAUAUUUUAAAUACCUGAGAUAUGGAAUUGAGUAUUAGAAAUGGUUUCAGAUUAAUUAGUCCUAAUUUUAGUUCUAAAUGUACAACAGAGAAAAGAUCCAGUCCACAUUGAUGGAAACAAAAAAAUUAAUUAAACAAUUAUUGUCUAUAUCUUAAUUAUUGAUUUAAAAAGAUCGAUUGUCAAACAAGUUAAGAUUGAUUAACUCAAUCUUUUCUAAUCAAUCAUUAUUUCAAGUAUUUAUUCAAUAGCUCCAUCUUCAACCCUUUAGAAAAGUAACAUUGAAUGAGACAUCAAUCAGAGCUAGAUGCCACACCUCGCUGUUCAUCAAAAUGCCAACAUCUCUGCACAAAACUUUGCAAAACUUACAAACCAAAGGACAUAAAACAAGCUUGUAAUCACCAUAAAACUUCUCAAUCAUUAACCAAUUUCUCGUAGUUUGCGGGCCAGGAUUGCCUUUAACUCCCCAGUUGUCACAAACCUACUGCACCAAUAUUGCAUCAAAAUUGCCAAGCUUCCACACUAUGGAUUGCACACUAGUUUUUGCAACUUCAAAUUUGAUGUUUACAUCAGUGGACUUGUGAACAUUGCCUUUUUUAGGGUUUACGGGCGAAAAUGUCAUUGGCGAACCAUAUUUUAGUAUGUUUUGCUCUUGAACAACAUGUAGUGGAAAUGUUUUAUUGUUACCUCUAUUACCAAGUGUAAGACCACCUCUUCAGCCAAUAUAACUGCCAAGAUGUAGUAUUUACUGCCAGCUUGGAGCUACUUUUUGAUGAUGUUGAGAACUGGAUCAGGUGAAGCACUGCGUAGGACAGGCAAUGGCUAAACACCAGUAGGAUUUUAGAGGGUGAUGCCAAGAACUUACCCUGAAAAUUUAAGAGAAAACGGAGUUAAUUUCGCCUUCUGAUCGCCCAAUUAAAGAUUGAAAAUCUUGCCCCCAAAUUAUAAUAACCAGCCACGUUUCAUGGCAAUUUUCAUCCAACUCUAAAGCUUAAUAUUAAUUGCACAUCAAGCAAGCUUUUUCGGGCUUUAGGCUUUUGGACCCCCAAAUGAAAUGGACCCAACACUAUGAAAGUCAAAAUUUCGAGUUUGUGUUAGAAGUCAAAUACCAUUGUCUCUUCUCUUACUCUAAAUUUAUUUUUUUCAGAUCCAAUUUUUGUGUCUUGGUCAAAAGUUUUGUCAUUUUGUGUUGCAUUUAUACGGUAUGGAUUUAGGGGUUGAUUAUGGUCUUUUUUCUGAUGAUGUGGACGUUGUAGAGGCUAAAUCUCUUUGCUUUGGCAUACGACAUGCUAGUGAGGCUAGUUUGCCUCGUUGGUGGUGGACUCAGAUUCGUUGUAGGUUAUUUAGUUUGUUAGUGGCAAAUGUCAUACACGUAUUGAGCUUUUUUGGAUUAUUUCAAAAAUUGAAACGCUAAUCUCAGCGGUAGAAUUUCAAAAUGUAGCAUAUUUGAAGAUAUUGUAACCAUGUUGCUGAUGUAUUAUCUAAAUUUACUUCUCAGUAUUCAGAGUCUUUAGUUCGGUUGGAAGAUUAUCCUAAUUUUUUAAAAUGUUAUUUGUAAGUUGAAUUCUGAAAUAAAAUACCCGCAUGUAUUAAAAAAAACAUACAGUAUGGAUUUGGAUCUAGUAUUAAGUUGAACUGGGGGUAAUUAUUUAUAAUUUUUCUACCACACAUGUAUGUAUAGUAAUAUACAAUUAAAUUUUAAUUUAAUUUUAUAUUCUCAUCCAAAUAUUAUCAAUUAUAUUUUUUACAAAAUUUAGCAAAACAAUUGAACACUACUCUCAAUGAUAAAUACAAAUUUAUUGGCUAGGUUCACUGGAAAUAUCUGUUAGUAUUAAUUAAUUUAUUUUCCAAAAUAAUACUAAGGAUUUGAUGAGCGCUUCACAAUACAAAACAUUUUAAAUGAAAACCUACGCGUGCUUUUGCUGGGACACGACCUGCAGUUCGGUCUCAGGCCAUGGGCCGGGCAUAACUAAUGCUAGAUUGACAGUUUGGCACGGCACAACACUUUGACAUACAAGCUAGCAUGGGCAUGCUUGAUUGCUUGUGGCCAUUUCUAAACUAUUUUAUAAUAUCUAUUUACCUUGACGAAUUCAAUGCAAAAUUUGUUAAGUUUUAACUACUCAUUGAUUUGAUUUGUUAGAGUACGAUAUUGCCCUUGCUUAUAACGAUAUAUAUUAACUAACGUUUGUAUUGCUUCAAAUUUAUUUAUUGAGUUAAUAAGAGCAUCACCAAAAGACUCUUCAAAUAAGAUUUUAUUACUUAUUUGAAGAGCCACAUCAAUAUUUAAAAUUUCAAAAGACACUUAAAUUAAGAUUUUUUAAAUAAGAAUUAAUUCUCUCUCUUCAAAUUUAGAGAGUUAAUUUCUCCCUCUUCAAUUUAUAUUUUAUUACUUUUCAUUGAAGAAAGAGAGAGAAGUGCUUUAAUUGCUAUUGACUUUUCCUUUAAAAAGUUAAUUAUAUGAUUAAAAUAAUAUUAACUCUAUUUGAAGAGUCUUUUGGAGAAUAUCAUAUUUGUUCACCUUUUUAUUUGCCACAUAGGUAAGCAAAUAGGUAUUUGAAGAGUAAAAUUUAUAUAGGCUUUUGGAGAUGCUAGAAUAACAACCUCAAUUCUCGCUUUUUGUAGAAUUUGUAUGCUUGGGAGUCCCUGAUGAUUAAAUAAACCAAGAUUUUACCAUGACUGCAAUUUUAGCUUCUAUAACUGGAUAACUAGCACUGAAAACUGCCUUUACAUUGGUUGGUUUGGUGUUUUGAUGAUCCCUACUUUAUUGACCGCAACUUCUGUAUUUAUUAUCGCCUUUAUUGCUGCUCCUCCAGUAGAUAUUGACGGUAUUCGUGAACCUGCUUCUGGAUCUCUACUUUAUGGAAAUAAUAUUAUUUCUAGCGCGAUUAUUCCUACUUCUACAGCUAUAGGUUUGCAUUUUUACCCGAUAUGGGAAGCGGCAUCCGUUGAUGAAUGGUUAUACAAUGGCGGUCCUUAUGAGCUAAUUGUUCUACACUUCGUAAUUGGUGUAGCUUGUUACAUGGGUCGUGAGUGGGAACUUAGUUUCCGUCUAGGUAUGCGUCCUUGGAUUGCUGUUGCAUAUUUAACUCCUGUUGCAGCAGCGACUGCUGUUUUCUUGAUCUACCCAAUCGGUCAAGGAAGUUUUUCUGAUGGUAUGCCUCUAGGAAUCUCUGGUACUUUCAACUUCAUGAUUGUAUUCCAGGCUGAGCACAACAUCCUUAUUAAUAAUACGUAAUGAAAUGUUUAAAUACUAAAAUGGAUUUGAGUUUUGCCCAUCCUUGUUUUUUUCUUUCGCUUUCCGAUCUCAAAAUGUAAAAUUUGGAAAUUUCAUCUAAUUUGUUUUAUUGCAUUGCUGCUGAGUGAAAUCUUCAUUCGAGAAAUAAAAUUUUCAAGAUAAUUAAUUUUUAUUAAGUAUUCACUACACUGAAAAAUCUAUAAAUUCAAUAGCCACCAAUAACUCAAACAAUGUCUACUACAAAUACAUAGGACACUCUAUUUACUUUUUCAAUUCAAAAUCUUAGAAAGAUUUCACAAUUGAAUAAAUCAGCGCAUUAAUUCUAAUUAUUAUGCUACUUCUUUUUUAUAUUAUUAUUUAGCUUAAUGUCAACCAAAGUUCCAUCCUACUCAUGUGAACAAAGUUCAAACCUUGAAUCUCUUGUUUUUAACAGAAAGGAUUUUAUAAUUUCGAACAGAUGAUACCUACAAAAGUUACAAUGCUACUUUGAUAUAGUAGAGUUACAAAACUUUUAUAAAACUUACAAAAAUACCAAAAUACUCAUAUACAGUAAAAUCUCUAUAAAAUGAUAUUGUUGGAACUAGGAAAAAAAUUUAUCAUGAUGAUGGUUAUUUAUUAAUUAAUGAAGAAUUUGUUAAUUUAUUGGUAAAUUAAUGAAUAUUUAUUAAUUUAAAACGAGUAUUACUUUUUAAUUACUUGUGUUAUUUAGGCAUGUGUACUAUUCUUUUCACAAAUAUUUCAAAUUAGGCAUGUGCAUGAAUUUCAAAAGUUAUCAUAUAUACAAAAGAUUCCAAUAAAUGUUAUGAACAUAUACAUAGAAGCACAAAAUAAUGUAAGUACAUUGUACAUAGUUUCAAAUUUAUUACCCUUUGAAGAUAAAGUGUUUCAGAUGCUUAGAGUACAUAGAUUAAAAAGUCUAUAAGUACAUUGGUCAUUAGUUUCAAAUUAUUUGAUGCAUAUUUUUAGAAAAGAGUUUAAUUAAAAAAAGUAUAGUUUUUAAGAAAAAACUCCUAAUUAAAUAUAAUGAAUUUUAUAUGUUAUUUAUUAUUGGUAUUUCUUGUACUUAUUAAUUUAUAUUUUCAUUGGACCCUAAAGGAUUCAUGGAAAAAAAUUAUUUCAUGCAUUUAACAAGAUUGUUAAUUUAGUACAAUGGCCAAGUCAGGACUAGAAGAUUUUAUUAUUUAAUAAAAAUUAUUAAUAAUUUUUAGACUUUUCAUAAAUUUUAAAUUUACUAAUUUUUAAUUUUUAGUACAUUAAUUUAUUGAAUAUUUAUUUAUCGAUAUCUUACAGAAGAUUUAAAUAACUUGUGAUAAAGUAAACGGGUUUUCAUUACAUGGUGUCAAAUUUCUGAAACCCUAUUUUUGAUAAAAGCAGCACAGCUGUUAAUAAAAAAAGAAAACAUUUGCAUUCAUUUAGAUCACAUGAGUGGGCAAACUCAUAUUUGAGUGAUUACAUGUUUGCUCUCGUAGGAUGGCCUUGGCUGCCCAAGUUAUUAAAAGGAAUUGAAAAUUUAAUUAUCCAUUUUGUAAUUUUUAUGUUUAGUCUCCUUAUUUUUCUAAAGGGAGGAAAGUUUGUAUCCUAUUGAAAUGAAUAUAUAUCACAUACCUUUUACUAUUUUUAUAAUAUCUAAUAACCCUCUUGGCAUAAAAAUUAAAAAAAAAAAAAAAGAGAAGAGAAGUAAAUAAAUCAUUUACUUGAUAUUUGAUAUUGGAAAUAUAAAAUUAUUAUAAGAAACAAAUUUGCAAAAAUAAAAGUACAAGUAAAAUAUCUUGUGAUAAAUUUUUUAUUCAUAUCAGAACCUAAGAAAUGUACUUACUUUUUAUAUUAAUUUAUAUAUUUUAUUUAAUUUAUAAUAAAUAUAAAUAAAAGUACAAUAGAAAAUAAGAGUAAUAUUAUAAAAUAAUGGUGUCAGAUAACUAUUAGGUAUUAAAUAGUAAGGGUAUAAGUAAUAUAUACUCAUUUCAAUAGAACAAUCACCCUUUUUCUAGGCAAUUUCAUCCGUGUAGCAUCUAUGGAUGGUUUAUUUAUCAUAGUCCCAUUGUUGGCUUCUUCAAUUUUAUAUACCUUAUGCUGUAAUCAAGCAAAGUUCAUAUUAUAUAUUUUCUGAAUGGAGUUGAACUAUCACAAUAAUUUUAUCUUCUUCGUACAUUGAGAUGAAAAUGUUGACACCAAUCAAGAAAAUGAUGAACCAAAAUACCCACAUGAAGAAAAAAAAUAUUUAUUAUUCAUAGACAUGCAACAUUGAUGCAACUUUUAUUAUUACAACUUAGUUUAUUCAUUUAUUAAAGCAUGCGUACAGCCUUAAAAGAAAAAAAAAACUUUAUUUUUAACUGGAAGCAUUUGCGGAGCUCUCAGCAGCUCGAUCUUCAAACCUUUUUAAACACAACUUUGAACGGAACAUCACUCAAAGCCAGACGCCGCACCCCACCAUUAAUAAAAAUGCCAACAUCUCUGCACAAACCUCUGCAGAAAUUACAAACCGAAGGACAGUAGACAAGCUUGUAAUCACCAAAAAACUUCUCAAUCUUAAACCAAUUUCUCAUGGUUCUGGGGCCGGGAUUGCCUUCAACUCCCCCAGUUGUCAAAAGCCACUGUCCUAAUACCGCAUCAAAAUUGUCAAGCUUCCACACUGUGGACUGCGCACAACUUGUUGCAGCGUCAAAUUUGAUAUUUAAGUCGGUGGACUCACGAACAACGCCUUUUUUAGGGUUAACGGGCGAAAAUGUUACCGGCAAACCAUUUCUAAAUGAGUGCUGCUCUUGAACAACAUCUAAGAGACAUGUCUUAUUGUUGCUUCUGCCAGCAAGUGUAAGCCCGCCGCCUCGGCCCUUUGUAACGGGCAAGAUGUAGUACUUACUGCCAGCUCGGAGCUGCUUACCGGCGAUGUCCAGCACCGGAUCAGGUGAAGCAUUGCCCCUGACAGGCAAUGGCGUCGCAAUGAAGGCAAAGAGAAGGAUCAGCGAGGGUAAGACUAGUGUACUUCUCAUUGUUAUAUCGUUAUAUUUUUUGUUCUUAUCUUUUGUUGUUGCGUGUAAAUAACCCUUAUGAGGCCAAAUUUAUAGAGUUAGGCUAGUAUAGUUAAUUGACGGACAGCAAGUUGGUUUGAUUCGCCUAAUGUCCGAUUCCAGAAGCCAAUGGUCGCCCAUAAGACAAGAGCGGAUUAUCAGAUUCUGCUUUGUGUACUGUAAUUAUUAUUAUUAUUUGUUUCCCGCCUAAACAGCCUGAUAAGAAGAUUUAAUACAAAUUCAACAAUAGAAAGCGUAGUCUAGUAAGAAAGUCAAAGAUUUAGUUUAGAAUUAGAAGUUAAUAAUCUUACUUUUUCUCUUACACCAAAUUUAAUGGAAUUUAGAUGUGAUUCCUGUUUCUUUGUCAAUGGUUUUGUCAUUUUGUUUAAAUUGCAUAGUGUAUAUGUUUAAUUUUAAGGACAUGUUUCUUUUCUUUGAUUCCUGUGUCUUUGUCAAUGGUUUUGUCAUUUUGUUUAAAUUGCAUAAUAUAUAUGUUUAAUUUUCAGGACAUGUUACCAAUGGGUCUUUGGUCCAGUGGGAGAACUCUUACACUUACAAUGUUGAGUGCAAGGAUUUGAGCUUUCAUAAAAGCAUUUAUGGGGGUUAUUUACAAUCCUCCCUCAAUUAUCAAAUAAUUGAGUGGAGCCAGUCUAUUCCUCACGAAAUGUGAGUGAAGUGGACAACUCUCGAAUAUUUGAGAGUACAUGCCACGAAGAAGGUCCCAAUUGUAAAAUAUAUUUGUAGAUAUUAAUUGUAAUACCUGAUGUAAGAUCAAUAACAAUCUUGUAUAACAUUAUUUUAAAAAAAAAAUUAAGGACAUGUUUCUUUUCUUUUUGUGCUGAAAUUAGUCUCGUCAAGCUAGGCGUUUAUCGAAAAAUUAAAGUAGCAAAUAAAUGAUAAAGCAUAUGUUUAGGGAGGCGCAACUUGGCCCCCCUUAUUGAAUAUAAAAAUUGCACCAAGAAUUUGAAAACAUGAAAUGAUGUAGAAAGACAUAUAGAUGAUGAUAUGAAAACAUGUUACUAGCAGAUCUAUUGGCUAAGUUCAUAUGGAGAUGCCUGUUAGUAUUAAAUUAUAUGAAAUUAUUAAUUGUUUAUCUUAAAUUUAUUCUGUUAUAAAAAAAUAUAAUGUAAUUUUGAAUUUCUUUGAUUUUCCACUCUAAGUUUGUAAAUUAUAACCGUAUACAAACUCAAGUCGGAAAAUCAAAUAAAUUCAAACUUUCAUUGUAUGUUUUUAUAACAUGGUGAACUUAGGGCAUAUAGCUUAUAAUUUUUCUAAGUUUUAUUUUAUUAUUUAUAGUGAAAAGUAAAAAAUGCCCUUGAAUUCAAGGGUAAAAUUAUCUUUUCACUUAGAUUCUAUUGAAUAUUAUAAUAGAGUUAACAUUUUGGUGGACGGUAAUACAAUUUACAAACUUAGGGUGAAAAAUCAAAUAAAUUCAAAUUUUUGCAUUUUAUUUAUAGCAAGGUAAACUUAGUAUAUACAGUAAAUAAUUUUCCUUUAUUUAUUUAUGUUUAGGCCCAUUUUUUAACCCAAAUGGACUACAAUAUUAAUGAAUUUGUCUUCAAAAGGGAUUGGAGUAGGGAUGCGAAUUGAUCCAUCCAAGUUGGAUAUCUAUAUAUCCAAUCCAAUUGGGUUAGAUAAUAUCUAUCCAAUGCAUGUUGGAUAAGAAUAUGAUUUAUUUUAUUUAAAUAUCUAAUUAGAUAUUGGAUGGAUAUGAAUAUUAGAUGGCAAUCCAUUUAUUUGAUUGGUUUGAAAAAUAAUAUUUUAUAAAACUAAAAUGAAGUGAAAAAUUAUAUUUUACAUAAUAUUCAUUUACCCGAAUGUCAUAUCCCUUUUAUAUUUUUAAUUUAACAAAUCCUAGAUUAUCUCUUUUUACUUCACACGUCGGCUACUAGUUGCUCACGAGCCAUUGAUCACACCGGUUGUUGCUUGUUCACGGGACAUUGAUAUAGUUUAUUCCCGACUUUGCUAUCUCCUCUUCAGCAUUACAGCUUCUUCUUUUCUUAUUUAACAAAUCUUUCUUUUUAUCUUUCUCUCGGUGCAUUAAUAACUACAUGUGUUAGCUUUUAUUUUAUGAUAUCAAUUAAUGGUCCAAAUGUUGCGUGAACUGUGGAAGUUUUCUUCUUUGCUUGAGUUAAAUGAAAAUUUGAAAUAUACUGAUAAUUUGGUGUUCGCAUGUUAAUUUAUGGAUAAUUCGACAAAAUUCACAUGUAGAAAUUACUUUUGAAAUUCGUGGGUUAAAUAAAUUUUUAUGGACUAAAAAUUCAUUUCAAACACCUGCCAUUUCUUUUAAACUAAUACUUACUAGGUAAAAAUGGUUAUUGUUUCAAUUACUUUGAUUUGUGAGUGUAUAAUUUGAUGAAUAGUGGAUUUGAAAUAUUCCGUAAACAACACUUUGGUCAAUAUUUGUGAGUGCAAGAUUUGAUGUCCCAUGCCAACACAUGUAGUAGAAUUUAGUAUGGGUGGUCGAUUUUUAAUCCCAUAUUGUAGUAAACUUCAUCCUACACAUUAGAGACCUUAGUGUGUACUCACAAUUAGGUAUGAGCUCAAAUAAAAUGUAUCAAACUCAUUUGAGUUCCACAUUUUAUUUAAGUUUGAUAACAAUUGUUUACAUUCUAUUUCAAAAUCACUUUUAUUUUUUUUAACCAAAAGAGAAAAAUGGAAUUCCCAAAGACAAGCUGACUAAUAACAGAGAAGAAAUAAAUCGCGAAGUGACUGAUGAUGAUGAUGAAUAGGAGACAUAGCACAUGUUUUGAAUAGUGCUUAUUUUUUCUUUUUUUUUUUCUGCGCGCUUGAUGCUCAUUAUGAUGCUAUCAUGGUCAUACAUAAUGCACACUAUUUACUUAUUUAAUGCUUUAAUUGUAUUAAUUUGUAGAUUUAUGAUGAUGAUCUAAUUCAAGAUUGAAAGCUUAAUUGUAAGUCAUUACAAACAAGCCUUAUUAGAAGAAUAAUUUUUUUUUGUUUUUGAGUUUGAAAUUAAUUUGUAAUUUCAAAUGAUAGUUUCUUUUUUGUGAAUUUGUAGUUAUGAUAUUUGUUAUUUGGAUGUUUAUUAUUUCUAAUUUAGUAUAAAAAUCUGAUAUUGAUUUAACUAUUUUAUAUUGUUAUUUUUUAUUUCAUAUUUUUUUGCUUUCUUUUCAUAUGAUAAAAAUUAAAUAUUCGUGGAUAUUCGUGUCCAUAUCCAUAUCAAAUUUUAAAACUUAGAUAUAAAUAUGGACAUAUUCAUCAUAGCUAAUUAUGAAUUUACAUUUGGAUGGAUACUUGCCAUCGAUAGAUUAGAGUAGUUUGAUCAAAUGGCGCUCGACGAACUGGAUAUUGGUAGGAUGGUGUGUGUAUAUGUGUGUGUUUGUGUGUGUGUGUGUGUGUGUGUGUGUGUGUACGCGCGCGUGUGUAUGUAUAUGAGAAUUGACAAUCAGCAAGAAAAGGCUUUAUUAUAUGCUUAACAAAAGUGCUAGGCGUGUUUGAUAUCUCGAAAACAACAUCACCAUCCAUUAAUAACACUCCUCCUCUUACAUUUUUUAACGCCGUCUUUUAAAGGAGGCAAAAUGGGUUGAUGGGUUGAAUUUGUGUCAAAUCCUAAAUAACUUAUUGUUAAGUUUUGGAAUUUAAAUUCAAUCUAUUUAUUAAACAAAUAAUAAUAUAAAUUAUUUUUUGAUUUUAUUCCUUUAUCUUUAAGUAACAAAUGAAUCGAAUCGAAUUUUGAUUGGUUUAGUUUGUUCAUCUAUAAUCAUACUUUUAUUUUUGUCUUUUCAUCAGUUAAUUACAAAACUAGUGUUACCGCUUAAUGAUUUUUGUAUUAAAUUUAAAAUUAUAAAUUUGACUAAGAAUCUUAAUUAACAAAUAUUAAUUUUUGAAUAUGAGUUCCUUAGGAAGCAAAGAAUCAAAAUUUUAUUUCAAAAUAAAAUGCUAAACUCCGAAAUAAUCCACUCUUCUAUAUCAAUCGUCCUUGGUGCCCGGGAUUUUUCUCAAGGACUAGCUGAGCUUUUGACAUAAUAUUUCUUAUUUUGCCAUUUACUCUCUGAAUAUGAUAUACUAAUAAAUAAUCUCUCACCAUCAAUGAUUAUUUGCAGAUAAAGAAGAUAGAUCAAAUGGAACACAUGAAAUACAUUUGGUGCAAAAAUGUGGGCUCUAAUCAGGAAAAUGACGAACCAAAAUACCAACACGAAGAAAAGUUUUUAUUGUUCGUAAACAUGCAACAUCAAUGCAACUUUUAUUAUUACGACUUUAUUCAUUUAUAAAAGCAUGCGUGUAACUUUAAAACGAAACAAACUUUAAUUCAACUUAUUUAAUUUAUAUUAAUUUCAAUUUAUAUGAUUUACUUAAUUUACAAUAAAUUUGAAAAAAGUGUAUUGAAAAAUAAAAUAUGAAAAAAGUGUAUUGAAAAAUAAAAUAAAGUAAUGUUAUUUAAUAAUGGUGUCUAAUGGUUAUUAUUUAUUAUAAAAAUAAUACGAAAAUAAAUAAUAUAUAUGUUUAUUUUAGUAAAGAGAAAAUUAACAAUCUCUUUUUUUAUAGAAAAAUUUAUCGGUAUAUCAUCUAUGUAUGGAUUAUCCAUUACAGUCCCAUGGUUGGCUUCUUUAAUUCUACAUAUUUUAUUUUAUGCUAUAAUCGAGUCAAGUUCAUAGAUUCUUAUGGUUCCCGUCAAAUCAAAAUCCUGCAUUACAAGAAAUUAAUGCAUAAUUUUUUCUUACUGGAAUUGAACUAUCACAAUGAUUUAAUCUCCUUCGUAAUUUAAAAUGAAAAUGUUGACACCAAUCAAGAAAAUGAUGAACCAAAAUACCCACAUGAAGAAAAAAAUAUUUAUUAUUCAUAGACAUGCAACAUUGAUGCAACUUUUAUUAUUAUAACUUAGUUUAUUCAUUUAUUAAAGCAUGCGUACAGCCUUAAAAGAAAAAAAAAAACUUUAUUUUUAACUGGAAGCAUUUGCGGAGCUCUCAGCAGCUCGAUCUUCAAACCUUUUUAAACACAAUUUUGAACGGAACAUCACUCAAAGCCAGACGCCGCACCCCACCAUUAAUAAAAAUGCCAACAUCUCUGCACAAACCUCUGCAGAAAUUACAAACCGAAGGACAGUAGACAAGCUUGUAAUCACCAAAAAACUUCUCAAUCUUAAACCAAUUUCUCAUGGUUCUGGGGCCGGGAUUGCCUUCAACUCCCCCAGUUGUCAAAAGCCACUGUCCUAAUACCGCAUCAAAAUUGUCAAGCUUCCACACUGUGGACUGCGCACAACUUGUUGCAGCGUCAAAUUUGAUAUUUAAGUCGGUGGACUCACGAACAACGCCUUUUUUAGGGUUAACGGGCGAAAAUGUUACCGGCAAACCAUUUUUAAAUGAGUGCUGCUCUUGAACAACAUCUAGGGGACAUGUCUUAUUGUUGCUUCUGCCAGCAAGUGUAAGCCCGCCGCCUCGGCCCUUUGUAACGGGCAAGAUAUAGUACUUACUGCCAGUUCGGAGCUGCUUACCGGCGAUGUCCAGCACCGGAUCAGGUGAAGCAUUGCCGUUGACAGGCAAUGGCGUUGCAAUGAAGGCAAAGAGAAGGAUCAGCGAGGGUAAGACUAGUGUACUUCUCAUUGUUAUAUCGUUAUAUUUUUUGUUCUUAUCUUUUGUUGUUGCGUGUAAAUAACCCUUAUGAGGCCAAAUUUAUAGAGUUAGGCUAGUAUAGUUAAUUGACGGACAGCAAGUUGGUUUGAUUCGCCUAAUGUCCGAUUCCAGAAGCCAAUGGUCGCCCAUACGACAAGAACGGAUUAUCACUCUCUGCUUUGUGUACUGUAAUUAUUAUUAUUUUUUUCCCGCCUAAACAGCCUGAUAAGAAGAUUUAAUACAAAUUCAACAAUAGAAAGCGUAGUCUAGUAAGAAAGUCAAAGAUUUAAUUUAGAGUUAGAAGUCAAUACCCUUAUCUUUUCUCGAACACUAAAUUUAACGGAAUUUAGAUCUGAUUCCCGUGUCUUUGUUGAUGGUUUCGUCAUUUUGUUUUGCCUGGUAUAUAUGUUUAUUCUUAAAAGCACAAGUUUUUAGCUGAAGUUGACCUGGUCAAGCGACGAGUUUAUUGAAAAAUUAAAGUAGCAAAGAAAUGACAAAGCAUAUGUCCAGCGAGGCACAACGUGAGCCCUGUCCUUUAAUUUAAAAUUUGCACCAAGAAUUUGAAAACAAAAAAUGAUGUAAAAAGACAUACAAGCGAUGAUCAAAACAUGUUACCAGCAGAUCUAUUGGCUAUGUUCAUAUGGAGAUAUCUGCUAGUAUUAUAUUAUGUGAAAUUAACAGCCGUAGACAGAUUUUGUAUAAAAAAUAUUAAAAGAUUUUGUAUUUGUUUAACUUUUCACACUAAGUUUUCAGAAUAAAAUAAUAGAUUAAAAUUUAAAAAAAAAAUUUAUUACCAAUAUUCAAUUAAAUACAUUUAAAACUCUAAUGUUUUCCUUAAAUAAGAAAAGAGAAAUUAUCAGCCAUGUACCAUUAAAUGACACCAGUAUCAAACGUGCUACAACACUUUUCAAGUGUAUCACUCGUAUACCCUAAGUUGACAAAACACUUCUGCCGUCCACCAAUCCGUUAAUUGCCGUUUGCGAGCGCUGAUAUCAUAAGGGCAUUCUAGUCUUUUAAAAAAAAGACAUGUCAUCCCAUUUACCUAGUAAAAAACGAUAUGUCAUAUGAUAUAUUUUGAUAAAAAUGACAUGUCAUCCCAUUUAUCUAAUAAUUGCUAAAAAAAAGCUACUUUACAACCGAAUCUACUCCUCCAAAAUUUAACCUAAAUUAUUGAAGAUCUACUCCUCCAAGCUCAAACUUGAAUUUUUUAUGGUAUAAUAUGUAUAAUUAUAAAUAAUAUGUUGUUAAUAAUUUUUUAUGGUAUAAGAUGAAUAUUUUUUAUGGAUAAUUGUUAAUAAUAUGUACCAUUAGUAAUUCAUAUUUUUUAAUAAAAAAUGUAUUGUUAAUAACAAAAUAUAAAAAAAUUGUGUAUAGAAAAUUUACAUUAAUUUUCAAGGUAAAUUUAUUUUUUUACCUCAUUUUGAGUUUAAAGGGUAAAAUAGUCAUUUUGCUCAAAUUUUGUUAAGUUCUUAACGGAAGUAAACGGAAAGGUGGAUGCCACAACUCUUUUGUCAACUUAGGGUAUACGAAUGAUAUAAGCGAAAAGUGUUGUAGCACGUUUGAUACUGGUGUCAUUUAAGGGUAUAUGGCUGAUAAUUUCCCAUAAGAAAAAAUAUAUAUAUAGUUUGUCUUCUCAGUUUAUCUUCACAAAUUUACACAAUCUAUCCUAAUUGGUGGACACCCAAUCAAUUUAGCCAAUUCAUUUUCUUAAUUAAAAAAAGCUAAAUUAAAUUUAAUUAUUUAUGGUGCAAAGUAAAAAAUACCAUUGAAUUCAAGGGUAGAAUUGUCAUUUUACUUAAAUUCUGUUAAGUAUUCUAAGGGUGUGAACGUUUUGCUGGAUGAUUGAUAUAAAUUACAAGCUUAGGGUCGAAAAUCAAAUAAAUUCAAACUUUUGCAAUAUUGUUUUAUAACAUGUAAACUUAGGACACGUUGCUUAUAAUUUUUCAAAAUUUUAAGUGCUUAAGACUACAGUAUAUAUCCUUAAUAUGGUUUCAACUAAAGCGACUACAAAAUCCACUUAAGAGUUUUAGACGGGCAAAAAGCCUAGUCUAAAACACUUGCUCGUUGGGGAUCUCUAGCUAAGACAAGGCCUUAUUGGCCUAAUGAGAAAAAACUGGAAAUAAGAAUAGUGAGUUGUUAUUUUAUUAGAUACUCUAAAAGAUCCGCGAGAUACAAGUUUUAUGAUUCCGUGACUACGUCAAUUUUUGAGUUGGAAAAUGCUCAGAUGUCGAGUUUGCGGGUGUGAUAUGGCUAGAGACUUUGUCUUUGAAGAGGGAUAUAUUAAUAUUCCCAUAGGUGUUAUUAGCAUUGAUCAAGGUCUUGUUUCCUUAUACAAGAAGUAGUUCUAGAAGAACAAACUCUACCACCUCAAGAGCCUACUCUAUUAACGAGAUCCACUAGAGAAAGGAAAAGUACAGUGCUAGAUGACUACAUUAUUUUUCUCCAAGAGCAUGAGGUAAACAUUGGAGUGAUGGAAGAUGAUUCGAUCAUUUUCUGCCAAGCCAUAGAAAGUUCUAACUCUCAGAGGUGGAUUGAUGGUGUGAAUGAGUAGAUGAAGUCUGUGAAGGACAAUGAUGUAUGAGAUCUUGUCCCAUUACCAGAAGGUGUGAAUCCUAUUGGUUGUAGAUACAUAUUUAAGACUAAGAGGGAUUCAAAAGAUAAUGUAGAGCAGUACAAGGCAUGUCUUGUCAGAAAAGACUUUAUAUAGAAAGAAGGCAUCAACUAUAAAGAAUCUUUCUCUCUGGUUUCCAUAAAAGACUCUUCCAGCAUUAUAAUGGCAUUAGUGGUACAUUUCAAUCUUUAGUUAUAUUAAGUAGAUGUGAAGACAGUGUUUCUCAAUGGUGACAUUGAUGAGAGUAUCUAUAUGGUGCAACAAAAACUUUAUGUUAAGAAACCCAAAUAAUAUGGUUUGUGAACUUAAAAAAUUCAUUUAUGGACUCAAGCAAGUAUCUCGACAAUGAUAUUUCAAGUAUUAUCAAGUAAUCAUCUCAUUUGAUUUUGAGAUGAAUUUGGUCGAUGAUUACAUAUACUAUAAGUUCUAUAUGAGCAAGUAUAUUUUUUUCGUUUUAUAAAUCGGUGAAAUUUUUCUUGCCAGCAGUAAUAUAGGCUUAUUACAUGGCACCAAGAGAUUUCUAGCUAAGAAUUUUGAGAUAAAAGAUCUUAGUAAGCCUUUUUUGUAGUAAGCAUACAGACACACCGGGAUUGCUCUUGAGGUAUUCUUUGAUUAUCGCAAAAGAGUUAUAUCAAAACGAUUCUCAAGAGAUACGGCAUGCAAGAUUGCAAAGCAAGUGAUACCCAUAUGGCUAAGGGAUAUAGGUUUAGUCUCAAUCAGUUCCCUGAGAAUGAUUUUGAGGUGAAAUAAAUGCAGAAGAUUCCUUAUGCAUCAAUAAUAAGAAGUCUAAUACAUGCUUAAGUUUGUACGGGACCGGAUAUUGUGUAUGUUAUUGAGAUGUUUGGCAGGUACUUAAGUAAUCUAAGAGCAGACUAUUGAAAAGCGGCCAAACAAGUCUUGCGAUACUUACAGAGAAUAAAAGGCUACAUGCUUAUGUAUCAGAGGCCAGAUUAAAUUGAGAUUGUCGGUUAUAUUGACUCCAAUUUUGCUGGAUGCCAGGAUAGUAUAAAGUACAAAUUGGGCUACAUUUAUCUACUCGUUGCGAUUGUUGUCUGUUGGAAGAAUGUUAAAUGGUCUCUUACAGCCUCUUCUACGAUGGCACUAGAGUUCAUAACAUGUUAUGAAGUAUCCAAUCACAGAAUAUGGCUACGAAAUUUUGUCCUGGGACUGUGAAUAGUAGAUGGUAUUGAUAGAUCACUCAAUUUAUCUUGUGGCAAUAAGUCAAUAAUGCCUUAUUCGAAUAACAACAGGAGCUCGAUGAAGUCAAAGUAUAUAGACAUCAAGUUCCUAGCUGUUAAAGAAAGAAUUCAGAAUGGACAAUUGUGUAUAGAGCACGUGAGCACAAACUCCAUGAUUGCAGAUCCGCUUACUAAGGUAUUGCCACCCAAGAUGCUUUAUGAAUUAUGAGCACACUACUCAUAUAGGUGUCAUGUCAUUAAAUGAUAUUUACUUUAGUUGGAGAUUGUGAUUUUAAAUGCUCAUACAAUAUAGACACUUUUUCAGUUAUUUUAGUUUCUGGAUAUUUCAGGUUAUUUUCUAUAGAAAUUAUUACUGUUUUGGUUUUCCAUGGCUAAAAGAAAUCAAAAUAAUAAUAUAUGUAUUUGUAUUCGUAUGUAUUGAGUACCAUCCUUAGAGAUAAGGAUGAGAGUGUGAGUGUAACAUAAAGUAAGGAGUGAGUUGUAAAGUAGAUUCUUUAGAGAUAAGGAUCAAUUAUGUACACAGUGUGUAAUAGUGGUUCCCUUGUGCCUAUAAAAGGGAACCCUUGGUUUGUUUCUAGGCAUCGAGUCUUAGAGUCCAAUAUUGUAUUCUAAAUCUCUCAUUCCUAUUAAUGAAGUAACCUUCCUAUGUUUUCAAGAAAUCUAAAUUUUGGUAUCAGAGCCAUAUUUCCCAAAAGGAAACCCCUGGGUGUGCAAUAAUAUUAUGCUCUGUGGUUGCCGAAAUACUUCGGAUCCUUCACAUCAGAAAGUUGUUGGAUACUGAUCUGACUGUCCAAAUUUUCCAUACUAAAACACUACAGAGUGAAUUCUGGAAGGUGUGGCGCCCCCCCUUGAAAAGGCCAAGAGAGCCGUGUUUAGGGCUUAUCACCCCAAAGAAAACCCUUUGAUUUCUUUUAGCCAUGGAAAACCAAAACAGUAAUAGAUCCGGAAACCAACUAAUUUCUGACCAAGCAUCCACUUUGGCCAUCAGAGUUCCAACUGAUAGCUCACCCUCCAUAAAUUUCCAUUAUGAAACCUAAGAGGAUGAAAGCAAUGAGAGAGCAGUUCAGUCCUUCAGACUUGAUCCGUUAGACCCUUAUAGAUACUAUCAUAUCAGUCCUACUUUAAACCACAUAAGGGCCAUAAUCCUCAUCAAACAACCUAAGCUCAAAACCAUCUAUAAAUCCUCUGAAAUCAUUGUCCAGUCCAUCUCCUCUAUUUCAAAGGAAACAUACCUUCCCAUAAUCUCUACCAAUGAGGUUACAAGGUAUAAAUUGUAGGGAUAUAAGGGAUUACACCUUGGAGUAAUCCAGAUAGGGAUACAACCUUUAUUCCUAGCUGGAAAAGAUAUUACAUGUUUCAUUGCCAUUCUAGACACUAGAUGGCAAGCUUUUGAAAAGGCCUUGAUUACUGCUGUUGAAGCAGGACUCAACCAAGGUCAUGUUGUUCUCCAAGUUGAGCCAAACUUCACCCUUGACAUACACAAGCCAUCCCUCACAGAUGCCAUUAAGGUAUUAAUUCAAGUCAAUAGUUUAACCAUGAAACCUGAUGAAUCUACCUUGGCAAUUCACCAUACUAUGACCUAUAAGGUCCAAACCCAUUUGUUCUCGAUGAGCAGCUCUGGCAAACCUAUUACCAGAUUUCUUGCUGGUGAUGGCAGAAUCUUUCAACCCAGGACUUAUAGGCAAAACCAACUCAUUUUUCCACCACAAUGGAUCAAUGAGUAUGAGAAAAACAACAGACCUCAACAAAUCCAUGAGGUUCCAAAGAUAAGCAGGUUGCAAGAAGGAAGGGUAUCAGUCUCUUUUCCUACUGAGACUAAAGCCCUCUAUCCUUGUGAAAAGUGUCAACUUGAAAGAAAGCAUCCCUCUUUGUGCACACAUAUGCCAAGAAGAACCACCUCCUGCAGAAUCAUGAGUCCAGUCAACAUGAUCACCACUCCUGACCUUGAUAAUGAAUUCAUCAAGGAUAUUCCUGGAGGAAUGUAUGCUGCCAAAUGGGUAAUACAGAAGACCAGCCCAACUGAAUUCGGCCCAAUUGAGAAGGCAGUCAACUGGUUAAACAUUAAUGUGAUGGAACAGAACCAGACAUUAGGAGACAUCAUGGUCACCCAACAGCAAAUCCUUGCUGAUUUAGCUGUCAUCAGAAAACAGCUAAAGAAGACCAGAAAAUAGUAUAAAAUGACUACCCAACAGUUUUCUCAACUACAUGAUAAUGCCUCAAGAUCUAUCAACAUGAUUGUUAUGACUGGAGCUGCAGAUGAGGACGAAAUGGAGAGAACAAAGGAAAGCUACCAAAAGAAGGUGUCCAGACAUUGAAAGAGUAAACCCACAAAACCAUGGCAUAUUUGGGAGAAAAUGCAUCUGGCAAUUGUUAGAAGGCAUUCUGGAAAAGUUAUGCUCCUCCUCCCCAAUAUCCAUGGCCUCAAAAGGCCACAGGAUGGAACGAGAAAUUUGAUACUGAAGAAGAAUCAAGUAUUUCCUCUGAUGAUACUACAGGGAUCCCUCCGAUUCCCAUUCUUAUGCAAAGAGCAAAUCCUCCAAAUCCAUUCUAUGUGGAUACUCGAACUAGAUUUGCAGCCUCAACACCAACACAGGGUCAAACUUCUGAUCCUACAAGACAUGAACAAACUCAGAACCCGUCAGGCACAGCACAAUUCACUGCUCCAGAAUUCACUAAUCAACCAACAACAUCUGCGGAAGUAUCCUCCAAUCUGGUCGAUCAAACUGCUGAACGUGCCCCACAUAUAGAUGAAGUAUCCCAAGGAGAAGAUUGGGAAACCAGGGUACAACUAGGGCACUCCACAACCGAAAAAAUGUUCUAGAAUGUCGAUGGAAUGAAGCCAAAGGAAAUGUUGGCUUAUUUUAAAAAAAUGGUAACUUGGUAUGAAGGAGAAUGCCAACGAGCCCCUCAGUUGAGUAGAAGAUCAGCUGCACUAAGGCUGAUAGCAGGGUUCAUCGGUUCGCUGAGACGAUGGUGGGGAAGAAAGCUCACCAGAGACCAAAGACAGUUUAUUCUCAGCAGGGAAGAUCCUUGUGGAAGCUUGGUAGAGAAUCUAUCAUUAGAUUUUCUAGGCCAAUACAUAAGAGAAGAAGAGGUUGCUGAAAAGCAAUUUCUACAAAACAAGUGCUGUGAUGUCCGAAAGAUGGAAGAGUACUACCUAGAGCAAGAAAGGUUGUCCUACAUCUUUGACAAACAAUCUGAUACCAUCCACAGAACAUUCGUGCUGAACAUGCCAGGCCCAGUUGCUGAAAUGAUGGAGGCUAAAUUCAAAGCUGAUGCAAUUGUUGAUUUAGCACAGCUUAGCCUAGCCCAGCUCUAUCAGAUGUCUAUGGAGCUAAUUCAAAGUCAUUACCGAUCUCAAGAUUUACCAAAGCACAUGAAGCAGAUUGAGAAAUCCUCUCUACAAAAAUUUUGUAACGAGGAACCAAACAAGUUUGGCUGCCAACAUACUGAAAAAAUGUGCUCUUGCAACACAGGCAAACGGAGAAAGGAGAAGCGGCCCUGGAAACCUUACAAAGGAAAGAAACAAACCGCUUCAUAAAAAAGCGGAACUAAAAGAAGGGCUCUGGUAGAUGUUUUAUCUGUGGAAAGAAAGGUCACUAUGCCAAGCAAUGCAAAUCCAAGAAAAAACUCCCGGUCAAAUUCCUCCAAAUGAUUCAACAAGACGAUUUCGAUGAUGAAAUCUAUACCUGGUCAGAUAGUCCCCUUGGAGCCGUCUUCACAUUAGACGAAUAUCCUGAUUCCACUAGUGAGGAAACCAAUUCUACUACCAGCACUAACACCGAUUCCGAGAAUGCAGACUUUAUCAUGGCUGUCCACGACCCAUUACAGAUAAAGCUUGCUAUGCAACCAUCAUCUCUUUUCAGGCCACACAUUAAAAUUAUCCUCAAUCCAACAGAGGAUACUCAAGUAGCACUUACUGCUCUUAUUGAUACAGGAGCAAUGUGCUCAUUUAUUCGAGAAGCUUGUGUUCCAAAAAGCUUUUAUGUCCCUACCAAGGUUUCCUUCGGAUCAACCAGCGGUCGAGAUUUCUAUAGCAAAAAGAUUACUCGACCAAUAGAGAUCCAACCAUUCAUGAUCUGGCAUGGCUUCUUUGCUUUUGAUUACUCCGGCGAAGAUAUCUUAUUGGGUACUGACUUUUUAAGUCUGGUUGCCCCUUUUGCCUUUUUUCCUGAAGGUUUCUCCUAUACCAUUCGCAAUCCUUUGGAUGGUACGAGUCAUUUUUUCCAAGUUCCUUGGGUCGAAAAGCAAUCCAUUUUUGGGGAGGGUAAAAAACUAGAAAACUACCUUAUCCAUAAAUAUGAACCUCAGAUCAAGGAACUCUUAGAGUGCUGUGCAGAAGUGCCAAACCAGUUCUGGGCUAGAGAACAUAAUUUUGUGUCUCUACCCUACAAGGAUGGAUGGACCAUGCCUCAUCAGACAGCCUCUCAUCCCGGCAUGCCCCAUGACGAAGAACUAUGCAAAAUAGAGAUCCAAGCCCUUAUGGAUCUGAAGCUCAUCAGGCUCUCUAAGUCUCAUUGGGCCAGCUCAGUAUUUUAUGUCAACAAGCAUUCAGAGCAGAUACGUGGAAAGAAGCGAUUGGUGAUAGACUACAGAAAGCUGAUUGAUUGUUUGCAAGAUAUAGGGUACCCCAUUCCACGGAGGACACACCAUUUGAAAUGCAUUGCUGGAGCAAAAGUAUUCUCAAAGUUUGACAUGAAGUCAGGCUUUUGGAAAAUUGGAAUCAAGGAAAAAGACAGACACAAGACAUCGUUUGUGGUCCCCCAUGGGCAUUAUGAAUGGAACGUGAUGCUUUUCAGCCUAAAGAAUGCACCGUCAGAAUUCCAAAACAAAAUGGAUGAGGUGUACAAAUCCAUCUCAGGAUUCUAUCUUAUCUACAUCGACGAUGCUCUUAUCUUCAGCAACAGUAAAGAAGAACAUGCUGAACACCUGUCUUAAUUCAAGGCACUAACCUAUAAACAUGGGUUAGCCCUGUCAGAGCCAAAGAUGAAGAUAGGCCUUGAUGAGGUAGACUUUUUGAGAUUACACAUCAAAUAGGGAUUCAUCAUUCCUCAUCCACAUAUUGCUGAAAAAAUAUCCCAAUUUCCAGACCAGCUGUCAACUAGAAAGCAAAUCCAGCAAUUCCUCGGGAUAAUCAACUAUGCAGCAGACCAUGUGCAAGAUCUGUCAAAGAUGACAAGUCAGAUAUCCAAGCACUUAAAGAAGGGUGCCCCACAAUGGUCAGGAGAUGCUACAAAAGCCGUGAAAGACUUAAAGCAAAAGUGCCAAUCACUUCCACCAUUAAAGAUACCUAACAAAUGACCGCUCAUCUUACAGACAGAUGUUGGUGACCAUUAUUGGGGAGCACUGUUGAUAGAAGAAUCCGAGGGAAACAGGAAAGUUUGUGGCUAUAAAUUUGGACAGUUCAAUGAUGCUCAAAGCCACUACCCUUCCUCGAAGAAAGAAGUCUUAGCAGUCGUCAAAGGGAUCAAGAAGUUCCGAUUCUUUCUCUCUUUAACCCCUUUUUUGAUUGAAACAGACUAUAAAUACCUCUAGGGAUUGCUCAGAAGAAAAGAAUGAGAAAUCCCUGACCCUCAACUUGCAAGGUGGUCUGAGUCUCUCUCGAGAUUUAAGUUCGAAGUAAGACACAUCAAAGGAGAAUCCAACACUGUAGCGGAUUUCCUUUCCAGACAAUCACCAUUAUCAGAUGAAGGAAUCUUCCAAGAAGAUGGGAAGAAGGCAGCUCUAGUGCUCAUGAAACUAGAGCACAUUUUCUCAAAAAUCUUAACACUUUCAUAGCAUGGCUUCCCUCAGAAGUCCAGGAAGAUAUCUUUGAGAAAAUCAUCACCCACAAAAGAGAUCCAGAAGAUCAAGUUCUAACAUGGCGGGUAUGGCAACUCAUGGCUAUGCAAGAACACAGACCUGCCCUCAACAAAAGAUGUCAGAGAGCUUUUGAUCUACAUCCAAAUCUUGACCAGAUGCACGAAACGGUCUUCAAGAUCGGUUGCACCUUCCACUAUGUAAUAGAUGAAAACUCCAACUGGGGUCACUAUGUUAUCUAUGACAUAACCCCACAAGCCUAUUACAUAACGUGGUACUGGCUGAACAUCUACCCUGUAGCAAUACUGUUCGAGCCAAAUCUUAUCCACACCAGCCGAAGAUAUGACAAGGGAAGGUGGUUUGACAGAAUGUUUGCCCCUAUCUUCGAAGAUAUCCUACCACUUAAGCUCAUCAAUGGAUACAACAUCACUCACUCUACCAUAGUGAUUGUGAAGCUCACGGAUAUCUGGGGACGAUAUAAGAAGCCACUGAUACAGGUAAUCCAGCAUGACCACUCCCACGAAGAGAUUAAUUCCAUGUGGACAGGCUGUUGGAAUGCUAGAAAGGCAUUAGCAGAGGUAUAUGGGAUUGUUCCCAUGUACAAUACUCACAGUCCAGUAUCCCCACAAGUCUGCAGUACUCCAGAUCUCUAUUACAGAGAAGAGAUCAGGAAUCUCAAGCUUCAUGGAGAAGAUGAUGAAGCAGCAGACAUACAGCAGAGGUAUAAUGACUACCUUACUCGACAUGGCAGGCCAAAGGAAGUCACUUAUCUGGACACUCCAGAUAUUGACAGAUGGACGAACGAACUUGAAGAGAUGGCCCAUUGGCUAGACCUCCAAGAAUGGCCCCAACCAGAACUAAACCCAUAGCCAGACAACAUAGAAGACCCCAUAUGGCCAACUAUGGGAGAAGACAUGGAUGCAGCAUCCGAGGAAUGAUGGAACCAUAGGUCAGGACGCAACAUGCCAACAAGUGGCAACACUAGACUGUAUCGGAAGCUUAGUGGACCCUACAGUGGAAGCAAUGGUGAUAAUAAUAUAUGUAUUUGUAUUCGUAUGUAUUGAGUACCAUCCUUAGAGAUAAGGAUGAGAGUGUGAGUGUGACAUAAAGUAAGGAGUGAGUUGUAAAGUAGAUUCCUUAGAGAUAAGGAUCAAUUAUGUACACAGUUGUAAUAGUGGUUCCCUUGUGCCUAUAAAAGGGAACCCUUGGUUUGUUUCUAGGCAUCGAGUCUUGGAGUCCAAUAUUGUAUUCUAAAUCUCUCAUUCCUAUUAAUGAAGUAACCUUCCUCUGUUUUCAAGAAAUCCAAAUUUUAGUUUUGGUUUAUUUACACUCUAAUUUUAAUAUGCUUUCAUCUCACUGAGAUUUAAGUUGACCAGUUGAAAAUAGGGCAUGUUAAGAUUACAUUACAUGAAAUUUCUAUGCUACACACCCAUAUUAUAAUCCAUGUCUUUUAGUUAUAUUGGCAUAGUGACCAUUGAUGGAUCGAGUUAUAAUAGUUAUAACAAAGGGCGCCUUUGAUCCUAUGUUGGUAUAAUUGAUAGACUUGAUUGGUUAUUGAUACAUUUCGAUUAUGAUAGUAACGUUGAACUCAUAUAGUUAUAUUUACAAAGCAUAAUUAUAAGGUUACAUAUAUAGCCCAAAUGGGAGAUUGUUGAAUUUUUUAAUCUAGCAUUGUUGGAUCCUUAAUCUAAUGUUGGGCUUAUAUGUGAAUAAUUAUGUAUUGCGAACUAUCAUAUAUGGAUAAACCCAAUUAAAAGUGAUCUAUUAAGGUUUACAGUAAUAUAGGUUUUAAUGUAUCUAAUAAGGUGUGGACCUUCAAUUUGUAGAGCCUUAAAGAUAAUUUCUAUUUCUAUGACUGGCCGAAAUAGGAAUACCAAAAGACAAUAGAAAAAGUUAUUUAUAUAAGUGGUCAUGGUCCACAGGUCACAUGUAUCAUUCUAUUCUUUCUGACAUCCUAUCAUCAGAGAGAGAGAGCAUAGAGAAAAUUAAAGAAUUCUUUAGGAGAACGUGUUAAUCUGGAAGGCAAACCACAACUCUAGAGAGUAAUUAAACAUUAUGGAUUUAGGUUUGCUUUUGCUUAUUUUGUUAUUGAUUUUUAAUGAUAUCAAAUGAAUGGUCCUGAAUUAUAGGUGAUAGUUUUCACCAAAAAAGCCUUGAGGAGUUGAAGAAAAAUUAAUAAAAGAAAAGUAAAAAUAGAAAUAAAAAGGAAGGAGUACUAGCCAUAAUGAUUUUAUAAAGAAUCUAAAAACCUAUAUAAUUAUAAUAUAAUCCAAAGGUUUAUUGAGCAUAAUUAAAAAGUUUGAGCUCAAUAGCGAGUCAUGAUCAAUGAAUAAGGAUGUUUGUAUACUAAUUCAAACUUCUAACCAAAAACAAAAAGUUAUAAUAAUAUUUAUCUUUAUGAUCGUACGGUCAUUAGCAGUGCUCUAUCAUGAAGCAGUUCCAAUAUAACUUGAUUCUAAUUAAAAAAAAAAUUCUUCCACCGUUACCUAUCUAAUAAUUUCCACACUAAUUUGAAUUUUGACCAAUAUAAUUUCAUAAAUUCACACCAAACUAAAAAUCUAUCAUUUUAAAUUAUUUAAUAUCAAUUACAAUUAAAUAUUUAAUUUUGUAUAACAUAUAUUAUUCAUGGAUGGACAAUAUUAUGAUAGACAAUUGUCAUAUGAAAAUAAUAAAUCUGUGACACAUAAUACAUCAUAAAAUCCAUGACAUAUAUAAACUAUCAUCAGAAAUUUUUUGACACAGGUUUUAGUGACGGACACAUGACUGUCAUCUAAUAAGGUGUAUAAUGGUAAAAAAGUAGUUUUUUUAUUGUUUUGUGAACCUAGUUAGCUUUUUGUUUCCUAAAGAGCUCUUAGUUUAAAAUGAAUAAAUUUUUGGAAAAAGAAUAAUUGUACUUCCCAAAGUUUAGGGAAUGGUCACGAAAACUCCUAAGUUUUUAAUAAAAUACAUCAAGACUGUAUUUUGACCAUAAUUUUAUUUGUCUCUAUUAACCCGAAAGUUUAUUCUAAUAUUUUGUAAUAAAUAAAAGAUAUAAUAUUAAAAUAAAUGUAAAAAUGCUUAAUAUUAUUAGUCUACUAGACAAAUUAAGUUACUUAUAUUAUAUUAGUAUUUAUUAAAAAAAUUGAAGUCAAUUUUUAAUUAUUGUACUUAAAACGUAUUAUGCUUAAAAAAAAGGGCAUCAAUGUCCAUUUAAUAAAAAUUUACGUUAUCUAUAUGAUAAUUUUUCUAAACUUUGGGAGUAUAGCAUCAACAAAAUUUUUAAGUAUAAAAAUUAUUUUCACAUAAAAAAACGUAUUCUUAGUUUAUUAUAAAACAUCUUUAUUGAAAAUAAUAAAAUAGAAAUUAAAUUAUAAAACAUUUUUUUCAUUCAAAGCAAUCAAAAUGCAUUAAUUUAUUUCCUGGGAUCAAUGAAAACAAAAGUAAGAUAUCCAAUGGUGGGUAUCAAAUUUCUGAUUUAGAUGGAGUUGAGCCAGUAUGAUUGCUGAUGUUGAUGCAUAACUACUAUAUAAAAUCAUUGGCUAGUUCGUGUUUUGGGCCGGUGCGGUACAAGAUUUGAGGAGCGUGAAAAAGACACUCGGCUCAAUGACUCUUGCGAAAACAAAAGGAUCGAAAGCAGAGCGCGUGGUAUACACAUUUGAAUGACAUCGAACUUAUGUAGCAGUGAAAAUGAGAAACAUAUUGGGUAGUGUAGCAUGUAGGGUCCACAUGACAUGGCAUCAUUACUUAAUAAUUGAAGUCUACGACACGUGGCAGACAUAUACAGUAUGGAGAAUUGGAGAUACAGGUGUAAACUCUCAGAAUGUUCCAUCCAUUUAUAGUCAUGUGAUCUUCUCGUUAUCUAAUUUGAACGGUUGAUGUCUGUGGUGUAGGAUCCUCUCAGCAUUUAGGUGGGGCCCAAAACUGUCAAGAAUCCAUACAUUUUGCGAAGUUACAAUAAAUGUAACUUUUGCAGAGCAUGUAAAAAUUUGUGACAUAGCAGUGUUACAAGGGCUGGAAGUUAUAUUGUUGGUAACUUAGCAAGAUCCUUCGAUUAUAAUAUUGAAGAAAAUUAUAGAUUCUCUCAUGAAAUAUUUAUAUUCAAAUUCAAAUAAACCAUAAUACUUAGCCUUUUAAAUUUGAAAAUACGACACUUAUUGCUUUUUUUUAAUCAUAUGCUACAUUUAAACGCUUAAUCUAACAGAAAAUUAGAAAUUGAUAUAUUAAAUUAAAUUUUAAUUAAAAAAUCUAUAUUACUUCUAACUAAUUUAACUUAUUUUACAAGUCGUAAAUAUCUAUUAAAUUGAAAUAUUCUUUGUAUGUGCGAUGUGACAAUAUUGUAGUUGAUAAAUGAAGCUAAUUACUUAAUUUUGUAUUUAGAAUUUCAGCAUAACCAUAAGCUAUUGUUUAUUGGAUUUUCUUAUAAAAUUUUCAUUUUAUACCAUUUUCACCACAUCAUGGAUUAUAAAUUAAUUUUACUUCUUAUAUAAUACAAUAUAUUCUUUGAUUGAUAAUACAAAAAAAAAAAAAAGUUCCACCAAACCUUCAAGUACCAUAUUCCUAAUUUAUUUACAUUUUUCAAUUUUGAAGCCAAGAAAAUAUGAAAAUAUAAAUUAGGUAAUUAACUCACCAAACCUUCUUAUAUAAUACAAUAUAUUAUUAUUAUUAUUUUUAAAUAAGAACAUUAAACAUAAUAGAACCUUAGGUGAGCGUGUUUUAUAAUAAGUCCAACUCUUCAUAUUUAUAUUUACUACGUUUAUAAUAGAUUUUGAAUUUUAUUUAAUAAGUUAAUUUUAAUUCAAAUGAUUAAACAAGUCUUGAUUGACUUAUGUAAUUAACAAGAAAAAAAUCAAUAUAAUGUACUAAAAAUAACAUUAUAAUAUUAUAUAUUAUUGUUAAAAAAAUACACAUGUUAGGUAUAUAUUUUAUUUUUCAUGCUUUAUUAAGCUAAACAUUAUCAAUUUUUUUGUACUAAUCGAAUAAUUUAUUUAUAACUUCUCAUGUUUUUAAUGAGUUUAACCAAUACAUACAAGUAUUGCUAAUAUUUAUGAGGUUAUAUAUGUCGAAAUAUAAUAUUCUAGAUGUUUUCUUUUAAAAAACAAACAACUUAACGCUUAUCUUCUGUUAUUAAGAAAAGAAAAAAAAAACAUAUUAUUCAGAUAUAUGAAUUUAGAUCUAUUUAGGCUUCAGCUAAAUUCAGACCCAUUUAAAUUUUAGACCAAAGAAAGAAAAAAAAAUGCUAUCUAAGUGUCAUAGACCAUUUAAGUUGGGUAUAAGUAUUUCUUACCUAUACUUGAGGAGGAAUCUGUAAAUUUUCCAUAAAAUUUAGGAGUGAUUCCACCUUUUUUUUAAGACAUCAAUGAUGUAACAAAUAUAUACCAUUAGAUUUAAUAAACAAUGUAAAUUUUUUUAUUUGUGAAAAACUAAAAUUAUUUAAAAAUGUUAUAACCUAUUUCUAACCAUUUAAAAAUUAUUUAAAACUUAAAAAAAAAAAGAGUUAUUAUCAAUCAAAAUCUCUCUCUCUAUCUUAUUGGAUUCUUACUCUGUGGUCUUUAGCUCUUACAUUUGAAGUCGCCAAUUAAUGCGAAUAAGGGUUUGUAUGACUAUUUGAUUAAGGUUGAAGCUGAUGGAAGGUAGGAUGAUACUCCUAAGAGCAAAGUUAUAAUCAAAGACAGUAGUGAACUUCCUUUGUAAUUUCUAAGAACUAUUGUCUCAUCUAAACUAGCGAAUUAGGUCUUAAGGUACACAUUAUUGGUGAUAUUCCUGGUGUCAAGUUCUAGGUUGUAAAGGUCUUUAGUGUUUCCCUCUUGGGUGUCUUCAAAGAGAAAAAGGCGAAGCCAAGGUUCUAAGAGAGAAUUGUUCAUGCAGAUUUUGUAAACAUUUUCUGGUAUUAACUAGUAAAUGUAUUGUUGGGGUCAAUGGCAGUGCCACAUUUGGAUUAUUAGGGGUUAAAACCCCUGCUUAAACUUUUUAAAAUUUUAAUUAAUAAUAAAAUUUAUUUAAUUUUUAAUUUGAUUUACCUUAAAAGUACUUAUUAAGUUAUAAAAAUAACUGGAAUGCACUACUAGAAAAAUGAUUUUUAUUGACAGUAAACUAAUGUCAGUAAUUACUUUGAUCACUGACCAAGAUCAAAGUAAAACAUAGAAUAAAAAACAAACCAGACAUAGAGAACAAAAACGAAGAACAUAAUUGCACGAUACAGUAUUUUGAAGGAAAAGUCAACUCAUUUUAUUGAUCAAAACACUUUGAAUACAAAUCAUAUCUACAGAGGAGAUUGCAUUGAACACAUAGAAACAAAUUUCAAUUUCAAACAAAAUGAAUAACAAACAAAGAAGAAAUCGAAUAGCCAGCAUGUGCUGAUAAUCAGCUUCCUUUUAUGAACUUACAACAACUUUUGACAUGUCAGCGUUUUAUAUCACUGACCCUCGAACUGAAGUCAAUCGGGGCAUUGACUCAAUAAGUUCCUCUCGUUUGCAUUAUUGUCUAAAAGCUUAAGUGCCUUAACUUAUAUAGUAGCCCUGGCAAUGAAAUUAUCCUUUAAUAUUUUCAACAUAUGAAACUAUAUUGAGGUUGUUAUAAAUAUAUUGAAUUAAAUAUAUUAAUAAAUUUUUAUUUUGAUAUUUGUUAUUUGUUGAUUAAUUUUUUAAAUUAUAUUAUUGUUUGAAUUAAACUCCUAUUAGAUCGAAAUCCUGGCACCACCACUAGAUGUGCUAAAAAAGAAGAAUCACAAUUAGUGAAUAUUAUCGGUUUCUUGUUGAUGAGAACCUGAUUUCAAUAGGAAAAAUAUUAUGGGAGCACAAGUAAUGAAUAAUGCAAUCAUUAAAAUUUUCUUUUUUUAAAAAAAAUUAAUUGCUAAGGUAAUGAAAAUUUACUUGGCGGCCAUCUUGAUAGUUUACUUUAAUUUAGAUUUUUUUUUCAAUGUAUUAUGAGUAAAUAAAAAUUGUACAAACAUUUGUCAUCAACAAGAAACUAAUGAGGUUCAUAAACCCCAUAAAAUCUGUACAUGGUGUGCUCUGCCAUGUAGAAAUUUUAAAAUAAAAAACUAAUGGGUUCAUUUGAUUUGAAUCUCAUGGCUUGAAUUAGAAUCCCGCCCUUCCUCGCUCUUAAAAAAUAGUUUACCUCUUAACACUACCUUUAAGUAUAAAAAAAUAUGUUUUAAAGUUAAAUUAACUCAAAUAUAUUUUUAUCUUAAAUUAGUUUUGAAGUGAACUAUUAUAUUUUUAAAUGACCAGAAACUUAACACAUACUUGGGAUUUUCAACACAUAAUUGGAAUUUGGGAAAAGGAAGGGAAAAAAGAAAAAAUUAACACCGUGUUACUAAAUUUAUGCUUGUUGAACCUCAUCGAAGGACUGGAGUGAGUGUAAUACAUAUUUUGUUUAUUUAAUUCUCAAAAUUUCUGGUUUAUUUGAUAUUUUUGCCGACAACAAGGACCUCAAAGAAAGAUUUCAAUUUAAUAUUAUGUAUUCUAGAAUUUCUAAUUUAGCCACUUUCGUUGACCUGAGGAAAUUCUAAUGAAGCCGGGAAAAAUAGACUUCCAAGCCUAUGGAAACAGCCAGGAAAUUGUAUCAUAAAAAUCAUAACAAUAAUGUGUCUUAUUAACAAUAUUUUAUUCCGACGACAAAGCUUAAAAAGUCUCAAGCCUUUUUAGUUUCUUCCAUUGUGUAACAAGGCACAAGCAAAAAGCGUCUCUCAGGAAUUUUUAUUUUUAUUUUUUUAAUUAUUAGUGUCUCAGGAAUUAAUUAGUGAAGAUGAAAGAAAAAGAAGCAGAAUAUUUUGAGAUGGCGGUGUCAUAUGAUACGACGCCAGAAAGAUGUUCUUCUCAAUCGCAACCAUUCUGUUCGUUUCAAAGUCCAUCUUCUUCAGAUGCCUCUCCCAGCUUCAGCUCUUGUGCGUAGUACGCUCUUAAUUUUCUCUGUUUCUUUUUAUUUUCCUUUUUUUCAAUUUUAUCCCUAUUUGCUUUUUCUUAUUGUGAUUUCCAGUUAGUUUAGUAAUUGUUAGCACAAGUUUUUAGAGGUGAUACGAAUCGAAUCCCCAGUGGUGAUUUUAAGAGAAAACUUUUAGCUCUUAAUGGCAUUAAUCUGUUGAGAAAGAAAGAGCGGACAAGUCGAUAAUAUAAUUAGAAAUGUUCUAAUUUAGUAUUCUGGACUUUAUUAAGACUUUUUUCUACUUAUUUAAUGUUUUUUUGCUUGAGAACAUCUUGGAAUUUCAAUUAAUUUUGAACAUUUAUACAUAAGACACACUUUACAUGAAGCAAACUGAAACUAAGUUUAGGUAAUAGUCGAUUGAACUUAUUUUAAAAUCGUUUAGGAUAAUACAAGAUGUAUAACUGGAUAUUCAACAUCAAGCUCACAUCCUGACAAUUAAAGUACAACUAGAUGAUUUUUAUCAAUGUAUAAAUUGUUACACUUUAUAUAUAGUCCUUUUAAAGAGCAGAUAUUCAAACUUUAUGAAGUGUGGACUCAUCCUUUUACAGCGUUGGCUGUACAAUAUUAUAGAGACCUUUAGACGAAGACAAACAAUGACUCACCUUACAGUCAAUGCAGAUGAAGAAGAUACAGAAAUGGGUCAGAGGAAAUGUAUUGAGAGCAAAGGUAGUAACUUCGCUUGCAGAAUUCGAGAUCACGGUAAUCAGUUUCUUCCCUAAAAAUUUUUUCAUGUAUGUUAUAAUCACAUCAUAUAGCUAGGAAAAAAACUGAAUGAAUUUUCUGAACAAAUUAAUUGCAGUGAAAAUGGGCCCAAAAUUUUCUGAAACAGUGAAAAGUAAGCUGAGCUUGGGAGCAAAAAUUAUUCAAAAAGGCGGGAGGGAAAAUAUAUUCAAGCAGAUUUUUGGUUUGACAGAAGGGGAAGAAUUCUUGAAGGCCUCACAGUGCUACUUAUCAACGACGCGCGGUCCAAUUGCUGGACUUCUUUUUAUUUCUAAUAAGAAAAUUGCUUUUUGCAGUGAAAGAUCAAUCUCUUACUCUUCGUCCACUGGAGAACUAAUAAGAACACCAUACAAGGUAAUUUUAAUGAUUUUCUAAAACUUUUUUCCUUAAGAAAAUAUGAAGUUGCUAUCAUAGUUUGUGGUUGAUACGGUCAAUGUUAAUGUGAUAAAAAUUUAUAAAAUUAGCGUGUAGAUGAUGUGAUACCCCCGUCUCACAUAAAAUUCUCUCUCUAUAUAUGUGAGUGUGUGGGUAUAUAUAUAUAUAUAUAUUGAAAUUCAAGUAAUUUGAAGUAUCAUUUCAAUUUUCACCGAGGCCUAGGGCUGGCAAUUUGCGGGCUUGGACCGGGUUUUUUUGAAGCCCAAGCCUAAGCCCACAACAUUUAAACAAAGUUUAGGCCCUUUAAAAGCCUGUUCAAAUUUGGAGAGGCUGGGCUUGGAUUUUUUUUUAAUUAAUUAUAAAAUAUUUUUUUAAUUAAAAAAAUAUUUAAAUUAAAAAUAAUUAUCUAAUACAUAAUAAAAUAAUAGUCCAAUGCAUAAAAUAUUAAUAAUACAACCUAAUAAAUAAUAAAUAAUAAUAUAAAAAAUUAAACUAAUUUAGUAUUUAAAAUUUUUUCUUUUAUUAUUUCAAUUAAAUUUAUUUUUUAUUUAUAAAUUAAAAAAAUCUUAGCUAAGUCUGAGCUUUUUUAUUAAGCUAUUGUCCAGACCCAACGUAUGGGGGCUUUGCAUUUUUUGGACUUGUACAAGCCCAACCCUUGCUGGUCGGGCUGGGCUUGGGUUGGCCUGAGCUUUUUUGCUAUCCCUACUGAGACCUUGAGUCAAGUGGUGAGCUUUUGUUCAAUUUCUAAAGAUAUUUUUUUUACUAUAAUCCUAUCCCCAGGUAAUGGGGUAGAGAUCUCACCUUUUAAUAGCCAUUAGUUAUUUAUUUUAUUAGCUGGAACUAAAUCAUGUCAGAUAAUGAAAAUUUUAUUGACAUAAUUCACAUUUACAGGUGUUGAUACCAAUACAAAAGAUCAAAAGUAUCAACGAAAGUGAGAAUGUGACCAAGCCAGAGCAAAAGUACGUUGAAAUAGUGACCGUAGACGAUUUUGAAUUUUGGUUCAUGGGAUUUUUGCGCUAUGAAAAAGCUUACAGAAAUCUUCAAAAGGCCAUUUCUAUGGCUAACGAAGUGUAAAUAAUUAGGACCUAUUUUGAAGACAUGUUCAGCUAGUAAGCUUUGACUAUCAGUUUUGUGUUAAAUAAAUAUCGUACAUCAU
rnacentral:lncRNA from 1 species